CUGACCCGGCCCAUCAUCAACAAAUGCUCCUUUCUCCCUUAAUCAGCAAGAACUAGUCCCCAACACAAAAAACAACCAAAAAUGGCGUACAACUCUAGGAACUCGAACAACAACGACAAGCGCGAUUCAGUGAAUCCACCAUUGAACCAACCCGAAAUAGAUCCUAAACCAUUCUUUUUCCCUUUUUCACACGUCUCAUGCGGCAGUAGGAUAAGGAAAACCCUAAAACCUUCUAGAAAAUGGGCUAGGUGUCAUCUCCAAUGUUUCAAUCCUACAAAUUUUGGGAUAACUCGUACGAUCUCGUACAAUAUUUGGCUGAUUUCCAUAGGUUUUGGGGAGGAAUUCGUUUUCCCUAAAUCUCAUUGGUCCACCAAUUUCAAUAUUGGUAAAAUGGAUUGAUGAAACCUUAAGCGGUGAGAGGAUUUUUGAAUUUCAAAAUUCAAAAACAUCCUUCUUUUAAAUCCCCAAAACACCCCUAAUUCGGGGGAUAUAAAAAGACCCCUGGGGUCACUAUUUGGGGGGAUUUUUUUCUCUUCUUUGAGGGAUUUUUGGUUUCUUCUCUCCUUUUCUUUCCCUUAAGAGUUGGAAAUUUUAGAAGCCUUUGUUUUUUUUCGUUUAGAGAAAUUUUAGGUUUGAAAAAAGGGGUAAUUCUUAGUUUGGAAAAUUUUAGGUCAUGGUUGAGGGUUACUUUCCCUUCUGAGGUGGAAAAAUUAAGGGAGAAAGCUAGGUUGGAACAUUUUUCUAAGAAAAAUUUCUGAUUUGGAAAAACUGAGAUAGAGGGAAGAAAGAAAAAGAAAAGAUUUCUGAAGAAAGAUUAAAUCUUUGAAGUUUUCCGGUGGUCGUGAUCCCCGUAUCAGUUCCUCGUCUUUUUUUGCUACUCCCGAAAAGGUAACGUCCUAUUUUCGUUCAAUUUCUAUUAUAUUUCUGCUCCCUCUCGUCAUUCUAUAGUCAUGACUGUCAUUCCGAAGAUUUUGUAAGCUGGGUUAUCUGCUGUAGAGGUCUUCAAGACCACAGGUUUCCAUUUUAGUGAAAAGCAAUGUUUCUUUGUAGUGCUACGUUGGGAUGAAUUCCUAUUGUGAUUGUAUGACAUAUGGUUUUCAUCGUCUUUAGAUCUUGAUUUCGUGAUUGGUCAUCUACUCUCAGCAUUACUGAUUAAUUUCUGUUCUAAUGUAUCAUCUUGUGGACUGUUUGUGAUUUGAAGCAGUUGAAGAUCUUAUUUUGAUUCUCUCUUAACAAUUUUCAUCCUCUUGUUGCCUUGAUUCGUAGUUGUAGUUUUAUAAUCUUAAGUGCUGAGUGUAGCUCGUUGGGAGGCUAUGAAAGCCCCAAGUUUCAUAUGAUAAAAUGUGAGCUUUCAAACUUUGUUGUUGUUUCUGCAUUUAGGACACAUUGAUUUUUAGAGUUUCUGAUUUCGUUAUAAUUCAUCUGGGAGCAUUUGCUUUUGUUCAUACAAUGUUUUUGAUGAAAAUUUUCAUCGAAUUCGACUUUCAUGAAUGCCGUAUUGUUUAAAUGAUGACCUUCUAGCCUAAGGAUUGUUGCUAAUAUUCUAUUCUAAAAAAAAGAAGGGUUAUUGAGUCACUUUAUUCCUGUAAACGAUUUAGUAAAAGUGCAGUGUUUCUUUUCUGUUAAAAAGGAUGAUAGGGUCAAAGGGUUUUGCAUUCUCUUUGGGAGUUGCUAUUAGGAGCCUCCUUUGAGACCAUUAUUUAUAAAGGUUAAAUAAAAAGAUGUCUAUUCUAUUUAUAUUAUAUUCUCUCAUUUAACCUGCUUUGAUAUGAGUUUAACACAUACACUUGUAGUUAUUCAUUGAAAAUUGUUUCAAAAAAAAAAAUUAGCUUUUCUUGCGUCAUUACUAACUCGUAUGAGCUUGUAUAUCUCCUUUAUGAAACCUUUAGGAUCCUGUUCGUUUGUCUAUUAAAUGCAUCUCUUCUUGCAUCAUCUUAUUGAUGUUGGGAAAAAAAAAUGUUUUUAGUCGCAUUGUUUCUCCCCUCUUUCCCAUUUACUUCAGUACCUAAGGUUAAGUGUUUUGAUCCGUUUGAAUAUCGAAUAGUUUCCACGUUUUAUUUAAAGCCAUCCUUUCUUUUUCAUAUUAUUGUUUGCUAAAAAAUUUUUGAUAGGAUAAAAGUUGUUUGCGUGUUGUAUGCGUGGUGACAUGCCUAAUUAUGUGCUUACUCUACGGGGACAUGCUGUUAUUUCUUCUCUCAAAGAUAGGUCUAGUAAAUUUGGGAGAAAUUCUAUUUUAGUUGCUUCCUGAUUCUUCGCAACUCUUUGUUGAUAUCUUGAGUUUUAGUAAUAGCCAUCUAUACCUAAAAGGGCUAGAGAACAAUAAUCACCAAAAGAAAAAAAAAUAUAAUAAUAAUAAUGAUUAACUCCUAAGAUCAUCAAAUUGGUCUGAUUGCUAUUUUCCAUCACAAUGCAUGUGUGAAGUUGAUUCAUUUCUCUUGAAAUUCUAUAUUUUUAACCAUCAUGGGUUCCUUUUCAUCGAUUGAUCCAUCAUACUACUUACUUGUGUGGCGUUUGGUAUUCUGGAUGCGUUUUGAUUUCCUUUAUAUUUUUCCUUGCAUGUGAAUUCGUUUUGGAGUCCAAAUGGAUUCUUUCCCAUUGCAUCUCUUAAUGGGCCAUUCAGGCCCUCCAUUCCUAUCAAGUCUAGCCCUGAAAAAAAGCCUAAAAUGAACUGCAUGGCGUACGGAUAUGAGAAGUCGAAAGGAGAGAGAAGAUGGAUUAAAGCCCCAUUUUUAAAGUGGCGAAGAGACUCAAAAGUCUCAUUUUUUAGUUUAUUUAUUUACUUAUCGAUUUUAUUCAUUUAUUUAUUUAUUUAUUUAUUUGGGCCACGAAGCCAAAGUUGUGCUUAAUAUAGGUAGAGCGAUACUAGGACAGGUGAAAUGGGUCGAAAUCCCAAUUAGACUAGGACAGGUCUUAUUGAUUUGGGCCCAGUGGCCUAAAUCCCUUACUUUCUCCCCUUCCCCUUUUUCUUUACGUUUCUUUACCUUAUGUGUUUUGGUGAACCUAGUUAAAUCCUUAGUCAAGUCAAUAAAAAGUUAGUUCUGCAUAAACACCAAAAUCUUUUUCUAAAAUUGCCUUCUUUUCAAAACUAAACCUUUUUCCAAAGUUAGUCAAAGGCGAUUUCCAAACAGUCCGGAUAACCGCAAGUUAGCGGACGUUUUAGGUGCCUAACACCUUCCUAAAACAUUAAUAAGAACCGCUUACUCAGAAUCUCUUAACUUAAACAAUUUUUCUUUUUUGGAUCGUUUGAAGUAACUCUAUAAAGGUUUCUAAAUUCCUUUCCAAAAUUAAGUGGCGACUCUCUUUCAAAAGUCAAAAUUUCUGCAAAACGCGCUUCAGCCAUAAUUCUCUGCCUCAAAUCAUUAACAUUCGGAACACAAAGUCUACCUUGCAAUCUCAACAUACCAUCUCCCUCUUGGGAGAAAACCUCUACCUUAUGGUCCUUAACUGACUCCUUCAGAAUAAAAAGUUAGUUCUGCAUAAACACCAAAAUCUUUUUCUAAAAUUGCCUUCUUUUCAAAACUAAACCUUUUUCCAAAGUUAGUCAAAGGCGAUUUCCAAACAGUCCGGAUAACCGCAAGUUAGCGGACGUUUUAGGUGCCUAACACCUUCCUAAAACAUUAAUAAGAACCGCUUACUCAGAAUCUCUUAACUUAAACAAUUUUUCUUUUUUGGAUCGUUUGAAGUAACUCUAUAAAGGUUUCUAAAUUCCUUUCCAAAAUUAAGUGGCGACUCUCUUUCAAAAGUCAAAAUUUCUGCAAAACGCGCUUCAGCCAUAAUUCUCUGCCUCAAAUCAUUAACAUUCGGAACACAAAGUCUACCUUGCAAUCUCAACAUACCAUCUCCCUCUUGGGAGAAAACCUCUACCUUAUGGUCCUUAACUGACUCCUUCAGUCUGACCAAAUAGGAUCCCUGUCCUGUUUCUUCUUUACCUCCAAGACCAAAGAGGUCUCGAAACUACUCUAAACUAACAUACUCCCUUCUGCGGAAUCAAGAAAUCUAACACCCAACCUAGACAAAUGAUGCACAUCACGAGCCAAUUCUUUCUUAUCAUUCUCUAUAUGAGCUAUACUAACCAUAGACAACCUGCUAAGAGCAUCUUCCACAACAUUGGCCUUGCUACGGUGAUAUAUCACACUCAUAUCGUAGUCUUUUAGAAAAUCUAACCAUCUUCUUUGUCUAAGGUUCAAAUACCUCUGAGUAAACACACACUGCAGGCUUUUGUGAUCAGUAAACACAUCAACAUGAACACCAUACAAAUAAUAUCUCCAGAUUUUCAAAGCAAAAACUACAGCUGCUAAUUCAAGAUCAUGGGUUGGUUAAUUCUUCUCAUGAGGCUUCAACUGUCUAAGGCAUAAGCUAUAACUUUACCCUUAUGCAUCAACACACAACCCAGACCAACUCUAGAAGCAUUACAGUACACCACAAGACCAUCAGUACCAUCGGGUAAAGCUAACACUGGGGCUGAAGUGAGUCGAGUCUUCAACUCUUGAAAUCUCUUCUCACAGGCAUCUGUCCACUGGAACUUAACUUUUUUUUUGGUCAAUCGGGUCAUGGGGGACACGAUUGAAGAGAAGCCCUCAACAAAAUGACGGUAGUAACCAGCUAAACCCAAGAAACUCCUAAUAUCAGACGGGGAGGUAAGUCUAGGCCAAUUCUUCAUAGCUUCUAUCUUUUGAGGAUCAACUCUUAUACCUUCGGAAGAAAUAAUAUGACUCAGGAAAGCAACUGACCUUAACCAAAAUUCACACUUGCUAAAUUUAGUAAAUAAUUAAUGAGCUCUAAGGGUUUCCAACAUGAUUCGAAGAUGAUCUUCAUGGCCAUCCUCACUUAGAGAAUAUAAAAGAAUAUCAUCUAUGAACACAAUAACAAACAAAUACAGAUACCACUUGAAGACUCAGUUCAUAAGAUCCAUGAAAGCUGCUGGAGCAUUGGUUAACCCAAAGGACAUGACAAGAAACUCAAAAUGACCAUAGCGGGUUCGAAAAACUGUCUUUGGAAUAUCACACUCUCUCACUUUAAGAUAAUGAUAGCCGGAUCUAAGGUCUAUCUUUGAGAAAUAACUUGCACCCAGUAGCUGAUCAAAUAAAUCAUUGAUUCUAGGAAGAGGGUACUUGUUCUUAAUAGUCACCUUGUUGAGUUGAUGGUAGUUAAUGCACAUACGCAAUGUACCAACUUUCUUCCACACAAAUAGAACAGGUGUACCCCAUGGGGAAACACUAGGUCUGAUAAAGCCUUUUUCUAAGAGUUCUUUGAGUUUUCCUUCAACUCUUUAGGUUCUGCAGGAGCUAUACGGUAUGGAGGGAUGGAGAUAGGCUGAGUUUUAGGAAAAAGAUCAAUCCUGAAUUCUAUUUCUCUGUUAGGUGGGACCCCUGGAAGGUCUUCUAGGAAAACAUUGGGAAACUCUUUAAUAAUGCUAAUUGACUGAAUAGUCGGAGUCUCAGACUUGAGUUCGUUAACUCGAACUAGAUGAUAGAUUAAACCCUUGAAAAUCAACUUCCUAGCUUUGAGGUAGGAUAUGAAAUGGCUCUUUGGAGUUAUAGAACUCUCGAACCACUCAAACACGGGUUCGUUAUGAAACUAAAACUUGACCACUCGGGUAUGACAAUCUAUAAACGCAUAGCACGAGUGAAGCCAAUCUAUGCCCAGAAUGAUGUCAAAAUCAACAAUAUCUAGCUCAAUCACAUCAGCACAUAUGACCUGAUGAAGGACAACAACAGGACACUUCUUAUACACUCGCUUAGCAAUAACAAACUCUCCUACCAGGGUAGAAACAAGAAUAGGCUCAGGAAUCCAUUCAAGGUCCAUCUCAAAAUUUAUAGCAACCAGAGGUGUCACAUAAGAGAAACUCGAACUGGGGUCUAUUAAUACAUACACAUCAAAAUGAAAGACAUGGAGCAUACCAGUGACAACAUCUGGAGAAUCCUCCUGCUCCUGGCGAGGUGGUAUAGAAUAGAAGCAAUUCUGGCAUGAACCACCAACAGUACUAGAAGAGACGCCCUGCGGAGAAACUGGGCAGACUACGAGAACGAGGGCACUGGUAGCUUGACUCUGGGGAUGAGCAUCUUGACUCCCCUAUCUAGCAUAUGGAUAAUCUCUAAGUCGGUGGCCCAACAUGCCACAACCAAAGCAACCUCUCUGAUCAACAAAACACUUGCCAAAAUUAUCUCUACCAUACUUGGCAUACGAAAGAAGACGAGGUCUGUUACUUACACUUUCCUGAGAACUGGACAGGAUAGGCCUGUUCCCCUGCUCCUGCCUGCUUCUAGGUGCGGGAGCACUAACUAAGGAAGGCGCGGGCAUAAAUUGACAUCUCUGGAAUUAAGGGCAGUCCCCUCCAUAGAAUCUGGAAUGACCGAAUCCCUGCUGCUCUGAUCUAGUUGUUUUAUUCCCUCUUACUCUCUCUCUCUUUUUCACCUUAUCAGCUUCAAUCUGUUGGGCAUGCAUCAUUAAUCGAUAAAGGUCCAUCUCCUUAUUAAGCAUAGCAGAUCUACUCUCUUUCACAAUGUAACUCGACACACCGGUCACGAACUUACUCAUAAUGGUCCUGGAGUCAGCCAUUAUACUAGGUGCAUAUUUGGACAACUAAUUAAAUCUAAGGGUCAUGGAGUCUUGUCACAAAUUCAUGAAUUCCUCUAUAAUUGUUUCCCUUAUCUCAAGAGGAAAGAAUCUAUCCAAGAACGCAUCCUAGAAUAACUACCAAGUCAUGGGAGCGGCAUCCUCCACUCUACUUUCCCUCCAUACUUCCACCCAAUCAUAUGGAGCAUCUUUCGUUCGAUAGGCAACCAAUUCAACACUCUCUUCCUCAGUCACGUGCAUAAUCUGGGUGAUCUUUCUCAUUUCAUCCAAGUACAUUUGUGGGUCUUCACCUACCUUCGACCCAUAGAACUCAGGUGGAUUUAUUUGCAUAAAGUCAUAAACCCGAGCUGCAGCAAAAUUAUUCUCUUGCGGAAGCGGAACAGUAGCCUGGUUGUUAGCUUGAGUAUUACGGUAAUUGCCUGGGCUAGCACCUGAAAAUCUGCCCAGAAUUAUGCAUGUGACACAUGCUCGAUCAGGGGAUCAAUGGGUUAAGGUUGCUCAUUGUUUCUAUGAGCUCAACGAGGAGGCAUUUUCUGUCAUAAGAGAGAACGAAUUAAUAGCAUAGAGAAACAGUCGUAGGCACGAUAGACUUUUGAAUGAAAAAUAUGACUUUCCCUAAAACGUCUUGUAGCCUCUUGCUCAUAGAUAUGGCGCGCUACACACCGAUGAUCAAGAAUCUACAUAACAUGGCUUGCUUGUCAUCACUUCUAGAACACACUUUGACAAUGGUCAUGCUAAUAUAAGAGAGAAUGAGAUAUCAUAAACAUACUGGAAUAAGAUACGAAACUAGCCUGUACAAUCCAAAAUACUGAAAUUCUGUACAUACCAAUCCUUUAGCCUGACAAAGCCUCUAUACAUCAAAAUCAAGGAGACAAUGUGACAAAACCCCAACUGACUCAAAAAGUAAUGAAAGCUAUAACAAUAAAACGGUAUCACAAAAUUAUAAACACGGUCCUCGAACCAUGGGGACUCACCACUGAGAAGACGAAAAGAGGCACCCGAAUAUAUAUCACUAACGCGGCUGAGUACCUAAACCUACAUUACGAGAAAAUGUAGCCCAUAGGAAAAUAUGUGGGUCAGCACUUUAAAAUGUAUUGAGUAUGUCAGGGUGCAUGCAACAAUGUAAAUAUCGUCAUCAAUUUCAUGAAAGUAUGCAUAUGUACAAUGAUGGCUCACUUGGCUUGAGUUAGAUUGAAACAUACUUUUCAUGAUCUUAUCGUAAAUAAAUCAUACGAUAAAAACCUCAUAAAUCAUCAUAAACAACUCAACUCUUCAACUCACGACUCAGAGAGACCUGUAAUUCAAGAAACUCGACUCUUAUGGACAUGGGAGGUUCUUAUAACCGACAUAAACCAUGUGAGCUACAUGGAGUCCAAUGUUUUUCCUUCCUAAGGAGAGAACCCCACAUUGGCAGGAGCGUCGUACUCUUGCCAGGGAGCACAACCUAAAUUUACCGAUCACAAUCUCAUACGCAGCCUCAGGCCCACAAUUAUCAAUAUCAAUCCUACGGUGGCACACAGUUUCGGGGGAAAUACUACAUUUACCACUCGGUGCUAAAUAAUACUCCCAGACACAAGCUUAGAGCGUGUUAGGAAAUCCACCACAAACAUUACAAGGGUCUAUCAUGAAGACCAAAUGAAAUCUCUUUGUCAUUUAUCAAACCAUAAUCAAUUUGUGGAUUCCUAACUCGACUCAAAUCAAAUCAAUCUUUCUCAAUAUCAAAAUGAAUCAAUUCAUUAAGUCAUGGAAACAUCAAUAACUUUGAGGAAAUAUCAAGACUCAUUGUAACAACUCAAUUCUCAUAAAUCAAUAUACUCAAUAAUCCAAUUGUUCAUAAGGAAGGUUAAAGCUUGACACAUAUCUUGAAAGCACUAGAAAUACCAACUCAUGGACGAAACUUGAAAUUCAUAAUAUUAAAUAUCAAGUUAUAACUUGGAAAUUGUAAAAUAAUCAUGUAUAACAAAUCUUGAACGAUUUAUAUUGUCAUAAUCUCAUGAUGAAUUAAUCUGGGUAUAAACCCACUUGGAAAAUCAUAUAAAUCCAUAAUAAAAUCAAAGCUUUGAGCAAAAGAACGAAAUAAUUGCUCUUGUUCAGAACCCCACAUACCUUAAUCUUUGAAAUUGGUUGAAAUCUAGAGCUUGAAACUUUACUCACACUUGUAAUUAAAAAAUUUCUUGAAGCCCACUCUAUGAAGAACUUGAUUCUUGAAGGAAUCUUGAAGAUUUAUGGAUGAUGUUUGGAAGAUUAAUUUCUUUAAAUAAAACCCUAAAUAUAUUUCUUAAGAGAAUUGGAAGAGAGAAAUGAAGAAAUCAGGUUUUGGAUGAGGAUUCUCACAUAUAUAGAGGCCUCCAAAAAGGGAAAAGGACUAAAAUACCCUUGGAAAAAUCGUCCAUCAAUUGCUGAAAAAAAUAGCUGAUGACAUCCAUGAUAAGCUGUUAGGCCUGUCAUAGGCCAUCACGAAUUGUCGUCACAAAAAGGGUGGAUUUUGUGACUUUCUGCCUUAAGGUGACGACAUUUUGUGACGGGCCGUCAGGCUUGUGACAAGUCGUCACAAAAGGUCAUCACGGAUUUUUCAGUAUGCCACGCUGGAGUAAAAUAAGCAUAACUCUUUGCUUCGAUAUCGGAUUUUAAUGAAAUGGGUAUAGUUGGAAAGAUAAUUCAAUUAUAUAUAUUUUGGUAGGUCAUGAGAUAAAUAAUUCCUAGUACAAUGGGAGAUAUUCUCAUUUAAAGUUGACUAUGUGAAAAUCCUUCUCAAGAAUUCAAUCGGUAAAGAAUGUUUUGAUUCGCCCAAGCUUUAGGGCAUCUUUAAAGCCUUAAUAAACAUCACCCUUGGUCAGGAAACAACCAAAAACUAUAAUUUAUUUCUCAUGGGAUUGUGUCAUGGUGGCACUAUUGGUUAGAAUCUCGGGGUAUUACAAUACCUCCCCUUUGGAAACAUUCGUCCUCGAAUGUUGCUAGAUCGGCCAAGAACAAGUGAAAUAUGAGGACGUAUAGCUGGAAAAACUCACUCAAAGGACAUAAUUCACUCUAUACCUUCGAAUACUAUAGAAAAUACACGAAUUCUUGAUGAAAGUAGACACACUGCUGAAUCUUUAAUAAGAAGGAGGCGGAAUUAAGAAAGAAUGAUACCUUCUGCUCGCUCUGAACUCACAGAAAAGAGUCGAGGGUACUUGGCUCGUAUAUCAGCUUUGUCUUCCCAAGUAGCAAUCUCAACAUAUUGAUUUUGCCAAAUCACUUUUACCAAAGGAACUUCUUUAUUCCUUAGCCUACGGAUCUACAAAUCCAAAAUCUCAACCAGAAUCUCCUCGAAUGAAAGGCUAUCCUGAAGUAAAAUAAGUUUAAUUCCUUGAACCGAUAUUGGAUUUUGAUGAAAUGGGUAUAGUUGGAAAGUUAAUUCAAUUAUCUAUCUUUUGGUAGGUCAUGAUCUCAAUAAUUCAUAGUACAACGGGAGAUAUGCUCAUUUGAAGUUGACUAUGCCAAAAUCCGUCUCAAGAAUUCAAUCGGUAAAGAAUGUUUUGAUUCGCCCAAGUGUUUGAACAUUUUUAAAGCCUUAAUACACAUAAACCUUGACCAUAAAACACCAAAACACUAUAAUUUAUUUCUCAUGGGCUUGAGUCAUGGUGGCACUGUUGGUUAGAAGCUCGGGGUAUUACAUUAUUACUUUUAAUUAUCUUUGCUACUUACCUUUCUGCAAAUAUAAUGCAAAUUUAUCUUAUAAUGUUAUAAUUGAAUUAAAAAAAUAUUUGAGAUCAACCACAUAUUUUUGAUAGUAAAUGAUGUAUUAUUAUUAUUAUUAUUAUUAUUAUUAUUAUUAUUAUUAUUAUUAUUAUUAUUAUUAUUAUUAUUAUUAUUAUUAUUAUCAUUAUUUAUUUUAUUAUUAUUAUUAGUAGAUAUGUAUGUUCUACUACUACUACUAAUAUAAUAAGUUAUCUUUUAAUUACAGAUGAAAAGAAAAAAGAAAAGACUCUCACAUCUAGUUUCCCCAGAAGCACCCCUUUGGAAGAAGGGUGUUGUUGAAGCAACUCAUUUUCAGAUUAAACCAGUCUUUUGUUUUGUUCCUCCUCAGAAACAAAAGCAUGAGCUGGGGCAACCAUUUUCUUUUCUCACAGGAAAUGAAGAACAAGAAGAACACUGCAAUUUAAAAGCAGGCUUUAAAUUUCAAAUACAAAAUAGAAAUCAUGACAGCAAAAGGGGAAAAACAAAAUGCAAAAAGACCUCACCAGUAGUAGGAUACAAAGGAUGAGAGAGAGAGAGGAAGGAGGGUUAUGUUAAAAAUGAAAUGAAUACAGUGGAAGCAGAGCACAUCUAUCAAAUAUUCUUUAAAAACACACUAGCUACAUCACCGACGUUUCAAAAUCAAGGUAACUUUUUAUCCUGUUCAGAAAAAAAUUUCAAAGUGUGAGUAGGACUGAGGUUGUCUUAACUACGUAAAUUGGUUUUCCCUCUUAAAAUCUUCAUUUUUAUAUUCCUUUUAAUUGAACACAAUUUUAAGAGGGCUAACUCAUUUACGCAGUUAAGACAACCUCAAUCCAACUCUCACAUUUUGAAUUUUUUUUCUGAAUAGGACAAAAAGUUGCCUUGAUUUUGAAACAUCGGUGAUAUAGCUGGUGUUUUUAAAGAAAUAAUAUAGAUGUGCUUUGCCUCUGCUGUAUUCGUUCCAUUUUUCAUAAAAUCCUCCUUCCCCUCUCUCUCAUCCUUUGUAUCCUAGUACUGGUGAGGUCUUUUUGCACUUUGUUUUUCCCUUUUUGCUCUCAUGAUUUCUUAUUUUGUUUAUGAGAUUUAAAGCCUGGCUUUAAAAUUACAGUGUUCUUCUAGUUCUUCAUCUGCUGCAAGAAAAGGAAAUGGCUGCCCCGGCUCAUGCUUUUGUUACUAAGGAGGAACAAAAUAAAAGAUUGUUCGAAUCUGAAAAUGAGUUGCUUCAAUAGCACCCUUCUUCUAAAAUGUUGCUUCUAGGGAAACUAGAUGUGAGAGCCUUUUCUUUUCUCUUUCCAUCUGUUUAUCUACUUAAACCUGAGAAGCGAAAAGUAAAUAAAAAAGGGGCCUCAAUUAGAGUUAUGCAAGUUUUUGUACUGUAGGGAUUAUCGAUGUGGAAAUCUAUAUAUUAUUUAUUCAUGUAUUAACGUAUUGCUUGGUAGUUGAUUUAGCAUUGAGUUAUGCAGGUAAUUAAGUCCUCCAUAGUUAAUAUUCAAAUAUUAGUAGUUGGUUUAGCCUACGUUUACUCCUAUUAACAUAGAAUAACCCUCGAAACCCCAAAGAAGGCCCAUAAAAACCUAUCUACCAAAUAGAUGGCUCUGUAGCCUUUCUCAACUAGUUUGAUGGCCUGCUUGUAGGGCCCAAAUAUGGAAGAACAUAGUUAUGCUAUUCAACAAAAUUAUAGUAGUACUACUGGGACUUUGCAUUAAAAAGGAAAAAUAAGUUGUCUAGUAAAGUGAGAAUCCUUCAAGUUUUUAAAAUUAGGUGGGAGGGACAAAAAUUUUUUGAAUAUUUUUUUUUAGUUUUUUGUUCCAACAACUUCUCCCAGUUGUCAAAAAACUUUGAUAGUUGUUCAAAAACUUCUAGCAGUUGUUCAACAACUAUCAAAGUUGUUCGAUAACUGCGCUAAGUUGUUCAACAACUAGGCGAAGUUGUUCGGCAACUGGGAGAAGUUCAACAACUAUGUGAAGUUGUUGAGACAACUAAUGUAGUUGUCGAACAACACCAGUUGUUCAAAUGACUUCAUUUUUUUAAAAGGGACAAGUUGUGGGACCCACUUUUUCCCUUUUCUUACUUCGAAACGUGGGAGGUCUAUUGAUUCAUUUUUCACACUUAAGUAUUUAAAUUGUAUAUAUCAUGAACUAGUUAGCUUAUAUUUGGGUUGUAAAUUGUAAUAUUAAGUGUAGAGAUAGUCCUAUAUACAUUUAGUACGUCAAAGAAAGCUACUCGCAAACAUUGUGCAAUUCAAUUUGUCGCAAGAAACACUUAAUCAUCACGUAAAUACUUAUUGGUUCCGAAUAUUUAACCCUAAUCAAUGAUUUUAAUACUAAUGAAUUAAGAAUAUAAGAUCAUUCAAUCAUGAUAACAAAAAUAAUUUAUAAAAGAUAUUAUCUUGUAAUAGUGGGUAUAAGGAGAGGUAGAUGUAGGCUAAGGAGGUCUUGGUAAAGGUGAUUAGAUUAGGUACGUGUAGCUUUUCGAGGAUAUGAUCUAGAUAUAAAAAUGCGGAGAUCAAGGAUGUGGUUAGUGGGUGGAUGAGCGCUGUCUAAUUUCUCUAUUAAGUAGUAAUUUUUUUAUUACUUUCAUACUAUCUUAUUCUUCUAUAUUAGAAUAAUUUGUUUGCUUUUAGUUCAGUUAUCAUAUUAAUUGUUUGUCGUUGCUACCAUUUUCAGAUUUACUAUUUUAUUUGUCUUACAUGCCUAAUUUUGUUUUAUAUGUUUUACUUGAGUUGAGAGUCGAGAGUCAAUCGAGAACAACCUCUCUAUCUUCACAAGGCAGAAGUACAUGUCCAUACUACCUCUCCAAACUCCAUGUGUAAUAUUAUGAAUGUUAUUAUUGUAUAUAUCUUGAAUAGAUUGAUCAAAUGUAAAUACCCGAUGUUGAGGUAUACUUAUACCCAUGGGCAUAGGGAUGGUCUUAGAAAAAGGGUGAUUUGAUGCACAUCUUUUAUCAAAAUAUUAUAUAGUGUACAAAGGCUUAAUAUUAGCUAUAAUACAUCUAUAUUAAAUUUAGUACAUACUUAACACAACUAAAAAGAAAAUAUGCACACUCCUCAUCAAAUUUCUGACAACGAUACUGCUACUACCUCAACUAUGAACGUGUAAAGAUGACGCCAUAUAGCAUUUGUCAUCUGCAUGAUGCCCAAACUCUUUUAUCACUGGACCUACCCAACCUGUCACCUCAUUUUCUGCUUUUAUAAUUGCAUAUCCUUCCAAAUUUCGUACACCAUCCAUUUCAUUUUAAUUAGAUUAAAAAUAACUAUUUUAAUUUAUUUGUGUAAUUUAUAAAAUUAUAANNNNNNNNNNNNNNNNNNNNNNNNNNNNNNNNNNNNNNNNNNNNNNNNNNNNNNNNNNNNNNNNNNNNNNNNNNNNNNNNNNNNNNNNNNNNNNNNNNNNNNNNNNNNNNNNNNNNNNNNNNNNNNNNNNNNNNNNNNNNNNNNNNNNNNNNNNNNNNNNNNNNNNNNNNNNNNNNNNNNNNNNNNNNNNNNNNNNNNNNNNNNNNNNNNNNNNNNNNNNNNNNNNNNNNNNNNNNNNNNNNNNNNNNNNNNNNNNNNNNNNNNNNNNNNNNNNUUAAAUAUAUUUUAUUAAAAUUUUUAUAAUUAUUAAAGUUCUUAAUCACAUAAUUGGAUAAGUUUUUUAAAAAAUUAUUUGUAUGGAAGGAAGUAUUACUGGAGAAUUAGAAUAUAAAAUAACAUGAUACAACAACAACAAUAACAACAUACCCAGUGGAUUCCCACAUAGAGGGGUCUGGGGAGGGUAGAGUGUACGCAGAUCAUAUCACUACCUAAGAUGAAGUAAAGAGUCUGUUUCCGACAGACCCUCGGCUUAGGACCGAUAGCAGUAUAAUAAACACAAAACAUAAAUGUAUAAAAACUAGUACAGUCUGCAAACUAAACUAACGUCACUAGCUAUAAGAUAAUAGUUAUACUACAGUCACAAAAUAAUACUAAAACUAUCUAUCCGAAAUCAUACACAUCACUCAACACCACGAACAAGAAACUUCAAGCACAAAUAAAGAAUGCUCCCCUAUUAUUACCGACACACUCUCAACCCCUAACCCUCUACUCUAAUCAGCAUUCUCCACACCUUCCUCAUCACAUCCCUCUAAUAUUUGUUCAGUGUACCUCUACCCUACCUAAAAUCAUCCAUAGCCAGUGUCUCACACCUCCGCACUAGAGCAUCAGAGCCCCUCUUCAUCACAUGCUGUCACCAACGUUACCUUACUUCUCGUAUCUUGUCCUCCACCGAGGCCACUCCUACCUCUCCCGAAUAAUCUCAUUUCUUACCUUAUCUUUUCUAGUAUGGCCACACAUCCAUCGUAAUAUUCUCAUCUCCGCCACCUUCAAAUUAUGGAUGUGGGAGUUCUUAACUGGCCAAUACUCUCCAUAAAACAUAGUCGGCCUGACUACUAAUCUGUAGAACUUCCCUUUAAGCUUCGGGGGCAUCUUCUUAUCUUAUAAAACUCCCAAAGCGAGCCUUCAUUUAAACCAUCCAAUCCCAAUAUUAUGUGUGACAUCAACGUCAAUCUCACCAUUGCCUUAAAUCAUAGACCCAAGAUACUUGAAACUCUCCUUCUUUUGAAUGGCCUGAGAGUCUAGCUUCACAACUAUGUCAGCAUCCUAUGACACAUCACUAAACAUACACUUCAAGUACUCCGCCUUGGUCGUGCUUAACCGAAAUCCUUUAGACUCAAGGGUCUGUCUCAAAAUCUCCAACUUAUCAUUAACUCCUCCCCGAGUCUUGUUAAGAAGUACCACAUUAUCAGCAAAUAACAUACACCAAGGCACCUCAUCUUGAAUAUGUCUUGUCAAAACAUUCAUCACCAAGGUAAAUAAAAAAGGGCUAAGAGUCAAACCCUGAUACAACCCUACCAAAAUAAAAAAAUGCUUUGAAUCUCCACCUACCGUCCUCACCCGAGUCUUUGCGCCAUCAUACAUUUCCUAAAUCAACCAAGUGUAUGCAACAGGCACCUCUCUAGUCUCCAAACACCUCCAGAGAAUCUCCUUGGGAACUCUAUCAUAAGCCUUCUCAAGAUCAGUAAAUACCAUGUGAAAGUCCUUCUUCAUCUCCCAAAAUUGUUCCACUAAUCUCCUCAUAAGGUGAACGGCCUCAGUAGUCGAGCGACCUAGCAUGAAAUCAAACUGAUUAUCAGACAUAAUCACGCUCCUUCUCAGCCUUAACUCUACCACCCUUUCCCAAAUCUUCAUAGUAUGACUCAACAACUUAAUACCUCUAUAGUUGUUGCAACUUUGGAUGUCUCCCUUGUUCUUUUACAAUGGAAUAAUUGUACUCCACCUCCACGGUUCAGGCAUCCUUCCCACCCUAAAAAUGAUGUUAAGAACCUUGUCAACCACUCCAAACUUGCCCUGCCAGUGCGUUCCAAAAAUCCACUGAAAUCUCAUCUGGCCCCAUCGUCCUACAUCAACGCAUCCUGUGAAUAGCCUUCUUAACCUCCUUAACCUCGAUAGGACUACAAUAACCAUAGUCGUGACACUCCUCAAAAUUCUCCAAGUCCCCAAACACGAAACCUUGGUCCCCCUUAUCAUUCAAAAGUUUAUGAAAAUAGGACUGCCACCUUUUUUUAAUGAGGGCAUCCUCAACCUUGAUGCACUUAUCCCUAUCUUUCUUCUUUAAAGCCGCAUACAAGCUCUAAAAAGAUGUCAUUUUAGCCACUGUAACCGCUAACUUAGCCUCUCACCUAGCUAUCUCUUAUACUCUUUCUUAUUCGUCCGUCUCUCUUGAUCAUUCUUGCUCUCAACCAAUUUAGCAUAAGCCACCUUCUUAGACUCCACCUUUCACAUAUAUAUUCAUUCCACCACUAUUCCCCUCGAUGUUUGCCAAAUUGACCUCUCAAGAAACUAAUACCUCUCUAGCGAUCACCCUAAUGCAACUGGCAAUCGUCUCCCACAUACUAUCCGUAUCCCCUCUACUCUUCCAAGCCCCCAGCUUCUUAACUUCUCUCCCAUCUUUAAAGCAUUAGCCAAAGUCAAGCUAACCCACUUAAUCUUGGGCCGAACCUCUACACUCCUCUUCUUUCAGCCCUUAUUGAUUACCAAGUUCAUCACCAACAACCUAUGUUUAGUCAAAAGAUUAUCUAUAGGUUUGACUUUACAAUCUUUACAUAGUGUUCUAUCACUCUUCUCAAGGAGCUAAAAGUCUAUCUGAGUCUUGGCCACUUAACUAUGAAACAUUUCGAAAAUCUCAAAUUCGUUAUCCACAACCCAAAAUCCCUAGAAAAUCCAAAAGAGAAGCACUUCCUUUAUUCCUCUACCCAAAAUCAAAAUCUCCAUGUACAUCAUCAUAACCUCUCGACGAAGACCCAAUAUGCCCAUUGAAGUCUCCUCUAACGAAAUGUUUCUCAGUGCUCGGGAUGCCCCUUACCAUCUCAUUCAAAACCUCCAAAAGCGCUUCUUCUCUUCCUCGUCCAAACCUAAUUGCGGAGCAUAAACACUAAUAACAUUCACCGUAGUUCCUCCCAUGACCAACUUAAUAGACAUCAACCUAUCACUGACUCUUUUAACCUAUACCACCUGCUCCCUAAUUUCUUCAUCUACUAAGAUACCUACCCUAUUUUUUUGUCUCAUGCUACCCGAGUACCAUAACUUAUAUCCAUCCACAUCUCUCACCUUAGUGCCUACCAUUUACUUUCCUAGACACACGUUAUACUAACCCUCCAUUUUCCAAGAAUCUUCAUCAGCUCUAUAGACUUACCUUGAAGCGUCUCUAUGUUCCAGGAUUCAACUUUCAACGUAUGAUCACCCUUAUCCAACUUAGCCUACUAUCCCUCGCCCUCAACCCAAGACUAAAACCUAGACUCGACCCCAACCCCAACCCCAACUUCAAUCAAUGACAUGACCCUAGUCCAUCAUAUAUCACCCCAACCACCACUCAAAAGGAUACAAUAGAAGAAAAUAAAGAAAAAAGCUGAAAAACAUGAUGAGCAAAAGAGUAUGACUAAAAAUAGCUAAAUCAGCAAACAAAAACUGGUAAGCAGGAUUGAUACUCAAAAGCAACAACAAGUACUAUUCUACUCACUAGAAACAAACACCUACUAAGUUACAGAGAAACCGUAACCAAUAAUCCCAGAGGAAUACUUAAAAAAAUCAAAUAAAAAUCAGGAUAGAAAAGAGACAAGAAGCAUAUACCAAAUAAACUAGAGAAGACUGAAAUGAGUGCACCUAAUACAGGGAGAAGACACAGUGAAAGGCGUUUUCCUGAUCGUUUUGUCGAAUUCCAGUAAAUUGGUGCAGAAAUUGGUCAGCAGAAUUUGUUGCGACCACCUUUACCCUACUGCUGGUACCACAUCCCUAUACUUGGAGGCCGGAGAAUGUGCUAGUCGUGAAAAAAAUUAGCAAGACACCGGAAUCUUGAUGUCACCGCCUGAAGUAUGGAUCUGAACUUGAAGUACCUAAAAAGGGUUAUAAAGAAAAUAAAAGAGAAGAAAAGAAAAGUGACGAUCAAAUUGCCAAAAAUUGACAUCACUCACCAAAAACUGAUGCGUUUGUUGGGCCACAGAGAUAGGCCACUGAAAAGGUCGCUGUCGUUUUAAUGGUGGGCGUAAUAAGUGAGAGAGAAAAAGACGACGAUUAUGCCAGAAUCUGAUGGGGUCGGCGAAACUGAUAGGGUCGUCGGGACGUGUUUAUGGUGGACGACACAAGUAAUUUACCGGCGGCAGAUUAGUAGUUCUCUGCUAUCGCCAGAAUCUUCAAGACACGAAGAGAUAGGUUAAUUUCUUCGUCGCCAUCGAUUGAAAAAUUGCAAGAUGCUAAACCCUCAGCAUAUAUGACAACUACUAAUGUCAUCAAUUUAACUUGAAACGCCCGUUCAAUAAAAUAACAUGUCAAUAUUUUAAUAAUUACAGAUCCAUUCCGAUUAAAAAUAGAAAAAUAUUGAUUUUAAUGAAUUUAUGGGUACAAAAUUUCUCAGUUAUAAAUAGAAAUAAAUUUAUUUUAAUAUUUAUUAUUUUAUUUUCACCUAUAAUUUCAUGUGACAAGAGUUGCAAAUUUCAUUGUUUUCAUCUAAUACAACAAAGUAUUUCAAUCACUUCAUGUAUAUAUAAAAAUAGUUACAACAUUAAUUUAGAAUCUUUACACAAACUAACUUAAUCGUGAUCCAUAAGGAUAUUAAAUAAUAAUUAAAUUAGAUUAACCGAUUAUUCCAUUCUAUCCAUCUACUUAUCGUGUUAAUCUUUUAAACACCCUUUAAAAAUAUUCUAUUUAUUCUACUCUAAUUAUUGAUUUAUCCUUUUUCAUGUUUGCUUAGAAAAAUAAUAAAGGCAUUGUAAUAUUAUUGAUUAAGUUAUCCUAUUUAAUACUCCCUCCGUUUCACAAUAAGUGAAUUAUUGAAGCAAUUUUAGUGUUUCAAAAUAAGUGAAUGAUUCACAAUUCAAGGUAGAUGUUGAAAUUUUUUUUCAAAUUUACCCUCCAUUAAAUGUGCACCGGGAGUGAUGUAUUACUUAUCGUGUUAAUUUUUUAAACACCCUUUAAAAAUGUUCUAUUCAUUCUACUCUAAUUAUUGAUUUAUCCUUUUUCAUGUUUGCUUAGAAAAAUAAUAAAGGCAUUGUAAUAUUUAUUAUUGAUUAAGUUAUCCUCUUUAAUACUCCCUCCGUUUUACAAUAAGUGAAUUAUUGAAGCAAUUUUAGUGUUUCAAAAUAAGUGAAUGAUUCACAAUUCAAGGUAGAUGUUUGAAUUUUUUCCAAAUUUACCCUCCAUUAAAUGUGCACUAGGACUGAUGUAUCAUGUUUCAUUGCUUUUUAAAGAGGGUAAAAAUGAAAAAACAUGAUAAAUUUAUGUCUUUGGUUUUUUUUUUCUUAACAUGUGUGCCGAAAUUCAAUAAUUAACUUAUUGUGGAACGGAGGGAGUACUAUAUUUUUUUUUUAAGAAGUGAACAUCAGUGACUAUAAGGGUGUAGUUGAAAAUUAUUACUAACUUUAAUUUUAUGUGAAAAUUUAUUUCUAAAUAAUUUUUUUGAGCAAAAAUAAUUAUUAAUUUAAAAUGAAGGAAGUUUUAAUAAAAAGACAACCUGUGGCAAGAAAAAAUCAGUUACAAAUACACAAGAUGAAAUGGUCUUAACAAAGGGAAUAAGGACAAAAAUAAAAAUAUUUAGCAAUAGAACAUCAUCAAUCCUUGUGAGGACUACCGAAAAUUGAGAUCCUCCCUUAUAUAUAAUAGUAAAUUGUAUUCUUUUUUCAUAUUGUUAACACUGUUUGCAAUAAAGAUUACAAUGAAAGAAACAAAUUGCAAUCACAAUGCAAAUAAAAUAUGAAAAAAUAAGAAUUUUAUUGAUAAAUGAUAUGGAUAUAAUUCUGUUACUCCCUUGAUUCUUCUUUCUUUAUUUUCCUCCAUAAUUCGAGGAUCAUUAGUAGCGUAUUUCUUGAAUGUAGAAAGAUUUAAAUUUGAUAUGAAUUUUUAUCGUAUUUCUCGAAUGUAAAAAGAUUUGAAUUUGAUAUGAUUUUUUUUGUAAUUCAAGGGUCGUUAGUAGCAUAUUUCUUGAAUAUAAGAAGAUUUAGAUUUGAUAUGGAUUUUCUUUGUAACUCGAAGGCCGUUAAUAACAUAUUUCUUGAACGUAGAAAUGCUUGAAUUUGAUCUCCAUAAAAGAAGAGUUUGGUUUGGCGUAAAGUAACCCCUAAUAACUCUAACAUAAUUGAAUUCUUAUUAUAGAGUUCACAAAAUUAUGAUGUCUAUAAACGCUUUGUAUUGUCAGACGUUAUGACUACAAAAUCCUUUGCUAAAAUGUCAAAAUACAAUUAUUUUUAUUCUUUGAGAUGAUGAAUGAAGUACGUGUUAAUUUAGUAGAGUCCCUUAGCUCAAGUCAAUUUUGCGGCGUACCAUGAAAUCAGAAAACUACAUCAAGCUAGAAGAAGAGAAAAGCAAUAACAAAAAUACCAUAUUUAGCACAUUUUCAUAGCUCGAACUCGUGACCCCCUGAUCACAUGGAGGGAACUAUCCACAAUAAUUCAAAAAAAUACUUCUCAUAGAUAAUCCCAAAAUCUCAAGCAAGACUAAAUCUUUUAAGAAUUUUACUACACACAAAGACAAAAACAAAGGGCAGUCCGGUGCACUAAGCUCCCGUUAUGUGCUGAGUCCAGGAAAAAAUUGGACCACAAAGGUCUAUUAUACACAGUCUUUCCACUGUGGACCCCUCUUUCCGUAGCUCGGACCUAUGAUCUUCUGGUCACACGACAAUAACUUUACCAGUUACGACAAGACUCCUUAUCUUACACACAAAAAUAACAUUUUUAAAAAUGAAAUCUUUAGCAAUUUUUUAAAAUUCUUUCUACCCAAAUUUCCAAGAUAAGCUAAAAUAUAACACUGAUAACAUAUGGUUAAAUAAACAAUAAGAAAAAAAUGCAAACUACCCAAAAAAAUUCAGGCAAAUAAAACUUGUAAUACAUCAAGAUUAAUUUUGAACAAUAGCUUAAAAAAAAUCUCACUUUCUCACAACUGAAUAAUUAAAUUCCAACUUUGCCUUAACAUUAUGUCUCCAUUGAUGAUGGAUACUGUAGCAUUAAGAGCCAAUUUCUUUCCUUUUCUGGUAGUUGGUCAGUAUUUGAGCAGUAUCAUCUUCUAAAAAAAUGAACAGGAUAAUAUCACUUUAGCCCCCAAAAGAUCUAGCUAGGUGGGAGUAACACUGAAAACACAUCAAAAAGAUAUACUUCCUCGGUUGUAUUUUAUGCGGCAUAUUUUGAUCGGGCACAAAGUUUAAGAAGGAAUGACAAUUGUCCUUUAUUAAAAAAUAUAUUACUACUAUCUUUAAUUAAAUGAAACUAAUAAGGAUAAAAGUAAAAUUGUAUCUUUAAAUAGUUACUAAAUAAUGAAAUAUGACAUUCUUUUUGGGACGGACAAAAAGAAAAUGACGACAUAUAAAAUAGGGCAGAGGAAGUAUGUUAAUACUAAAAGGGUAGCUUCAUGUGGCAGUGGAUUUAUGUUAAUACUAAAAGGGCAGCUCGGUGUACUAAAGCUUCUUGCUAUAAGGGACUGCAGAGAAGGGCUGGACUGCAAGAAUUUUAUUGUGCACAACAUUAUCUUGCAUUUCUGACAGAGGCUGUUUCUAUGACUUGAACUCGUGACUUCCCAAUCACAUGACAAUAAUUUUAUCAGUUACUCUAAAACUCCCCUUCAUAUUUUUUUUUUGAUUUGAUAAAAAUAUUAAAGAUACGUAAAAUAUAAAAGAUACACAUAUAAUUCUUUCUGCAAACCCACUUAUAUGGAGUAAUAAAAACUUAUAAGGUAUCAAAAAUGAUAUAUGCAUGGGAUUUCCCUUUUGGUUAAAGUUUUAACAGGUUAAUUUCGUGUAUAAUUGUAGACUUUUACUCAUUAAUGACAAAAUUAUUGAACUUUACCUCUUUAAUAAAGUAGUAGAUUUAAAGGCAUUGAAAAUCAUUAAUGAGUUUUUAUUAUGUGUUUAUAUAUAUUGAGUACAAGAAGUGAUAGACAUAUCUAAAACUAAAUCAAUCAAUUAGAAAAACAAUUUCUAUUCCAAUGGAGAACUUCCUCCAUGUUCACCUUUUGAUUUCAAUUAUUUUCUCAAUUUUGCUUGUAAUUAUAUGCAAUGAACAUUCUUUUUCAUCCCUUAACACCAGUACGAAGCUUCCCGAUCCUCCGAUGCCAUCCUAUACACUCACCAUUUACAAUCUCUAUUUAUUUGAAAAGUCAAAAUUCAAGGACUAUGACUCGUUUCUUAGAAAUAGGUUUGCCGGUUGUCAAGCUAGAGCAAAUCAUUUAGCAUCGGUUCUUGAAAAUGGUGACGCGAUUAGUACGAAUGGAACUCUGGUAAGGCCACACGAUGAGCAUGAGAGUAAAGUGGCAAACGAAAAGGUUCUGGUAACAACAAGUAUACAUUUCAUAUGUCAGUAUGUUGUAUCUUUUACUCUGGUUUUUUUGGUUUCCCAUCCGGCACCUGGUGCCCGCAUUGGAGCUUCGACUAAUCUGGAUACACGUUGCAAGGCCCAUUAAGAUGGCAGCGCUCCCAACAAAAUUUUCUCCUGAGGGUGGAGCAGCCUCAUCCACUACACUACAACCCAUAUUGGUGCAUCUUUUACUCAUUGAACAAGUUAAAAGUUACUUGCUAAUAGACACUGGUAGUGAUUUAGUUUGGUGGAAAUGUGGACCAUGUAAUGCAAAUGGAUGUUACAAACAGAUAAAUAAUCCUUUAUAUGUUUCAACUAAUUCAAAAACAUAUCGAAAGCUCGAUUUCCUUGUAGAAAGUAGAAACUGUGAAAUCACGAAUAAGGAAUAUGAUUGUAGUCUGUAUGGUAAUACGUGUAUGUAUAAUUACAAAUAUGUCAAUGGAUCAAGAACAAGAGGCUGGAUCGCACACGACGUGAUUACUUUUGUUUUAGGCCAAAGCAGGUAAGCAUUGUUUUUUGAUGUGGCAAAGAUGAAACUCAUGGAAAGCCUUUUAGUGGUCAAUUUUCUGGAAUUGCUAUCCUCGGACGUAAUGGGUGGUGGAAAUCAUUUAGCAUCGCAAUUUGAAGCUGACAUAAUGUCCAUGUUCCUACCGGGAGCUAUCUCCACAAAAGGAUCAACACUUUACUUCCACACAAUGCCAUUUAAGAAAACAACAUCAGCAAUGCUAUUACAUGAUUUCAGAUUCCUUUCCGUUUACUUCGUCAACCUUUAUAAAGUUUUCAUUAAUGAUAGGGAAGUCCCGAUGUUCCCAUCAUUGUCGAGGAAUUUUAUAAAUUAUACCACAAGCGGUAGCUGCAUCGUGGACACAGGAACAUUUAUUUCCCAUUUUCCUCAUGAUUUUUAUAUUGUAUAUUACACAUUCAGAUAACAAGUACGUGGUAUUCCUAUGGUUAAUGUUCCACCUGGAUCAGUUUAUGACACUUGCUAUAAAGUGGAUACAACUGGUCUGGAUCCAUAUUUCCCCAUUGUGACCAACCAAAUGGCCUCUCCGACACUAACAACCCAUACUCCCCUUUGCCUCAGCCUGCCUGGGAGCACUUGGUCCAUUUUCUACCAAAAACAUACACGGUCAUUGGGGCCACCCCCAGAACUGUGAGCUAUAGCACACUGAUUUAGCCCAAGAAUGGCCUAUUUGUGUCGUUUCACUUUUUUGACCACCCAAAUAGCCCAACCGACCCCAACGACCCACACUAUCCCACUUUUAAGCCUGCCUUGGUGCCUCUGGUCGAUUUUUAGACUAAAAAAGCUCAAGCCCUAAGCCAACCCCUAAAACCGUGAGUUAUAGCACGUCUAUUUUGCCGCCAAAAUUGUAUAUUUUUGACAUUUUGCCUGUUUGACCACCCAAAUAGCCCCACCGACCCAAAUGACCCACUUUUCCAUUCAUCAGUCUACUUGAAGCCUUGAUCUAGUUUUGACCCAAAACACACCUAAACCCCAGGUCCACCCAGAACUGUGAGCUAUAGCACACUGACUAUCACUGAAAAUGACCCAUUCGCGUUGAUAUUCCAGUUUGACUACCCAAACAGCCCCGUUGACCCCUACGACCAAUACUUUUCCGCUCUUCAGCCUACCUGAGAGCCCCCAAUUGACUUUUAACCUAAAAUAUGCCUAGGACCACCCCAAAAUCAUGAGCUAUAGCUCACCAAUUUGGCCUAAAAAUGGCCCGUUUAUACCGUUUUGCUCAUUUGACCAACUGAACGAUCUCGCUGAUCUCAAUGACCCACAAUGCCCCGCUCCUCGGCCUGCUUGGGAGCCCUCAAUCGAUUUUUGACCUAAAAAACAUUUGUUCUCUGGGCCAACCCCCAGAAUUGUGUGCUAUAACACACCGACUUGGCUUGAAAAUGGCCUGUUCGUAUCAUUUUGCCUGUUUAAUAACCCAAAUGGCCCUGCCGACCCCAACGGCCCACACUCCCCGCUUUUCAGCCAACCUGGGACCCGCGAUCAAUUUUUAGUCAAAAACACGUGUGGGCCUUGGGCACACCCUCUGAACCUUAAGGUAUAGCACCCCAAUUUUGCCAAAAAAAUAGCCCAUUCAUACCGUUUCAUCCGCUUGAUCACACAAACGGCCCUUCGCCACCCAACAACCCUCACUCUUCUACUUAUUAGCCUGCCUAGGAUCCUCUGGCUUAUUUUCAGCCUAAAACACGCCUACGCCCUGGGGCCAGUCUCGGAAUCGUGAGCUAUAACACACCGAUUUGGCCUAAAAAUAGUUCAUUCAUGCCAUUUCACCCGUUUGACUACGCAAACGGACCCACUAACCCCAAGGACCUAUACUCCCCCGCUCUUCAGCCUGCUUGGGAGCCUUCGAUCAAUUUUUAGACUAAAACACACCUGAGCCCCGGUCCCACCUCUAGAACCAUGAGUUAUAGCGCAAUUAUUUGGCCUAAAAAUAGGAUGUUCACACUGUAUCACCCAUUUGACCACCCAAAUAGCCUCGAGGAAUUUUUGGACAAAACAUGGUAGGAACUCGGGUGGGACUCUCAGAACCGUGAGCUAUAUCACAUCGAUUUAUCCCAAAAAUGGCCCGUUUAUGUUGUUUCGCCUGUUUGACCACCUAAACAACCCCACCGACCCCAACAGCCCAUACUUCCUCACUUAUAAGCCUGCCUGGGAGCCCCUAAUCGAUUUUUAGCCCAAAUACGCCCAGUCUCCAAGCACACCCCAGAACUGUGAGCUAUAGCACAUUAAUUAGGCUCGAAAAAUGGCCCGUUGGCAUAGUUUUGGUUGUUUGAUCAUAAAAACAACCCCGUCGACCCGAACAACCCUGACUCCCUCACUCCUCAACCCACCGAGGUGCCCCUAAUUGAUAUUUGGCCCAAAAAAUACGACCAAACACUGGCAUACUCCUAGAAUCGUGAGUAAAGCAUACCAAUUUAGCCCAAAAAUGGUCCAUUUACCCGAUUCACCCUUUUGACCCCCCCAAAUAGCCCCAUCAACCCCAACCACCCACACUCUCCCGCUCCUCAGUCUGCCCGAAAGCCCUCGAUUGAUUUUUGACCCAAACCACGCCCGGUCCCUUCACUCACCUUUGAAAUCGUGGGCUAUAUCACAUUGAUUUUGCUCAGAAUUAGUCCGUUCGCGCCUUUUUGCCUAUUUGACCAACCAAAUAGCCCUACCGACCACUGUCGACCCCAACGACCCAUACACCCCUGUUCCACAGCAUGCCUGGGAGCCUCCAGUUAAUUUUCAGCCUAAAACAUGCCUGGGCGCCAGUCUCACCUACAAAACCGUAAGCUAUAGAACACCAAUUUGACAAGAAAAUGGUUUGUUCGUGCUAUUUCACUCGUUUUACCACUCAAAUGGCCCCGCCAACCCAAAUAACCCACACUUUCUCGCUCCUCAGCCUGCCUAGGACCCCUAGUAAAUUUUUUUCCCAAACCAUGCCCGAGCCCUAGUCUCACUCCCAAAACUAUGAUAUAUAACACAUCGGUUUGGCCUAAAAAUGCUUUAUGCGUGCCAUUCAGCCCGUUUGAUCACUCAAACAGCCCCGUCGAACCCAAUGACCCAUAUUUUCUCACUCCUCUUGCUGUCUGGAAGCCCUCGACCAAUUCUUAACCUAAAAAAGGCUCAAUCCCCAAGCCCUCCCUCAAAACCGUGGGUUAUAGCUCACCUACCGUUUUGUUCGUUUGACCAACGAAACGGUACCGCUAACCAUAACGACCCAUAAUUCCCCGCUCCUCGGCCUACUUAGGACCCCUCAAUCGAUUUUUGACCAAAACACAUUUAGGCUCUGAGCCAAUCCCCAAAAUUGUGAGCUAUAACACACCUAUUUGGCCCAAAAAUAACCCAUUCGUAUCAAUUUCCUUGUUUAAUAACCCAAACGGCCCCACCGGCCCCAAUAGCCCAUACUCUCCGCUUUUUAGCCAACCUAGGAGCCACGAUUAAUUUUCAGUCAAAAACGCACGUGGGCCUUGGGCACACCCUCUGAACCAUGAGGUAUAACACCCUAAUUUUGCCAAAAAAUAUCUUAUUUGCACCGUUUAAUCCGUUUGAUCACACAAACAGCCCAUCUCCACCAAACGGCCAACACUUUUCCUCUUAUUAGCCUGCCUAGGACCCUCUGGUGUAUUUUCAGCCUAAAACGCAGCUACGCCCUUGGCCCACACCCAAAAUCGUAAACUAUAACACACCAAUUUGUCCUAAAAAUGGUUUGUUCAUGCCAUUUCGCCCGUUUGACCACCCAAACAGCCCCACUGGCCCCAACGACCUAUACUCCCCUGCUCCUUGGCGUUCGUGGGAGCCUCCGUUCAAUUUUUAGACUAAAACACACCUCAGCCCCGGGCCCACCCCCAGAACAAUGAGUUAUAGCACAAUGAUUUGGCCUGAAAAUAGCACGUUCAUGCCGUAUCACCCUUUUGACCACCCAAAUGGCCUCGGGAGACUCAGGUGGGACCCUCAGAACCGUGACCUAUCACAUCGAUUUGGCCUAAGAAUGGCCCAUUCAUGUUGUUCGCCUGUUUGAUCACCUAAACAGCCCCACUGACCCCAAUAACCCACACUCUCACACUUGUCAGCCUGCCUGGGAGCCCCCGAUAGAUUUUUGACCCAAACACGUCCAAUCCCCGAGCACACCCUAGAACCGUGAGCUAUAGCAGGCCGAUUAGACCCAAAAAAUGACCUGUUGGCGCAGUUUUGCUUGUUUGAUCACCCAAAUGGCCCCGUCGACCCAAAAAACCCUUACUCCCUUGCUCUUAAACCCAUCUGGGUGCCCCUAAUUGAUAUUUGGCCUAAAAAAUAUGACCAAACCCUUGCCCACUUUCGAAACUGUGAGGUAUAGCAUAAUAACUUAGCCCAAAAAUGGCCCGUUUAUGUCGAUUCACCCUUUUGGCCCCCCAAGCAUCCCCGUCGACCCCAACCACCCACACUCUCCCACUCCUCAGCCUGCUCAAGAGCCACCAAUCGAUUUUUGACCCAAACCACGCUUGGUCCCUUGACUCACCUUCGAGAUCCUGGGCUAUAUCACAGAAAAUUUGCUCAAAUAUGGUCCGUUUGCACCCUUUUGCCUAUUUGACAAACCAAAUAGCACUACCGACCACCGCCGACCCCAACGACCUACACACCCCUGUUCCACAAAAUUCUUGGGAGCCUCCGAUCAAUUUUCAGCAUUAAACAUACUUGGGCGCUAGGCUCACCUCCGAAACCAUGAGCUAUAGCACACCAACUUGGCCAGAAAAUGGUUUAUUCGUGCCGUUUCACUUAUUUUACCACUCAAAUAUCCCCACCAACUCCAACGACCCAUAAUUCCCCGCUCCUCAGCCUACCUAGGACCCUUGAUCAAUUUUUUCCCAAAACACUCCCGAGCCCUAGGCCCACUCCCAAAACUAUGAGAUAUAACACACCAAUUUGGCCUAAAAAUGUUUCAUUCGUGCCAUUCAGCCCGUUUGACCACUCAAACAGCCCCGUCGAACCCAAUGACCCAUAUUUUCCCUCUCCUCUUCCUGUCUGGGAACCCCCGACCAAUUUUUGACCAAAAAUAGGCUCAAGACCCAAGCCCAUCCUCAAUACCAUGAGCUAUAGCUCACCGAUUUAGCCAGAAAGUUACCCGUUCGUGCCGUUUCGCCUGUUUGACCACCCAAACAACCCUAUCGACCCCAACAGCCCUCUCAUCCUGUCUGGGAGACGUCGCUUGAUUUUCGAUCCAAAAUACGUAUGUGCCUUAGGCCCACCCCAAGAAUCGUGAGCUAUAACACAUUGAUUUGGCUUGAAAAUAGUCCGUUCACAUCAUUUAGCCCAUUUGACCACCCAAACGGCCCCACCGACCACAACAACCCACUCACCCCUUCUUUUUAGCCUUUCCGGGAGCCCUCAAUUGAUUUUCAGUCCAAAAUAUUUUUGAGUCCCGACUCCACCCCCAAAAUCGUGAGCAAUGACACACCGAUUUGGCCCAAAAAUGGUCUAUUUGCAUUGUUUCAUCUCGUUUGACCACCCAAACGGUUCCAUCGACCCAAAAGGACCAUACUCCCUCGCUUUUCAUCCUGGCUAGGAGCCCCCAGUCCUUUUUCAGGCCAAAACACACUGGGACCCUAGUCCUACCUCCAAAACCAUGAUUUAUAGCACACCGAUGCACUAGGAGUUCGUUAUAUGUUCGGUCCCGCUCAUGUUUCUUCGGUCCACCUCUACCCCACCUAAAACCAUCCAUAACCAGUAUUUCACAUAGCCGGUCGGACGACCACUCUGUAGAACUUAUCUUUAGUAUUCAAGUGCCUCUUCUAAUCACAUAGAACUCUCGAAGCGAGACUUCAUUUCAACCACCCUGCCCCAAUAUGAUGCGUUACAUCCUCGUUAAUCUCAGCAUUGCCCGGAAUGAACCUGACUCUGAUAUCAUAUUGAAGUGAGUGACCAUCUCAUCUAAAAGUUUAACUAUUAGAGAGAGUACACUUUUACUAUUUAAUUAUAUUCUCAACAGUUACUUAAUAUGCUAUUUUUGCAUUGAUCAAAUGAACUUUACGUGGCAUUCUAAAAUGAAGGAAGACACAAAAUUUUUCUUUCAAACAGUUCAAGAAAGAAUCUUUUGUCCUUUUGAAAAAGAGAAAUAAAGUCACAUUUGUUGGCUUGUUUUGUCCCUACAGUUGAACUAAGAGCACUUUGAGUUGAGGUUUUUUCUAUUAUUAAGGAUGUCCAAUUUUGGAAAAGUACUCUGCUUUCGUUUAAAAAGGAAUGGUAGACCAAACAACAUAUUAAUUUUAUAUAUUAUAUUAACUCCUAACUAGCUAUCAAACCUGGAAUUACUUAUGUAGGAUUCCUACAUAACUCGUUGCUAAGCCAGCUACCAAAUGACCCCUUAAUACCUUCUUUCUUUGUUCAUUGAGAAGACAAAGACCAAUAUAAGCAUAAUUUAAUUUAUGUGUAUAAUAUGUUCAGAACCAAGGUGCAGAAUAAAUACUUUACAUAAAUACAAAACUUCCUAAAUGAGUUGACCCAAUUGAUAUAAGCGGUAUGAUUCACUCAGCUCCUGAUUCAUCAAUUGAUGACCACCGUAUUUUUUCAUGAGAUCUAGCAGGUAGUUUUUUUUGUAUAACCUGAUUUUUUAUAACAAAAAUAAAAGUACCACUAAUGCCUCUGCAGCAACAAAAUCUUCUGAAGAAUCCAAUGAAAGUUGAGAGACUCUCUUCUCAGCGAUAGCUUUUGGUGAAUCUCUUGUUGAAAUUGAUUAAAAUUAUUCACUAUCAUUUUGACCUGUUUUGUCAUUUUUCUCAUUUUUAGUUCUUUUUAUAAAAGUCAUUAUUGGAUCUUUCGUAGCAAUUUAAGUGGUUGAUCUAAGAAUGGAGCAACUUUUUCAUGUGCAGCUUGCGGUUAAAGCUCACCAGUGUCGGCAUUUGUAGGCAACUUCAAACAUCCAGUUAAGGAUGGACCAGCUUCCUUCAAAAUAAACAAGAUUCAAGAUGGAUCAUUUUGACUAAUCCUUUUUCCCUAUCUAUGCGCAACGAACAUGUUGAUAAUAGUAGGUAUCAUAAUCUAGGUCCAAUUGCUAGGUUAGAUAGUAACUCAAGAAUCUUUUAUCAAUUCCCCUUUCUUAAGAACCCCAAAAAAUAAAUAACACUCGAGCAGAAAAAAGUAAACUCAGACACAACAAAUGUUGAUUGUAUGAGAGGUUAUAGAAAGUGGGGUUUGUAUAUAUACUUAAACUUAGGACCAAAAUUGGGGAAAAAAUUGAUUGACAUGAAUAAAUACUUCAAAUUGUAAUCUCCACUUGGAUUCACUCACAUUUAUUGCCUUUUUCUCAAAUUUUGGGUUUAAAAUCCUUAACUUUUUUCAAGGUGCUUGUGCUUUUAUCAUGUAUUGAUACUUGAAAAAUUAUGUUAUUUUGGCGUUGAACUAAUGAACUCUACGUGGACUAAUAAACUGAAGAAUGACACAAAAGUUUUGUUUCAAAUAGUUCAAGAAAGAAUGUUUUGUCUUUUUGAAACAAGGAAAUAGAGCCACAUUUCUUCCACUGAUUUGUCCACUCAUAGUGCUCUUGGUUUUCCCGCCUUCCACAAAAAACCUUGCAAUAGAGAUUUCCAAUUCAUCCUAGACAAUCUCAACACUAAGUUGGCUGGAUGGAAAACUAAAUUCCUCAAUAUAGCUGGCAGAAUCACCCUUACCAAGUCCUCCCUUGCUAGUAUUUCUGCUCAUGUCAUGUAAUUCAUUUUGAUCCCCACAAAAAUCCACUAAUUGAUUGACAGAACCCAAAAGUACUUUUUCGGGGGCACCACCCCUGAUAAUAAGAAAAUUUAUCUAAUCAAUUGGGAAACCUUGACUAAUGCUAAAGCUAAUGGGGGCCUGGGCUUCCAAAAAGCUUCCAUUAGGAACACCACUAUGUUAUCCAGUCUAGCUUGGAGACUUUAAAAGCAUCCCAACAGUCACUUGGAAAAAUUUUUGUUAAAUAAAUUAGCCCCCAUGGCAUAUUCAUCAAAGCCAACAACUUUAGAACUUGGAAAAGUGUCUUUGUGGGUUGGGAAAUUUGUAAAACUGCCUCCUCUUUGAAUAUCUAUAAGGAUGACAAGAUCAACUUCUGGAAGGAUAGAUGGAUGCCUCACUGUGAACUCCUUCUUUACGUCAUCCAAGACCUUCUUCCUUAUCAUUCCCAAGACAUUAAACACUCUGAGGUUUAGAGGAAUGGCUCCUGUAAUCUCAAGGAGCUUCCGAUUGAAAUCCCUAAGGAUGUCAUCCAAACUUUAACCAACUUUAUUUUCCCAAAUCCCAGAGCCCAUAUUGAUGAGCUCAUUUGGAAUCUCACUGGUAAUUGUCUGUUCUGCAGCAGAAAUGCUUAUAAUCAUAUAGCCAAAACCUCUGAGAUCAAUUACUCCUCUAAUUUCAACUGGAUAUGGAAGGCUAAAUCCCUUAAAAAUUUAAAACAUUUAUUUGUUUAAGCCAGCUUAAUAGGUUCCCCAAUAACCUUAACCUCUCCAAGAGAGGAGCGACACAAAAUACUAGUUGUGCUAUCUGAAAUCAUCACUAGGAAGAAAAAUCCCACAUUUUCUUUAAGUGUCCUAUCCUCAACGAUUUGGGAGUGCAAACUAUCAACAAGAUGACCCAGUCCAAACAACCUCCUAUUUCCAGUCUCCUACCCUCUUACUAGCACACUAUCUGGAGAUCUCUUCAACACUCCCAAUUCAACAGACUAAUCCACUGGCAUGACAUCAUUCCUUUUAACCUCUAGACACUCUGGAACACCAGGAACUCUAAUACCUUCAAGAAAAAAAGGGACCAUCCCAAUUUUAACCAUGCUUACUCCCAAACCGUUGAGUAUAAACAUCUUACUCAAAAGAAUACCCCAAUCAAGCAAAACCAAAUCAUCAACAUUAAGUGAAAUCCUCCCACCUGCCACACCUUAAAGCUCAAUACUGAUAAUUCUUGCCUUAGAAACCUCGGGAAGGGUGGAAUAGGAGGGGUAGUCAGAUCCAGUAAUGGAGGCUGAGUGUUAGGCUUUAACAAAAACUUUCACCGGACUACCAAAAACAUGGUAGAGCAAAAUAAUCUUCUCCCCACUGAAAUUAACUUUGAUUCCUUGGAAGUGAUAUCUAUGUUAACAAAUGGGAACCUCCACUAUGAUACUUUAAUUUCGGAAUGCAGGUCAAAAUUAAAAAGAAUAAGGAAUCCGAAAGUCAAGUACUGUUAUAGAGAACAAAAUGGAGUGGCGGAUGCUCUAGAAAAAUACAGAGCAAGGGCAAGCGGGUUUUAGGAGACUACCCUUUUUGAAGUUCCACCGAUAUGUGCAAAAGAUGCAGUUUUAGCAGACAUCUCAAAAACUUUUUGAGAGAACAAUUAGGAUGAUUUUAAUUGGCCAGGCCAGAACUAUUCCUUUUUGAACCCUGACUAAUCGUCAAAAAUUGAAACUUAAACUGNNNNNNNNNNNNNNNNNNNNNNNNNNNNNNNNNNNNNNNNNNNNNNNNNNNNNNNNNNNNNNNNNNNNNNNNNNNNNNNNNNNNNNNNNNNNNNNNNNNNNNNNNNNNNNNNNNNNNNNNNNNNNNNNNNNNNNNNNNNNNNNNNNNNNNNNNNNNNNNNNNNNNNNNNNNNNNNNNNNNNNNNNNNNNNNNNNNNNNNNNNNNNNNNNNNNNNNNNNNNNNNNNNNNNNNNNNNNNNNNNNNNNNNNNNNNNNNNNNNNNNNNNNNNNNNNNNNNNNNNNNNNNNNNNNNNNNNNNNNNNNNNNNNNNNNNNNNNNNNNNNNNNNNNNNNNNNNNNNNNNNNNNNNNNNNNNNNNNNNNNNUGAGACAAUACUAACACUAAUACUAAUACUAAUACUAAUACUAAUAUUAAUACUAAUAAAAAUAAUAACAUUUUAACUAUUUUUAUUUCACCACUAUUAGAUUGCAAUCCUAUUACUAUUACUAUUAUUAUUUGUUCAUUGUUAUUUGAGAUAAAUAUUAAGAUAAAUCGUGUAGCAAAAAAAUAAAAAUUGUGUGCCAUGAUUAUUAAUUUAGUACAUCUAAAUUAUAAGAUUAUCUUUGAAAGUAUGUUUUAUCUCCAAUUUAAAUUCAAAAAAAUUUGAUAGAAUAUCCAAUAUCUUAGAUGAGCAGUUAAAACCUUCAAUACAGGUCAGGCUCGUUGGGAUGGCCCGGCCCAGCCUGUAAUUUGAUAGGUUUGGGCUACAAUUUUUAUAGCCCAUUUAAGAAUAGGGCUUUUUAGCCGUUCAUGAAUAAGUCUAUUGACCCGUCGGCUUGAGCCAUAUGGGUUUGCGUGACCCGUGGGUCAAAUAAAAAAUAAAAAAAUAAAAUGUAGUACUAAAAAUAAAAAAAUGAGUCCAAACUCAAAGUUUAUAUGAACCAUCAUAUAUAUACUUAAAUAUUAAUUAUAUUUAAAGAAUAUAUAAAUAAUUUACAUAUAAAAUAUAAGUUUUUUAAGAAAUCAAAUAUGUUUGACGAAGAUGACGUGGCGAUGUUGAAUACACCAUAAAUGCCAUGAGAGUUUUCUUUAAAGUGUUUAUUUUACUUUUAAUGGACUAAACAUUGACAUUUCAUUGUGUUUUAUUUUGAUCAAUUAAAACAAAAUUAGGUUAAUAUUGUUAUUUAGCGAGUUAUAUUAUUACUCAUUAAUUAUUUUAUUUAUUUUUCAAUAUCUUUAUUUGAUUUUAUUGUAAAUAUUUAUGCAAUUAAUAUUUUAAAAUUUAAAUUAAGAUUAUAAAAAAAAUAUAUUUUAAAAAAUGGGCUGGCCCGUGGAGGCCCACAACCCAUAGUGUGACGGGUUGGGCUUGCUAUUUUCUAAUCUGUCAAGUUGAUGAGUUAGCCUGACCAAGCCCGUCAAACUCUAAAGCCUGUGUGAGCUAGCCCGGAUGAGCUGGUCUGAUCCAUAUUAACAACUUUAGGAGCAGUUAUAUAACAAUAAGAAUCUAAUUAGAACUAUUUAGUGUUAUAACUAUCUACUUAUAAUAUGUAAUUUUAUAUUUUUUAAAUAUUAUUUUAAAUUUAAAGUCAACAAUUUAUUUGUAACACCCCAAGAUCCCAUCCCGAGACGUCACACGGUGCUUAAGGCCACACGCGGCCUCAAGCUAACCCUCUAAACCUGUCAUCACAUCUAGAACUCACUUUGACAAUUGUCAUGCUAAUAUAAGAGAGAAUGACAUAUCAUAAACAUACUGAAAUUCUGUACAUACCAACCCUAUAGCCUGACAAAGCCUCUAUACAUCAAAAUCAAAGAGAUAUUGGGACAAACCCCCAACUGACUCAAAUAGUACUGUAAGCCAUAACAACAAAAUGGUAUCACAAAAUUAUAAACAUGAUCCUCGAACCAUGAGGACUCACCCCUGAGUAGAUGAAAAGAGGCACCCAAAAAUCGCUAACGUGGCUGAGUACCUAAACCUAUAUUAUAAGAAAAAGUAGCCCUUAUAAAAAUAUAUGGGUCAGCACUUUGGAAUGUACUGAGUAUGUGGGGGGCAUGCAACAAUGUAAAUAUCGUCAUCAAUUUCAUGAAAUUAUGCAUAUUUACAAUGAUGGCUCACUUGGAUUGAGUUAGAUUGAAACAUAUUUUUUAUAAUCUCAUCGUAAAUAAAUCAUAUGAUAAAAACCUUAUAAAUCAUCAUAAAUAAGUCAACUCUUCAAAUCAAGACUCGGAGUGACUUUAUAAUUCAAGAAACUCGACUCUUAUGGACAUGGGAGGUUCUUAUAACCGACAUAAACCAUGUGAGCUACAUGGAGUCCAAUGUCUUGCCCUCCUAAGGAGAGAACCCUACAUUGGCGGGAGCGUCGUCUUGACAGGGAGUACAAUCUAAAUUUAGUGAUCACAAUCUCAUACUCGGCCUCCGACCCACAAUUAUCAAUAUCAAUCCUACGGUGGCACAUAGUUUCGGGGGAAAUACCACAUUUUCCGCUUAGUGCUAAAUACUACUCCCAGACACAAGCUCAGAACGCGUUAGGAAAUCCACCACAAACAUCACAAGGGUCUAUCAUGAAGACCAAAUCAAAUCUCUUUCUCAUUUAUCAAAUCAUAAUUAUUUUGAGGAUUCCUAACUCGACUCAAAUCAAAUCAAUAUUUCUCAAUAGCAAAAUCCAUCAAUUCAUUAAAUCAUGGCAACAUCAAUAACUUUGAGGAAAUAUCAAGACUCAUUGUAACAACUCAAUUCUCAUAAAUCAAUAUACUCAAUAAUCCAAUUUUUCAUAAGAAAGAUUAAAGCUUGACACAUAUCUUUAAAGCACUUGAAAUACCAACUCAUGGUAGAAACUUUAAAUUCACAAUAUUAAAUAUCAAGUCAUAAGUUGGAAAUUGUAAAAUAAUCAUGUAUAACAAAGCCUGAACGAUUUAUAUUCUCCUAAUCUCAUGAUGAAGUAAUUUGGAUAUAAACCCACUUGCAAAAUCAUAUAAAUUCAUAAUAAAAAUCAAAGCUUUGAGCACAAGAGCGAAAGAAUUUCUCUUGUUCAAAACCCCACGUACCUCAAUCUUUGAAAUUGGUUGAACUCUAGUGCUUGAUACUUUCCUCACACUUGUAAUACAAAAAAUUCUUGAAGCCCACUCUAUGAGGAACUUGAUUCUUGAAGGAAUCUUGAAGAUUUAUGGAUGAUUUUUGGAAGAUUAAUUCCCUAAAAUAAAACCCUAGAUAUAUUUCUAAAGAGAAUUGGAAGAGAGAAAUGAAGAAAUUAGGUUUUGGAUGAGGAUUCUCAUAUAUAUAGAUCCCUCCAAAAAUGGGAAAUGACUAAAAUACCCUUGCAAAAAUCGUCCAUCAAUUGCUGAAAAAAAUAGUUAAUGACAUCUGUGAUAAGCUGUCAGGCCCAUGAUAGGCCAUCACGAAUUGUCGUCACAAAAAGGGUGGAUUUUGUGACUUUCUGCUUUAAGGUGAUGACAUUUUGUGAUGGGCCGUCAGGCUUGUGACAAGUCAUCACAAAAGGUCGUCACGAAUUUUCCAGGCUGACAUGCUGGACUAAAAUAAGCAUAACUCUUUUGCUCCAAUAUCGGAUUUUAAUGAAAUGGGUAUCGUUUGAAAGCUAAUUCAAUUGUAUAUCUUUUGGUAGUUGAUAAGGUAAAUAAUUCGUAGUACAACGGGAGAUAUGCUCAUUUAAAGUUAACUAUGCCAAAAUCCUUCUCAAAAAUUCAAUGGGUAAAGAAUGUUUUGAUUUGCCCAAGCGUUAGGACAUCUUUAAAGACUUAAUACACAUCUCCCUUGACCAGGAAACAACCAAAACACUAUAAUGUAUUUCUCAUGGGCUUAAUUCAUGGCGGCACUAUUGGUUAGAAUCUCGGGGUAUUACAAUACCUCCCCCUUGGAAAUAUUCAUCCUCGAAUAUUGCCUGAUAGGCCAAGAACAAGAUAAAAAUGAGGAUGUAUAGCUGGAACGACUCACUCAAAAGACUUAAUUCACUCUAUACCUUCGAAUACUAUAGAAAAUGCACAUAUUCGUGAUGAAAGCAGACACACUGCUGAAUCUUUAAUAAGAAGGGGGUGGAAUUAAGAAAGAAUGAUACCUUCUACUCGCUCAGAACUCACAGAUAAGAGGUGAGGGUACUUUGAUCGCAUAUCAUCUUUGUCUUCCUAAGUAGCACUAUCAACAGAUUGAUUUCGCCGAAGCACUUUAACCAAAGCAACUUCUUUGUUCCUUAGCCUACGGAUCUGAAAAUCCAAAAUCUUAAUUGGAAUCUCCUUGAAUGAAAGACUAUCCUGAAUAUCUAAGCUUUCGGAAGAAUCAACCGUGACAGAAUCACCAAUACAGUUCUUAAGCAUAGAAACAUAAAAUACCGGAUGAACGCUAGACAACUCUGUGGGUAAAUCCACCUCAUAAGCUACUUUGCCAACACGGCUCUGGAUCUUGUAUGGACCAACAUAACGGGGACUAAGCUUUCCCUUCUUCCAAAAUCUCUUUACCCUUUUCAUGGGUGAAACCUUCAAGUACACCAAAUCAUUAACAUUAAACUCAAGAUCUUUUCUUCUCACAUCCGCAUACGACUUCUGAUGACUUUGAGAGGUUUUCAAUCUUUCUCAAAUCAACUUAACUUUUUCCGUAGACUCGAACACAUCAUCCAGCGCAAUCAUAGCUACUUCUCCUACUUUAAAUCAACCUAUGGGCGAUCUACAUUUUCUCCCAUACAACUAUUAUUAUACGCAAAUUCGAUCAAUGGAAAGUGCUCAUCCCAACUACCUUUGAAAUCAAGUGUACAUGCCCUCAACAUGUCCUCCAAAGUCUGAAUAGUUCUCUCAGCCAGACCAUCGGUCUGCGGAUGGAAAGCAGAACUUAGACGAACUUGGGUAUCGAGACCCUUCUAAAAAGCCCUCCAAAAUUGAGAAGUAAAAUGAGUACCCCUAUCAGAGAUGAUAGCUAAAGGAACUCCAUGAAAUCUUACUAACUCACAGAUAUACAAUCUAGCAUAAUCCUCAGCUAUAUAAGACAAAUGCACUGGAAAGAAAUGAGCUGAUUUAGUCAAUCGGUCUAUGACAAUCCAAAUCAAAUCAUGAUGAUGAUAAGAAGGAGGCAAACUAAUUACAAAAUCCAUAUUCACUUCUUUCCAAUUCCAAUUAGGAAUUACAAACUCUUUAAUUACACCACCGAGCCUCUGGUGCUCUACCUUAACUUGUUGACAAGUAGAAUACUUUGUCACAAAUCCUGCUAUGUCUUUCUUCAUCCCGUUCCACCAAUAUAUUUCCCGCAAAUUGCGGUACAUCUUGGUAGCACCAGGAUAAUAGAAUAUCGCGCACCAUGCGAUUUGUUGACACCUAAUUUUUGCCCUCCACAACUAAAUUUAAUCCUGAGUUUCUUCGAUUCUUAAUAAAAUCGGAAUAUUUAUUUCAUUCGAAUAAAAAUUUUUCAAAAAUAUAUUUGUACGUAAUUUUGUCAUCUUAAGUAGAAAUUAUAUAUUAUCGUAUUCAAAUAUACGAUUUUAUAUGAGUUGAUUACUUAGAUAUUUACUCUAUGAAAUAUCAGAUUUGAAUUAAGGAUCAUUUCGAAAAAUAAUAAUUAAAAUCAUGAUCUAAAUAUAAUUUAUUCUCGAAAAUAUUUUGUUUAGAUAAAUAUGCAUUUGAUUUUAUUAAUUCAAGAAGCUCAAGAUUAAACAAGGUGUUAAUUCGUAUCAAACUUUUAUUUAAUUUAGUCAAUUUAUUAAAUUAUAACUUAAUUGAAAUUAAUUUGACCAUAAUUGCAAUGUAAUUGGUUAAUUUAAUUCGAAUUAGGCUAAAAUUUAAAAAUGAUUGUCUAAAUUUUCAUCCAUUGGCUAUUUCAUAAAUAGUCUAAAUCUCUACAUUACUAAAACCCAAAUUCUACCCAACAAUAUUCAGAUCCCUCCUGCCUAGUUCCUUUUCAUAUUAACAGGCCCAAAAUCCCUGACGUGGCCGACCAUCAACAAAUCCCCCUUUCUACCUUAACCAGCAAGAACUAGUCCCCAAUGCAAAAAACAACCAAAAAUAGAGUACAACUACAGGAACUUGAACAACAAUGACAAGCCCAAUUCAGUGAAUCCACCAUUGAACCAACUCGAAACCAAUCCUAAACUAUUCUUUUUCCCUCUGUCACGCGUCUCACGCGGCAGUAGGAUAAGAAAAACCCUCGAACCUUCUAGAAAAUGGGCUAGGUGUCAUCUCCAAUGGUCCAAUCCCGCAAAUUUUGGGAUAACUCGUACGAACUCAUACAAUAUUUGGCUGAUUUCCAUAGGUUUUGGGGAAGAAUUCAUUUUCCCUAAAUCUCAUUGGUCCACCAAUUUCAAUAUUGGUACAAUUGAUUGAUGAAACCCUAAGCGGUGAGAGGAUUUUCAAAUUUCAAAAUUCAAAAACAUCCUUCUUUUAAAUCCCUAAAAGAAAUUCAGGGGAUAUAAAAAGACCCCUGGGGUCACUAUUUCGGGGAUUAUUGGUUUCUUCUCUCCUGUUCUUUCCCUUAGGAGUUGGAAAUUUUAGAAGCCUCUGUUUGUUUUAUUUAGAGAAAUGUUGGGUUCAAAAAAAGGGGGAAAUCCUUAGGUUGGAAAAUUUUAGGUCACGGUUGAGGGUUACUUUCCCUUCUGAGGUGGAAAAAUUAAGGGAGAAAGCUAGGUUGGAAUAUUUUUUUGAGAAAAAUUUCUGAAUCGGAAAAACUGAGAUAGAGGGAAGAAAGAAAAAGAAAAGAUUUCCGAAGAAAGAUUUAAUCUUUGAAGUUUUUCGGUGGUCGUGAUCCCCGUAUCAGUUCGUCGUCUUGUUUUACUGCUCCGGAAAAGGUAACCUCCUAUUUUCAUUUAGUUUUCAUUAUAUUUCUUCUUCCUCUUGUCAUUCUAUAGUCAUGACUGUCAUUCUAAAGAUUUUGUAAGCUGGGUUGUCUGCUGUAGAGGUCUUCAUGACCAUAGGUUUCAAUUUUAGUAAAAGGCAAUGUUUUUUUGCAGUUCUACGUUGGGAUGAAUUCCUAUGAUUGUAUGACAUGUGGUUUUCAUCAUCUUUAGAUCUUGAUUUGGUGAUUGGUCAUCUACUCUCAGCAUUACUGCUUAAUUUAUGUCCUAAUGUAUCAUCUUGUGGACUGUCUGUGAUUUGAAGCAGUUAAAGAUCAUAUUUUGAUUCUUGCUUAACAAUUUUCAUCCUCUUGUUGCCUUGAUUUGUACUUGUAGUUUUAUAAUCUUACGUGUUCAGUGUAGCUCGUUAGGAGGCUAUGAAAGCCCCAAGUUUCAUAUGAUAAACUGUGAGCUUUCAAACAUUGUUGUUGUUUCUGCAUUUAGGACAGAUUGAUUCUUAAAGUUUUUGAUUUCGUUAUAAUUCAUCUGGGAGCAUUUACCUUUGUUAAUACAAUGUUUUUGAUGAAAAUUUUCUUUGAAUUCGACUUUCGUGAAUGCCAUAUUGUUUAAAUGAUGAGCUUCUAGCCUAAGGAUUAUUGCUAAUAUCCUGUUCUAAAAAAAUGAAGGGUUACUAAGUAACUUUAUUCCUAUAAACGAUUGAGUAAAAGUGUUGUGUUUUUUUCAGUUAAAAAGGAUGAUAGGGUCAAAGGGUUUUGCAUUCUCUUUAGGAGUUGCUAUUAUAGGCCUCCUUUGUGACCUUUAUUUAUAUAGGUUAAAUAAAAAGAAGUCUAUUCUAUUUAUAGUAUAUUUUCUCAUUUCACCAGCUUUGAUCUGAGUUUAACACAUACACUUGUAGUUAUUACUUGAAAAUUGUUUCAAAAAAAAAAAUUAGCUUUUCCUGCGUCGUUGCUAACUCGUAUGAGCUUCUAUAUCUCCUUUAUGAAACUUUUAGGAUCCUGUUCAUUUGUCUAUUAAAUACAUCUCUUCCCUCAUCAUCUUAUUGAUGUUGGGAAAAGAAAAUGUUUUUAGUCGCAUUGCUUCUCCCCUAUUUCCUAUUUACUUCAGUACCUAAGGUUAAGAGUUUUGGAUCCGUUUGAAUAUCGAAUAGUUUCCAUGUUUUAUUUAAAGCCAUCCUUUCUUUUUCAUAUUAUCAUUUGCUAAAAUAUUUUUGAUAAGAUAAAAGUUGUUUGCGUGUAGUAUGUGUGGUGACAUGCCUAAUAAUGUGCGUACUCUAUGGGAACAUGUUGUUAUUUCUUCUCUCAAAGAUAGGUCUAGUAAAUUUGGGAGAAAUUCUAUUUUAGUUGCUUCCUGAUUCUUCCCAACUAUUUGUUGUUAUCUUGAGUUUUAGUAAUAGCCAUCUAUACCUAAAAGGGCUAGAGAACAUUAAUCACCAAAAUAAUCCAUUGAGUCCGAAUGGAUUCUUUCCCAUUGCAUCUCUUAAUGGGCCAUUGAGGCCCUCCAUGACUAUCAAAUGAAGCCCCAAAAGAAAGCCUAAAAUAAAUUUCAUGGUGUACGAAUACGAGAAGUCGAAAGAAGAGAGAAGAUGGAUUAAAGCCCCAUCUUUAAAGUGGCUAAGAGACUCAAAAGUCUCAUUUAUUAGUUUAUUUAUUUACUUAUCGAUUUUAUUCAUUUUAUUCAUUUAUUUAUUUAUUUAUUCAUUUGGGCCACGAAGCCAAAGUUGUACUUAAUAUAGGUGGAGCGAUACUCGAGCCAACUACUCGAAAACAAGACUAGGACAGGUGAAAUGGGUCGAAAGCCCAAUUAGACUAGGACAGGUCUUAUUGAUUUGGGCCCAGUGGCCUAAAUCCCUUACUUUCUCCCCUUCCCCUUUUUCUUUAUGUUUCUUUACCUUAUCUGUUUUGGUGAACCUUGUUAAAUCCUUUGUCAAGUCGCUAAAAAGCUGGUUCUUCAUAAACACCGAAAUCUUUUCUAAAAUUGCCUUCUUUUCAAAACUAAACCUUUUUCAAAAGUUAGUCAAUGACGACUUCCAAAUAGUACGGAUAACCGCAAGUUAGCGGACGUUUUAGGUGCCUAACACCUUCCUAAAAUGUUAACAAGAACCGCUUACUCAGAAUCUCUUAACUUAAAUGAUUUUCCUAUUUUGGUUCAUUUGAAGUAACUCUAUAAAGGUUACUUAAUUCCUUUUCAAAAUUAAGUGGCGACUCUCUUUCAAAAGUCAAAAUUUCUGCAAAACAGAAAUGAAGACUCUACUGGGGACUUUUCAAACUAGGUUCUAACCAAAUGUUCAAUUUCUUCUUUUGAUUAACUGUUUAUGUGUUUAUAUUAUUCGAUUCUAUAAAUAUUAACUAUCGUAUCUCAUGGCAUACCCCUGCAUUAUUUAAACUAUUUUGGGGUUUCGUGGAUGUCUAACUUUAUAUGAGGUCCUGUCUAACUUUUUAUGAGGGACUCUAUUCUGAAUAUAACAUGCAGAUAAGACAACUUCCCCGUCAUAUAGUCAGGUAGACCUAAGCUUAAAAUCAUAAAAUUCAUCAUUUUCUUAAGUGUUCUAUUCUUUCGUUCUAUUACACCAUUUUGUUGGGGUUUAUAGGGAGCACAAAACUCAUGGAUAAUGCCUUUUUUUCUAAUAAAAAUCUUCUAGAGUUUUAGUACUAUAGAGGUAGACCAAUGAAAUAUUGGAGGGAGGUGAUUAGGCAUGAUAUGGUGCUAUUACAGCUUACAGAGGAAAUGAACAUUGAUAGGAAGGUAUGGAGAACACGGAUUAGGGUAGAGGGUUAAGGGGUUGGAGAGCGACGCUAGUAAUGGGGAGUUUCUGGUUCGUAGUGUUGUUGUUGUAGUUUUUGGGGCUAGUGGUGUUGGCUUUUUGGCAUCCCGUACUAGUUUAUUAUGCACUUAUCUUUUGUGUUUUUUAUACUGUUAGUUUAUUUUGUGCACCAUACUAGUUUAUAUGCACUUACUUUUUGUAUUUGUUAUACUGUUAUUGGUCCAAAAUCGGGGGUCUAUCGGAAACAACCUCUCUACUUUUCUUGAGGUAGUGGUAUGGUUUGCGUACACUCUACCCUCCACAGACCCCACUAGGUGGGAAUACACUGGGUAUGUUGUUGUUGUUGUUGGGGUUUCGUGGAUGUCCCGGCCCCUGUUGUUCAAUUCAAAAAUAUGUUGGAAAUACAAAUGGUUUAUUAUCACGUGAGUCGUUUGACGCUGUUCGUAUUUUCAAACUCAAGUUGUCCGCUUGUGAACUAGUGUUAAAGCCCACUCUAGACACUGAGGAUAGAACGAAACCAAAACCCUAUUUUAGGCAUGAGCCUAGGAUGACCCAUUACCCGAGCGGGGUAUUGGGUCCAUUACAGAACCCGCCCUACGUCUGUUGACCCCGAGUCAAUUAUAGACGAAUCAUAUUUAUGUGUUGAUAAAAAUACAUACUUUUCUAAUUCAAUCCAAUAGCCUUUGGGGUCAGGGGAAGGCUUAUCUUUAUCUGCUUUCAUGUAGGCUAUGGCUCAACUACAUUCCUUCGAAAAUUUCAAGAUGGUUACUAAACCUGAUGAUUUCUUGAAACUAUGGUGGGACCAUAAGAGUGCAGAAGAGAAAAAGAUUGUUAGAACACACAUUGGGCAUCUUCCUUCUUUGAUCGAGAUGGACGCUUAGCCCGAAAUGAUCCAUGUACUACCAACUUUUUGGGAUGAUCAGAAUAUGGUAUUUCACUUUGGGGAUGUUGAAUUGACUCCUUCCAUUGAAGAGGUAUUGAUUUGUUACGAGAGUACGGAAAUGUGUUUUGAGAGAAGGGAGACACCUAAUAAGAACAUUUUAGUCCCGGUAGUGUGGGAUCGUAAAAAGAUCAAGGGGGUAUUUUUAACUGACGAUGACACUUGGCUAGGAGAACGUGAUGGAGCAAAUAUCACUUUAUGUGAGUUGUAUCGUCGGUUCGGGAGAGUCAAUACUUUUCACAAAUUUGGGCACAAAUAUGAGUCAGAACCAAAAUGGAAGGAGACGAGACCCUAUGCAUUUACGGUAGGCCUACUUGGAACCAUGGUGUUCCCAUAAGGGGAAAAUGUCACAAUUCAUCCGACGGUUGUUUCAGUGACCCAUGCACUCUUCUUUGGAAUGGAUUACAAUUCUAAAAAGGUAAUCCACAACUUAGCUCCCAUGAUUAUCGCUGACAUAUAUCGAGCUUUGGGAAGGGUUCAAGUCGAGAAUCGUUUCUUUCAAGGAUGUAACCUUAUAUUACAAUAGUGGAUAAUGAUGCAUUUGGUAAAAAAUCCUAGAACAGCAUAACCCGACCACAAAUCAAGGUGGAAUCUGCUAGAAUUGCAUGACAUGUGGUUGUUUUUACACAAAUUCAAAAGGGAAGCAUCUCAUGAUUUUUGGUUUAAGACUCUUGGAGCAUUAAGAGAUGACGAUGUCCAGUGGUCUAUUAACUAUCUUCUUUCAGGGAAAUACAUUAUUUGAGGAAGCAAGUGGCCUUUUCUAGUACUUUCGGGUCUCAAGGGAACCCAUCCCUACAAUCCUGGCAGAGUUCUUAAGCAAUUCGAGAUCAAGCAUGAGAUGCCUCAAAUAGAUUCUAUGCUCAAAUUCUUCACCGAAUAUGAUGAAAGUGAGCCCUCGCUCAAAGACUACAUGAUAAACGGAUGGAGAAGGAGAAGGUGGAUGGAAGUAUCCUUUCGUAUAGGGUUUGAACCUUAAGUCAGCGAUACUUACAAGGAGUGGUUAAAAAUGACCCUCGUCGGAGCAUUGAUUGCGGGGCUGAGGAUGCCCAAUGGGGUCGUGGAUGUAGAAUUCGAGCAUCAGAUCCAAUUCCACAAUCUUCAGGAUGAAUUUUAGAAAAGUGAAAUUACGCACUGAUAGACAUAUACAGAAGAUUCUUUAACAAUAUGUAUGUUUAGGGAAGAGUUGAAAACAGCUAGGCAAGAGGAUGAUGAUGCUAGGCAGUGUUUAAUAAAUUUGGAUGAUAGCAUGGCCUCUCAACUCGAUAGUAUAGGGAAAAUAACUUACAUCAGCUAGGCACAGUUAUGCAAGAGUCAUCUGAUCAUCAAUAGGUAUCAAAUAGCACAGGAGGUUAACAAGGCAAAGAAGGCAAAGACAGACGAAGGAGCCUCCGGUAGCUAGUUUUUCUAUUUCCCCUGUGUGGGAACUUAUUUUUUUCACGUUAUUUCCCUUUUUUCCAAAAGAUUGUAUCCCUCUUUUGUUAUUUUUUGUAGGAAUUUAUGCCCUUUUUCAUGUCUAUAUAAGUUAGGGGAUAAUGGAUUGACUUUAAGGAAGCAUAUAUUUUCUUCAAAAUAGUUAGGCCUGAACCCUUCGUCCAAAAAAGGUCACCCCUGUUAGGAUACACAUUAUUAUAAUUUUUUGUGUGAUAUAAUUGUCUUAUGUGAUUAUGUAUGUUUAUUUGGAUCAAAGGCAAGUUUAUCCGCUAUACUCCUAUGGAUGAAUUUAGCUAUGACUCAAACAACUCUAUGUGGUUAUUUCUUGUCAAAUAUUUUGCAUUACUUAUCACAUACGAAAACUAACACAUCUGCCUUUGAGUGGUUUUACUUAAAAAAUAGUAGAAACUACUCCGUGUUGAUAUAAGCUAGCAGAACAUCCCUACAUCACCCGGUCAAAAGCGUACAAAAUCCCAUUCUCUGACCAUCAUUCAAUAAUGACCAGAAAUGAUGAAGAAAAUACAUUGACCAUCAGGGACAAUCAAAUAGCGGAACAGAGUGAGAUGAUUGCGAAAUUCGCAAGAAAGCUUGAAAUGCUUCAGGAGGAAAUAAAUCAUGCUCGAGAUUUGGCUCACCUGGCCAUCACUGUUAAUGCUCCCGCUCCAGGAGGACACGGGACUCCACUCCAAAUCCCUUCCCUCAGUACGCCUAUUCUAGGGGAUCACCCAAAAAACAUAUCGUCCAUCUCUGCCCCUCUACUUGUCCAAAAUACCUGUCAUGAAAAUAACCCAGAUGCCUACCAUCCACAAAAUCCAUCACUAAAACCACCAAACCCAUCUUUAAAUCCAUUCCCAAAUCCCCAGAACCUAUUUGCAAAUCAACAAAAUUCGUGUCCAAAUCCACAAGAUUCACUCCCAAAUCCAAAAAAUCCAUCCUCGAAUCUUCCAUUGAAUCUAUCCCCGAAUCUACCAAAUUUGUUUCCAAAUUCACAAAAUCUAUCUCAGAUGCCACCAAGAUACUCGCAAAUUUCAUAAAACCUUUCUAAAUUUCAAAACGUCCUCCCCACCUACCAACUAACUUUCUUUCAUCCGCAAAAUCAAGCCUUCUUUCCAAAUCCUCCUCAUGCCAUCAUAUCCCCUGACAUCUAUAAUCCCCUUCCUAAUCCCGAGAUGGACCAUUCCGAAGAGAAGGAGAAAGAGUGGAGGACCAUGCAUGAAAUGAAGUUGCUAGCUAUGUUUGAAGAAAUCAGGAGGAUCAAAGAAUCUCAUGGAGCGAGGGACCAUGAUGGUUUAGGGUACAAUGACUUAUGUGUUCACCCUAGAGUAGAUCUACAACAAGGGUAAAAGGUCCCUAAAUUUGAUGUGUUUGAUGGUGUCGGAAAUCCAAUGGCCCAUAUGAGGGGGUACUACAAGCAACUGGUGGAGAUCGAGAAAAAUGAGGUGUUACUGAUGUACCUAUUCAACCAAAGUUUAAGCAGUGAAGCCUUAGAGUGGUUCAUGUCUCAGCAGCCGAAAAGAUGGACUGGUUGAAAGUAUUGGUCAAGGGUUUCCUCGACAGGUUCGCAUUCAACAUUGAAAUAGUCCCGGACCAGUGUUCACUAGAUUGAAUCAAACAAAAGAGUGAUGAGUGUUUCUGAGACUAUGUUUUUCAUUGGAGGAAGGAAGCUGCCAAAGUACAACCCCUAUGUCCGAGGAUAAAAUGCUAUCUGUGUUCUCUUGCGCUUAAGAAGGAGAAUAUUAUACCAGGAUGGUGUCCGCUGUCAGGGCGACUUUCACGGAUUUUGUACAAAUAGGAGAAUAAUUGGAAGAGGUAUUCGGAUAGGAAAAAUUGCGAAAAAACCGACAUCAUCCGGGACUACUAUGUUCUCGAAGAAGAAAAAGGAAGAUGUAGGCACAAUUUCUGCUGGUUUUGUUGCAAAAACCAAAAACAGGUUCAACUCUAGGAAUGCUUUCUCUUCUCCGUCCUCACCAAACCUUCAGCAUGUGUUCUACGCCCACCGCCAAUACCAAGAUCCACUUUCAAAUGUCCAACCUCAGUACCAAACUCUACUCCCAAACAUCCCAUCUCUGUACCAAACUCCACUUCCAAACAUCUAAUCCCAAUACCAAGCUCCACAACUAAAUAUCUUUCCCCAAUACCAAGUUCAACCUCCAAAUUAUCAGUCUCAUGUCCAAUCCACUCUUUCAAAGAAUAGAAUAAAUAUCCAAUAACCUCUAAAUUAUCAUCAAGUACCUCCUCCUGCAAACCAAAGCCACUAUAACCUCCCACAUCUAAACUACGAAAAAAAACCUCCGCGAAACUUCACACCACAAGCUGAAAGUUGCACUCAAAUGUUUGAAAGACUAAGAACGCUGGUCAUUUGCAAUUGAUAUAGUCAAAUCCUGUCAAUCCCAACUCCCAAUUUUAUCAUCCUGAUCAAAAUUGUGCCUAUCAUUCAGGAGCAGUAGGGCACAGUACCAAGGAUUGUUUUAUCUUGAAACACAGGAUCCAAGAUUUGAUUGAUCAAAAGUUUAUCACGCUUCAGUCAACAAUCCAAAAUGUCAACAAAAACCCAUUGCCUAAUCAUGGGGGACCUACAAUUAACAUGAUUGAAAUGGAAGGAGAAUGGGCAUCUGGCAAGACUAUUACUAAGGUGAAUUUAGAAGAGUGCAAAAGGGAGAAAGAGGUAGAAAAGAUAGAGAGAGUUGUAGCUACCUUAAGUUUCAAUGAGAAAGCCCCAUUUAUAGUGAUUAUGGCCUCGAUCCAAGUGUAAAAUCCCCCGCCAAGGAAGGAAUUUAUUGUUCAGACCGCUGCUGCCCAAGGGAUAACGCGGUCAGGACGAUGCUACAUCCUUCAAGAAUUUACCAACAAAAAUGAUUCACAGAAAAGGCCAAUCACUAAAGGGGAGGCUAAGGAAUUUUAGAGGCAUAUGCAACCCAAAGAUUAUCUAAUUGUCAAACAUUUAGAGAAGAUGCCAGCCCAAAUCUCCAUUUUGGCACUAUUAAUGAGUUUACAAUACCUUCGACAAGCUUUAUCGAAGGUCUUGGACGAAGCGUAUGUUCCUGUAGGAACGAGUAUUGAGAACCUAGCUGCGAUGAUAGGAAGCAUUAUGGGGAAUUUUUGCAUAUUAUUCAGUGAUGAAGAGUUGCCAUUUGAAGGAGCGAUGCACAACAAACCCUUGCAUGUCAUUGUCAUUUGCCGAUAUUAUGCGAUUAAUCAGGUAUUAAUAGAUGAUGGAUCUGGUAUGAAUAUUUAACCCCUCUCCACGUUGGUUCAAAUGGGCCAUGAUUUGGGAAAAAUUCGUCAAAGCCACAUAAAUGAGAGAGCAUACAAUGGAGGGUAGAGAGAUACCAUAGGAUAAAUUUAUUUGUUCAUCCAAAUGGGACCUUCUGAGUUCACAACUAUUUUUCAUAUUAUGGAUAUUCAUCCUAGCUACAACCUGCUCUUGGGAAGACCAUGGAUACAUAGUGCAAAGGCCGUUUUAUCACCCCUUCAUCAACUAUUGAAGUUCAUUUGGGAGGACCAUGAAGUAGUCAUCCAAGGGGAAGGAAGCCGAGCAGAUCGUCCCAAUGAUUAUGUGCCAGUGAUUGAAGAUGUUCCAAAGGGUAGUAGUUUCAGUACGGUUAAAAUUAUAAAUAUUGUGGAGAAGGAUCUGACGCUCAAAGAGCCAAUGCCUUCUAUCUACAAAAUGAUUGCGGCGGUGAUAUUAAGAAAUAGAUUCCAGCCUGGUCGGGGUUUUGGUAAUAAUCUACAAAGAAUUAUUGAGCCUGUUAUAAUCCCAGAGAAAGCCUCUAUGUAUGGGUUAGGAUAUUAGCCUACCGAGAAGGAUAUGGUUGAGGAUAAGUCAGAGAAGAGUUUGUGUAGGCCCUUUCUGCUCCUGUACCAGUCAUUUCCUGUAUGGGAUGUGUUCAAUAAUAAUGGUAUUGAGGAUGGGAUAGGAGAUUUGUUCGAGGUUUGCAAUGCUGUACCAGAAGAUUUCCCAAAAUCCGGCGGGGUGAAGAAGAUUGCGCCAGUUGAGGCCUUGCAAAAAUGGACCUCCACUCCACUCAUAACCCAUCGCCCAUUGUGGUAGAUGAAAGGGCAAUUACUAAUAGUUUUAAAAUCAGUGAUGAUCCGAAAGAGGCCCCGCGAUCCACCUUUUAUAUCUCAAAACUUUCUUUUUGUAUUUUACUGCUUCCGAAAAGGUAUGGACUUGUAUUUCCGCUAGUCAUGAGCCAUGGAUUUGUAAUUAUCUCAAAAAUUUCAUUAAAAAGUCCUUCAUUAAUUUAAAAAAAAUUAUUAUUCUUGAAACAUUCCUAUUCGUAUAUUUUAUUAUUAUCUCACUAUCAUCUAACUUGGUUUGUUUGUCCAUUACAGUAAUAGUAACCUAAAAUCUGCCAAUGUCAUGUUAUGUCAAAGCUUAGAUGAACAAAAUGAAGGGAAUGAUGAUGAUUGGAAGGACAGUGAUGAGGAACAAUUAGUUGAAGAUAUAGAUGAGUUUGAGAAUCGAGAAAAGCCUAACCUAGAGGAAACUGAAAUAGUCAACCUUUGAGAUCAUGAUGAAAUCGAAUAAACAAGUGUCAGCGUCCACCUGGCAAAAGCACAAAAGAGAGAGCUCAUUCACCUGUUGCGGGAAUAAAUUGACGUGUUUGAUUGUGUCCUAUGAUGAUAUGCUGGGAUUGAGCACCAGUAUUGUGUCGCAUAAGUUAUCGAUAAAUCCAGAGUUUGAUCCAGUCAAGCAAAAAAUGCAGAAAUUUAAGCCAUAUUUAACUUUAAAGAUCAAGGAAGAAGUGACAAAACAAAUCUAGUCUAAGGUUGUGGAGGUCACAAAAUAUCCGACGUGGUUGGCCAACAUCGUCCCUGUGCCGAAGAAGGACGACAAUAUUCAAAUUUGUGUUGACUAUAGAGACUUGAAUAGAGCCAGUCCUAAGGAUAAUUUUUCAUUGCCUAACAUCCACAUCCUCAUCGAUAACUAUGAAAAGCAUUAAAUAAAGUCCUUAAUUGAUUGUUUCGCCAGGUAUCAUCAGUUAUUGAUGGAUGAGGAAGAUACAGAAAAUAUGGCUUUUAUUUUUCCCUAGGGUGUUUAUCAUUAUAGGCUAAUGCCGUUUAGUCUCAAGAAUGCGGGUGCAACAUAUAUGAGGGCUAUGACGAUGAUUUUCCAUGAUAUGAUCCAUAAAGAGAUUGAGGUGUACAGGGAUGAUAUAAUUAUCAAAUCCAGUGAGAGUUUGAAUCAUCUGAAUUAUCUAGAGAAAUUCUUCAACAUAUUAAGAAAGUAUAGUUUGAAGUUAAAUCCUGCUAUGUUUGCUUUUGGUGUGCCAUCAGGGAAGUUGCUGGGGUUCUUAGUUAACAGAAGAGGCAUCGAUUUAGACCCAUCCAAAAUUAAGACAAUCCAGGACCUCCCACCGCCGAGGACCAAGAAGGAAGUUAUGAGUUUCAUGGGUCAUUUGAAUUACAUUAGCAGGUUCAUCUCUUAAUCGACAGUUAUAUGCGAGCCAAUUCUCCAGAUGUUGAAGAAAAAUGCAUUGAAUGAGUGGACAGAAGAAUGUCAGAGAGCUUUUGACCACAUCAAGGAAUAUCUGUCUGCACCGCCGGUUUUGGUUCCACCAAGAGAAGGAAUUCCAUUAUUGCUCUACCUGUCAUUCUCAGAAAAUGCUUUUGGAUGUGUCCUCAGGAAACAUGAUGUGAUCAGACAUAUCCUAAGGAUACAAAAUGAGUUUUCUGAUGCUAUGGACACUAUAUCCUCCAUGAUUCGGCACCCAAAUCAGAGUUAAAUUGAUCCUUUGGAAAUAAUCUUGAAAUGCAUUGUGAACGUGUUGAAGAGGAGCCCGAUGGAAAGCCAUAGUACUAUGACAUUAAAAGGUAUUUAGAAUCUGGAAUAUAUCCUUAAGAGGCCAACCACAACGAAAAGAAAACAAUCCGGCAUUUGGCAAAAAACUACUUUCCAAGUGGGGAAUUUCUGUUUAGAAGGACGCCUAAUUUAGGAUUUUUAAGAUGCGUAGAUGCUGCAGAAACCAAUAAAUUGAUAAAAAGUACACGCAAGAGUUUGCGGACCCUAUAUGAAUGGGUUUGUCCUUGCCAGAAAGAUCCUGAGAACAAGCUACUUCUGGAUGACUAUGGAGAAUGAUUGUAGUAAGUAUGUGCAGAGAUGUCCGAAAUGUCAGACACACAGAGAUUUGAUUCGAAUGCCUCCACACGAGCUUCAUGGAAUGAAUUCACCUUGGCCUUUCGUAUCUUGGGGUAUGGAUGUUAUUGGACCGAUAGAGCCAUCAGCAUCGAAUGGGCAUAGAUUUAUUUUGGUUGCCAUUGACUACUUUACUAAGUGGGUCGAAGCUGCAUCAUACAGAGCCAUCACUAAGAAAGUGGUUGCAAUUUUAUCAGGAAUAACUUGAUUUUUUGAUUCGAAGUGCCGGAAUCAAUCACUAAUGAUAAUGGGGAAAACUUGAACAAUCAAUUGAUGAAAGAAAUUUGUGAUCAGUUCAAAAUCGUACAUCACAACUCGACCGCAUAUCAUCCACAGAUGAAUGGAGCCGUAGAAGCUUCCAAUAAGAACAUCAGGAAGAUCUUGAGAAAGAUGGUCGAAAAUGAUAGAUCAUGGCAUGAGAUAUUACCUUAUGUUUUUCUAUGAUAUCGCACAACACUUCGAACCUUCAUUGGGACAACUCCCUAUUUGCUGGUUUACGGGAAUUAAGCUGUGAUACCUGCUGAGGUUGAAAUACCUUCCCUAAGGAUUAUUCAAGAAGCCGGACUAAGUAACGAAGAGUGGGUUCGCGCUCGUUGAGAACAACUCAUGUUGAUUGAUGAAAAGAGAAUGGUUGCCAUGUGUCAUUGUCAGUUAUAUCAGCACAGGAUAAUUCGUGCUUUCAAUAAAAAAGUGAGAGCUCAAACAUUUCAAGUUGGGAAAUUAGUUCUCAAAUGCAUACUCCCUCACCAAGAAAAGUACAAAGGCAAGUUCACUACAAAUUGGCAAGGCGCAUACAUAGUUCGCAUGGUACUAUCUGGAGGGGCUCUGAUUUUGUCUGAGAUGGAUGGCCAUGAGUGGACCAAACCAAUCAAUUCUGAUGAGGUGAAAAGAUACUAUGUUUGAAGGGAGUUCUAGUUUUAUGGUUCUUAGUUUAUCUGUAAUCGCCGUGUAAUAAUGUGUUUUAUGAUGUGUAAUUGCCUAGAACACCUUUCCCUUUAUGUACGAACUACGUUUGACCUGAAUUCCCAAGAAAGGGAUACGUAGGCGGCCCAUGUCGGCUUCAGUCAACCCCUUAAAAAAUUUAUCCUUUCCCUUAUUUAUGAACUAUGUGAUGACUUGAAUUCCCAAGAAAGGGAUACAUAGGCAGCCAAUGUUAGCUUCUGUCAACCUAUUAAUUUCUUUUGUAUAUCCCUAGCGUAGUCCUGAACUAUGUUUGAUCUGAUUCCUGCUUUAACAGGAUACGUAGAUGCCCCAAUGGCUCAGUCAUAUAAACCCAGGAAAUGAAAACUAGGGCACAAUUUUUGAGAAGGAAUCUCUAAAAUUCACAAGAGAAGAUCAACAUCCAACAAAGAGAAUGAAGAUCAACAAAGAUUUCAGAUCCACUCAAGAUGAUAUCAUCACAGAUUACUUUAAAUUAGGAUAGAAAUUUUUAGGGAGGCCAUAAAAUUUCAAUCAAAUACUGGAAUAUAUUUCAGAUUCCCCAGCACUAGAGGUCGAAGUUUAGAUUUGAGAAUAACUACCUGUGAUAAAGUCUAGGAAGACUAAAUCUCUAUCUUUGAUAAAACCUUUGGUAGAGAGCCUCGAUAAUGAAGAAUCCCUAGCUAUCCUCCGUCAUACGUCAGACAUUGUAAGAAUCAAGAGAAAGAAGGUCGUUGAGCUAGCACAUGACAUGACUGGCAAGGAUUUUUCAAAGUUUUGCAGGAGUUCUCAAAACUAUUUUCUAAAAGUUGAGAGUACUUUCAAAAAAUAUAUAUAAAUCUUUUACUUAGUGAUUGCCAAGACAUUAAUUAGGAUGGAGAGUGAUGGGUGGAAGUCCCAAUCAAAUACCUAAAAGAUGGCGAAGGGAAAAUCAAUGAUCGAAGGAGGUCAACACGGAGUAGUUUCACUCAAACUAAUAAUUUUCUGUGGCCGCAGGGACCAAUACAUAAAAAUGAGGGUCUCUUUCAAAAAUUCCCGAGCGAAUUGGGAGCCACACCAGAGCACUAAUUCUUAAGAACGGUAUUUUUGGGUAGCCCUAAAAAUGGGUUUAGUACCCAUAUAUUGAAGACCUUUUGAAGUGUCCAUCUUAUUUCUUGAGAUCAGGGAGGACAAGCAAAAGUGUCUUGUGUUCUUUACAAAUAUUGUAUUUAGAAUUUUUCUAAAAAACAGUCGCUAGCAAAAGCGACUUUGUGACUACUAAUCGUCUACCUUGAGUACAGGUAUAUGCUGAAAGCAAGACCCUGACAAAUGAUUUUAGGUGAAACUAUUUUUAAUUUACUGGAAGAACCAUUGCAUAUCAUUACCGAAAGGAUCAUUGCAUAAUAUCGCAAAGAAUCUUAUACCAUUUCCAAAGAAGGAUAUUCAAUAUCUGUUGAUACACUAGACACAACGUUGGCGUCAAGGAUAUCACAACAUUCAAUAUGUCUGUUGACACGCAAGACACAAUGCUGGCGUCGAGGAUAUCAUCAUCAUUUUAUAUAUCUGUUGACACGUAAUACACAACGCUGGCAUUGAGGAUGUCAUCAUCAUUUUAUAUCUGUUGACACGCAAAACACAACGCUGGCGUCGAGGAUAUCAUCAUCAUUCAAUAUCUAUUGAUGUGCUAGAAAGAAACGCUGGUGUCGAGGAUAUAAUCAUUAUUCAAUAUCUGCUGACAUGCUAGACAGAAAUGCUGGCAUCAAGGAUAUCUCAUCAUUUUAUGAAUCAACAUUUGAAUGCAUCGAGAGUAUUUGAUUUGAAGGGAUGCCUUUAAAACUCUACCUAAGGAUGAAUGAUAUAUAAGAUUUCCUAGAAAUUGACAAUUUGAGGGUCAUCUAUAAGUCAUAUUAUUCGAAAUAGGAUAGUUCAAAGGUUAUCCAUAAGUCGCAACUAAAUCCUUACCGGAGAAUAUGCAAGAUUAUCAAACUGAUAAGUCUAAGGGUUCUCUAUAAGCCGCGUCAUAUCCAAGACCAAUUAUGUGCAGGAUUACCUAAUGAUUAACAAUAUGAGAGAUUAUCUAUAAGUCAUAUUGUAACCAAGGUCGGAUGACGUGGAGGAACACCUGAAAGGUAGCGAUUAGAAAGAUAUCUUUAAGCCAUCUCUUAUCCAAAGUCAGAUAAUGUGCAGUAUUACCUAAAAGCUAGAAAUUCAAAGGAUAUUUGUAAGUCGCCUCAUAUCCAACAUCAAAUAAUGUGUAAGAUUAUCCAAAGAUUAAAAAUUUAAGAAAAAUUUAUACAUCAAUCGUCGGCUAUAACAGGAGAGGUUAUCAUUCCACAUACAACAAGUGAUAUAGGUAACCAAAAGGGUUUCCACACCAGCACAAGAUUACACGAUUGUAGGGACCGUUCUGCAUAAAGUAUCUACAAUCAACAAAUGUCAUAAUUAUACAACAACCAAGAGGGUUGUUGUGUUUGUUGUUGCCAGAUAUUUCAUUCCAAACAGGUACAUAAAGAGAUGAUUUCGCUUUUCAGGCCACAACUUACGUGGAGAUAUGGUAAAAGACUACAUACCUUUUUCGUGAAUUAUGCUUAGCAAUAACACUUUUUCUUAAAGCAUUGUUGAGAGCAUCCGAGAGGAUGAAAAUCUCAAAUAAAAACAACAGGUGCGGAUCACUUCAGAUAGAACGCAGCAUAAUGUGGAACUUUUUUUUAGCAGCAAAAUAGGACAUAGUCUAAAGAGGGAUGUCAAACUCUCUGGAUGCGAGCUAAAGGAUAAUCACCAUCACCAUCUAACCACGCCCCAAUUAGAAGGCAUGUGGUUAUUUUCGGGAUAUUCUGGUUUCCGCCUCAUCUUUGAGAUAUUUCUAAACUCAUAUCGAGGGUAACCUCCUCUUUCUUUCAAAGUCGGGUGACAACAACCUCAGAGUUUGGAAAUUAUGUCCGCGUAAGUUAUUUUCUAUGGUUGUGAAGGAUCCCACAUUCAUGUUUAAGAGGUUACAAUCCUCUUUUCCAAAACUCGACCAACUUGUCACUCAUCCUGAGCCAAAGAUCGUCUACAAUAAAAGACUAUCAUUUCUACCGAUCGAGUCAAACUACAAGUACUCUGAUUUCCUAAAAUCUUGGGGAUAUGUAGGUUGGGAUCUAUGUAGAAAACUCGACUACAUUCCAACCUCCCCCCUAAUCCCUUUAUUCCCCAGUUUCUUGGUUUUAUCAAAAACUCUAAAACCGAGAUAGUUGAUGAAUUUUCUUAAAAAUCGUGCUUAAAAUCAAGAUUUAUGAACUGCAAGUGGCCUAAAUUCUCAUGAAAACUGAGAUAUGUAGGAAACCUGAUACCAAGGAUCGGCCAUAACUACAUGAAACUCGUGAGGAAAACCAACCUCUCUUAGAUACGAAUUUGUGGUCGGACAAAAAUUGUGAACGUCAACCUCCAUUUGCCCAGGAAUACUUACAUCCAUCCUGCCCAAAGGGAGGGGGAAGUUGUUCACACCUAAGUUUUUGCCCUCCACAACUAAAUUUAAUCCUAAGUUUCUUCACUUUUUAAUAAAAUCGGAAUAUUUAUUUCAUUCGAAUAAAAUUUUUUCAAAAAUAUAUUUGUACGUAAUUUUGUCAUCUUAAGUAGCAAUUAUAUAUUUUCGUGUUCAAAUAUACAAUAUUAUAUGUUUUGAUUACUUAGAUAUUUACUCUAUGAAAUAUUAGAUUUCAAUUAAGGAUCAUUUCAAAAAAUAAUAAUUAAAAUCUUGAUCUAAAUAUAAUUUAAUCUCGAAAAUAAUUUAUUUGAAUAAAUAUGCGUUUGAUUUUAUUAAAUCAAGAAGCUCAGGAUUAAACAAGGUGUUAAUUCGUAUCAAAUUUCGAUUUAAUUUAGUCAAUUUAUUAAAUUAGACCUUAAUUGAAAUUAAUUUGACCAUAAUUGCAAUGUAAUUGGUCAAUUUAAUUCGAAUUAGGCUAAAAUUUAAAAAUGAUUGUCUAAAUUUUCAUCCAUUGGCUAUUUGAUAAAUAGCCUAAAUCGCUACAUUACUAAAAUCCUAAUUCUACCCAACAAUAUUCAGAUCACUCCAGCCCAGUUCCUUUUCAUAUUAACAGGCCCAAAAUCCCCGACCCGGCCUACCAUCAACAAAUCCCCCUUUCUCCCUUAAUCAGCAAGAACUAGUCCCCAACGCAAAAAUCAAUCAAAAAUGGCGUACAUUCAAGGAACUCGAACAACAAUGACAAGCUCGAUUCAGUGAAUCCACCAUGGAACCAACCCGAUAUAGAUCCUAAACCGUUCUUUUUCCCUCUUUCACGCGUCUCACGCGCCAGUAGCAUAAGGAAAACCCUAGAAUCUUUUACAAAAUGGGAUAGGUGUCUUAUCCAAGGGUUCAAUCCUACAAAUUUCGGGGUAACUCGUACGAUCUCGUACAAUAUUUGGCUUAUUUCCAUAGGUUUUGGGGAAGAAUUCAUUUUCCCCUAAAUCUCAUUGGUCCACCAAUUUCAAUAUUAGUACAAUCGAUUGAUGAAACCCUAAGCGGUGAGAGGAUUUUUUAAUUUCAAAAUUCAAAAACAUCCUUCUUUUAAAUCACCAAAAGACCCCUAAUUUGGGGGAUAUAAAAAGACCCCUUGGGUCACUAUUCUGGGAGUUAUUUUCUCUUCUUUGAGGUAUUUUUGGUUUCUUCUCUCCUCUGCUUUCCCUUAGGAGUUAGAAGAAAGAAAAAGAAAAGAUUUCUGAAGAAAGAUUAAAUUUUUGAAGUUUUUCGGUGGUCAUGAUCCCCGUAUCAGUUCAUCGUCUUGUUUUGCUGCUCCCAAAAAGGUAACGUCCUGUUUUCGCUUAAUUUCAAUUAUAUUUCUACUCCCUCUCAUUAUUUUGUAGUAAUGACUGUUAUUUCAAAGAUUUUGUAAGUUGGGUUGUCUGCUGUAGAGGUCUUCAAGACCACAGGUUUCCAUUUUAGUGAAAGGCAAUGUUUCUUUGUAGUGCUACGUUGGGAUGAAAUCCUGUUGUGAUUGUAUGACAUGUGGUUUUCAUCAUCUUUAGAUCUCGAUUUCGUGAUUGUUCAUCUACUCUCAGCAUUACUGAUUAAUUUCUGUCCUAAUGUAUCUUCGUGUGGACUAUCUACGAUUUGAAGAAGUUAAAGAUUCAUAUUUUGAUUCUCGCUUAACAAUUUUCAUCCUCUUGUUGCCUUGAUUUGUAGUUGUUGUUUUAUAAUCUUAAGUGCUGAGUGUAGCUCGUUGGGAGGCUAUGAAAGCCCCAAGUUUCAUAUGAUAAACUGUGAGCUUUCAAACUUUGUUGUUGUUUCGGCAUUUAGGACAUAUUGAUUUUUAGAGUUUCUGAUUUCGUUAUAAUUCAUCUGGGAGCAUUUGCUUUUGUUCAUACAAUGUUUUUGAUGAAACUUUUCUUCGAAUUCGACUUUCGUGAAUGCCGUAUUGUUUAAAUGAUGACCUUCUAGCCUAAGGAUUGUUGCUAAUAUCCUGUUCUAAAAAAAAAAGAAGGGUUACUGAGUCACUUUAUUCCUGUAAAUGAUUGAGUAAAAGUGCAGUGUUUCUUUUCUGUUAUAAAGGAUGAUAGGGCCAAAGGGUUUUGCAUUCUCUUUGGGAGUUGCUAUUAGGAGCCUCCUUUGUGACCUUUAUUUAUAAAGGUGAAAUAAAAAUAAGUCGAUUCUAUUUAUAGUAUAUUCUCUCACUUCACCUGCUUUGAUAUGAGUUUAACACAUACACUUAUAGUUAUUAGUUGAAAUUGUUUCAUAAAAAAAAAAUUAGCUUUUCGUGCAUCGUUACUAACUCGUAUGAUCUGUUAUAUCUUCUUUAUGAAACUUUUAGGAUCCUGUUUGUUUGUCUAUUAAAUACAUCUCUUCCCACAUCAUCUUAUUGAUGUUGGGGGUAAAAAAUGUUUUUAGUUACAUUGCUUCUCCCCUAUUUCCUAUUUACUUCAGUACCUAAGGUUAAGAGUUUUGGAUCCGUUUGAAUAUCGAAUAGUUUCCACGUUUUAUUUAAAGCCAUCCUUUCUUUUUCGUAUUAUCGUUUGCUAAAAAAUUUUUGAUAGGAUAAAAGUUUUUUGUGUGCUGUAUGUAUGGUGACAUGCCUAAUAAUGUGCUUACUUUGUGGGAACAUGUUGUUAUUUCUUCUCUCAAAGAUAGGUCUAGUAAAUUUGGGAGAAAUUCUAUUGUAGUUGCUUCCUGAUUCUUCCCAACUCUUUGUUGUUAUCUUGAGUUUUAGUAAUAGCCAUCUAUACCUAAAAGGGCUAGAGAACAUUAAUCACCAAAUGAAAAAAUAUAUAUAUAAUAAUAAUAAUGAUUAACUCCUACGCACAUUAAAUUGGUCUGAUUGCUAUUUUCCAUCACAAUGCAUGUGUGAAGUUGAUUCAUUUCUCUUGAAAUUCUAUACUUUGAACCAUUGUGGGUUCCUUUUCAUCGAUUGAUCCAUCAUACUACUUAUUUGUGUGGCGUUUGGUAUUCUGGAUACGUUUUGAUUUCCUUUAUCUUUUUCCUUGAAGUGAAUACGUUUUGGAGUGCGAAUGGAUUCUUUCCCAUUGCAUCUCUUAAUGGGCCAUUGAGGCCCUCCAUACCUAUCAAGUCAAGCCCCAAAAGAGAGCCUAAAAUGAAUUGCAUGGCGUACGGAUACGAGAAGUUGAAAAAAGAGAGAAAAUGGGUUAAAUCCCCAUCUUUAAAGUGGCGAAGAGACUCAAAAUUCUCAUUUAUUUACUUAUCGAUUUUAUUCAUUUUAUUCAUUUAUUUAUUCAUUUGGGCCACGAAGCCAAAGUUGUACUUAAUACAGGUGGAGCGAUACUCGAGCCAACGACUAGAAAACUAGACUAGGACAGGUGAAAUAGGUCGAAAGCCCAAUUAGACUAGGACAAGUCUUAUUGAUUUGGGCCCAGUGGCCUAAAUCCGUUACUUUCUCCCCUUCCCCUCUUUCUUUACGUUUCUUUACCUUAUGUGUUUUGGUGAACCUAGUUAAAUCCUUAGUCAAGUCGCUAAAAAGCUGGUUCUGCAUAAACACCAAAAUCCUUUUCUAAAAUUUCCUUCUUUUAAAAACUAAACCUUUUUCCAAAGUUAGCCAAAGACGAUUUCCAAACAGUCCGGAUAACCGCAGUUAGCGGAUGUUUUAGGUGCCUAACACCUUCCUAAAACGUUAAUAAGAAUUGCUUACUCAGAAUCUCUUAACUUAAACGAUUUUCCUCUUUUGGAUAAUUUGAAGUAACUCUAUAAAGUUUUCUUAAUUCCUUUUCAAAAUUAAGUGGCGACUCUCUUUCAAAAAUCAAAAUUUCUACAAAACAUGCUUCAGUAUAAUUCUCUGCCUCAAAUCAUCAACAUUCGGAAUACACAGUCUAGCAUCAAUCUCAACACACCAUCUCCCCCUUGGUAGAAAACCUCUACCUUCUGGUCCUUAAAUGACUCAUUUAGUCUGACCAAACUAGGAUCCCUGUCCUGCUUCUCCUUUACCUCCGAGACCAAAGAGGACUCAGAACUACUCUGAACUAACAUACUCCCUUUAGCGGAAUCAAGUAAUCUAACCCCCAACUUAGCCAAACGAUGCACAUCAUGAGCCAAUUCUUUCUUAUCAUUCUCUACAUGAACUAUACUACCCAUAACAACCUGCUAAGAGCAUCUGCCACAGCAUUGGCCUUGCCCGGGUGAUCCAUCACACUCAUAUCAUAGUCUUUUAGAAACUCUAACCAUCUUCUUUGUCUAAGUUUCAACUCCCUCUGUGUAAACACAUACUGCAGGUUUUUAUAAUCAGUAAACAGAUCAACAUGAACACCAUAAAAAUAAUGUCUCCAGAUUUUCAAAGUAAAAACUACAGUUACUAAUUCAAGAUCAUGGGUUGGGUAAUUCUUCUCAUGAGGCUUCAACUGUCUAGAGGCAUAAUAUAUAACUUUACCUCUCUACAUUAACACACAACCCAGACCAACUCUAGAAGCAUACAUAUACCACAAGACCAUCAGUACCAUCGGGUAAGGCUGACACUGGGGCUGAAGUGAGUCGAGUCUUCAACUCUUUAAAACUCUUCUCAUAGGCAUCUGUCCACUAGAACUUAACUUUAUUAUGGAUCAGUCGGGUCAUGGGGGACAUGAUAGAGGAGAAGCCCUCAAUAAAAAGACGGUAGUAACCAGCUAGACCCAAGAAACUCCUAAUAUCAGACGGGGAGGUAAGUCAAGGCCAAUUCUUCACAUCUUUUGUCUUUUGAGGAUCAACUCUAAUACCUUCGAAAGAAAUAAUGUGACUUAGAAAAGAAACUGACCUUAACCAAAAUUCACACUUUAUAAAAGUUAGCGAAUAAUUUAUGAUCUCUAAGGGUUUCCAACACGAUUCGAAGAUGAUUCGCAUGGUCAUCCUUACUUUGAGAAUAUACAAGAAUAUUAUCUAUGAACACAAUAACAAACAAAUACAGAUACCGCUUGAAGACUCAGUUCAUAAGAUCCAUGAAAGCUGCUGGAGCAUUGGUUAACCCAAAGGACAUGACAAGAAAAUUAAAAUGACCAUAGCGGGUUCGGAAAGUUGUGUUUGGAAUAUCACACUCUCUCACUUUAAGCUAAUGAUAGCUGGAUCUAAGGUCUACUUUUGAGAAAUAACUUGAACCCUAUAGCUGAUCAAAUAAAUCAUCGAUUCUAGGAAGAGAGUAAUUGUUCUUAAUAGUCACCUUGUUGAGUUGACGAUAGUCAAUGCACAUACGAAAUGUACUAUUUUUAUUCCACACAAAUAGAACAGGUGCACCCCAUGGGGAAACACUGAGUCUGUUAAGCCAUUUUAUAAUAGGUCUUUGAGUUGCUCCUUCAACUCUUUAAGUUCUUCGGGAGCCAUACGGUAUGGAGGGAUGGAAAUAGGCUGAGUGCUAGGAAGGAGAUCAAUCCUGAAUUCUAUUUCUCUAUCAGGUGGGACCCAUGGAAGGUCUUCUAGGAAAACAUCAGGAAACUCUUUAACAAUGCUAACUGAUUGAAUAGUCGGAGUCUCAGACUUGAGGUCUUUAACUCGAACUAGAUGAUCGAUGCAACCCUUGAAAAUCAACUUCCUACUUUGAGGUAGGAUAUGAAAUGGCUCUUCGGAGUUACAGAACUCCCGAACCACUCAAACACGGGUUCGUUAGGAAACUAAAACUUGACCACUCGGGUAUGACAAUCUAUAGAUGCAUAGCAUGAGUGAAACCAAUCUAUACCCAGAAUAAUGUCAAAAUCAACCAUAUCUAGCUCAAUCAAAUCAGCACAUAUGACCCGAUGAAGGACAGUAACAAGACACUUCUUAUACACUCGCUUAGCAAUAACAAACUCUCCUAUCGGGGUAGAAACUAGAAUAGGCUAAGGAAUCCGUUUAGGGUCCAUCUCAAAAUUUAUAGCAACUAGAGGUGUCACAUAAGAGAAACUCGAACUGGGAUCCAUCAAUGCAUACACAUCAAAAUAAAAGACAUGGAGCAUGCCCGUUACAACAUCUGGAGAAUCCACUUACUCUUGGCAAGGUGGUAUAGCAUAGAAGCAAUUUUGGCGUGAACUGCCAACAGUACUAGAAGAGGCGCCCUGAGAAGGAACUGGGUGGACUACGAGAGCGGGGGCACUAGUAGCCUAACUCUGGGGACGAGCAUCUUGACUCCCCUGUCUAGCAUAUGGAUAAUCUCUAAGUUGGUGGCCCAACAUGCCACAACCAAAGAAACCUCUCUGAUCAACAAAACACUCACCAAAAUGAUCUCUACCACACUUGGCAUAUGAAGGAGGAUGAGGUCUGUGACUUACACUUUCCUGAUACCUGGAUGGGAUAGGCCUGUUCCCCUACUCCUACCUGCUUCUAGGUACGAGAGCACUAAUUGAGGAAGGCGCGGGCAUAAAUGGACAUAUCUAGAAUUAAGGGCGGCCCCCUCCAUAGAAUCUGGACUGACCGAAUCCCUGCUUCUCUGAUCUAGCUCUUUAAUUCCCUCUUACUCUCUCCCUCUCUUUCACCUUAUCAGCUUCAAUCUGUUGGGCAUGUAUCAUCAACUGAGAAAUGUCCAUCUCCUUAUUAAGCAUAGAAUAUUUACACUCUUUAACAAUGUAACUCGAAACACCAGUCACAAACUUACUCAUUAUGGUACUGGAGUCAGCCAUCAUACUAGGUGCAUAUUUGGACAAAUGAUUAAAUCUAAGGCAAUACUCUUUAACAGUCAUAGAUCAUUUUCUCAAAUUCAUGAAUUCCUCUAUCAUUGCUUCCCUCAUCUCAAAAGGAAAGAAUCUGUCCAAGAACGCAUCCUGGAAUAACUGCCAAGUCAUGGGAGCAACAUCCUCCCCUCUACUUUCCCUCUACACAUCCACCCAAUCAUAUGCAACAUCUUUCAUUCAAUAGGAAGCCAAUUCAACACUCUCCCCCUCAGUCACGUGCAUAAUCAGGGUGAUCUUUCUCACUUCAUCCAAGUACAUCUGUGGGUCUUCACCUACCUUCGACCCAUAGAUCCCAUAGAUCUCAGGUGGAUUCAUCCACAUAAAGUCUCUAACCUGAGCUGUAGAAGAAUUAUUCUCUUGUGGAGGCGGAACAGUAGACUGGUUGUUAGCUUAAGUAUUGGCAGUAAUUGCCUAGGGUAGCACCUGAAAAGCUGCCUAGAAAUCUGUAUGUGACACAUGCUCGUUCAGGGGAUCAACAGGUUGAGGUUGGUCGUUGUUUCUACGAGCUCAAUGAGGAGCUAUUUUCUAUCAUAAGAAAGCAUGAAUUAAUAGCAGAGAGAAACAGUCGUAGGUAUGAUAGACUUUUGAAAUAAAAAAAUGACAUUUCCUAUAAUGUCCCGUAGCCUUUUACUCAUAGAUGUGGCGCGCUACACACCGAUGAUCAAGACUCUAUGUAACGCGGCUUUCUAGACUCCCUAGGACUCUUCAAACCUUAAGCUCUGAUACCAAGCUUGUAACGCCCGAAGAUCCCAUCCCGAGAUGUCACACGGUGCUUAAGGCCACAUGCGGCCUCAAGCUCCCUCUAAACCUGUCAUAAAUUCUAGAACUCACUUUGACAAUAGUCAUGCUAAUAUAAGAGAGAAUGACAUAUCAUAAACAUACUGGAAUAAGAUACGAAACUAUCUUGUACAAUCCAAACUACUAAAAUUGUGCACAUACCAACCCUUUAGCCUAACAAAGCCUCUAUACAUCAAAAUCAAGGAGAAAUUGGGACAAACCCCCAACUGACUCAAACAGUACUGAAAGCCAUAACAACAAAAUGGUAUCACAAAAUUAUAAACACGGUCCUCGAACCAUGAGGACUUACCACUAAGCAGACGAAAAGAGACACCCGAAUAUCGCUAAUGCAGCUGAGUAGCUAAACCUACAUUACAAAAAAAUGUAGCCCAUAGUAAAAUAUAUGGGUCAGCACUUUGGAAUGUACUGAGUAUGUGGGGGUGCAUGGAACAAUGUAAAUAUCGUCAUCAAUUUCAUGAAAAUAUUCAUAUGUACAAUGAUGGCUCACUUGGCUUGAGUUAGAUUGAAACAUACUUUUCAUGAUAUCAUCAUAAAUAAAUCGUAUGAUAAAAACCUCAUAAAUCAUCAUAAACAACUCAACUUUUCAACUCAAGACUCAGAGUGACCUGUAAUUCAAGAAACUCAACUCUUAUGAACAUAGGAGGUUCUUAUAACUGACAUAAACCAUGUGAGCUACAUGGAGUCCAACAUUUUUCCCCCCUAAGGAGAGAAACCCACAAAAGCGGGAGCGUCCUACUCUUUCCAGGGAGUACAACCUAAAUUUAGUGAUCAAAAUCUCAUAUUCGGCCACCGGCCCACAAUUAUCAAUAUCAAUCCUACGGUGGCAUGUAGUUUUGGAGAAAAUACCAUAUUUUCCGGUCGGUGCUAAAUAUUACUCCCAGACACAAGCUCAGAACGCGUUAGAAAAUCUACCACAAACAUCUCGAGGGUCUAUCAUGAAGACCAAAUCAAAUCUCUUUCUCAUUUAUCAAAUCAUAAUCAAUAUGUGGAUUCCUAACUCGGCUCAAAUUAAAUCAAUCUUUCUCAAUAUCAAAAUGCAUCAAUUCAUUAAGUCAUGGCAACAUCAAUAAUUUUGAGGAAAUAUCAAGAUUCAUUGUAACAACUCAAUUCUCAUGAAUCAAUAUACUCAAUAAUCCAAUUUGUCAAAAGGAAGCUUAAAGCUUGACACAUAUCUUGAAAGCACUUGAAAUACCAACUCGUAAUAGAAAAUAGAAAUUCACAAUAUUAAAUAUCAAGUCAUAACUUGGAAAUUUUAAAAUAAUCAUGUAUAACAAAGUUUGAAUGAUUUAUAUUCUCAUAAUCUCAUGAUGAAGUAAUUUGGGUAUAAACCCACUUGCAAAAUCAUAUAAAUUCAAAAUAAAAAUCAAAGCUUUGACCACAAGAACAAAAGAAUUGCUAUUGUUUAAAACCCCACAUACCUUAAUCUUUGAAAUUGGUUGAACUUUAGUGCUUGAGACUUUACUCACACUUGUAAUAAAAAAAAUUCUUGAAGCCCACUCUAUGAGGAACUUGAUUCUUGAAGGAAUCUUGAAGAUUUAAGGAUGAUUUUUGGAAGAUUAAUUUCCUUAAAUAAAACCCUAGAUAUAUUUCUUAAGAGAAUUGGAAGAGAGAAAUGAAGAAAUUAGGUUUUGGAUGAGGAUUCUCAUAUAUAUAGAGGCCUCCAAAAAUGGGAAAUGACUAAAAUACCCUUCCAAAAAUCGUCUAUCAAUUGCUGAGAAAAAUAGAUGACGACAUCCGUGAUAAGUUGUUAGGCCCGUGAUAGGCCGACACUAAUUGUCAUCACAAAAAGGGUAGCCCGUGAUAGGCCGACACUAAUUGUCAUCACAAAAAGGGUAGAUUUUAUGACUUUCUGCAUUAAGGUGACGACAUUUUGUAAUGGGCUAUCAGGUUUGUGACAAGUCAUCACAAAAGGUCGUCACGAAUUUUCCAGGCUGACAUGCUACAGUAAAAUAAGCAUAACUCUUUGCUCUGAUAUCGGAUUUUGACGAACUGGGUAUAGUUGGAAAGAAAAUUCAAUUAUCUAUCUUUUGGUAGGUCAUGAUAUAAAUAAUUCAUAGUACAACGGGAGAUAGCCUCAUUUAAAUUUGACUAUGCCAAAAUCCUUCUCAAGAAUUCAAUCGGUAAAGAAUGUUUUGAUUCGCCCAAGCGUUAGGACACCUUUAAAGGCUUAAUACACAUCACCCUUGACCAGAAAACAACCAGAAAACUAUAAUUUAUUUCUCAUGGGCUUGAGUCAUGUCGGCACUAUUGGUUAGAAUCUUAGGGUAUUACAUUAUUACUUUUAAUUAUCUUUGCUAUUUACCUUUCUGCAAAUAUAAUGAAAAUUUAUAUUAUAACGUUAUAAUUCAAUCAAAAAAAAUAUUUGAGAUUAACCACAUAUUUUUGAUAUUAAAUGAUGUAUUAUUAUUAUUAGUAGUAGUAGUAGUAGUCGUAGUAGUGGUAAAUAUGUAUGUUCUACUAUUACUACUAAUAUUAUAAGUUAUCUUUUAAUAAUUAUUAUAACUUAUUUAAUAUUUUAAUAUAAUUGAAAUAUAUAAAUUUAUGAUAUAAUUGGAGAUGUCUUAGGUCUUUACAACUAUGAUUUUUUUUAAUUUUAAACUAAUGAAUUAUUUUUUAAAAUUUUCAAAGCCUACUAUUUUGAAGUUCAUAUAUUUCUGUUAACAUAGUGAAUUACUUAUGUAGGACUUAAUUACCUGUAUAGCUCACUGCUAAACUAACUACUAAAAAAUACGCUACUACCUACAUUAAUAAGAUAUAGAUAAUCCCUAAAUUAAAAAAACUGCAUAACUCUAUUUGAGGCCCUUUCAUUAUUUACUUUUUGCUUCUUAGAUUUAAGUGGGUAAACAGAUGAAAAGAAAAAAGAAAAGACUCUCACAACUAGUUCCCCCAGAAGCACCUCUUUAGAAGAACGGUGAUGUUGAAGCAACUCAUUUUCAGAUUCAAGCAGUCUUUUGUUUUGUUCCUCCUCAGAAACAAAAGCAUGAGCUGGGGCAACCAUUUUCUUUUCUCACAGGAGAUGAAGAACAAGAAAAACACUGCAAUUUAAAAUUAGGCUUUAAAUUUCAAAAACAAAAUAAGAAAUUAUGAUAGCAAAAGGGGAAAACAAAGUGCAUAAAGACCUCACCAAUUGUAGGAUACAAAGGAUGAGAGAGAAAGAGGAAAGAGGGUUAUAUUAAAAAUGGAACGAAUACAGUGGAGGCAGAGCACAUCUAUCAAAUAUUCUUUAAAAACACACUAGCUACAUCACCGACGUCUCAAAAUCAAGGAAACUUUUUAUCCUGUUCAAAAAAAAAUUUCAAAGUGUGUGUGUAGGACUGAGGUUGUCUUAACUGCGUAAUUGAUUUGCCCUCUUAAAAUCUUUAUUUUUAUAUUUCUUUUAAUUGAACACAAUUUUAAGAGGCCAAACUAAUUUACGCAGUUAAGACAACCUCAAUCCUACUCACACAUUUUGAAUUUUUUUUUAAAUAAGAAAAACAACUGCCUUGAUUUUGAAACAUAGGUGAUGUAGCUGGUGUGUUUUUAAAGAAAAUUGAUAGAUGUGCUCUGCCUCUGCUGUAUUCGUUCCAUUUUUCAUAUAACCCUCCUUCCCCUCUCUCUUGUACAUUGUAUCCUAGUACUGGUAAGGUCUUUUUGCACUUUGUUUUUGCCUUUUUACUCUCUUGAUUUCUCAUUUUAUUUAUGAGAUUUAAAGCCUGGUUUUAAAAUUGUAGUGUUCAUCUUGCGCUUCAUCUGCUGUAAGAAAAGGAAAUGUCUGCCACGGCUCAUGCUUUUGUUUUUUAGGAGGAACAAAAUAUAAGAUUGUUCGAAUCUGAAAAGUAGUUGCUUCAAUAGCACCCUUCGUCUAAAAUGGUGCUUCUAGGGAAACUAGAUGUGAGAGCCUUUUCUUUUCUCUUUCCAUCUGUUUACCCACUUAAACCUAAGAAGCCAAAAGUAAAUCACAAAGGGGCUUCAUUUAGAGUUAUGCAAGUUUUUUUACUGUAGGAAUUAUCGAAGUGGAAAUCUAUAUAUUAUUUAUUCAUGUAUUAACGUAUUGCUUGGUAGUUGAUUUAGCAUUGAGUUAUGCAGGUAAUUAAGUCCUACAUAGUUAAUAUUCAAAUAUUAGUAGUUGGUUUAGCCUACGUUUACUCCUAUUAACAUAGAAUAACCCUCUAGACCCCAAAGAAGGCCCAUAAAAAUCCAUCUACCAAAUAGAUGGCUCUGUAGCCUUUCUCAACUGGUUUGAUGGCCCACUUUUAGGGCCCAAAUAUGGAUGAACAUAGUUAUGCUAUUCAAGAAAAUUAUAGUAUUACUACUGGGACUUUGAAUUAAAAGGAACAAAUAAGUUGUCUAAUUAAGUGAGAAUCCUUCAAGUUUUUAAAAUUACGUUGGAGAGACAAAAAAAUUUUGAUUUUUUUUAAAGUUUUUUCGUUCCAACAACUUCUCCCAGUUGUCGAACAACUUUGAUAGUUGUUCGAAAACUUCUAGAAGUUGCUCAACAACUAUCAAAGUUGUUCACAACUGCGCAAAGUUGUUCAAUAACUAGGCGAAGUUGUUCGGAAACUGGGAGAAGUUGUUCCACAACUGUGUCAAAUUGUUGAGACAACUAAUGUAGUUGUCGAACAACUGUCCCAUUUGUUCAAAUGACUUAAUUUUUUUAAAAGGGACAAGUUGCGGGACCCACUUGUCCCCUUUUCUUAAUUGGAAACUUGGGAGGUCUACUGAUUCAUUUUUCUCACUUAAGUAUUUAAGUUGUAUAUAUCAUGAAGUAGUUAGCUUAUAUUUGUGUUGUAAAUUGUAAUAUUAAGUGUAUAGAUAGUCCUAUAUACGUUUAGUACGUCAAAGAGAGCUACUCGCAAACAUUGUGCAAUUCAAUUUGUCAUAAGAAUCACUUAAUCAUCAUGCAAAUACUUAUUGGUUCCGAAUAUUUACCCCUAAUCAAUGAUUUUAAUACUAAUGAAUUAAGAAUAUAAGAUCAUUCAAUCAUGAUAACAAAUAUUAUUUAUAAAAGAUAUUAUCUUGUAAUAGUGGGUAUAAGGAGAGGUAGAUGUAGGCUGAGGAGGUCUUUGUAAAGGUCAUUAGAUUAGGUAUCUGUAGCUUUUCGAGGAUAUCAUCUAGAUAUAAAAAUACGGAGAUCAAGGAUGUGGUUAGUGGGUGGCUGAGCGUUGUCUAAUUUCCCUAUUAAGUAUUAUUUUUGUUAUUACAUUCAUACUAUCUUAUUCUUCUAUAUUAGAAUAAUUUGUUUGUUUUUAGUUCAGUUAUCAUAUUAAUUGUUUGUUGUUGCUACCAUUUUCAGAUAUACUAUUUUAUUUGUUUUACAUGCCUAACUUUUUUUUAUAUAUUUUACUUGUGUCGAGAGUCAAGAGUCAACCGAGAACAACAUCUCUAUCUUCACAAGGCAGAAGUACAUGUCUAUACUACCUCUCCAAAAUCCACGUGUAAUUUUAUGUAUGUCAUUAUUGUAUAUAUCUUGAAUUGAUUUGUCAAAUGUAAAUACCCGUUGUUGAGGUAUACUUAUACCCAUGGGCGGAGGGAUGAUCUUAGAAAAAGGGUGAUUUGAUGCACAUCUUUUAGCAAAAGAUUAUAUAGUGUACAGAAGCUUAAUAUUAGCUAUUAUACGUCUAUAUUAAAUUUUGUACCUCCUUAACACACUAAAAAGAAAAUAUGCACACUCCUCGUCAAAUUUCUGACAACGACACUGCUACUGCCUCAACUGUGUACGUGUAAAGAUGACGCCAUAUAGCAUUUGUCAUCUGCAUGACGCCCAAACUCUUUUAUCAGUGGAGCUACCCAACCUGUCACCUCCUCUUCUGCUUUUAUAAUUGCAUAUCCUUCCAAAUUUCAUACACCAUCCAUUUCAUUUUAAUUAGAUUAAAAAUAACUAUUUUAAUUUAUUUGUGUAAUUUAUAAAAUUAUAAACGAAUAUAUAAAUGCUAGUUUCAUUAAAUCCGUAUUCCGUACUAAGCUCCAAUCCAAACAACUCUACAUAUAAAUUAUAAUUAAUAUAAUUUAAUGACCGAUAUAUUAAAUAUAUUUUAUUAAAAGAUUUUAUAAUUAUUAAAGUUCUUAAUCACAUAAUUGGAUAAUUUUUUUAAAAAAAUUAUUUGUAUGGAAGAAAGUAUUACAUGAGAAUUAGAAUAUAACAAGAGACCACAAGUAAUUUAAUAUUUUAUAAAAUAACAUGAUAUAACAACAACAAUAACAACAUACGCAGUGGAUUCCCACAUAGAGGGGCUUGAGGAGGGUAGAGUGUACGCAGAUCAUACACUACCUAAGAUGAAGUAGAGAGUCUUUUUCCGACAGACCCUCGGCUUAGGACAGAUAGCUGUAUAACAAACACAAAACAUAAAUGCAUAAAAACAUGUACAAUCUGCAAAAUAAACUAACGUCACUAGCCAUAAGAUAAUACUACAGUCACAAGAUAAUACUAAAAAAACCUAUCCGAAAUCAUAGACAUCACUCAACAAAACGAACAAGAAACUUCAAACACAAAUAAAGAAUACUCCCGUAUUGUUACUGACCCACUCUCAACCCCUAAUCGGCAUUCUCCACACCAUCCUAAUCCCAUCCCUCGAAUAUUUGUUUGGUCUACCUCUACCCCGCCUAAAAUCAUCCAUAGCCAGUGUCUCACACCUCCGCACUAGAGCAUCAAAGCCCCUCUUCAUCACAUCCUCGUACCAGCAUAAUCUUACUCGUAUCUUAUUCUCCACCGAGGCCACUCCUACCUCUCCCGAAUAAUCUCAUUUUUAACCUUAUCUUUCCUAGUAUGGACACACAUCCAUCACAAUAUUAUCAUCUCUGCCACCUUAUCUUCAUACAACAUAGUCGGCCGGACUGCCACUCUGUAGAACUUCCCUUUAAGCUUCGAGGGCAUCUUCUUAUCACAUAAAACUCCCAAAGCGGGCCUUCAUUUAAACCACCUAGCCCCAGUAUGAUGUGUGACAUCCUCGUCAAUCUCACCAUUGCCUUAAUCAUAGACCCAGAUACUUGAAACUCUCCUUCUUCUGAAUGGCCUGAGAGUCUAGUUUCACAACCAUGUCAACCUCGUACGACACAUCACUAAACUUACACUUCAAGUAUUCCAUCUUUGUCCUGCUUAACCGAAAUCCUUUAGACUCAAGGGUCUGUCUCAAAAUCUCCAACUUAUCAUUAACUCCUCCCGGAGUCUUGUUAAGCAGUACCACAUUAUCAGCAAAUAACAUACACCAAGGCACCUCUUCUUGAAUAUGUCUUGUCAAAACAUUCAUCACCAAGGCAAAUAAAAAAGGGCUAAGAGUCAAACCCUGAUGCAACCCUACCAAAAUAAAAAAAUGCUCUGAAUCUCCACCUACCAUCCUCACCUGAUUCUUUGCGCCAUCAUACAUGUCCUAAAUCGACCUAGUGUAUGCCACAGGCACCCCUCUAGCCUCCAAACACCUCAAGAGAAUCUCCUUGGGAACUCUAUCAUAAGCCUUCUCAAGAUCAAUAAACACCAUGUGAAAGUCCUUCUUUAUCUCCCAAAACUGUUCCACUAAUCUUCUCACAAGGUGAAAGGCCUCAGUAGUCGAGCGACCUAGCAUGAAAUUGAACUGAUUCUUAGCGAUAAUCACGCUCCUUCUCAGCCCCAACUCUACCACCCUUUCCCAAAUUUUCAUAGUAUGACUUAACAACUUAAUACCUCUAUAGUUGUGGCAACUUUGGAUUUCUCCCUUGUUCUUAUAUAAUGGAAUCAUUGCACUCUACCUCCAUGCUUCAGGCAUCCUUCCUGCCCUAAAAAUAAUGUUAAGAACCUUGUAAGCCACUCCAAAGCUGGCCCGCCAGUGUGUUCUAAAAAACUAUUGGAAUCUAGUCUGGCCUCAUUGCCCUACCUCGACCCAUCCUGCGAAUAGCCCUCUUGACAUCCUUAACCUCAAUAUGCCUAUAAUAACUAUAGUCGUGACACUCUUCAAAUUUAUCCAAGUCUCCAAACACGAAACCUUUGUCCCCCUUAUCGUUCAAAAGUUUAUGAAAAUAGGACUGCCACCUUUUUUUAACGAAGGCAUCCUCAACCAACAUAGUACCAUCCUCAACCUUGAUGAACAUAUCCCUACCUUUCUCCUUUAAUUCCACAUUCAAGCUCUCAAAAGAUACCAUUUUAGCAACUGUAACCACUAACUUAGCCUCUCACCUAGCAAUAGCUUAUACUCUUCCUUAUUCGUCCGCCUCUCUUGAUCAUUCUUGCUCACAACCAAUUUAGCAUAAGCUAGGUUAUAAUUAUAAUGCAAUGCUGAUUAAAAAUAGAAAAAUAUUGAUUUUAAUGAAUUUAUGGGUACAAAAUUUCUCAGUUAUAAAUAAAAAUAAAUUUAUUUUAAUAUUUAUUAUUUUAUUUUCACCUAUAAUUUCAUGUGACAAGAAUUGUAAAAUUCAAUGUUUUCAUCUAAUACAACAAAGUAUUUCAAUCACUUCAAGUAUAUAUAAAAAUAGUUACAACAUUAAUUUAGAACCUUUACAAGAACUAUCUUAAUUGUGAUCUAUAAGGAUAUUAAAUAAUAAUUAAAUUACAUUAAUCGAUUAUUCCAUUCGGUCCAUUUUCUUAUCGUGUUAAUUUUUUAAACACCCUUUAAAAAUAUUCUAAUUAUUGAUUUAUCUUUUUUCAUGUUUGCUAAGAAAAGUAAUUAAGGCAUUGUACUAUUUAUUAUUGAUUAAGUUAUCCUAUUUAAUACUCCUUCCAUUUCACAAUAAGUGAAUUAUUGGAGUAAUUUUAGUGUUUCAAAAUAAGUGAAUGAUUCACAAUUCAAAGUAGAUGUUGGAAAUUUUUUACAAAUUUACCCUCCAUUAAAUGUGCACUGGGAGUGAUGUAUCAUGUAUAUUUGCUUUUUGAAGAGGGUAAAAAUGAAAAAAUAUAAUAAAUUUAUGUCUUUCCUUUUUUCUUUCUUAACAUGUGUGCCGAAAUUCAACAAUUAACUUAUUGUGAAACGGAGGGAGUACUAUAUUUUUUUUAAGAAGUGAACAUCAGUGACUAUAAGGGUGUAGUUGAAAAUUAUGACUAACUUUAAUUUUAUGUGAAAAGUUAUUUCUUAAUAAGUUUUUUGAGCAAAAAUGAUUAUUAAUUUAAAAUGAAGGAAAUUUUAAUUAAAAGACAACCUGUGGCAAUAAAAAAUCAGUUACAAAUACACAAGUGGAAAUGGUCUUAACAAAAAGAAUAAAGAUAAAAAUAAAAAAAUUUAGCAAAAGAACAUCAUCAAUCCUUGUGAGUACGACCGAAAAUUGAGAUCCUCCCUUUUAUAUAAUAGUAAAUUGUACAAAUUGUAGUCACAAUGCAAAUAAAAUAUGAAAAAAUAAGAAUUUUAUUGAUAAAUGAUAUGGAUAUAAUUUUGUUACUCCCUUGAUUCUUCUUUCUUUAUUUUUCUCCGUAAUUCAAGGACCAUUAGUAGCAUAUUUCUCGAAUGUAGAAAGAUUUAAAUUUGAUAUGAUGUUUUAGUGUAUUUCUCGAAUGUAAAAAGAUUUGAAUGUGAUAUGAUUUUUUUUGUAAUUCAAGGGUCGUUAGUAGCGUAUUUCUUGAAUGUAAGAAGAUUUAGAUUUGAUAUGGAUUUUCUUCGUAAUUCGAAGGCCAUUAAUAACAUAUUUCUUGAACAUAGAAAUAUUUGAAUUUGAUCUCCAUAAAAGAAGGGUUUAUGGAUCUUCUUGAUAUAUUUGAUUAUCAAAAAAAAGAGAGUGAUAUUCGAUGAGUUUAUGAAAUUAUCAGGAGAUGAUUAAUCUCUUUAUUAAGGGUUUAGAGUAAAGUAGCCACCAAGUUAGGUUUGGCGUAAAGUAACCCCUAAUAACUUUAACAAAAAUUGAAUUCUUUUUAUAGAGUUCACAAAAUUUUGAUGUCUAUAAACGCUUUGAAUUGUCAGACGUUAUGACUACAAAAUCCUUUGUUGAAAUGUCAAAAUUCAAUUAUUUUUCUUCUUUGAGAUGAUGAAUGAAGUACGUGUUAAUUUAGUGGAGUCACUUAGCUCAAGUCAUUUGCGGCGUACCAUGAAAUCAGAAAACUACAUCAAUCUAGGAGAAGAGAAAAGCAAUAACAAAAAUACCAUAUUUAGCACAUUUUCAUAGCUCAAACUUCUGACCCCUUGAAAACACAUCAAAAAGAUAUACUUCCUCAGUUGUAUUUUAUACGGCAUAUUUUGAUCGGGCACAAAGUUUAAGAAGGAAUGACAAUUGUCCUUUAUUAAAAAAUAUAUUACUACUAUCUUUAAUUAAAUGAGACUAAUAAGGAUAAAAGUAAAUUUCUAUCUUUAAUAGUUACCAAAUAAGAAAAUAUGACAUUCUUUUUGGGACGGACAAAAAGAAAAUGACGACAUAUAAAAUGGGGCAGAGGAAGUGUGUUAAUACUAAAAGGGCAGCUUGAUGUGGCGGUGGAAGUAUAUUAAUACUAAAAGGGUAGCUCGGUGUACUAAAGCUUCUUGCUAUAAGGGACUGCGGAGAAGGGUUGGAUGCAAGAAUUUUAUUGUGCGCAGCAUUAUCUUGCAUUUCUGACAGAGGCUGUUUCUAUGACUUGAACUCGGGACUUCCUAAUCACAUGACAAUAAUUUUAUUAGUUAUUCUAAAUCUUCCCUUCAUAUUUUUUUUUCGAUUUGAUAAAAAUAUUAAAGAUACGCAAAAUAUAAAAGCUACGCAUAUAAUUCUUUUUACAAACCCACUUAUAUGGAGUAAUAAAAACUUAUAAGGUAUCAAAAAUGAUAUAUGCAUGGGAUUUCCCUUUUGGUUAAAGUUUUAAUAGGUUAAUUUCAUGUAUAAUUGUAGACUUUUACUCAUUAAUGACAAAAUUAUUGAACUUUACCUCUUUAAUAAAGUAGUAGAUUUAAUGGCAUUAAAAAUCAUUAAUGAGUUUUUAUUAUGUGAUUACAUAUAUUGAGUAAAAGAAGUGAUAGACUUAUCUCAAACUAAAUCAAUCAAUUAGAAAAAAAAAUUCUACUCCAAUGGAGAAGUUCCUCCAUGUUCACCUUUUGAUUUCAAUUAUUUUCUCAAUUUUGCUUGUAAAUUUAUGCAAUGAACAUUCUUUUUCAUCCCUUAACACCACUUAUAUUAUGGAAUAUGUCUAUUGAUCCAACGAAGCUUCCCGAUCCUCCGAUGUCAUCCUAUACACUCACCAUUUACAAUCUCUAUUUAUUUGAAAAGUCAAAAUUCAAGGACUAUGACUCAUUAGUCGGAAAUAGGUUCGCCGGUUGUCAAGCUAUAGUAAAUCAUUUGGCAUCGGUUCUUGAAAAUGGUGACACGAUUAGUGCGAAUGGAACUCUGGUAAGGCCACACGACGAGCAUGAGAGUAAAGUGGCAAACGAAAAGGUUCUGGUAACAAGUACACAUUCCAUAUGUCAGUAUGUUGCAUCUUUUACUCUUUUUUUUUGGUUUUCCAUCCGGUAUUCGAUGCCCGCAUUGGAUCCCCAACUAAUCCGGAUCACACGUUGCAGUGCCCAUUAAGGUGGCAACGCUCGUAACAUAAUUUUUUCCAUAUCCAGGGUCGAACCUUGGACCUCUGGUUAAGGGUGGAGCAGUCUCAUCCACUGCACCACAACCCAUAUUGGUGCAUCUUGAACUCACUGAAUAAGUUAAAAGUUACUUGCUAAUAGACAGAGGUAGUGAUUUAGUUUGGUGGCCCGUUUUGACCAACUAAAUGGUCCCUCCGACCCCAACAACCCACACUCCCAUUUGGCUCAGCCUGCCUGGGAGCACUUGGUCCAUUUUCUUCUUAAAACAUACUCGGUCACUGGGCCCACCCCCAGAACCGUGAGUUAUAUCACACUGAUUUAGCCCAAGAAUGGCCCAUUUGCAUCGUUUCACUUAUUUGACCACCCAAAUAUCCCAGCCAACCCCAACGACCAACACUAUCCAACUUUUAAGCCUGCCUUGGUGCCUCUGGUCGAUUUUCAGACCAAAACACGCUCGAUACCCUAGCCAACCCCUAAAACCGUUAGUUAAAGCACGUCUAUUUGGCCCAAAAAACAGCAUGUUUUUGACGUUUUGCCUGUUUGACCACCCAAAUGGCCUCACCGACCCAAACGACCCACCUUUUUAUUUAUCAGUCUACUUGGAAACUUUGAUUGAUUUUCGACCUAAAACAUGCUCGAACCCUGGGUCCACCCCAAACUGUGAGCUAUAACACACCGAUUAUGCUUGAAAAUGACCCAUUUGCGUUGAUAUUCCAAUUGGACCACCCAAACAGCCCCGUUGACCUCUAUGACCCAUACUUCCCCACUCGUCAGCCUACCUGAGAGCCCCUAGUUGAUUUUUUACCCAAAACAUGCCUAGGACCACCCUGAAAUCGUGAGCUAUAGCUCACCAAUUUGGCCCAAAAAUGGCCCAUUUGCGCCGUUUUGCUCGUUUGACCAACCAAACAGUCCCGCCGACCUCAAUCACCCAUAAUUACCCGCUCCUCGACCUACUUGGGAGCCCUCAAUUGAUUUUUGAUCCAAAACACAUUUGGGCUCUAGGACAACCCUCGGAAUUGUGAGCUAUAACACACCGAUUUGGCCCGAAAAUGGCCUGUUCGCAUCAUUUUGCCUGUUUAAUAACCCACACUACCCAACCGACCCCAACAACCCACACUCCCUGCUUUUCAGCUAACCUAGGAGCCGAGAUCAAUUUUCAGUCAAAAACACGCGUGGGCCUUAGGCACAUCCUCUGAACUGUGAGGUAUAGCAUCCCAAUUUCUGCAAAAAAUAGCCCAUUUACACUAUUUCAUCCGUUUGAUCACACAAGCGGCCCAUCGCCACCCAACGGUGCACACUCUUUUGCUUAUAAGCCUUCCUAGGAUCCUUUGGUUUAUUUUCAGUCUAAAACAUGCCGAUGCCCUGUACCCACGCCCAGAAUCGUGAGCUAUAACACACCGAUUUGGCCUAAAAAUGGUCUAUUUAUGCCAUUUUGCCCGUUUGACCACCCAAAUUGCCCCACUGACCCCAACGACCUAUAAUCUCUCUCUCCUCGGCCUACUUGGGAGCCUCCGAUCAAUUUUUAGACUAAAACACACCUGAUCCCUGGGUCUACCCCUGAAACUAUGAGCUAUAGGACAAUGAUUUGGCCUGAAAAUAGCACGUUUACACCGUAUCGCCCAUUUGGCCAUCCAACUGGCCUCGGGGAAUUUUUGGACAAAAUAUGGUUGGGACUCGGGUGGGACCUUCAGAAUCGUGAGCUACAUCACAUCGAUUUGGCCCAAAAAUGGCCCGUUCAUGUCGUUUCGUCUGUUUGACCCCCUAAACAGCCCCACUGACCCCAACAGCCCACACUCCCUCACUUGUUAGCCUGCCUUGGAGCCCCUGAUCGAUUUUUAUCCCAAACAAGCCCCAUCCCUAAGCACACCCCAGAACCGUGUGCUAUAGUAGACCGAUUAGGCCCGAAAAAUGGCCCAUUGGCGCAUUUUGCUUGUUUGAUCUCCCAAACGGCCCCGUCGACCCAAACAACUAUGACUUGCUCGCUCCUCAACUCGCCUGGGUUCCCCUGAUUGAUAUUUGGCCCAAAAUAUAUGACCAAACACCGGUCCACUCCCAGAACCAUGAGGUAAAGCAUACCAAUUUACCCCAAAAAUGGCCCAUUUAUGCCGAUUCACCCUUUUGACCCCCUAAAUGGCCCCGUCGAUCCCAACCACCCAUACUCCCCUUCUCUUCAGCCUGCCCGAGAGCCUCCGAUCAAUUUUUGACCCAAUCCACACCCGGUACCUUCACUCACUUCAUAAUCGUAGGCUAUAUCACACCGAUUUUGCUCAGAAAUGGUCCGUUCGUGCCCUUUUUCCUAUUUGACCAACCAAAUAGCCCUACCGACCACCGCCAAUCCCAACGACCCAUACACCCCUGUUCUACAGCAUGCCUAGGAGCCUCCAGUCAAUUUUCAGCCUAAAAUAUGCCUGGGCGCCAGGCUCAUCUCUAAAACUGUGUGCUAUAGCACACCAAUUUGAUAAGAAAUUGGUUCGUUCGUGCCGUUUCACUUGUUUUACCACUCAAAUGGCCCCACCGACCCCAACGACCCACACUUCUCCACUCCUCAGCCUGCCUAGGACUCCCGAUUAAUUUUUUGCCUAAAACAUGCCCGAGUCCAAGGCCCACUCCCAAAACUAUGAUCUAUAAUACACCAAUUUGGCCUAAAAAUGCUUCAUUCGCGCCAUUCAGCCGGUUUGACCACUCAAAUAGCCCCGUCGAACCCAAUGACCCACAUUCUCCUGCUCUUCUUCCUACCUGGGAGCCCCCGACCAAUGUUUGACCUAAAAUAGGCUCGAGCCCCAAUCCCACCCUCAAAAUCGUGAUCUAUAGCUCACCUAUUUAGCUAGAAAAUUACCCGUUCAUGCCUUUUCACCUAUUUGAGGACCCAAACAGCCCUGUCGACCCCAACAGACCAUACUCUCUCUCUCCUCCGCCUGUCUAGGAUCCCUCACUUAACUUUUUAUCCAAAAAACUUUUGGGCCUUGGGCCCACCCCAAGAAUAAUGAGUUAUAACACACUAAUUUGGCUUGAAAAUACUCUGUUCACAUCGUUUAGCCCGUUUGACAACACAAACAGCCUCAUCGACCCCAACGAACCACUCUCCCCACUUUUCAGCCUACCUAGGAGCCCUCGAUUGAUUUUCAGUCCAAACAUUUUUGAGUCCUAAGCCUACCCCCAAAAUCGUGAGCUAUAACACACCAAUUUCGCCCAAAAAUGGUCUAUUUGCAUUGUUUCAUCUCGUUUAACCACCCAAAUGGUCCCACCGACCCAAAAAUUCCACACUCCCUUGCUCUUCAGUCUUCCUGGGAUCCCUUAGUCAAUUUUUAGCCCAAAACACGCUCGACCCUGGGCCUACCACAAAAACCAUGGGUUAUAGGACACCGAUGCACUAGCAUUUCAUUAUGUGUUCGAUCCCGCUCAUAUUUCUUCGGUCUACAUCUACCCUACCUAAGACCAUCCAUAACCAGUCUUUCACACCUCCGUACUGAAGAAUCAGAGCCCCUCUUCAUCACGUGGCCAUACCAACGUAACCUCAUAUUUCGCAUCUUGUCCUCCAUCGAAGCAACAAAUAAUUUCAUUCCUCACCUUAUCUUUCCUAGUAUGUCCACACAUCCAUCGCAAUAUUCUGAUCUCUUCCACCUGCAAUUUUAGAUAUGAGAGUUCUUAACUGGUCAACACACCGUUACAUACAACAUAGCCAGCCGAACUACCACUCUGUAGAACUUACUUUUAAGUUUCGAGGGCACCUUCUAAUCACAUAGAACUCCCGAAGCAAACCUUUAUUUCAACCACCCUUCACCAAUAUGAUGUGUUACAUCCUCGUUAAUCUCAUCAUUAUCCUGCAUCAUAGACUCUAGAUACUUGAAACUCUCCCUCUUAUGAAUGUCCUGAGAGUCCAUCUUCACAACCACUCCAGCCUCCUAGGAUAUAUCACAAAACUUAUACUCCAAGUACUCUGUCUUGGUUCUUCUUAACCGAAAUUCUUUAGACUCAAGCGUCUAUCUCCAAAUCUCCAACUUAUCAUUAACUUCUCUCCAAGUCUCGUCAUCAUCUGCAAAUAACAUACACCAAGGCACUUUUUUCUUGAAUAUGUUACGUCAAAACAUCCAUCACCAAGGCAAAUAAAAAUGCGCUAAGAGUCUAUCCCUAGUGCAACCCUAUCAAAAUUCGGAAGUGUUCCGAAUCUCCACCUACCGUCCUUAUAUGAGUCUAAUCCCCAUCAUCCACAUCCUGAAUCAACCUAGUGUACACCACGGGCCUCCCCCUAGCCUCUAAGAACCUCCACAAAAUCUCCUUAUAAACUCUGUCAUAUACCUUCUCAAGAUCAAUAAACACCAUGUGCAAGUCCUUCUUCCUCUCCCAAAACUGCUCCACUAAUCUCCUCCCAAGGUGAAUAACCUUAGUGGUCGAGCGCCCUGGCAUGAAACCGAACUGAUUCUUAGAGAUCGUCACGAUCCUUAUCAUCCUCAACUUUACCAUCCUUUUCCAAACCUUCAUAUCAAGAAUCAACAACUUAAUACCUCUAUAGUUUUUACAACUCUAGAUGUCUCUCUUGUUCUUAUACACUGGGAUCAUAGUACUCCACCCCCACGCUUCAGGCAUCUUAGUCGCCGUAAAAAUACUAUUAAAUAACCUUGUCAACCACUCCAAACCUACCCUGCUAGUGCUCUUCCAAAAAUCCACUAUAAUCUCGUCUGUCCCCGUUGCCUUACCCCGCUGCAUCCUGUGAAUAGCUCCCUUGACCUCCCAAACCUUGAUAUGCCUACAAUAACCAUAAUCGCGACACUCCAAAGAUUUGUUCAAUUGUAUUUCAAACACUAAAAGUACUUACUUAUAUUAAUUACGGAAAUUCUAAUUUCAAAUCUUAAAUUUCAUUUAGUCUCAAUUCAAAAAUUAAGUGCAUAAAAUUUAGGGAAAAUUUCAGAAAUAGCAACUUUGUAGCCUUAAUUAUAACUUUUAUAGCAACAGUUUCAUAAUUACGAAACAUAGAAAAUUGUAUUUUUAUUUAAGUAAAAUGUUUCUAUAUAAAUACAUAUACAAAUAUAUAUGUAUUACUCAUAAAUACAUAUGCACAACUGAAAAAUACAUAUUCUUCUAUUACUAUGAAGUGGGUAAAAUAUUGUUACUUUUGCUAUAAGUUGUAAUUUUGAAAAAGUGUUGCUAUUUAUUGUAAUUAUAGUCUUAAGGAUGCUAGUUUCUGUAAUUUUAAUUUAUUUUAAAUUUUCAGAUAUUGUUCUAUUGCUUAUUGUUUUUACAAUGAUCAAUUUUAUGAUUAAUAUCUUUAAUUAUUUUAUUUAUACAUCUUAUUGUAUCUGCUAAGUUAAUUUAAUCAAGAUCUCUCAAAUAACUCUCAAAAUCACCACCCCACCAAAUACUACACCCACCUCCUAGCCUUACCCUACAGCCACCACCCCGCCUCCCUAGUUUUUAUUAUAUUUUACUUUAUCAGAUUUUUUGUAAAAUAUUUUUCUCACAUCACCCAUCUCUUAUCGCCAAGCCACCCUCCACCAACAAAAAAUAUUUUAUUUUUCAUUAAAAUAAAAUUUUAUAUUGCUCCCAACCCUACUCUCCAUUACCCAUUCGACACCCUACCUAAUACACACACAAAAAAAUUAUUUUUGAUUUUUUUCUAAAAAAGAAUCUUUCCACCUUUCUGUCCUGACUCCCAAGAAAAAUAAAUUUUUUUAUCUUUUAAGAAUCUCUUUUUCUACUCCACAACUCUAACCCCUACCUAAACCACCACCCGCCUACCCCACCUACCUACCUCACCCAUACCCCAUCUCAACCACCAUAAUCUCUUGUUCUUCCCCUCAUCCAUCACUUUGCCUCAAUGCAAUUUAUAAUUUUGUGUUAAGUAUACAAAAAUGCUAUUAGAAAAUAUCUUUUAUUUACUGAUAAAAUAUCAAUUAUCGAUUUAUUUCAGCAUACAUGCAAUUAGUAAUGUGAAAUAAUCACAUCAAAUAAAAUUAUCUAUUUUUUAAGCUCAAAAUGAACUAAUAGCUACUAAUUAGUAUUUUUAUUAUCCUAAAUUUUUUGUAAAAAUAUUUACCUGAUUAAGUUCAAGCAUUUUAUAUCCCUCAAACAAAUUAUGCUUUUUGUUAUCUACGGAAAAUAAUUUGAGACGUAGGGGAUUAAUUCAUCAUCGAAUGAAAUAAAAUAUAUAAGCAUACACCAUUAAAGAUGACCAUGAAAGCAUAUACGAAGAUUAAGAUUAAACAUUAAGCAAUAUAUGUUCAAAGAAAUCUUUCUGAGAAAAUUAACACCUGAAUUCAUAAAAAGAAAUAUUUAUAAUUAACUUUAACAAACAUGAAAGCAAUAGAAAAAAAUGAUGGCAGAGAUAUAUGAUUACGAUGAUAAAAAAGAGUAGUCAAAAACAUGAAAGCAAUAGAAAGAGAUAAUGGACUCUGAUACCAUGAUAAUGAAAUGAACCUUGGACCUAACUCAACGUCAAAAGCUAGCUCAGGAGGUGAGGAGUGUCCAAGAUCAUAUAAGGAGACUAAGGACUCUUUAAUCCAUCGAUGUGGGACUCUCCCCUCCCUCUCCUUUCACGCCAAGACUGGACAUCUGAAGCAUAGACAAUAUAAGAUGGGGACUCAACAUUGAAAAUAAUGAAUUGGGUAGGCCUGACUCUGAUACCAUGCUGAAGUGUGUGACCAUCUCAUCGAAAAGUUUAACUACUAGAGAGAGUACACUUUUACUAUUUAAUUAUAUUCUCAACAGUUACUUAAUAUGCUAUUUUGGCAUUGAACAAAUGAAAUUUACGUGGCAUUGCAAACUGAAGAAAGACACAAAAUUUUUGUUUCAAAUAGUUCAAGAAAGAAUCUUUUGUCCUUUUGAAACAAUGAAAUAGAGUCACAUUUGUUGGCUUGUUUUCUCCCUACAGUUGAACUAAGAGCACUUUGAGUGGAGGUUUUUUCUAUUAUUAUGGAUGUCCAAUUUUGAAAAAGUACUACUCCUUUCGUUUAAUAAAGAAUGGUAGACCAAACAACAUAUUAAUUUUAUACAUUAUAUUAACUCCUAAGUAGCUAUCAAACCUGGAAUUACUUAUGUAGGAUUCCUACAUAACUCAUUGCUAAGCCAGCUACCAAAUGACCCCUCAAUACCUUCUUUCUUUAUUCAUUGAGAAGACAGAGACCAAUGCAAGCAUAAUUCAAUUUAUGUGUAUAAUAUAUUCAGAACCAAGGUGCAGAAUAAAUACUUUACAUAAAUACAAAUUUCCUAAAUGAGUUGACCCAAUGCAAUUAAUAUUUUAAAAUUUAAAUUAAGAUUAUAAAAAUAAUAUAUUUUAGAAAAUGGGCUGGCCCGUGAAGGCCCACAACCCAUAGUGUGACGGGUUGGGCUUGCUAUUUUCUAGUCUGUCAUGUUGAUGGGUCAGCCUGGCCAGGCCCGUCAAACUUUAAAGCCCAUGUGAUCUAGCUCGGAUGAGCUGGUCCGAUCCAUAUUAACAACUCUAGGAGCAGUUAUAUAACGAUAACAAUCCAAUUAGAACUGUUUAGUAUUAUAACUAUCUGCUUCUAAUAUGUAACUUUAUAUUUUUUUAAUAUUAUUUUAAAUUUAAAGUUAACAAUUUAUUUGUAACGCCCCAAGAUCCCAUCCCGAGAUGUCACACGGUGCUUAAGGCAACACGCGGCCUCAAGCUAACCCUCUAAACCUGUCAUCACUUCUAUAACUCAAUUUGACAAUAGUCAUGCUAAUAUAAGAGAUAAUGACAUAUCAUAAACAUACGGGAUAAAUUGUGAAACUAGCAUGUACAAUCCAAAAUACUGAAUUUUUGUACCUACCAACCCUUUAGCCUGACAAAGCAUCUAUACAUCAAAAUCAAGGAGACAUUGGGACAAAUCCCCAACUGACUCAAGUAGUACUGAAACCCAUACCAACAAAACGGUAUCACAAAAUUAUAAACACGGUCCUUGAACCAUGAGGACUCACCACUGAGCAGAUGAAAAAAGGCACCCAAAUAUCGCUAACGCGGCUGAGUACCUGGACAUAUAUUAUGAGAAAAUGUAGCCCUUAAAAAAAUAUGUGGGUCAGCACUUUGGAAUGUACUAAGUAUAUGGGGGUGCAUGCAACAAUGUAAAUAUCGUCAUCAAUUUCAUGACAUUAUGCAUAUGUACAAUGAUGGUUCAUUUGGCUUGAGUUAGAUUGAAACAUACUUUUCAUAAUCUCAUCGUAAAUAAAUCAUAAGAUAAAAACCUCAUAAAUCAUCAUAAAAAACUCAACUCUUCAACUCAAGACUCGAAGUGACUCUGUAAUUUAAGAAACUCGACUCUUAUGGACAUGGUAGGUUCUUAUAACCGACAUAAACCAUGUGAGCUACAUGGAGUCUAAUAUUUUUCCCUCCUAAGGAGAGAACCCCACAUUGGCGGGAGCGUCGUACUCUUUCCAGGGAGUACAACCUAAAUGUUGUGAUCAGAAACUCAUACUCGGGCUCCAGCCUACAAUUAUUAAUAUCAAUCCUACGAUGGCAUGUAGUUUCGGGGGAAAUACCACAUUUCCUGAUCGGUGCUAAAUACUACUCCCAGACACAAGUUUAGAACGUGUUAGGAAAUCCACCACAAACAUCACAAGGGUCUAUCAUGAUGACCAAAUCAAAUCUCUUUCUCAUUUAUCAAAUCCAAAUCAAUUUGUGAAUUCCUAACUAGACUCAAAUCAAAUCAAUAUUUCUCAAUAUCAAAAUGCAUCAAUUCAUUAAGUCAUAGAAACAUCAAUAACUUUGAGGAAAUAUCAAGACUCUUUGUAACAACUCAAUUAUCUUGAAUCAAUGUACUCAAUAAUCCAAUUUGUCAUAAGGAAGCUUAAAGCUUGACACAUAUCUUGAAAGCAAUUGAAAUAAUAACUCAUGGUAGAAACUUGAAAUUCACAUUAUUAAAUAUCAAGUCAUAGCUUGAAAAUUGUAAAAUAAUCAUGUAUAACAAAUCUUGAACGAUUGAUCUUCUCAUAAUCUCAUGAUGAAGUAAUUUGGGUACAAACCCACUUGCAAAAUCAUAUAAAUCCAUAAUAAAAAUCAAAGCUUUGAGCACAAGAACAAAAGAAUUGCUCAUGUUCGAAACCCCACAUACCUUAAUCUUUGAAAUUGGUUGAACUCUAGUGCUUGAGACUUUACUCACACUUGUAAUAAAAAAAUUCUUGAAGCCCACUCUAUGAGGAACUUGAUUCUUGAAGGAAUCUUGAAGAUUUAUGGAUGAUUUUUGGAAGAUUAAUUCCCUAAAAUAAAACCCUAGAUAUAUUUCUAAAGAGAAUUGGAAGAGAGAAAUGAAGAAAUUAGGUUUUGGAUGAGGAUUCUCAUAUAUAUAGAGGCCUCUAAAAAUGGUACAUGACUAAAGUACCCUUUUGAAAAUAGUCCAUCAAUUGCUGAAAAAAAUAGUUGACGACAUCCAUGACGACAUCCAUCAACUUAACUUUUUCCCUAGCCUUGAACACAACAUCCCUCCCAAUCACAGAUGCUUCUCCUACUUCAAACCAAUCUAUGAGCGAUCUACAUCUUCUCCCAUACAAGGCUUCGAACGGGGCCAUCUGAAUACUAGCAUGGAAACUAUUAUUAUAUGCAAAUUCGAUCAACGGCAAGUGAUCAUCCCAACUACCUUUGAAAUCAAGCGUGCAUGCCCUCAACAUGUCCUCCAAAGUUACUCAGCCGGACCAUCAGUGUGCAGAUGGAAAGAAGAACUUAGACGAACUAGGGUACCGAGACCUUUCUGAAAAGCCCUCCAAAACUGGGAAGUAAACUGAGUACCCCUAUCAGAGAUGAUAGCUAAAGGAACUUCAUGCAAUUUGACUAACCCAUAGAUAUACAAUCUAUCAUAAUCCUCAGCUAUAUAAGACGAAUGCACUGGCAAGAAAUGAGCUAAUUUACUCAACCGGUCUAUUACAAUCCAAAUGGAAUCAUAAUGAAGAUGAGACGGAGGCAAACCAAUUACGAAAUCCAUAUUCACUUCUUUCCACUUUCAAGUAGGAAUGCCAAACUCUUGCAUUACACCACCGGCCCUCUGGUGCUAUAGCGUAACUUGUUGACAAGUACAAUACUUUGCCCUAAAUCCUACAAUGUCUUUCUUCAUACCGUUCCACCAAUAGAUUUCUCGUAAAUCGCGGUACAUCUUGGUAGCACCAGGAUGAAUAGAAUAUCGCUCACUAUGCACUUCAGCCAUAAUUCUCUACCUCAAAUCAUCAACAUUUGGAACACACAGUCUACCUUGCAAUCUCAACACACUAUCUCCCCCUUAGGAGAAAACCUCUACCUUCUUGUCCUUAACUGACUCCUUCAAUCUGACCAAACUAGGAUCCCCGUCCUGCUUCUCAUUUACCUCUGAGACCAAAGAGGACCUGAAACCUCUCUGAACUAACAUACUCCCUUCAGCUGAAUCAAGCAAUCUAACACCCAACCUAGCCAAACAAUGCACAUCACGAGCCAAUUCUUUCUUAUCAUUUUCUACAUGAGCUAUACUACCCAUAGACAACCUGCUAAGAGCAUCUACCAUAACAUUGGCCUUACCCAGGUGAUAUAUCACACUCAUAUCGUAGUCUUUUAGAAACUCUAACCAUAUUCUUUGUCUAAGUUUCAACUCCCUCUGAGUAAACACAUACUGUAGGCUUUUGUGAUCAGUAAACACAUCAACAUGAAAACCAUACAAAUAAUGUCUCCAGAUUUUCAAAGCAAAAACUACAGCUACUAAUUCAAGAUCAUGGGUUGGAUAAUUCUUCUUAUGAAGCUUCAACUGUCUAGAGGCAUAAGCUAUAACUUUACCCCUCUGCAUCAACACACAACCCAGACCAACUCUAGAAGCAUCGCAGUACACCAUAAGACCAUCAGUACCAUCGGGUAAAGCUAACACUGGGGCUGAAGUGAGUCGAGUCUCCAACUCUUAAAAACUCUUCUCAUAGGCAUCUGUCCACUGGAACUUAACUUUCUUUUGAGUCAACCGGAUCAUGGGGGUUGCGAUAGAAGAGAAUCCCUCAAUAAAAUAACAGUAGUAACAAGCUAGACUUAAGAAACUCCUAAUAUCAGAUGGGGAGGUAAGCCUAGGCCAAUUCUUCAUAGCUUCUGUCUUUUGAUGAUCAACUCUAAUACCUUCGAAAAAAACAAUAUGACUCAGAAAACCAACUAACCUUAACCGAAAUUCACACUUGCUAAAUUUAGAGAAUAAUUAAUGAGCUCUAAGGGUUUUCAACACAAUUCAAAGAUGAUCGGCAUGGUCAUCCUUACUUCGAGAAUAUACAAGAAUAUCAUCUAUGAACACAAUAACAAACAAAUCCAGAUACUGCUUAAAUACUUGGUUCAUAAGAUCCGUGAAAGCCGCUGGAGCAUCGGUUAACCCAAAAGACAUGACAAAAAACUCAAAAUGACCAUAGUGGGUUCGGAAAGUUGUCUUUGGAAUAUCACACUCUCUCACUUUAAGCUGAUAAUAGAUGGAUCUAAGGUUUAUCUUUGAGAAAUAACUUGCACCGUAUAACUGAUCAAGUAAAUCAUCGAUUCUAGGAAGAGGGUACUUGUUCUUAAUAGUCACCUUUUUUAGUUGACGGUAGUUAAUGCACAUAUGCAAUGUACCAUCUUUCUUCCACACAAAUAAAAUAGGUUCUCCCCAUGGAGAAAUACUGGGUCCGAUAAAGCCUUUUUCUAAGAGAUCUUUGAGUUGCUCCUUCAACUCUUUAAGUUCUAUGGGAGCCAUACAGUAUGAAGGGAUAGAAAUUGGCUGAGUGUCAGGGAAGAGAUCAAUCCCAAAUUCUAUUUCUCUAUCAGGUGGGACCCCUGGAAGGUCUUCCGAGAAAACGUCAGGAAACUUUUCAACAAUGCUAACUGACAGAAUAGUCGGAGUCUCAAACUUAAUGUCUUUAACUCAAACUAGAUGAUAGAUGCAUCCCUUGGAAAUCAAAUUCCUAGCUUUGAGGUAGGAUAUGAAAUGUCUCUUCUGAGUUACAAAACUCCCGAACCACUCAAACUUUGUUUCAUUAGGAAAGUAAAACUUGACCACUCGGGUACGAUAAUCUAUAGAUACAUAGCACGAGUGAAACCAAUCUAUACCCAGAAUGACAUCAAAAUCAACCAUAUCUAGCUCAAUAAAAUUAGGACAUAUGACCCCAUAAAGGACAGUAAUAGGAUACUUCUUAUACACUCGCUAAGCAAUAACAGACUCUCCUACCAGGGUAGAAACCAGAAUAGGCUCAGGAAUCCAUUCAGGUCCAUCUUAAAAUUUAUAGCAACUAGAGGUGUCACAUAAGAGAAACUCGAAUCGGGGUCCAUCAAUACAUACACAUCAAAAUGAAAGACAUGAAGAAUACCUGUGACAAUAUCUGGAGAAUCCUCCUGCUCCUUGCGAGGUGGUAUAGUAUAGAAGCAAUUCUGGUGUGAACCACCAAUAGUACUAGAAGAGGUGCCCUGAGGAGGAACUGGGCAAACUACGGGAGCGAGGGUACUGGUAGCUUGACUCUAGGGAUGAGUAUCUCAACUUCCCUUUCUAGCAUACAGAUAAUCUCUAAGUUGGUGGCCCAACUUUCAACAACCAAAGCUAUCUCUCUGAUCAACAAAACACUCACAAAAAUGAUCUCUACCAUACUUGGCAUAUGAAGGAGGGUGAGGUCUGUUACUUAUACUUUUCUAAUACCUAGAUGGGAUAGGCUUGUUCCCCUACUCCGGCCUGGUUCUAGGUGCAGGAGCACUAACUAAGGAAGGCACGGGCAUAAACGAACGUCUCUGGAAUUGAGGGUGGUCCCCUCCAUAGAAUCUGGACUGACAAAAUCCCCACUGCUCUGAUCUAGCUCUUUUAUUCCCUUUUACUCUCUCCUUAUCUUUCACCAUAUCAGCUUCAAUCCGUUAGACAUGUAUCAUCAACUGAGAAAGGUCCAUCUCCCUAUUAAACAUAGCAGAUCUACACUCUUUCACAACGUAACUCGACACACCGAUCAUGAACUUACUCAUAAUGGUCCUGGAGUCAGCCAUCAUACUAGGUGCAUAAUUGGACAACUGAUUGAAUCUAAGGCAAUACUUCUUAACAGUCAUGGAGCCUUAUCUCAAAUUUAUUAAUUUCUAUAUCUUUGCUUCCCUCAUCUCAAGAGGAAAUAAUCUGUGCAAGAACGCAUCCAGGAAUAACUGCUAAGUCAUAGGAGCGACAUCCUCCCCUCUACCUUCAAUCCACAUUUCUACCCAAUCAUAUGCAACAUCUUUUAUUUGAUAGGCAGCCAAUUCAACACUCUCCUCCUUAGUCAGGUACAUAAUCUGGGUGAUCUUUCUCACUUCAUCCAAGUACAUCUGUGGGUCUCCACCUAACUUCGACCUAUAGAACUCAGGAAGAUUCAUCCGCAUAAAGUCGUGAACUCGAGCAGUAGUAGAAUUAUUCUCUUAUAGAGAUGGAACAGUAGCAUGGUUGUCACCUUGAGUAUUGGCGAUAACUGCCUGGGCUAGCACCUGAAAAGCUGCCCAAAAUUCUGCAUGUGACACAUGCUCGUUCAGGGGAUCAGUGGGUUGAGGUUGCUCAUUGUUUUUAUGAGCAUGAUAAGGAGGGAUUUUCUGUCAUAAGAGAGAACGAAUUAAUAGCAGAGAGAAACAGUCGUUGGCAUGAUAUACUUUUGAAAGAAAAAAAUGACUUUUCCUAAAACGUCUCGUAGCCUCUUGCUCAUAGAUAUAGUGCGCUACAAACCGGUGAUCAAGAUUCUACAUAAUGCGGCUUGCCAAACACCCUAGGACUCUUUUAACCUUAGGCUCUGAUACCAAGCUUGUAACGCCCCAAGAUCCCAUCCCGAGACGUCACACGGUGCUUAAGGCCAUACGUGGCAUCAAGCUAACCCUCUAAACUUGUCAUCACUUCUAGAACUGACUUAGACAAUAGUCAUGCAAAUAUAAGACAGAAUGACAUCAUAAACAUACUGGAAUAAGAUAUGAAACUAGCCUGUACAAUCCAAAAUAUUGAAAUUCUUACAUACCAACCUUUUAGACUGACAAAGCCUCUACACAUCAAAAUCAAGGAGACAUUGGGAAAAACCCCCAACUGACUUAAACAGUACUAAAAGCCAUAAUAACAAAACGGUAUCAUAAAAUUAUAAACACGAUCCUCAAAACAUGAGGACUCACCACUGAGCAGACGAAAAGAGGCACCCGAAUAUUGCUAACGCAGCUGAGUACCUGAGCCUACAUUACGAGAAAAUGUAGCCCAUAGAAAAAUAUAUGGGUUAGCACUUUAGAAAGUCCUGAGUAUAUAGGGGUGCAUGUAACAAUGUAAAUAUCUUCAUCAAUCUCAUGAAAAUAUGCAUAUGUACGAUGAUGGCUCACUUUUCUUAAGCUAGAUUGAAACAUACUUAUCAUUAUCUCAUCGUAAAUAAAUCAUAUCAUAAAAACCUCAUAUAUCAUCAUAAACAACUAAACUCUUCAACUCAAGACUCGGAUUGACCUGUAAUUCAGGAAACUCAACUCUUAUGGAUAUGGAAGGUUCUUAGAAAUAACCUAAAUCAUAUGAGCUACAUGGAGUCCAAUGUUUUGCCUUCCUACGGAGAGAACCCCCCAUUGGUAGGAGCAUCGUACUCUUGCCAGGGAGUACAAACUAAAUUUAGCAAUCACAAUCUCAUACUUGGCCUCCGGCCCACAAUUAUCAAUAGCAAUCCUACGGUGUCACGUAGUUUCGGGGGAAAUACCACAUUUACUGCUCGGUGCUAAAUACAACUCCCAGACACAAGCUCAAAUGCGUUAUGAAAUCCACCACAAAUAUCACAAGGGUCUAUCAUAAAGACCAAAUCAAAUAUCUUUCUUAUUUAUCAAAUCAUAAUCAAUUUGUGGAUUUCUAACUUGACUCAAAUCAAAUCAAUCUUUCUCAAUAUCAAAAUGCAUCAGUUCAUUAAGACAUGGAAAUAUCAAUAACUUUGAGGAAAUAUCAAGACUCAUUGUAACAACUCAAUUCUCAUGAAUCAAUAAACUAAAUAAUCCAAUUUGUCAUAAGGAAGCUUAAAGCUUGACACAUAUCUUGAAAGCACUUGAAAUACCAACUCAUGGUAGAAACUUGAAAUUCACAAUAUUAAAUAUCAAGUCAUGACUUGGAAAUUGUAAAAUAAUCAUGUAUAACAAAGCUUGAACGAUUUACAUUCUCAUAAUCUCAUGAUGAAGUAAUUUGGGUAUAAAUCCACUUGCAAAAUCAUAUAAUCCAUUGUAAAAAUCAAAGCUUUGAGCAUAAGAACGAAAGAAUUGCUCUUGUUCAAAACCCCACAUACCUUAAUCUUUGAAAUUGGUUGAACUCUAGUGCUUGAGACUUUACUCACACUUGUAAUAAAAAAAUUCUUGAAGCCCACUCUAUGAGGAACUUGAUUCUUGAAGGAAUCUUGAAGAUUUAUAGAUUAUUUUUGGAAGAUUAAUUUCCUUAAAUAAAACCCUAGAUAUAUUUCUUAAGAGAAUUGGAAAAGAGAAAUAAAGAAAUUAGGUUUGGAUGAGGAUUCUCAUAUAUAUAGAGGCCUCCAAAAAUGGGAAAUGACUAAAAUACCCUUGCAAAAAUCGUCCAUCAAUUGCUAAAAAAAUAGCUGACGACAUCCGUGAUAAGCUGCCAGGCACGUGAUAGGCCGUCACGAAUUAUCGUCACAAAAAGGGUGGAUUUUGUGGCUUUCUUCCUUAAGGUGACGACAUUUUGUGACGAGCCGUCAGUCUUGUGACAAGUCAUCAGAAAAGGUCUUAACGGAUUUUCCAGGAUGACAUGCUGGAGUAAAAUAAGCAUAACUCUUUACUCUGAUAUCGAAUUUUGACGAAAUGGGUAUCUUUGGCAAGCUAAUUCAAUUAUCUAUCUUUUGGAAGGUGAUGAGCUCAAUAAUUAGUAGUACAACUGGAGAUAUGCUCAUUUGAAGUUGACUAUGCCAAAAUCCUUCUCAAGAAUUCAAUUGGUAAAGAAUAUUUUGAUUCGCCCAAGCAUUAGGAUAUCUUUAAAGCCUUAAUACACAUCACCUUUGACCAGAAAAAAACCAAAACACUAUAAUUUAUUUCUCAUGGGCUUGAGUCAUGGCGGCACUAUUGGUUAGAAUCCGGGGUAUUACAUUAUUACUUUUAAUUAUCUUUGCUAUUUACCUUUUGCAAAUAUAAUGCAAAUUUAUCUUAUAGUGUUAUAAUUGAAUUAAAAAAAAUAUUUGAGAUCAACCACAUAUUUUUGAAAGUAAAUGAUGUAUUAUUAUUAUUAUUAUUAUUAUUAUUAUUAUUAUUAUUAUUAUUAUUAUUAUUAUUAUUAUUAUUAUUAUUAUUAUUAUCAUUAUUUAUUUUAUUAUUAUUAUUAGUAGAUAUGUAUGUUCUACUACUACUACUAAUAUAAUAAGUUAUCUUUUAAUUAUUAUUAUAUUUUAUUUAAUAUUUAAAUAUAUUACCUGCAUAACUCACUGCUAAACUAACUACAAAAAAAUAUGCUACUACCUGCAUACAAAAACAUGAGCUGAGGCAACAAUUUUCUUUUCUCACAAGAAAUGAAGAACAAGAAGAACACUGCAAUUUAAAACCAGGCUUUAAAUUUCAAAAACAAAAUAAGAAAUCAUGAGCGCAUAAUGGGAAAAACAAAGUGCAAAAAGACCUCACCAGUAGUAGGAUACGAAGGAUGAGAGAGAGAGGGAGGAAGGAGGGUUAUAUUAAAAAUAGUAUUAAUACAGUGGAGGAAGAACACAUCUAUCAAUUAUUCUUCAAAAACACACUAGUUACAUCACUGACGUUUUCAAAAUCAAGGUAACUUUUUAUCCUGUUCAGAAAAAAAUUUCAAAGUGUGUGAGUAGGAUUGAGGUUGUCUUAACUGCGUAAAUUGGUUUUCCCUCUUAAAAUCUUCAUUAUUAUAUUUCUUUUAAUUGAACACAAUUUUAAGAGGUCAAACUAAUUUAUGCAGUUAAGACAACCUUAAUCCUACUCUCACACUUUGAAUUUUAUUUUUUGGAUAGGACAAAAAGUUGCAUUGAUUUUGAAACAUUGGUGAUGUAGCUGGUGUGUUUUUAAAGAAAUUUGAUAGAUGUGCUCUGCCUCUACUGUAUUCGUUCCAUUUUUCAUGUAACCCUCCUUCCCCUCUCUCUUUCUUUGUAUCCUAGUACUGGUGAGGUUUUUUUGCACUUUGUUUUUCCCUUUUUGCUCUCAUGAUUUCUUAUUUUGUUUAUGAGAUUUAAAGCCUGGUUUUAAAAUUGCAGUGUUCUUCUUUUUCUUCAUCUGCUGUAAGAAAAGGAAAUGGCUGCCCCGCUCAUGCUUCUGUUUUUGAGGAGGAAAAAACUAAAAGAUUGUUCAAAUCUGAAAAUGAGUUACUUCAAUAGCGCCCUUCUUCUAAAAAUGUGCUUCUAGGGAAACUAGAUGUGAGAACCUUUUCUUUUCUCUUUUCAUUUGUUUACCCACUUAAACCUAAGAAGCCAAAAGUAAACAACAAAGGGGCCUCAAUUAGAAUAAUGUAAGUUUUUGUAUUGUAGGGAUUAUCGAUGUGGAAAUCCAUAUAUUAUUUAUGCAUGUAUUAACGUAUUACUUGGUAGUUGAUUUAGUAGUGAGUUAUGAAGGUAAUUAAGUCCUACAUAGUUAAUAUUCAAAUAUUAGUAGUUGGUUUAGCUUAUGUAUACAACUAUUAACAUAGAAUAACCCUCGAGACCCCAAAGAAGGCCAUAAAAAUCCAUCUACCAAAUAGAUGGCUCUGUAGCCUUUCUCAACUGGUUUGAUGGCCCACUUUUAGGGCCCAAAUAUGGAUGAACAUAGUUAUGCUAUUCAAUAAAAUUAUAGUAGUACUACUGGGACUUAGGAUUAAAAGGGAAGAAUAAGUUGUCUAAUUAAGUGAGAAUCCUUCAAGUUUUUAAAAUUAGGUGGGAGGGACAAAAUUUUAUUGAUUUCAUUUUUUAAGUUUUUUCGUUCCAACAACUUCUCCCAGUUGUCGAAAAACUUUGAUAGUUUUUCGACAACUUCUAGCAGUUGUUCAACAACUAUCAAAGUUGUUCGACAACUGCACUAAGUUAUUCAACAACUAGGCGAAGUUGUGGGAGAAGUUGUUCAACAACUGUGUGAAGUUGUUGAGACAACUAAUGUAAUUGACGAACAACUGUCCCAGUUGUUCAAAUGACUUAAUUUUUUUAAAAGGGACAAGUUGCGGGACCCACUUGUCCCCUUUUCUUAAUUGGAAACUUGGGAGGUCUAUAGAUUCAUUUUUCUCACUUAAGUAUUUAAGUUGUAUAUAUCAUGAAGUAGUUAGCUUAUAUUUGCGUUGUAAAUUAUAAUAUUAAGUGUAGAGAUAGUCCUAUAUACGUUUAGUACGUCAAAGAGAGUUGCUCACAAACAUUGUGCAAUUCAAUUUGUCGCAAGAAGCACUUAAUCAUCACUCAAACACUUAUUGGUUCCGAAUAUUUACCCCUAAUAAAUGAUUUUAAUUCUAAUGAAUUAAGAAUAUAAUAUCAUUCAAUCAUGUUAACAAAAAUAAUUUAUAAAAGAUAUUAUCUUGUAAUAGUGGGUAUAAAAGGAGAGGUAGAUUUACGCUGAGGACGUUUUGGUAAAGGUGAUUAGAUUAGGUAUCUGUAGCUUUUUGAGGAUAUGAUCUAGAUAUAAAAAUAUGGAGAUCAAGGAUGUGGUUAGUGGGUGGAUGAGCGUUGUCUAAUUUGCCUAUUAAGUACUAUUUUUGUUAUUACUUUCAUACUAUCUUAUUCUUCUAUAUUAGAAUAAUUUGUUUGUUUUUAGUUCAGUUAUCAUAUUAAUUGUUUGUCGUUGCUACCAUUUUCAGAUUUACAAUUUUAUUUGUUUUACAUGCCUAAUUUUUUUUUUAUAUGUUUUAAUUGAUUCGAGAGUCGAGAGUCAAUCAAGAACAACCUCCCUAUCUUCACAAGGAAGAAGUACAUGUCCAUACUACCUCUCCAAACUCCACGUGUAAUAUUAUGUAUGUUAUUAUUGUAUAUAUCUUGAAUCGAUUGAUCAAAUAUAAAUACCCGAUGUUGUGGUGUACUUGUACCCAUUGGCGGAGGGAUGAUCUUAGGAAAAGAGUGAUUUGAUGCACAUCUUUUGUCAAAAGAUUAUAUAGUGUACAGAAGCUUAAUAUUAGCUAUUAUAUGUCGAUAUUAAAUUUUGUACAUUCUUAACACAACUAAAAUGAAAAUAUGCACACUCCUCGUCAAAUUUCUGACAAUGACACUGCUACUGCCUCAACUGUGUACGUGCAAAGAAGACGCCAUAUAGCAUUUGUCAUCUGCAUGACGCCCAAACUCUUUUAUCAGUGUACCUACCCAACCUGUCACCUCAUUUUCAACUUUUAUAAUUGCAUAUCCAUCCAAAUUUCAUACACCGUCCAUUUCAUUUUAAUUUUAUUAAAAAUAACUAUUUUAAUUUAUUUGUGUAAUUUAUAAAAUUAUAAAAAAAAAAGAUUAUUACGUGAAGUAUUAAAUGAAGUGAAAGGUGUAUUCUACGAAUAUAUAAAUGCUUGUUUCAUUAAAUCCGUAUUCCGUACUAAGCUCGGAUCCAAACAACUCUUUUAUAAUUAAUAUAAUUUAAUGAUCGAUAUAUUAAAUAUAUUUUAUUAAAAUUUUUUAGAAUUAUUCAAUUUCUUAGUCGCAUAAUUGGAUAAUUUUUUUUAAAAAAAUAUUUGUCGGAAGAAAGUAUUACAGGAGAAUUAAAACAUAACAAGAGACCACAAGUAAUUUAAUAUUUUAUAAAAUAACAUGAUACAACAACAACAAUAACAACAUACCCAGUGGAUUCUCACAUAGAGGGGUCUGGGCAGGGUAGAGUGUACACAGAUCAUACCACUACUUAAGAUGAAGUAGAGAGUCUGUUUCCGACAGACCCCCGGCUUAGGACCAACAGCAGUAUAACAUACACAAAUCAUAAAUGCAUAAAAACUAAUACAAUUUGCAAAGUAAACUAACGUCACUAGCCAUAAGAUAAUACUAUAGUCACAAGAUAAUACUAAAACUAUCUAUCCGAAAUCAUAGACAUCACUCAACACCACGAACAAGAAACUUCAAACACAAAUAAAGAAUGCUCCUCUAUUGUUACCAACACACUCUCAACCCCUAACCCUCUACCCUAAUCGGCAUUCUUCACACCUUCGUAAUCACAUCCCUCCAAUAUUUGUUCGGUCUACCUCUACCCCACCUAAAAUCAUCCAUAGCUAGUGUCUCACACCUCCGCACUGGAGCAUCAGAGCCCCUCUUCAUCAUAUGCUCACACUAACGUAACAUUACUUCUCGUAUCUUGUCCUCCACCGAGGCCACUCCCACCUCUCCUGAAUAAUCUCAUUUCUUAGCUUAUCUUUCCUAGUAUGGCCACACAUCUAUUGCAAUAUUCUCAUCUCCGCCACCUCCAACUUUUGGAUACGGGAGUUCUUAACUGGCCAAUACUCUCGAUACAACAUGGUCGGCCAGACUUCCACUCUGUGGAACUUCCCUUUAAGCUUUUGGGGAAUCUUCUUAUCACAUAAAACACCCAAAGCAAGCCGUUAUUUAAACCACCUAGCCCUAAUAUGAUGUGUGGCGUCCUUAUCAAUCUUACAAUUGCCUUAAAUCAUAGACCCCAGAUACUUGAAACUCUCCUUCUUCUGAAUGGCCUUAGAGUCUAGCUUCAUAACCAUGUCAGCCUCCUACGACAUAUCACUAAACUUACACUUCAAGUACUCCGUCUUGGUCCUGCUCAACCAAAAUCCUUUAAAUUCAAGGGUCUGUCUCAAAAUCUCCUAUCAUUAACUCCUUCCCGAGUUUUGUUAAGCAGUACCAUAUUAUCAACAAAUAACAUACACCAAGGCACCUCCUCUUGAAUAUUUUUUUUCAAAACAUUCAUCACCAAGGCAAAUAAAAUGGGCUAAGAGUCAAACCCAGAUGCAACCUUACCAAAAUCGAAACGUGCUCUGAAUCUCCACCUACCGUCCUCACCCAAGUCUUUGCGCCAUUAUACAUGUCCUAAAUCGACCUAGUGUAUGCCACAGACACCCCUUUAGAAUCCAAACACCUCCGGAGAAUCUCCUUAGGAACUCUGUCAUAAGCUUUCUCAAGGUCAAUAAACACCAUGUGAAAGUCCUUCUUCAUCACCCCAAACUGUUCCACUAAUCUCCUUACAAGGUGAAUAGCGUCAUUAGUCAAGCAACCUACCAUGAAAUCGAACUAAUUCUCAGCGAUAAUCAUCCUCCUUCUCAGCCUCAACUCUACCACCCUUUCCUAAAUCCUCAUAGUAUGACUCAACAACUUAAUACUUCUAUAGUUGUUGCAACUUUGGAUGUCUCCCUUGUUCUUAUACAAUGAAAUUAUUGUACUCCACCUCCAUGCUUCAGGCAUCCUUCCUGGCCUAAAAAUGAUGUUAAGAACCUAUUCAACCACUCCAAACCUGCCCCACUAGUGCGUUCCAAAAAUCUACUGGAAUCUCGUCUGGCCCCAUCGCCCUACCUCGAUGCAUCCUGCGAAUAGCCCUCAUGACCACCUUAACCUAAAUAUGCCUAUAAUAACCAUAGUCGUGACACUCCUCAAAUUUAUCCAAGUCCCCAAACACAAAACCUUUAUCUCCCUUAUCGCUCAAAAAUUUAUGAAAAUAGGACUGGCAUAUUUUUUUAAUGAGGGCAUCCUCAACCAAUAUAGUACCAUCCUCAAACUUGAUGCACUUAUCCCUGCCUUUCUCCUUCAAAGCCACAUACAAGCUCUCAAAAUCUAUCAUUUUAUCCACUGUAACCGCUAUCUUAGCCUCUCACCUAGCUAUAACUUGUACUCUUCCUUAUUCGUCGGCCUCUCUUGAUCAUUGUUUCUCUCAACCAAUUUAACAUAAGCCACCUUCUUAGACUCCACCUUCCUCUUAACCUCUUCAUUCCACCACUAGUCCCCUCGAUGUUUUCUAAAUUAACCUCUCAAGACACUAAUACCUCUCUAGCGAUCUCCUUAAUGCAACUGGCAAUCGUAUCCCACAUACUAUCCACAUCCCUUCUACUCUUCCAAGCCCCCUGCUUCUCAACUUUUCCCCUAUCUUCAAAGAAUUAGCUAAAGUUAAGCUACCUUACUAAAUCUUAGGCUGAACCUUCACACUCCUCUUCUUUCAGCCUUUAUUGAUUACCAAGUUCAUCACCAACAACCUAUGUUUAGUCAAAAGAUUAUCUCUAGGUAUGACUUUACAAUCUUUACAUAGUUUUCUAUCACUCUUCUUAAGGAGCUAAAAGUCUAUCUGAGUCUUGGCCACUAAACUACAAAAUAUUUCAAAAAUCUCAAAUCCAUUAUCCACAACCCAAAAGCCCUAGAAAAAUCCAAAAGAGAAGCACGUCCUUUAUUCCUCUACCCAAAAUCAAAAUCUCCAUGCAUAUCAUCAUAACCUCUUGAGGAAGACCCAAUAUGCCCAUUGAAUUCUUCUCUCAUGAAAAGUUUCUCAGUGCUCGGGACGCCCCUCACCAUCUCAUUCAAAACCUCCAAAAGCCCUUCUUCUCUUCCUCGUCCAAACCUAAUUGCGGAGAAUAAACACUAAUAACGUUCACCGCAGUUCCUCCCAUGACCAACUUAAUAGACAUCAACCUAUCACUGACUCUUUUAACCUCUACCACCCGCUCUCUAAGUUCUUCAUCUACUAAAAUACCUACCACAUUUCUAUGUCUCAUGAUACCUGAGUACCAUAACUUAUAUCCAUCUACAUCUUUCACCUUAGUGCCUACCAUUUAGUUUCCUAGACACACGCUAUACUAACCAUCCAUUUUCCAAGAAUCUUCACCAGCUCUAUAGAUUUACCUUGAAGCAUCUCUAUGUUCCAGGACCCAACUAUCAACCUAUAAGCACCCUUAUCCAACUUAGCCCUACUAUCCCUCGCCCUCAACCCAAGACGGGAAUAUAGACUCGACACCAAUCCCUACCUCGACCUAUGACAUGACCCUAGUCCAUCAUCUAUCUCCCCAACCACCACUCAAAGGGAUACGAUAGAAGAAAAUGGAAAUGGUCUUAACAAAAAGAAUAAGGACAACAAAAAUAAUAUUUAGCAAAAGAACAUCAUCAAUCCUUGUGAGGACUACCAAAAAUUGAGAUCAUCCCUUAUAUAUAAUAGUAAAUUGUAUUCUUUUUUCAUAUUGUUUACACUAUUUGCAAUAAAGAUUACAGUGAUAGAAACAAAUUACAGUCACAUGCAAAUAAAAUAUGAAAAAAUAUGAAUUUUAUUGAUAAAUGAUAUGGGUAUAAUUCUGUUACUCCCUUGAGUCUUCUUUUUUUUAUUUUUCUCCGUAAUUUGAGUACCAUUAAUAGCGUAUUUCUCGAAUGUAGAAAGAUUUAAAUUUGAUAUGAAUUUUUAGAAUACUUCUCGAAUGUAAAAAGAUUUGAAUUUGAUAUGAUUAUUUUGUAAUUCAAGGGUCGUUAGUAGCGUAUUUCUUGAAUGUAAGAAGAUUUAGAUUUGAUAUGGAUUUUCUUCAUAAUUUGAAGGCCGUUAAUAACAUAUUUCUUAAACGUAGAAAUCUUUGAAUUUGAUCUCCAUAAAAGAAGGGUUUAUGGAUCUUGUUGAUAUAUUUGACUAUCAAAAAGAGAGUGAUAUUCAAUGAGUUUAUGAAAUUAUCGGGGGAUGAUUAAUCUCUUUAUUAAGGGUUUAGAGUAGAGUAGCCUCCAAGUUAGUUUUAGCGUAAAGUAACCCCUAAUAACUCUAAGAGAAAUUAAAUUCUUAUUAUAGAGUUCAUAAAAUUAUGAUGUCUAUUAAAGCUUUGUAUUUUCAGAUGUUAUGACUACAAAAUCGUUUGCUGAAAUGUCAAAAUACAAUUAUUUUUCUUCUUUGAGAUGAUGAAUGAAGUACAUGUUAAUUUAGUGGAGUCACUUAGUUCAAUUCAUUCGUGCAGGGUACCAUAAAAUCAGAAAACUACAUCAAGCUAGUAGAAGAGAAAAGCAAUAACAAAAAUACCAUAUUUAGCACAGUUUCAUAGCUCGAACUCGUGACCCCCUGAUCACAUGGAGGGAACUAUCCAUAAUAAUUUAGACAAAUACUUCUCAGAGAUAAUCACAAAUUUCCAAGCAAGACUAAAUCUUUUAAGAAUUUUACUACACACAAAGACAAAAACAAAGGGCUGUCCGGUGCACUAAGAUACCGUUAUGUGUUGGGUCCCAGGAAAAAACUGGACCACAAAGGUCUAUUAUACACAGUCUUACCACUGUGGACCCCUCUUUCCACAGCUUGGACCUAUGACCUUCUGGUCACACGACAAUAACUUUACUAGUUACGACAAGGCUCUUUGUCUUACACACACAAAUAACAUUUGUAAAAAUGAAAUCUUUAGCAAUUUUUUCAAAUUCUUUCUACCCAAAUUUCCAAGUUAAGCUAAAACAUAACACUGAUAAAAUAUGGUUAAAUAAACAAUAAGCAAAAAAUGCAAACUACCCAAAACAAUUCAGGAAAAUAAAACUUGGAAUACAUCAUGAUUAAUUUUGAACAAUAUCUUAAAACAAAUCUCACUUUCUCACAACUGAAUAAUGAAAUUCCAAUUUUGCCCUUAACAUUAUGGCUCCAUUGAUGAUGGGUAUUGUAGCAUUAAGAGCUAAUUUCUUUCCUUUUCUGGUAGUUGGUCAGUAUUCGAGCAGUAUCAUCUUCUACAAAAAUGAACAGGAUAAUAUCACUUUAGCCCCCAAAAGAUCUAGCUAUUACAUAUAGACCCCUUUACCUUAUAAUUUUAGAAUGAUAUUACUCUUCUUGAACAAUUUAAAUGCCCCAAAAGUUGAUCUAAUAAACAAAAAAAUAAUUCCUUCGUUCGGUUUUACUUGUCACAUUUUAAAUUGACAUAUUUACUAAAAAAAUAAUUAAUAACAUACAGUUACUUUACCAUAAUACCCCUAUUAAAUGAUGUUUAUAUUGUAUCUUAAAAAUAAUUUGGAGAAAAGACAAUUAAUGCUAAGGGUAAAAUAGGAAAAAGAAGUUGUCUUUUCUUGAUAUGUCAAUAAUGAUAAGUAAAAAUAGAAAUACAAUUAGGAAAUUAGUGACAAUUAAAAUCAAACGGUUGGAGUAACACUGAAAACACUUCAAAAAGAUAUACUUCCUCGGUUGUAUUUUAUGCUGCAUAUUUUGAUCGGGCACAAAGUUUAAGAAGGAAUGAAAAUUGUCUUUUAUUAAAAAAUAUAUUAAUACUAUCUUUAAUUAUAUGAGACUAAUAGGGAUAAAAGUGAAAUUGUAUUUUUAAAUAGUUACCAAAUAAGGAAAUAUGACAUUCAUUUUAGGAUGGACAAAAAGAAAAUGACGACAUAUAAAAUGAGGCAGAGGAAGUAUGUUAAUACUAAAAGGGUAGCUUGAUGUGGCGAUGGAAGUAUGUUAAUACUAAAAGGGCAGCUCGGUUUACUAAAGCUUCUUGCUUUAAGGGACUGCGGAGAAGGGCUGUACUGCAAGAAUUUUAUUGUGCGUAACAUUAUCUUGCAUUUCUGACAGAGGCUGUUUCUAUGACUUGAACUCGUGACUUCCUAAUCAUAUGACAAUAAUUUUAUUAGUUACUCUAAAACUCCCCUUCAUAUUUUUUUUUCGAUUUGUUAAAAAUAUUAAAGAUACACAAAAUAUAGAAGAUAUGCAUAUAAUUCUUUUUGCAAACCCACUUAUAUGGAGUAAUAAAAGCUUAUAAGGUAUCAAAAAUGAUAUAUGCAUGGGAUUUCCCUUUUGGUUAAAGUUUUAACUGGUUUAUUUCAUGUAUAAUUGUAGAGUUUUACUCAUUAAUGACAAAAUAAUUGAACUUUACCUAUUUAAUAAAGUAGUAGAUUUAAUGGCAUUAAAAAUCAUUAAUGAGUUUUUAUUAUGUUUUUUUAUAUAUUGAGUACAAGAAGUGCUAGACAUAUCUCAAACUGAAUCAAUCAAUUAGAAAAACAAUUUCUGUUCCAAUGGAGAAGUUCCUCCAUGUUCACCUUUUGAUUUCAAUUAUUUUCUCAAUUUUGCCUGUAAUUUUAUGCAAUGAACAUUAUUUUCCAUCCCUUAACACCACUUAUAUUAUGGAAUAUGUCUAUUGAUCCAACGAAGCUUCCCGAUACUUCGAUGCCAUCCUAUACACUCACCAUUUACAAUCUCUAUUUAUUUGAAAAGUCAAAAUUUAAGGACCAUGACUCGUUAUUCAGAAAUAGGUUCGCCGAUUGUCAUGCUAGAGCAAAUCAUUUGGCAUCGGUUCUUCAAAAUGGUGACGCGAUUAGUACAAAUCGAACUCUGGUAAGGCCACACGACGAGCAUGAGAGUAAAGUGGCCAACGAAAAGGUUCCAGUAAAAAUAAGUACACAUUUCAUAUGUCAGUAUGUUGCAUCUUUUACUUCUUUUUUUUUUUGGUUUCGCAUCCGGUGCCAGCAUUGGAGCCCCGACUAAUCUAGAUCAUAUGUUGCAGGGCCUAUUAAGGUGGCAGCACUCCCAACAGAAUUUUCUCCAUACCAAGGGUCGAACCCUGGACCUCUGGUUAAGGGUGGAGCAGCCUCAUCCACUGCACCACAACCCAUAUUGGUGCAUCUUUUACUCACUAAACAAGUUAAAAGUUACUUUCUAAUAGACACUGGUAGUGAUUUAGUUUGGUGCAAAUGUGGACCAUGUAACACUACAACAUUUUAAGCUUUUGGGCACACUAAUUCUAGACCACACUUGUAAAGUGUGGCCGAUAUCAUUAAAGACUACGCUUUUAAAGCGUAGCCUUAUUUUUUAGCUUUGACCACAUUAAUUUUGGCAACACUUUAAGAGCGUGGUCCGUAAUGGUAUAGGCCACACUUUACAAGAGUUGACAAAUCAUGAUUUAAUUGGAAACGCUUAUUCACAAAUAUGACUACACUUUUAAAUGUGGUAUUAUUAUAAUUUAAAAGACAAUACUUUUGAAAUAUGGCCUAAGAUUUUUAUUGAAAUAUUUCACUACCCCUCAAAAUAGUUGUAGGGUUUCACUCUUCUACCCAAAUAUUUCACUCUCCCUCCAAAUAGUUCUAGGGUUACAAGAAAGCACAGAUUAAGGGCAAAAUUCUUUUUGGGCAAAAAUAUGGGUUGCAAGAAAACAUAGAUUACAGAUAAAAUUAUUGAUUCCUUAACUUAAUGUCUCAAUUGUUGCAGUUAUGAUAGAGGAAGAAGAUUAAAGACUGUCGUCAAUGAGGAAGAGACAUCCUCACUGCCGUGAGGAGAAGGGGUUGGUGCUUAUCGUCCACCAGAAGGGUAUGUUAAUUUCUUUAUUAAUUUCCCAAUUUAGCCCAUAAUCUUACUGUAUUUUGCUGUUCUUGUAACUAUUUCUUCUGUGGGGUUAUUGAUUUAGUUCAUUGUCUUACUCUAUUUUUGCUUCUUGUUUGCUAUUCUAGUAGCCAUUUCUGUUUUAGGGUUCUUUAUUUCGCUCAUAUAUUACAAUAUAUUUGCUUAUUGUUUGUUGUUCUUGUAGUCAUUUCUGUUGUGGGGUUCUUGAUUUAGUUCAUAUCUUACACAAUAGAAAGAGGCUUUACAUCUAUUAGUACUGGAGGUGAUGAGUUUUUGAUAAAUAAUUUUUUUUAAAAUUUUAUGCAAAAUUUUCCCAUCUUGGAUAUGUUUUUUUUUUUGUGUCAAUUUCAUUCUAAGUUUAAUGAUCUAAUCUUUAUUGCAUGUGCCGUUGUUUUAGUGCUAAUUUUCCCAUUUGGGGUUUUUUUAUUUUUGUUAAAUUUCAAUUCUUGAUAUCCUAGAUGGUAGUUUGAGCAUAUUAGAUAUGUGUUUUAUUUGCCAAGGGUAAAAUUCUGUAUGAUGAACAAACUGGAGAGGUUAUGGGGUUGUUCUUUAUAUCGAGUUGUUCUAUGCUUCUCAGUUUUACAAUUACUGCCUAUCUAGUAGCCUGUUUUGUCAUAUCCCUGGGCUAGGUUGUCAUCUAAUUUGGAGCCUUCAACGAUAGCUUGUGUCAUCUACAAUUCUUCACUCCAGUUUAUAUCCUCAGGUCCCUCUCUUAUAUCUCCAUUAUCUAUUACUUGGUUCCUUAUAUUAGGAUUGUAGUUGAAAAGAACAUUUCAUAAUCAAGAGAAUACCUGUUCAUUUUUUUGAAGAGAUGAUCUAAACUCACUAAAAUUAACAAACAAUACAAUUUAGUUUCACAAUCUUGUUUCUCUCAGUAAGCAAUAUGCUCAGAACUUGCGAGGAAGAUUCAUACUCGGGUGAUCAAAUAGCGAAAGACAAGGCUUCCCUUCAUGUCUACUCUCUCACACUCCAUCGCAACUUGAAAGAAUGGAACAUGUCCAAGUUAGUAUAUCUAGUUAUAUUUUUGCUGAAGCGCCUAUUUACUUCUUAAAAAAUAACUUAUACUUCAAGCCUUUACCGUUAAAGAACCAACACUGGUUAUUUCUCCUGGAAAAUAUAUUUGAACGUCAAUGCAAGAAGACUACCUGCAUCUAGAAAUUUACAAUAUCUGUUGACUUGGAUUAUAAGUUUGCAUCAAAUCCUAUUUUUCAUGCGCAGUUAUAGAAGCAAAAAGUAUGAAAUGUCAUGCCUUGUCCUCUUACUCCAUCUUAGUAUCACAAUUGAGAUUCCCUUCGUAUAUCAGCUGUGAUAAAAAAAAUAUGUAAAACAUAAAGGAGUUUUAAAUUUAGUAGUUGAGUCUGUUUGAAAAUAAUUGCUCAUAUAAUAGUUAUUGUUCCCUUAUUAUGUUCCAAUUUCAUCCUACGAUAUUGUUCUUGUGUUUGGUUUGAUCGAAACAUGGAUUGAAAUUGCACAACAGAUCUUUUGAUACACUCUUUAGCUUUUUUCCUACUGGCUUGGAAGAAAUCCUCCUCCAUAUCAUUGGGUUUGUGAUUAACUACUUGACUGGACUAGAGUUGAAGCUCAUGAAAACCUUUUUUCUUCAAACACCAACGAAAUAUUGCCUUUUCAAGCACCCUGACCGAAUUAUCUCCAGGUAAUGCCUUCAGACAUGGAAACCACUGAACACAGUCCACAUGACCAGAGGCAGGUUCCAUUAAUAAUGGAUCAUGUUAUUCUGUCAGUUUUAUGGAAAAGUCAAAGAGUAAUUGGGAAAACUUGCUAAGUUAUCAUUCUUGUAAGAAAUUCUCAAUCAUAUUAACUCAUGUUUGUUGUAGAUGUAUAUCAUCAAUUCAUUUAGUUCUGUCUCAAUUUCAUUUUCAGAGGAGUUAACUCAAAUAAUUUCACCGGUGAGAUCCCACCAAUUCUUGAUAAUCUGUCAAAACUCUGCUGGCUUGAUCUAGCAGAUAAUCAGUUAAUCGGAUUGAUUCCUGUUUCACCCUCCUCAUGUUUGGUCUUGGACCUUCUAAAGAAAGAAGAACACUUACGAGUAAACUAUAUCUAUUCGUAUUACAUGCUAUCCGUUUCAACUGAUAGGAAAUCAAAUGAAUGUUGUUUGCCAAUUAUGAUGUUGUUGGUUGAUGGAAAUUGUAUAUUAGUUAGUAUUAUGCAGAUAACUUUUGUUCAUCUUGCUCCAAUGUGGUUAACUGGUAUCGUCACUAUUGCAGAUAUACUAAAAUUUUAUUUUUCAUCUCUGUUCUUGUUGCUUUGAGCUUUAAAAAUAUUCUGUAGUACUUUUCUUUUGGUGCACCUAUGUAGUUUCUGUUUGUAUAGACUAUGGAGGAUUGGAUGUCCUUUUGAGUGAAGCUCAGAAACACCCUCUAUAGCUCCAUGGAUCGAUACUCAUUGGUCCCAAGUUGUAGCUGCUAACGUUAAAUUGCUUGCAUUGUAUGGUGUAAUCCCCCUUCUUCUCAAUUGACAUUAAUAUAUCAAAUCUCCUCAUUUUUAAGCUUGUAAAGUAACAAGAGUAAGUUAAAUAAUUCAUGAGAGAAUAUCAACACACAUUCACAGUUUGUUCACAUUCUAUAUACACUUUUUUAAACAUCAAAUAAAGCUGCUUUGGUUUUGUUUUUCCUCCCAGCCUGUGCAACAACUAUUAUAACUUUUCUUUAUAGAAAAAAUCAAAUAAAUGGCAGCUAGCAUUGUAUAAUUAACAUUAGUAUAUUAGCGUUUCAGAAUAGUGAAAUAAUACAUAGUAAUAGACUUUGUACCAAUUUGACAGAUGAGCACUUUGGUACGUUAUUCAAUUUCCAAAGUGAAAUAUUUGUUAAUGAACUUACUAUUUAGCAUCUCACGAUGUGCUGUACUUUAUCAAAAACACUAUUACAAUUGUGAAAUAAGUUCCAAAUUGGCAGUAAAUGAAAUCACUUCAUGCUUUUUGACGUGUUUAAAAACUCCAAUUAGUAAUAGAAUUCCUAGAAACAUUUCAUCGGCGUAAGUUAAGUUUCUCCUAACAGCUUACUGUCUUGCAGGUUCAAGUGUAACCUAUUCGUGGACUUCCUCUUUUUUUCAAAGACAAAUCCGAGCAUCUUUCAAAAAUUGUUGACAUACUUGUAUAACUCCUGACUGAUCCGAGCAUCUUUCAAAAAUUGUUGACAUACUUGUAUAACUCCUGACUGCUGGUAUAGAAAUCUCUUAGUCUUUCCAUCAAGAAAUGUUGAUUAUGAGAAAGGAUAUGUGAUCUUGACUUCUUUUUCUGCUUUUACGGAGGAAAAUAUGGCACGUGAUACAGUAAACAAAGCCCUUUUGUCCUUUUUAAGGCAAUACGUAAAUAGUAUGUUGAUUCUUUCGUAAUGACAUUGAGACCAUACACAUAGGAACUAUCUGUAAAUAUAUUCAUCUUAAAUUGAGUUAAGAAAUUAAAUUGCUGAACUAAUCAAACUGCUCUUUCUUUCCUCUUCUGGAUGCUAUUUCAUGUUUUCUGGUAUCACUCUCUAAGAAAAAAGGUAGAAUGAUAGAUACAUUAUAAUCUGGUCAAGACAAGAAGCUCAUCCCUCGUGGGUCACCUAACAUGUUUCAUUACCUACUUUGGAUAAAUCAGCAAAUUUAUUAAUGCAGUGCACAUUUUAUCUUGCAUUUGAUGCACCAUUAUGCAUUAGCAAGCAUGCUCUUUUGUUCAAUACCUGGGAGCUGUAUACCAGGGUUUUGCAGCAAUUUAUAUGCCAUAUUAAAAUACCUCUUCUUAUUACACUUAUCUGAAGUAGGAAUUAUACUAAUCAAAUCCUUUUAGGACAAUAUUCUAUUUUCCCAAUUUAUAAUCAACUUUAACAAGAGCUCAAGUGUAGCUAUGUGGAUAUAUCAACUACAGAAAAAUAUUUAUACUUUAGUAUGACACUGCUGAAGGAUGUGGUGCACAUUUGUGCUUUCAAAAGAAGGAAGAGAAGAUGUCCCAUAAAAUGUAGACAUGUAGUUAUAUGGGUACUUUCCAUAGAAAUAAAUAAGAGAGAAUUUGAAGGACUAAAGAAUGAUUUUUUAAUUUAAUAUUCUAAAAAGAAAAGGGGCUACCCUGAGAAACAGAAAAUCAAUUGGAACAAAAAGUAAGCAAAAAAGAAAAUUAGAGACACAAUAACUCACCAGAUUAUAGAGCGAAGAGAGGAAGAACAGGAGAGAUAAAAGAAAAUUACUUGCGAAAAACAUAAAAGUGAAGCACCUUAUAUAUGGCAUUCAGUUGUGCAUGCAUCUUUUCUUGGAUUGGAACUAGUGGUGAUAUUGAUCCAUUACUGUGAUAUGUUCAUUUUUUUUCUGUUGUUUCACUUGUGUCUCUAUGUUACCUGUUGGAUUCAUUAUUGUGAUAUUAAUCCAUUACUGUGAUAUGUUCAUUCUUUUCCUGUUGUUUCACCUGUGUCUCCAUGUUACCUUCUAGAUUCUCCUUGUCAACUACUUCUUGGAUGGAAUAUCUUAAUUUGGUGUGCAUAGAGAUAGAAGAACGUCCAGCCUCUAAAUAUACAGUUUAAGCAAGUAGCGACCAAUAAAAAGCUUAAAAUUUUGAUGUGUGUUGAAACCAUUCUUCAGAUUUGAGCAAUUGUGGAUGAUAAACUAAGAGGAUGACUUGUUUUAUUGCAUCAGUAGAAUACUACUUAGUCUAAGUGGAAAAAUCAACCUUGUUUUGUUGCAUCAGUAGAAAACUACUUAGUAAAGUUGACUAGUCCUUUCAAUCGAGCAGAAUAUGCAUAUAGAUAGAAGAAAAGCUAUUGACCGUUGGCUACAACACCACUUGACUGGAGUUGUUUCACUGGAUUUGUUGAUGCAAUUGUAUUGACGCACAGUGAAUUCCUGAAUCUAUCAUGUUAAGAGCCAUUUAUGUAUUGGCAAUGUGAUAUUUAAAGCUUUGUUCAGUGGUAUUUAUGGUCUUUUCUGGGGACGUAUGCUCCUAUUUGGUAGAAAAGGACAGUGCAAAUAUUUUUCAGGGUUUUUCCAUAUGUAUUAUUGGUAAGAGAGAACCUUAACAGAUAUCUAUUGCUCUCUCUAUUUUAGAAUGGAUUCCCAAGUCUUGAGGAACUGAAAUAAUAUGUUUUGACUUUAAGAGACUGAUUCAUUCCCAGGAGUAUUAUAGGUAAGAAAGUUCAUUAAUUUUACCGUGGGACUGAGGGGAAUUCUUUUGAAAUAUAUCUUAUAUAUACUGCAUUAUUUCUUCUCCAGACAACUAUUGUUUUAAUUUUUUGACAGUCUAAACUAGAGAAUCAUCACAAUGCUGGGAAAACACCAGAUGAUACAUUCACGGUAGUGUUUGGAAAGGAGAAACCUGGUCGAGUUAGAGGUUAUGGAAGAUCAGUGACAACAACAUCUCUAAAAAAAGAUGAGGAAAUGAACGAGCAUAAACAAAAGCAUGCUAAUGAAGUCAUUUCUAUGAAGAAGAAAUUAUAAGUAAAAUGAGAGAAAUGCGACAAGUUUUUUAGUCAAUCGGUCCAAAACAAUCCUGGAUUGAAUUUUCAUGAUAUACUAGGGAGUGACGGAUGUAACAUUUCUUCACCUGAUGCGAGUAAUGCACAAGCUGUAAGAGAAAAAAUUCUUUCAAAUUCUUUCGGCUCAGCUCAUGCUUCGGUUCAUGGAAAGGUACUUUAUCUUAGAAAUUCACAAGAAAUUUAAAUCCUAAACUUUUAACUUUAUUGAAUGAAUGAAAGAAACUUUGGAUUCGCAUACUUCGUCAUAUCAAGAUUGAAAUUUUUUUUGUAUAUUUGUGAGCAUAAUUUAACUUCGUUUGUUUCAGUUUGAAUGUAGGAUCAAUACGGGGGAUCAAAUUUGAAUGGUGGGCCCACAACUCAACUUGAUCGAGAUUGAAGUGAAUGAUGAAGAAUUUUUGAAAUAUUUUGAUAUAAGUUUAUAUACAUUUGGUUUUGUGUGGACCUUGAUACAAUUUUUACUAUGUUGUUUUCUUAUUAGUGUGUAAAAGACAUGUUUUUUUUAAAUCAAAUCUAUGCACUUCAAUUAUUCAUUAGGUUAUUAGUGCAUGCGUGAGAUUAUGUAUAAAUAUGUAUGUUUAUGUAAUAUGCUUAGUGAUACAUAAAUUUCGAUCAAAAUAAUUAUUUUUUAAUUAGAAAUUACGUACGAGCAUUUUAUAUGCCUAAUGCCAUUUCAGUAAAAUGUGGUCUGAAAUGUCAAAUUUUAGGCAAUAUUGCUACACUUCAAAAGUGUAGCUAAAACAUGCUUACACUUUAUAAGUGUUGUCAUAGAGGAUAUAUAAAAGGCUAUGUUUUUGAAGUGUGGCUAGUAAUAAAGAAAAGACCACAUUUUUUAAGUGUUGUUAUAGAGGUGCUACAAAAGGCUAUGCUUGUGAAGCAUGCCCAAUAGUAAAACAAAGACAAGAUUUGUAAGUGUUAUUAUAGAAGUGCUACAAAAGGCUAUGCUUGUGAAGCGUGCCCAAUAGCAAAACAAUGGCAACACUUGUAAGUGUAGCUUUAUCAAAUAAAAGUUUUGCCAAUGACAAGCUACAAAGCGUGUCCUUUGUACCUUAAUGGCCAUGCUCUUUAAAUGUAGCUGAUAUGGCAACACUACGAUGAAAGCAUACACAAAGAUUAAGAUUGAACAUUCAGCAAUAUAUUUUCAAAGAAAUCUUUCUGGGAAAAUUAACACUUGAAUUCAUAAAAAGAAAUCAUUAUAAUUAACUUUAACAAACAUGAAAGAAAUAGAAAAAGAUGAUGGCAGAGAUAUAUGAUUAUGAUGAUGAAAAAGAGUUGCCAAAAAAAUAAAAGCAAUAGAAAGAGAUGAUGGAAUCUGAUACCAUGAUAAUGAAAUGAACCUUGGACCUAACUCAACGUCAAAAGCUAGCUCAUGAGGUGAGGAUUGCCCAAGAUCAUAUUAAGAGACUACAGACUCUUUAAUCCACUGAUGUGGGACUCUCCUCUCCCUCUCCUUGCACGCCAAGACUGGACAUCUGAAGCGUAGGCAAUAUAAGAUGGGGGACUCAACAAUGAAAAUAAUGAAUUGGAUAGGCCUGACUCUGAUACCAUGCUGAAGUGUGUGACCAUCUCAUCUAAAAGUUUAACUAUUAGAGAGAGUACACUUUUACUAUUUAAUUAUAUUCUCAACAGUUACUUAAUAUGCUAUUUUGGCGUUAAACAAAUGAACUUUACGUGGCAUUGCAAACUGAAGAAAGACACAAAAUUUUUGUUUCAAACAGUUCAAGAAAGAAUCUUUUGUCCUUUUGAUACAAAGAAAUAGAGUCACAUUUGUUGCCUUGUUUUCUCCAUAUAGUUGAACUAAGAGCACUUUGAGUGGAGGUUUUUUCUAUUAUUAAGGAUGUCCAAUUUUUGAAAAGUACUACUCCUUUCGUUUAAAAAAGAAUGGUAGACAAAACAACAUAUUAAUUUUAUACAUUAUAUUAACUCCUAAGUAGCUACCAAACCUGGAAUUACUUAUGCAGGAUUCCUACAUAACUCGUUGCUAAGCCAGCAACUAAAUGACCCCUUAAUACCUUCUUUCUUUGUUCAUUGAGAAGACAGAGACCAAUGCAAGCAUAAUUCAAUUUAUCUGUAUAAUAUGUUCAAAACCAAGGUACAAAAUAAAUACUUUACAUAAAUACAAAACUUCCUAAAUGAGUUUACCCAAUUGAUAUAAAUGGUUUGAUUUACUCUGCUCCUGAUCCAUCAAUUGAUCACUACCGUAUUUUUCAUGAGAUCUGGCAGGUAGUUUUUUUUUAUAACCAGAUUUUUUCUUUAACAAAAAAAAAUGUACCACUAAUGUCUCUGCAACAACAAAAUCUUUUGAAGCAUAAAGUUGAGAGACUCUCUCCUCGACUAUAGCUUUUGGUGAAUCUCUGGCUGAAAUUGAUGAAAAUUAUUCACCAUCAUUUCGACCUAUUUUGUCAUUUUUCUCAUUUUUAGUUCUCUUUAUAAAAGUCAUUAUUGGAUAUUUCCCUAGCAAUUUAAUGGUUAAUCUAAGAAUGGAGCAACUUUUUCAGGUGCAGCUUGGCGGUGGAAGCUCACCAGUGUUGGCAUUUGCAGGCAAAUUGGAAAAUCCAAUUAAGGAUGGACCAACUUCCUUCAAAAUAAACAAGAUUCAAGAUGGAUCAUUUUGACUGAUCCUUUUUCCCUAUCUAUGUGCGACGAACAUGUUGAUAAUAGUAGGUAUCAUAAUCUAGGUCCAACUGCUAGGUUAGAUAGAACCUCAAGAAUCUUUUAUCAAUUAUCCUUUCUUAAGAACCCUAAAAAAUAAAUAACACUCAAGUAGAAAAAAGCAAACUCAGACACAACAAAUGCUGAUUGUAUGAGAAGUUAUACAAAGUGGGGUUUGUAUAAAUACUCAAAUUUCGGACCAAAAUUGGGAAAAAAUUGAUUGACAUGAAUAAUACUUCAAAUUGUAAUCUCCACUUGGAUUCACUCACAUUUACUGCGUUUUUCUCAAAUUUUGGGUUUAAAAUCCUUAAGUUUUUUCAAGGUGUUUGUGCUUUUCUCAGGUAUUGUUACUUGAACAAUUAUGUUAUUUAGGACUUGAACUAAUGAACUCUACGUGGCAUAAUAAACUGAAGAAUGACACAAAAGUUUUGUUUCAAAUAGUUUAAGAAAGAAUCUUUUGUCUUUUUGAAACAAAGAUAUAGAGCCACAUUUCUUUGACUGAUUUCUCCACUCAUUGUGCUCUUAGUUCAGCUGUAGGGACAAAACACUUCAACAGAUGUGACUCUAUUUCUUUGUUUGAAAAAGUCAAAAGAUUCUUUCUUGAACUGUUUGAAACAAAACUUUUGUGUCUUUCUUUAGUUUGUUAUGCCACGUAGGGUUCAUUAGUUCAAUGCCAAAACAACGUAACUGUUCAAGUAGCAUUACCUGAGAAGAGCACAAACAGCCUAAAAAACUAAAGGAUUUUAAACCCAACAUUUAAGAAAAAUGCAAUAAAUGUGAGUGAAUCCAAGUGGAGAUUACAAUUUGAAGUGUUUAUUCAUGUCAGUCAAUUUUUUCCCAAUUUUAGUCGUAAAUUUGAGUAUAUACACAAACCCCACUUUGUAUAACCUCUCAUACAAUCUAGAUUUAUUGUGUUUGAGUUUACUUUUUUCUACUCGAGUGUUAUAUAUUUUUGGGGGUUCUUGAGAAAAAGGAAUUGAUAAGAGAUUCUUGAGUUACUAUCUAACCUAGUAGCUGGACUUAGAUUGUGAUAUCUAUUAUUAUCAACAUGUUCCUUGCAUAUAGCUAGGGAAGAAUGAUCUUUCAAAAUGAUCCAUCUUGAAUCUUGUUUAUUUUGAAGAAAGUUGGUCCAUCCUUACAUGGAUCUUCCAACUUUCCUGGAAAUGCCGACUCUGGUAAGCUUUCAUUGCAUGUUGCACCUGAAAAAAUUGCUUUAUUCUUAGAUCAAUCACUUAAAUUGAUAGGGGAGGAUCUAAUAAUGACUUCUAUAAAGAGAUGUAAAAAGGAGAAAGAUGACAAAAUAGGUCAAAAGGAUGGUGUAGAAUUUUCAUCAAUUUCAGCAAGAGAUUCACCAAGUGCAAUAGCCGAGAAAAGAGUCUCUUAACUUUCAUUGGAUGCUUCAGAAGACUUUGCUGCUAUGGAGGCAUUAGUGGUGCAUUUUAUUAUUUUUUAGUUAUCGAAAAAACCUUACCUUCCAGAUCCCGUGAAAAAGAUGAGAUAUAUGAUACUGGACUCCCAUCUCAAUCAGUAGGAAAGGGCCCAAAAUCUCUCACCUUUUCAUUGCUGAUGAUCUAACUCUGUGUGCUAUUACUAAUGAAAGAAACUAUGAAACCAUCCAAGCCACACUUAGCAGCUUCACCUUCCACCCUGGACAAAAAAUUAACACUCUCAAAUGUAAAUUAAUCUUCUCUAGAAACUGUGCUAAGGAGACCAAAGAUAGUUUGUCUCAUAUCUUAGGCAUCCAAUCCAAAGACAAGUUUGGCAAAUAUCUUGGUUUUCCCAUCUUCCACAAAAAACCUUGCAAUAGAGAUUUCCAAUUCAUCCUAGACAAUCUCAUCACUAAGUUGGCUAGAUGGAAAACUAAAUUCCUCAAUAUGGCUGGCAGAAUCACCCUUACCAAGUCCUCCCUCGCUAGUAUUCCCGCUCAUGUCAUGUAAUUCAUCUUGAUCCCCUCUAAAAUCCACUAAUUGACUGACAGAAACGAAAAGAACUCUCUCUAGGGCACCACCCCUGAUAAUAAUAAAAUGCAUCUAAUCAAUUGGGAAACCUUGACUAAUGCUAAAGAUAAUAGGGACCUGGUCCUCCAGAAAGCUUCCGUUAGGAACACCACUAUGUUAUCCAGUCUAGCCUGGAGACUUUACAAGCAUCCCAAUAGUCUCUGGGCAAAAAUUCUUUAAAAUAAAUUAGCCCCCAUGGAAUAUCCCUCAAAGCCAACAACUUUAGAACUUGGAAAAGUGUCUCUGUGGGUUGGGAAAUUUGUAAAACUGCCUCCUCUUGGAACAUAAAGGAUCUUCUGGUUGAAAUCCCUGAUGAUCUCAUCCAAAAUUUCACCACCUCUAUUUUCCCCAAUCCCAGAGCCCAUACUAAUGAGGUCAUUUGGAAUCUCACUGGUAAUUGUCUUUUUUUCCAGCAGAAGUGCCUAUAAUCAUAUAGAAAAAACCACUGAGAUCAAUUACUCCUCUAAUUUCAACUAGAUAUGGAAGGAUAAAUCCUCUAAAAUGUCAAAACCUUUCUUUGGAUAAGCCAGUAUGAUAGGUUCCCCAAUAACCUCAACCUCUCCAAGAGAGGAGUGAGACAAAAUAUUAGUUGUAAUAUCUACAAUCAUCAUCAGGAAGACAAAUCCCAUAUUUUCUUUAAGUGUCCGAUCCUCACAAAUUUUGGAGUGCAAACUAUCCACAAGAUGACCCAGUCCAAACAACCUCCUAUUACCAGUCUCCUACCCUCUUACUGGCACACUAUCCGGAUAUCUGUUCAACACUCCUAAUUCAACAAACUAAUCCACUGUCACGACAUCAUUCCUUUCAGCUUCUAGACAAUCUGGAACACCAGGAACUGUAAUACCUUCAAUAACAAAAGGGACCAUCCUAAUUUUAAUCAUACUUACUCCCAAACUAUUGAGUAUAAACAUCUUACACAAAAGAAUACCCCAAUCAAGCAAAACCAAAUCAUCAACGUUAAGUUAAAUCCUCCCACCAGCCACACCUUCAAGCUCAAUACUGAUAAUUCUUGCCUUAGAAACCUUGGCAAGGGUUGAAUAGAAGGGGUAGUCAGAUCCAUUAAUAGAGGCUGAGUAUUAGGUUUUAAAAAAAACUUUCACCGGACUACCAACAACAUGAUGGAACUUAUGGCUCUCAUUGAAAGAUUAAAACUGGUAGAGCAAAAUAAUCUUCUCCCCAUUGAAAUUAACAUUGAUUCCUUGCAAGUUAUAUCUAUGUUAACUAAUGGGCACCUCUACUAUGAUACUUUGAUUUCAGAAUGUAGGUCAAAAUUAAAAAAGGUAAGGAAUCCGAAAGUCAAGCACUAUUAUAAAGAACAAAAUGGAGUGGCGGAUGCUCUAGCAAAGACGGAGCAAGGGCAAGCGGGUUUCAGGAGACUACUCUUUUUGAAGUUCCAUCGAUAUGUGCAAAAGAUGCAGUUUGAACAGAUAUGUCAGAAACUUUUUGAGAGAACAAUUAGCUCUUGUACUGAUUAUUUUAACUGGACAGGCCAGAACUAUUCCUUUUUCAACCCUGACUAAUCGUCAAAAAUUGAAACUUAAACUGCGUUCUCUUUUAUAUUAAUGCAUGUCCUUUCUACCAAAAAAAAAUAAUAUUAUUUCGCAUAUUGAAUCAUUGAAAAAGAAGAGAUAUUUAUAUCAAUUUAAAUUGAUGGACCUUGAACAUUCACAAACAAAGAUAAGUUGAAAAUGUUAUAUCAUUUCUGCAUAUCGAAAGAAUGUUAUCAAAUCAAGAAUAAUUUUUUUAAAUGAAAAAUUAAAAAAAGCAGUAAAUAAAUUCACGAAUAAAGCUAAUGAUAGAGAAGUAUAUGUAAGAAAGGCUAAGUGAUAGAAUUUCAUUUAUAUUCAAAUUUCAUUUAAAUACAAAUUCAAAUAUCACAUAUGUUUAUUUAAAUAAGAUUAAUUUAUUAUUCUUCCUUAUCCUUAUUCUUACAUUUUUCAAAUACAAUAUAUAUUUAAAAUUAAUAUAGAUUUGAGUUGAGAUAAAUAUUGAAAUCAAUGAGACAAUACUAAUACUAAUACUAAUACUAAUAAAAAUAAUAACAUUUUAACUAUUUUUACUUUACCAAUAUUAGAUUGCACUACUAUUACUAUUACUAUUAUUAUUUGUUCAUUGUUAUUUGAGAUAAAUAUGAAGAUAAAUCGUGUAGCAAAAAAAAUUGUGUUCCAUGAUUACUAAUUAAGUACAUCUAAAUUAUAAGUUUAUCUUUGAAAGUAUGUUUUAUCUCCAAUUUAAAUUUAAAAAAAUAUGAUAGAAUAACCAAUAUCUUAGAUGAGCGGUUAAAACUGUCAAUAUAGGCAAGGCUCGUUGAGAUGGCCCAGCCCAGCCUGUAAUUUGAUAGGACAGGGCUACAAUUUUUAUAGCCCAUUUAAGAAUAGGGAUUUUUAGCCCUUCAUGAAUAAAUCUAUUGACCCGUCGGCUUGAGCAAUAUGGGUUUGCGUAACCCGUGGUUCAAAUAAAAAUAAUUAAAAAAAAAAAAUAAUACUAAGAAUAAAAAAAGGAGUCCAAACUCAAAGUCUAUAUGAACCAUCAUAUAUAUAAAUUUAAAUAUUAAUUAUUUUUAUAAAAUAUAUAAAUAAUUAACAUAUAAAAUAUAAUUUUUUUAAGAAAUCAAACAUGUUUGAUGAAAAUGACGUGGCGAUGUUGAAUACUCCAUAAAUGCCAUGAGAGUUUUCUUCAAAGCGUUUAUUUUACUUUUAAUGGACAAAACAUUUACAUUUCUUUUUGUUUUAUUGUGUUCAAUUAAAACAAAAUUAGGUUAAUAUUGUUAUUUAGCGAGUUAUAUUAUUACUCAUUAAUCAUUUUAGUUAUUUUUCAAUAUCUCUAUAUGAUUUUAAUUUGGUGUCAAAAGUUAUUCAAUUGCACAGAUUAGUAGGAUCUUUUUGUAAAUUUGAGACUUGAUUAAUGAGUAGUAACUUCAAGCACUAUUAUAUAGUAACUAUUUAUGAAAUUUAUAUUUUAAAAUAUAAAUUAAGACUAUAAAAUAAUAUAUUUUAAAAAAUAGGCUAGCCCGUGGAGGCCCAAAACCCAUAGUGUGAUGGGUUGGGCUUGCUAUUUUCUAGUCUGUCAUGUUGAUGGGUCAGGUUGGCCGAGCCCGUCAAACUCUAAAUCCCGUGUGAACUAGCUUGGAUGAGCUGGUCCGAUCCAUAUUAACAACUCUAGGAGCAGUUAUAUAAAGAUAAGAAUCCAAUUAAAACUGUUUAGUAUUAUAACUAUCUACUUCUAAUAUGUAAUUUUAUAUUUUUUUAAUAUUAUUUUAAAUUUAAAGUCAACAAUUUAUGUGUAAUGCCCCCAGAUCCUAUCCCGAGACGUCACACGGUGCUUAAGGCCACACACGGCCUCAAGCUAACCCUCUAAACCUGUCAUCACUUCUAGAACUCACUUUGACAAUAGUCAUGCUAAUAUAAGAGAGAAUAACAUAUCAUAAACAAACUAGAAUAAGGUAUGAAACUAGCAUGUACAAUCCAAAAUACUGAAAUUUUGUACGACCAACCCUUUAGUCUGACAAAGCCUCUAUACAUCAAAAGCAAGGCGACAUUGGGACAAACCCCCCAACUGACUCAAAUAGUACUGAAAGCCAAAACAACAAAAUGGUAUCACAAAAUUAUAAACACAGUCCUCGAACCAUGAGGACUCACCACUGAGCAGACGAAAAGAGGCACCCGAAUAUCGCUAACGCGGCUGAGUACCUGAACCUACAUUACGAGAAAAUAUAGCACUUAGGAAAAUAUAUGGUUCAGCACUUUUGAAAGUACUGAGUAUGUGGGGGUGCAUGCAACAAUGUAAAUAUCGUCAUCAAUUUCAUGAAAAUAUGCAUAUGUACAAUGAUGGCACACUUGGCUUGAGUUAGAUUAAAACAUACUUUUCAUGAUCUCAUCGUAAAUAAAUCAUCAGAUAAAAACCUCAUAAAUCAUCAUAAACAACUCAACUCUACAACUCAAGACUCGGAGUGACUCUGUAAUUCAAGAAACUCGACUCUUAUGCACAUGGGAGGUUCUUAUAACCGACAUAAACCAUGUGAGCUACAUGGAGUCCAACGUUUUUCCCUCCUAAGGAGAGAACCCCACAUUGGAGGGAGCUUCGUACUCUUGCCAGGGAGUACAACUUAAACUUAGUGAUCACAGUAUCAUACUCGGCCUCUGGCCCACAAUUAUCAAUAUCAAUCCUACGGUGGCACGUAUUUUUGGGGGAACUACCACAUUUCUUGCUCGGUACUAAAUACUACUCCCAGAAACAUCACAAGGGUCUAUCAUGAAGACUAAAUCAAAUAUUUUUCUCAUUUAUAAAAUCAUAAUCAAUUUGUGGAUUCCUAACUCGACUCAAAUAAAAUCAAUCGUUCUCAAUAUUAAAAUGCAGCGAUUCAUUAAGUCAUGGCAACAUCAAUAACUUUGAGGAAAUAUCUAGACUCAUUGUAACAACUCAAUUCUCUUGAAUCAAUAGACUCAAUAAUCCAAUUUGUCAUAAGGAAGCUUAAAGCUUGACACAUAUCUUGAAAGCACUUAAAAUACCAACUCAUGGUAGAAACUUGAAAUUCACAAUAUUAAAUAUCGUCAUAACUUGGAAAUUGUAAAAUAAUCAUGUAUAACAAUGCUUGAACGAUUUAUAUUCUCAUAAUCUCAUUAUGAAGUAAUUUGGGUAUAAACCCACUUGGAAAUUCAUAUAAAUCCAUAAUAAAAAUCAAAUCUUUGAGCACAAGAACGAAAGAAUUGCUCUUGUUCAAAACCCCACAUCCCUUAAUCUUUGAAAUUGGUUGAAGUCUAGUGCUUGAGACUUUACUCACACUUGUAAUAAAAAAAUUCUUGAAGCCCACCCACUGAGGAAAUUGAUUCUUGAAGGAAUCUUGAAGAUUUAUGGAUGAUUUUUGAAAGAUUAAUUUCCAUAAAUAAAACCCUAGAUAGAUUUCUUAAGAGAACUGGAAGAGAGAAAUGAAGAAAUUAGGUUUUGGAUGAGGAUUCUCAUAUAUAUAGAGGCCUCCAAAAAUGGGAAAUGACUAAAAUACCCUUGCAAAAAUCGUCCAUCAAUUGCUGAAAAAAUUAGCUGACGACAUCCAUCAACUUAACUUUUUCCAUAUCCUUGAAAACAGCAUCCGGCCCAAUCACAGAUGCUUCUCCUACUUCAAACCAACCUAUGGGCGAUCUACAUCCUCUCCCAUACAAAGCUUCGGAUGGGGCAAUCUGAGUACUAGCAUGGAAACUAUUAUUAUACGCAAAUUCGAUCAAUGGCAAGUGCUCAUCCCAACUACCUUUGAAAUCGAGCGUACAUGCCCUCAACAUGUCCUCCAGACCGAGUGGUAAGGCCAUGAUCCGCAGGGGAACAGAUCACUCAUUCUUCCAUUGGGGACAGGUGCACGAACGACAUACAUCUUGGUUGGUUCCACCACCACUAGAGAUUGGACAUAUAUAUAAUCUUUCUUCUAAAAAAGGGAUUCUUAUAUAUAUAUUUUGAAAAUAGCUGCAAGACCAAAACCGAAAGCCCUUCGUUUAUUGUUGUUCCUCCCAGAUACAUGGCUUACAUACCCGGCUCAACAUUCUUGGAAAACAAUCGAAUCGAGGGUUCGGAGGAGAAUUGGCCAUUCAAUCUUGUGAACUGAAUCUAGUUGAAAUUGGAAAAAGAGAUACGAACGGAGAGGAAUAACCAAUCGAUGAAAGAACAUGAAACCAUUCUGUUUCAAUAGAGGUACGAGAAACGGUUGGGGGCAAUGAAGUAGGUGAAGUGGUUGGAUUUUGCGAGCUGUUCCAACCACUGCUGGAUGUGAUUCCAAGAGCCGAACGAGAAUGAAUACCACACAGAAGAGUCAAGACCAGGCUACCUAAUGGAAUGUUUAACCGAUCCAUUCCGGAUCGACCGAAUUGGUACGGAAGUUGUAACAUGGGAAAACCACGGAAAACACGACUUAUUUGAAUAACCCGGUGACCUACCAAUUGUAGAAGUAGGAUUUUUGGCAAGCAAUAAGCACUUAAAUAAUACAAUUCAAGUGUACCAUCUUCUUUCUCAUUUCGAGGAAAAGGUGCGGAAGGAAAAGGAAACAACGGAGGGAUCCGAAUCGGACCUAAAUGGGACUUACUAUAACUAGUUAUUUCGGUUUUCUAUUAGCGGCUUUAACUAUAACCUCAGCUCUAUUUAUUGGUCUGAUAUUCCUCUCAAUCGGUCUGCGGAUGAAAAGAAGAACUUAGAUGAACUAGGGUACCGAGACCCUUCUGAAAAGCCCUCCAAAACUAGGAAGUAUACUGAGUAUCCCUAUUAGAGAUGAUAGCCAAAGGAACUCCAUGAAAUCUAACUAACUCAUGGAUAUACAAUCUAGCAUAAUCCUCAGCUGUAUAAAACGAAUGCACUGGCAAGAAAUGAGCUGAUUUAGUCAACCGCUCUACGACAAUCCAAAUCGAAUCAUGAUGACGACGAGAAGGAGGCAAACCAAUUAUGAAAAUUCACUUCUUCCCACUUCUAAGUAGGAAUACCAAACUCUUGCAUUACACCACCAACCCUCUCCUUCUCUCCCUUAACUUGUUGACAAGUAGAACGCUUUUCCACAAAUCCUGCUAUGUCUUUCUUCAUACCGUUCCACUAAUAGAUUUCCCGCAAAUUACGGUACAUCUUGGUAGCACCGGGAUGAAUAUAAUAUCGUGCACCAUGUGCUUCAGCCAUAAUUAUCUGCCUCAAAUCAUCAACAUUCGGAACACACAGUCUACCUUGCAAUCUCAACACACUAUCUCCCCCUUGGGAGAAAACCUCUACCUUCUUGUCCUUAACUGACUCCUUCAGUCUGACCAAACUAGGAUCCCUGUCCUGCUUCUCCUUUACCUCUGAGACCAAAGAGGACUCGGAACUACUCUGAACUAAUAUAAUCCCCUCAGUGUAAUCAAGCAAUCUAACACCCAACCUAGCCAAAUGAUGCAUAUAACGAGCCAAUUCUUUCUUAUCAUUCUCUACAUGAGCUACACUACCCAUAGAAAACCUGCUAAUAGCAUCUGCCACAAUAUUGGCCUUGCCUGGGUGAUACAUCACACUCAUAUCGUAGUCUUUUAGAAAAUUUGACCAUAUUCUUUGUCUAAGGUUCAGCUCCCUCUGAGUAAACACAUACUGCAAGCUUUUUUGAUUAGUAAAUACAUCAACAUAAACACCAUACAAAUAAUGUCUCCAGAUUUUCAAAGCAAAAACUACAGCUGUUAAUUCAAGAUCAUAGGUUGGGUAAUUCUUCUUAUGAGGCAUCAACUGUCUAGAGGCAUAAGCUAUAACUUUACACCUCUGCAUUAACAUAUAACCCAGACCAACUCUAGAAGCAUCGCAGUACACCACAAACCUAUCAGUACCAUUGGGUAAAGCUAACACUGGGGCUUAAGUGAGUCGAGUCUUCAACACUUGAAAACUCUUCUCAUAGGCAUCUGUCCACUGGAACUUAACUUUUCUUUGGGUCAACUAGGUCAUGGGGGAUGCGAUAGAAGAUAAUCCCUCAACAAAAUGACGGUAGUAACCAGCUAGACCUAAGAAAUUCCUAAUAUUUGAUGGGGAGGUAAGUCGAGGCCAUUUUUUCAUAUUUUACGUCUUUUGAGGAUAAACUCUAAUUACUUUGAAAGAAAUAAUAUGACUCAGAAAACCAACUGAACUUAACAAAAAUUCACACUUGCUAAAUUUAGUGAAUUAUCAAUGAGCUCUAAGGGUUUCCAACACGAUUCAAAGAUGAUCUGCAUGGUAAUCCUCACUUCGAUAAUAUACAAGAAUAUCAUCUAUGAACACAAUAACAAACAAAUCCAGAUACCGCUUAAAUACUCUGUUCAUAAGAUCCAUGAAAGCUGCUGGAGCAUUGGUUAACCCAAAGGACAUAACAAGAAACUCAAAAUGACCAUAGCGGGUUUGGAAAGCUAUCUUUGGAAUAUCACACUCUCUCACUUUAAGCUGAUGAUAGCCGGAUCUAAGGUCUAUCUUUGAGAAAUAACUUGCACCCUGCAGCUGAUCAAAUAAAUCAUCGAUUCUAGGAAGAGGGUACUUGUUCUUAAUAGUCACCUUGUUGAGUUGAUGGUUGUCAAUGCACAUACGCAAUGUACGAUCUUUCUUCCACAGAAAUAGAACAGGUGCUCCCUAUGGGGAAACACUGGCUCUGAUAAAGCCUUUUUCUAAGAGAUCUUUGAAUUGCUCCAUCAACUCUUUAAGUUCUACGGGAGCCAUAUGGUAUGAAGGGAUGGAAAUAGCUGAGUGCUAGGAAGGAGAUUAAUCCCAAAUUCUAUUUCUCUAUCAGGUGGAACCCUUGGAAAGUCUUUCGAGAAAACAUUGGGAAACUCUUUAACAAUGCUAACUGAUUGAAUAGUCGGAGUCUUGGACUUGAGGUCUUUAACUCAAACUAGAUGAUAGAUGCAACCCUUGGAAAUCAACUUCCUAGCUUCGAGGUAGAAUAUGAAAUGGCUCUUUGGAGUUACAGAACUCCUGAACCACUCAAACACGAGUUCAUUAGGAAACAGAAACUUGACCACUUGGGUACGACAAUCUAUAUACGCAUAGCACGAGUGAAGCCAAUCUAUACCAAGAAUGACGUUAAAUUAACCAUAUCUAGCCAAUCAAAUCAGCACAUAUGACCCAAUAAAGGAAAGUAAUAGGACACUUCUUAUACACUUGCUUAGCUAUAACAAACCCUCUUACUGGGGUAGAAACCAGAAGAGGCUCAAGAAUCCAUUCAGGGUCCAUCACAAAAUUUAUAGCAACUAGAGGUGUCACAUAAGAGAAACUCAAACCAGGGUCCAUCAAUACAUACACAUCAAAGUGAAUGACACAGAGCAUACCAGUGACAACAUCUGGAGAAUCCUCCUACUCCUGGCGAGGCAGAAUAGAAUAGAAGCAAUUCUGGCAUAAACCACCAACAGUACUAGAAGAGGCACCUUGAUGAGGAACUGGGCGGACUACUGGAGUAGGCGUAUUAGUAGCUUGACUCUGGGGAUGAGCAUCUCGACUCCCCUAUCUAGCAUACGGAUAAUCUCUAAGUCGGUGGCCCAACUUGACACAACCAAAGCAAUCUCUCUGGUCAACAAAACACUCAUCAAAAUGAUCUCUACCAUACUUGGCAUAUGAAGGAGGACGAGGUCUUUUACUUACACUUUCCUAAGACCUGGAUGGGAUAUGCUUGUUCCCAUGCUCCUGCCUGCUUCUAGGUACGGAAGCACUAACUGAGGAAGGAACGGGCAUAAACGGAUGUCUCUGGAAUUGAGGGUGGUCCCCGCCAUAGAAUCUGGACUGAACGAAUCCUCGCUGCUCUAAUCUAGCUCUUUUAUUCCCUCUUACUCUCUCAUUCUCUUUCACCUAAUCAACUUUAAUCUAUUGGACAUGUAUCAUCAACCAAGAAAGGUCCAUCUCCUUAUUAAGCAUAGUAGAUCUACCCUCUUUCACAACUUAACUCGACACACCGAUCACGAACUUACUCAUGAUGGUCCUGGAGUCAGCCAUCAUACUAGGUGCAUAUUUGGACAACUAAUUGAAUCUAAGGCAAUAAUCCUUAACAGUCAUGGAGUCUUGUCUCAAAUUCAUGAAUUACUCUGUCUUUGCUUCCCUUAUCUCAAGAGGAAAGAAUCUAUCCAAGAAUGCAUCUAGAAUAACUGCCAAGUCAUAGGAGAAGCAUCCUUCCCUCUACUUUCCCACCACACUUUGACAAUAGUCAAGAUAAUAUAAGAGAGAAUGACAUAUCAUAAACAUACUGGAAUAAGAUACGAAACUAGCCUGAACAAUCCAAAAUACUAAAAUUCUGUACAUACCAACCUUUUAGCCUGACAAAGCCUCUAUACAUCAAAAUCAAGGAGAUAUUGGGACAAACCCCCAACUGACUCAAACAGUACUGAAAGCCAUAAAAACAAAAUGGUAUCACAAAAUUAUAAACACGAGCCUCGAAACAUGAGGACUCACCACUGAGCAGACAAAAAGAGGCACCCAAAUAUCGCUAACGCGACUGAGUACCUGAACCUACAUUAAGAGAAAAUGUAGCCCAUAGAAAAAUAUGUGGGUCAGCACUUUGGAAAGUACUGAGUAUAUACAGGUGCAUGCAACAAUGUAAAUAUCUUCAUCAAUGUCAUGAAAAUAUGCAUAUGUACAAUGAUGGAUCACUUGGCUUGAGUAAGAUUGAAACAUAAUUUUCAUGAUCUCAUCUUAAAUAAAUCAUAUGAUAAAAACCUCAUAUAUCAUCAUAAACAACUCCACUCUUCAACUCAAGACUCAGAUUGACCUGUAAUUCAAGAAACUAGACUCUUAUGGACAUAGGAGGUUCUUAUAACCAACAUAAACUAUGUGAGCUACAUGGAGUCCAAUGUUUUUCCCUCCUAAGGAGAGAACCCCACAUUGGCGGGAGCAUCGUACUCUUGUCAGGGAGUACAACCUAAAUUUAGUGGUCACAAACUCAUACUCGGUCUCCGGCCCACAAUUAUCAAUAUCAAUCAUACGGUGUCACGUAGUUUCAGGGGAAAUACCAUAUUUCUCGCUCGGUGCUAAAUACUACUCCCAGACACAAGCUCAGAAUGCAUUAGAAAAUCCACCACAAAUAUCACAAGAGUCUGUUAUGAAGAUCAAAUCAAAUCUCAUUCUCAUUUGUCAAAUCAUAAUCAAUUUGUUGAUUCCUAACUCGACCCAAAUCAAAUCAAUCUUUCUCAAUAUCAAAAUGCAUCAAUUCAUUAAGUGAUGAAAACAUCAAUAACUUUGAGGAAAUAUCAAGACUCAUUGUAACAACUCAAUUCUCAUGAAUCAAUAUACCCAAUAAUCCAAUUUGUCAUAAGGAAGCUAAACGCUUGACACAUAUCUUGGAAGCACUUGAAAUACCAACUCAUGGUAGAAACUUGAAAUUCACAAUAUUAAAUAUCAAGUCAUAACUUGGAAAUAGUAAAAUAAUCAUGUAUAACAAAGCUUGAACGAUUUAUAUUCUCAUAAUCUCAUGAUGAAGUAAUUUGGGUAUAAACCCACUUGCAAAAUCAUAUAAAUCCAUUAUAAAAAUCAAACCUUUGAGCACAAGAACGAAAGAAUUGCUCUUGUUCAAAACCCCACAUACCUUAAUCUUUGAAAUUGGUUGAACUCUAGUGCUUGAAACUUUACUCACACUUGUAAUAAAAAAAUUCUUCAACCCCACUCUAUGACGAACUUGAUUCUUGAAGGAAUCUUAAAGAUUUAUGGAGGAUUUUUGGAAGAUUAAUUUCCUUAAAUAAUUCCCGAGAUAUAUUUCUUAAGAGAAUUGGAAGAAAGAUAUGAAGAAAUUAGAUUUUGAAUAAGGAUUCUCAUAUAUAUAGAGGCCUCCAAAAAUGGGAAAUGACUAAAAUUUCCUUGCAAAAAUCAUCCAUCAAUUGCUGAAAAAAAUAGCUGACGACAUCCGUGAUAAGCUGUCAGGCCCGUGAUAGGCCGUCACGAAUUGUCGUCACAAAAAGGGUGGAUUUUGUGACUUUCUACCUUAAGGUGACGACAUUUUGUGACGGGCAGUCAGUUUUGUGACAAGUCGUCUCAAAAGAUCGUCACGGAUUUUCUAGGCUGACAUGUUGGAGUAAAAUAAGUAUAACUCUUUGCUCCGAUAUUGGAUUUUGAUGAAAUGGGUAUCGUUGGAAAGCUAAUUCAAUUAUAUAUCUUUUUGUAGGUCAUGAGAUCAAUAAUUCCUAUUACAACUCGAGCUAUGCUCAUUUGAAGUUUACUAUGCCAAAAUCCUUCUCAAGAGUUCAAUCGGUAAAGAGUUUUUGUUUUGCCCAAGCGUUAGGACAUCUUUAAAACCUUAAUACACAUCACCCUUGACUAGAAAACAACCAAAACACUAUAAUUUAUUUCUCAUGGACUUGAUUCAUGGCGGCACUAUUAGUUAGAAUCUCGGGGUAUUACAAUAUUACUUUUAAUUAUCUUUGCUAUAUACCUUUCUGUAAAUAUAAUGCAAAUUUAUCUUAUAUUGUUAUAAUUGAAUUAAAAAAAUAUUUGAGAUGAGCCACAUAUUUUUUAAAGUAAAUUAUGUAUUAUUAUUGUUAUUAUUAUUAUUAUUAUUAUUAUCAUUAUUUUUAUUAUUAUUAGUAGUAGUAGUAGAUAUGUAUGUUUUACUACUACUACUACUAAUAUUAUAAGUUAUAUUUUAAUUAUUAUUAUUAUAUUUUAUUUAAUAUUUAAAUAUAUUCAAAAUAUAUAAAUUUAUGAUAUAAUUAGAGAUGUUUUAGGUCUUUUCAACUAUGAUUUUUUAAUUUUAAACUAAUAAAUUAUUUUUAAAAUUUUCAAAUCCUACUAUUUUCAAAUUCAUAUAUUUCUAUUAACAUAGUGAAUUACUUAUGUAAGACUUAAUUACCUGCAUAACUCACUGCUAAACUAACUAAAAAAAAAUACGCUACUACCUGCAUAAAUAAUAUAUAGAUAAUCCCUAAAUUAAAAAAAUCUGCAUAACUCUAAUUGACGUCCUUUCAUUAUUUACUUUUUGCUUCUUAGGUUUAAGUGGGUAAAUAGAUGAAAAGAGAAAAUAAAAGACUCUCAUAUCUUGUUUCCCCAGAAGCACCUCUUUAGAAGAAGGGUGUUGUUGAAGCAACUCAUUUUCAGAUUCAAGCAGUCUUUUGUUUUGUUCCUCUUCAAAAACAAAAGCAUGAGCCGAGGCAACCAUUUUCUUUUCUCACAGGAAAUGAAGAACAAGAAGAAAACUGCAAUUUAAAACCAGGCUUUAAAUUUCAAAAACAAUAUAAAAAAUCAUGAAAGCAAAAGGGGAAAGCCAAAGUGCAAAAAGAACUCACCAGUAGUAAGAUACAAAGGAUGAGAGUGAGAGAGGAAGGAGGGUUAUAUUAAAAAUGGAAUGAAUACAGAGGUGGCAGAACACAUCUAUCAAAUAUUCUUUAACAACACACUAGCUACAUCACCGACAUUUCAAAAUCGAGGCAACUUUUUAUCUUGUUUAAAAAAAAAUUUCAAAGAGUGUGAGUAGGACUGAGGUUAUCUUAACUGUGUCAAUUGGUUUGCCCUCUUAAAAUCUUCAUUUUCUAUUUCUUUUAAUUGAACACAAUUUUAAGAUGGCAAACUAAUUUACGCAGUUAAGACAACCUCAAUCCUACUCUCACACUUUGAAUUUUUUUUCUGGAUAGGACAAAAAGUUGCCUUGAUUUUAAAACAUCGGUGAUGUAGCUGGUGUAUUUUUAAAGAAAUUUGAUAGAUGUGCUCUGCCUCUGCUGUAUUCGUUCCACUUUUCAUAUAACCCUCCUUCCCUUCUCUCUCGUCCUUUGUAUCCUAGUAUUGGUGAGGUCUUUUUGCACUUUGUUUUUCCCUUUUUGCUCUCAUGAUUUCUUAUUUUGUUUAUGAGAUCUAAAGCCUGGUUUUAAAAUUUCAGUGUUCUUCUUGUUCUUCAUCUGCUGUAAGAAAAGGAAAUGGCUACCCCGGCUCAUGCUUUUGUUUAUGAGGAAGAACAAAAUAAAAGAUUGUUCUAAUCUGAAAAUGAGUUGCUUCAAUAGCACCCUUCUUCUAAAAAUGUGCUUCUAGGGAAACUAGAUGUGAAGCCUUUCUUUUCUCUUUCCAUCUGUUUACCCACUUAAACCUAGGAAGCCAAAAGUAAAUAACAAAGGGGCCUCAAUUAGAGUUAUGCAAGUUUUUUUACUGUAGGGAUUAUCGAUGUGGAAAUCUAUAUAUUAUUUAUGCAUGUAUUAAUGUAUUUCUUGGUAGUUGAUUUAGCAGUGGGUUAUGCAGGUAAUUAAGUCCUACAUAGUUAAUAUUAAAAUAUUAUUAGUUGGUUUAGCUUACGUUUACUCCUAUUAACAUAGAAUAACCCUCGAAACCCUAAAGAAGGCCCAUGAAAACCCAUCUACCAAAUAGAUGGCUCGGUAGCCUUUCUCAACUGGUUUGAUGGCCCGCUUUUAGGGCGCAAAUAUGGAUGAACAUGAUUAUGCUAUUCAAGAAAAUUAUAGUAGUACUACUGGGAGUUUGGAUUAAAAGGGACAAAUAAGUUGUCUAAUUAAGUGAGAAUCCUUCAAGUUUUUAAAAUUAGGUGGGAGGGACAAAAUUUUUUUGAUUUUUUUUUAAAGUUUUUUCGUUCCAACAACUUCUCCCAAUUGUCGAACAACUUUGAUAGCUGUUCGACAACUUCUAGCAGUUGUUCAACAACUAUCAAAGUUGUUCGACAGCUACGCUAAGUUGUUCAACAACUAGGCGAAGUUGUUCGGCAACUGGGAGAUGUUGUUCAACAACUGCAUGAAGUUGUUGAGACAACUAAUGUAGUUGCCGAAAACUGUCACAGUUGUUCAAAUAGCUUAAUUUUUUUAAAAGGGACAAGUUACGGGACCCAUUGUCCCCUUUUCUUAAUUGGAAACUUAUGAGGUCUAUUGAUUCAUUUUUCUCACUUAAGUAUUUAAGUUGUAUAUAUCAUGAAGUAGUUAGCUUAUAUUUGCACUGUAAAUUGUAAUAUUAAGUGUAGAGAUAGUCCUAUAUACGUUUAGUACGUCAAAGAGAGCUACUCGCAAACAUUGUGCAAUUCAAUUUGUCGCAAGAAGCACUUAAUCAUCAUGCAAAUACUUAUUGGUUCCGAAUAUUUACCCCUAAUCAAUGAUUUUAGUAAUAAUAAAUUAAGAAUAUAAGAUCAUUCAAUCAUGAUAACAAAAAUAAUUUAUAAAAGAUAUUAUCUUGUAAUACUGGGUAUAAAGAGAGGUAGAUGUAGGCUGAGGAGGUCUACGUAAAGGUGAUUAGAUUAGGUAUUUGUAGCUUUUCGAGGCUAUGAUCUAGUUAUAAAAAUACGGAGAUCAAGGAUGUGGUUAGUGGAUGGCUAAGCAUUGUCUAAUUUCCCUAUUAAGUAGUAUUUUUGUUUUUACUUUCAUACUAUCUUAUUCUUCUAUAUUAGAAUAAUUUGUUUGUUUUUAGUUCAGUUAUCAUCUUAAUUGUUUGUUGUUGCUACUAUUUUCAAAUUUACUAUUUUAUUUGUUUUACAUGCCUAAUUUUUUUUUAUAUGUUUUACUUGAGUCGAGAGUCAAGAGUCAAUCGAGAACAACCUCUCUAUCUUCACAAGGCAGAAGUACAUGUCCAUACUACCUCUCCAAACUCCACGUGUAAUAUUAUGUAUGUUAUUAUUGUGUAUAUCUUGAAUUGAUUGAUCAAAUGUAAAUACCCGAUGUUGAGGUAUACUUGUACCCAUUGGCAGAGGGAUAGGGAUAAUCUUAGGAAAAGGGUGAUUUGAUGUACAUCUUUUAUAAAAAAGAUUAUAUAGUGUGCAGAAGCUUAAUAUUAGCUAUUAUACGUCUAUAUUAAAUUUUGUACAUCCUUAACACAACUAAAAAGAAAAUAUGCACACUCCUCGACAAAUUUCUGACGACACUGCUACUGCCUUGCCUCAACUGUGUACAUGUAAAGAUGACGCCAUAUAGCAUUUGUCAUCUACAUGACGCCCAAACUCUUUUCUCAGUGUACCUACCCAACCUGUCACCUUAUUUUCUGCUUUUAUAAUUGCAUAUCCUUCCAAAUUUCAUACACCGUCCAUUUCAUUUUUAUUAGAUUAAAAAUAACUAUUUUAAUUUAUUUGUGUAAUUUAUAAAAUUAUAAAAAAAGAUUAUUACGUGAAGUAUUAAAUGAAGUGAAAGGUGUAUUCUACAAAUAAAUAAAUGCUAGUUUCAUUUAAUCCAUAUUCCGUACUAAGCUCGGAUCCAAACAACUCUACAUAUAAAUAAUAAUAAUUAAAUUUUAAAAUAUAAUUUAUAUUAUAUUUUUUAAUUUACAAUUAAUAUAAUUUAAUGACCGAUGUAUUAAAUAUAUUUUAUUAAAAUUUUUUAUAAUUAUUAAAGUUCUUAAUCACAUAAUUGGAUAAUUUUUUUAAAAAAUUAUUUGUACGGAAAAAGUAUUAGAGGAGAAUUAGAAUAUAACAAGAGACCACAAGUAAUUUAAUAUUUGAUAAAAUGAUAUGAUACAACAUCAACAAUAACAACAUACCCAGUGGAUUCCCACAUAGAGGGGUCUGGGCAGGGUUGAGUGUACGCAGAUCAUACCACUACCUAAGAUGAAGUAGAGAGUCUGUUUCCGACAGACCCCCGGCAUAGGACCGAUAGCAGUAUAACAAACACAAAACAUAAAUGCAAAAAAAAUAGUACAGUCUGCAAAAUAAACUAACGUCACUUGCCAUAAGAUAAUACUAUAGUCACAAAAUAAUACUAAAACUAUCUAUCCGAAAUCAUAGACAUCACUUAAUACCACGAACAAGAAACUUCAAACACAAAUAAAGAAUGCUCCCCUAUUGUUACCGACACACUCUCAACCCCUAACUCUCUACCCUAAUCGACAUUCUCCACACCUUCUUAAUCACAUCCCUCCAAUAUUUGUUCGGUCAACCUCUACCUCGCCUAAAAUCAGCCAUAGCCAAUAUCUCACACCUUCGCGCUGGAGCAUCAGAUCCCUUCUUCAUCAUAUGCUCACACCAACGUAACCUUACUUCUCGUAUGUUGUCCUUCACCGAGGCCAAUCCCACCUCUCCCAAAUAAUCCCAUUUCUUACCUUAUCUUUUCUAGUAUGGAGACACAUCCAUCGCAAUAUUCUCAUUUCCGCCACUUCAACUUUGGAUGUGGGAGUUCUUAACUGGCCAAUACUCUCCAUACAACAUAGUCGGCCAGACUGCCUCUCUAUAGAACUGACCUUUAAGCUUCGGGGGCAUCUUUCAUAUCACAUAAAACACCCAAAGUGAGCCUUUACUUAAACCACCCAGCCCCAAUAUAUUGUGUGACAUCCUCGUCAAUCUCACCAUUGCCUCAAAUCAUAGACCCCAGAUACUUGAAACUCUCCAUCUUCUGAAUGGCCUGAGAGUCUAACUUCACAACCACGUCAGCCUCCUACGACGUAUCACUAAAAUUACACUUCAAGUACUCCAUCUUGGUCCUGCUUAAUCGAAAUCCUUUAGACUCAAGGGUCUGUCUCAAAAUCUCCAACUUAUCAUUAACACCUCCCCGAGUCUUGUUAAGAAGUACCACAUUAUUAGCAAAUAACAUACACCAAGGAAGCUCCUCUUCAAUAUGUCUUGUCAAAAGAUUCAUCACCAAGACAAAUAAAAAAGGGAUAAGAGUCAAACCCUGAUGCAACCCUACCAAAAUUGAAAAAUGCUCUGAAUCUCCACCUACUGUCCUCACUUGAGUCUUUGUGCCAUUAUACACGUCCUAAAUCAACUUAGUGUACACCACAGGCACCCCUCUAGCCUCCAAAAACCUCCAGAGAAUCUCCUUGGGAACUCUGUCAUAAGCCUUCUCAAGAUCAAUAAACACCAUGUGCAAGUUCUUCUUUAUGUCCCAAAAUUGUUCCAUUAAUUUUCUCACAAAGUGAAUGGCCUUAUUAGUCGAGCAACCUAUCAUGAAAUCAAACUAAUUCACAGUGAUAAUCACACUCCUUCUUAGCAUCAACUCUACCACCCUUUCCUAAAGCUUCAUAGUCUGACUUAACAACUUAAUACCGCUAUAGUUGUUGCAACUUUGGAUAUCUCCCUUGUUUUUAUUCAAUGGAAUCAUUGUACUCCGACUUCAAGAUUCAGGCAUCCUUCCCGCCCUAAAAAUGAUGUUAAUAACCUUGUCAACCACUUUAAACCUGCCUCGCCAGUGCAUUCCAAAAAUCCACUGGAAUCUCGUCUGGCCCCAUCAACCUACGUCGACGCAUCCUGCGAAUAGCCCUCUUGACCUCCUUAACCUCGAUAUGCCUACAAUAACCAUAGUUGUGACACUCCUCAAAUUUCUCCAAGUCCCCAAACACGAAGCCUUUAUCCCCCUUAUCGUUCAAAAAUUUAUAAAAAUAAGACUGGCACUUUUUUAUAAUGAGGGCAUCCUCAACCAACAUAGUACCAUCCUCAACCUUGAUGCACUUAUCCCUGCUAUUCUCCUUUAAAGAUGCAUACAAGCUCUCAAAAUUUGUCAUUUUAUCCACUGUAACCACUAACUUAGCCUCUCACCUAGCUAGAGCUUAUACUCUUCCUUAUUUGUCCGCCUCUCUUGAUUAUUCUUGCUCUUGACCAAUUUAGCAUAAGCCACCUUUUUAGACUCCACCUUCCUCUUAAUCUCCUCAUUCUACCACUAGUACCCUCGAUGUUUACAAAAUUGACCUCUCAAGACACUAACACCUCUCUAGCGAUCUCCCUAAUGCAACUAGAAAUCGUCUCCCACAUACUAUCCACAUCCCCUCUACUUUUUCAAGCCCCCUGCUUCUCAACUUCUCCCCCAUCUUCAAAGAAUUAGCUAAAGUCAAACUACCCCACUUAAUCUUAGGUCGAACCUCCAUACUCCUCUUCUUUCAGCCCUUAUUGAUUACUAAGUUCAUCACCAACAACCUAUGUUUAGUCAAAAGAUUAUCUCUAUGUAUGACUUUACAAUCUUUACAUAGUUUUCUAUCACUCUUCAUAAGGAGCUAAAAGUCUAUCUGAGUCUUGGACACUGAAAUACAAAACAUUUCAAAAAUCUCAAAUUCGCUAUCCACAACCCAAAAGACCUAGAAAAAUCUAAAAGAGAAGCACUUUCUUUAUUUCUCUACCCUAAAUCAAAAUCUCCAUGCACGUCAUCAUAACCUCUCGACGAAGACACAAUAUGCCCAUUGAAGUCUCCGCUCACGAAACGUUUCUCAGUGCUUGGGACGCCCCUCACCAUCUCAUUCAAAACCUCCAAAAGCCCUUUUUUUCUUCCUCGUCCAAACCUAAUUGCAGAGCAUAAACACUAAUAACAUUCACCGUAGUUCCUCCUAUGACCAACUUAACAGACAUUAGUCUAUCACUGACUCUUUUAACCUUUACCACCUGCUCCUUAAGUUCUUCAUCUACUAAGAUACCUACCCAAUUUCUAUAUCUCAUGCUACUCGAGUACCAUAACUUAUAUACAUCCACAUCUCUCACCUUAGUGCCUACCAUUUAGUUUCCUGGACACACGCUAUCGAACCCUCCAUUUUCCAAGAAUCUUCAUCAGCUCUAUAGACUUAUCUUGAAGCAUCUCUAUGUUCCAGGACCCAACUUUCAACCUAUAAGCACCCUUAUCCAACUUAGACCUACUAUCCCUCGCCCUCAACCCAAGACUAGAACGUAGACUCGACCCCAACCCCAACCUCGACCUAUGACAUGACCCUAGUCCAUCAUCUAUCUCCCCAACCACCACUCAAAAAGAUACGAUAGAAGAAAAUGAACAAAAAAAAGCUGAAAACCACGAUGAGCAUAAGGGUAUGACUAAAAACAGCUAAAUCAGCAAACAAAAACUAGUAAGCAGGAUUGAUACUCACAAGCAACAACAAUUACUAUACUACUCACAAGCUACUAACACCUACUAAGUUACGGAGAAACCAUAACCAAUAAUCCUAUAGGAAUAAUUAAAAACUCAGGCAAGAAAUUAGGAUAGAAAAAGACACAAGAAGCAUAUACCAAAUAAACUAGAGAAGACUGAAAUGAGUGCACCUGAUACUGGGAGAAGACACAGUGAAAGAUGUUUUCCUGAUUGUUGUGUCGAAUUUCAGCACAUUGGUGCAGAAAUUGAUCGUCAGAAUUUGUUGUCACCACCUUUACCCUACUGCUGGACCGUAUCCCUGUACUUAGUCACCGGAGAAUGUGCUGGACGUCGAAAAAAUAAGCUAGACACCGAAAUCUUGAUGUCUCCUCCUGAAGUACGGGUUUGAACUUGGAGUACCUGAAAAGAUUUAUAAAGAAAAUAAAAGAGAAGAAAAGAAAAGCAACGAUCAAAUUGUAAAAAAUUGACGUCACUCACCAAAAAUUGAUGUGGUUGUUGGGCCUCAGAGAUAGGCCGUCGAAAAAGCCGCUAUCAUUUUAGUGGUCGGCACAAGAAGUGAGAGAGAAAAACACGAUGAUUGCGCCAAAAUCUGAUGGGAUCGCUGAAACUGAUAGGGUCGUUGGGACGUGUUUAUGGUAGCCGACAGAAGUAAUUUAAUUUCGUCGGCGCCGUCGAUUGAAUAAAUGGAAGAUUCUAAACCCUCAGCAUAUAUGACAACUAUUAAUGUCAUCAAUUUAACUUGAGAUGCCUAUUCAAUAAAAUAACAUGACAACAUUUUAAUAAUUAUAGUUCAAUGCUGAUUAAAAAUAGAAAAAUAUUGAUUUUAAUGAAUUUAUGGGUACAAAAUUUCUCAGUUUAUUAUUUUAUUUUCACCUAUUUCAUGUGACAAGAGUUGCAAAAUUCAUUUUUUCAUCUAAUACAACAAAGUAUUUCAAUCACUUCAAGUAUAUAUAAAAAUAGUUACAACAUUAAUUUAGACCCUUUACACAAACUAACUUAAUCAUGAUCUAUAAGGAUAUUGAAUAAUAAUUAAAUUACAUUAACGAUUAUUCCAUUCGGUCCAUUUACUUAUCGUGUUAAUUUUUUAAACACCCUUUAAAAAUAUUCUAUUCAUUCUUCUCUAAUUAUUGAUUUAUCCUUUUUCAUGUUAGCUAAGAAAAAUAUGUAAGGCAUUGUACUAUUUAUUAUUGAUUAAGUUAUCCUAUUUAAUACUCCCUCCGUUUCACAAUAAGUGAAUUAUUGGAGUAAUUUUAGUGUUUCAAAAUAAGUGAAUGAUUCACAAUUCAAGGUAGAUNNNNNNNNNNNNNNNNNNNNNNNNNNNNNNNNNNNNNNNNNNACAAAAAGAAUAAAGACAAAAAUAAAAAUAUUUAGCAAAAGAACAUCAUCAAUCCUUGUGAGGACUACCGAAAAUUGAUAUCCUCCCUUAUAUAUAAUAGUAAAUUGUAUUCUUUUUUCAUAUUGCUAACACUGUUUGCAAUAAAGAUUAUAGUGACAGAAACAAAUUCAGUCACAAUGCAAAUAAAAUAUGAAAAAAUAAGAAUUUUAUUGAUAAAUGAUAUGGAUAUAAUUCUGUUACUCCCUUGAUUCUUCUUUCUUUAUUUUUCUCCAUAAUUCUAGGACCAUUAGUAGCGUAUUUCUCGAAAGUAGAAAGAUUUAAAUUUGAUAUGAUUUUUUAGCGUAUUUCCCGAAUGUAAAAAGAUUUGAAUUUGAUAUGAUUUUUUUUUUGUAAUUCAAGGGUCGUUAGUAGCGUAUUUCUUGAAUAUAAGAAGAUUUAGAUUUGAUAUGGAUUUUCUUCGUAAUUCGAAGGCCGUUAAUAACAUAUUUCUUGAACGUAGAAAUAUUUGAAUUUGAUCUCCAUAAAAGAAGGGUUUAUGGAUCUUCUUGAUAUAUUUGAUUAUCAAAAAGAGAGUGAUAUUCAAUGAGUUUAUGAAAUUAUCGGGAGAUGAUAAAUCUCUUUAUUAAGGGCUUAGAGUAGAGUAGCCACCAAGUUAGGUUUAGCAUAAAGUAACCGCUAAUAACUCUAACAAAAAUUGAUUUUUUAUUAUAGAGUUCACAAAAUUAUGAUGUCUAUAAACGCUUUGUAUUGUCAGACAUUAUGACAACAAAAUCCUUUGCUGAAAUGUCAAAAUACAAUUAUUUUUCUUCUUUGAGAUGAUGAAUGAAGUACGUGUUAAUUUAGUGGAGUCACUUAGCUCAAGUCAUUCAUGCGGCAUACCAUGAAAUCAGAAAACUACAUCAAGCUAGGAGAAGAGAGCAAUCACAAAAAUACCAUAUUUAGCAUAUUUUCAUAGCUCAAACUCGUGACCCCCUGAUCAAAUGGAGGGAACUAUCCACAAUAAUUCAGACAAAUACUUCUCAUAGAUAAUCACAAAUGUCCAAGCAAGACUAAAUCUUUUAAGAAUUUUACUACACACAAAGACAAAACCAAAGGGCAGUCCGGUGCACUAAGAUCCCGUUAUGUGUUGGGUCCCAGGAAAAAAUUAGACCACAAAGGUCUAUUAUACACAGUCUUACAACUGUGGACCCCUCUUUCCAUAGCUCGGACCUAUGACCUUCUGGUCAUACGACAACAACUUUACCAGUUAUGACAAGGCUCCUUGUCUUACACAAAACAAAUAACAUUUGUAAAAAUGAAAUCUUUAGCAAUUUUUUAAAAUUCUUUAUACCCAAAUUUCAAAAAUAAGCUAAAAUAUAACACUGAUAACAUAUGGUUAAAUAAAUAAUAAGCAAAAAAUGCAAACUACCCAAAAAAAUUCAGGCAAAUAAAACUUGUAAUGCAUCAAGAUUAAUUUUGGACAAUAGCUUAAAAAUAAUCUCACUUUCUCACAGCUGAAUAAUGAAAUUCCAAUUUUUCCCUUAGCAUUAUGUCACCAUUGAUGAUGGAUACUGUAGCAUUAAGAGACAAUUUCUUUCCUUUUCUGGUAGUUGGUCAGUAUUUGAGCAGUAUCAUCUUCUACAAAAAUGAACAGGAUAAUCACUUUAGCCCCCAAAAGAUCUAGCUAUUACAUAUAGACCCCUUUACCUUAUAAUUUUAGAAUGAUAUUACUCUUCUUGACCUAUUUAAAUGCCCCCAAAGUUGCUCGAAUAAAGAAAAAGAUAAUUCCUUCGUUCGGUUUUACUUGUCACAUUUUAACUUGACAUAUUUACUAAAAAAUAAUUAAUAACAUAUAGUUAUUUUACCAUAAUACCCCUAUUAAAUGAUGUUUAUAUUGUAUCUUAAAAUUAAUUUGGAGAAAAGACAAUUAAUGCUAAGGGUAAAAUAGGAAAAAAGUUGUCUUUUCUUGAUAUGUCAAAAAUGAUAAGUAAAAAUAGAAAUACAAUUAGGAAAUUAGGGACAAGUAAAAGCGAACGGUGGGAGUAACACUGAAAACACAUCAAAAAGAUAUACUUCCUUGGUUGUAUUUUAUGCGGUAUAUUUUGAUCGGGCACAAAGUUUAAGAAGGAAUGACAAUUGUCCUUUAUUAAAAAAUAUAUUACUACUAUCUUUAAUUAAAUGCCACUAAUAAGGAUAAAUGUAAAAUUGUAUCUUUAAAUAGUUACCAAAUAAAGGAAUAUGACAUUCUUUUUCGGAUGGACAAAAAGAAAAUGACAACAUAUAAAAUGGGGCAGAUGAAGUAUGUUAAUACUAAAAGGGCAGCUUGAUGUGGCGGUGGAAGUAUGUUAAUACUAAAAGGGCAGCUCGGUGUACUAAAGCUUCGUGCUAUAAGGGACUGCGGAGAAGGGCUGGACUGCAAGAAUUUUAUUGUGCGCAACAUUAUCUUGCAUUUUAGACAGAGGUUGUUUCUAUGACUUGAACUCGUGACUUCCUAAUCACAUGGCAAUAAUUUUAUCAGUUACUCUAAAAAUCCCCUUCAUAUUUUUUUUCGAUUUCAUAAAAAUAUUAAAGAUAUGCAAAAUAUAAAAGAUACGCAUAUAAUUCUUUUUGCAAACCCACUUAUAUGGAGUAAUAAAAACUUAUAAGGUAUCAAAAAUGAUAUAUGCAUGGGAUUUCCCUUUUGAUUAAAGUUUUAAUAGGUUAAUUUCAUGUAUAAUUGUAGACUUUUACUCAUUAAUGACAAAAUUAUUGAACUUUAACUAUUUAAUAAAGUAGUAGAUUUAAUGACAUUAAAAAUCAUUAGAGUUUUUACUAUGUGUUUAGAUAUAUUGAGUACAAGAAGUGAUAGACAUAUCUCAAACUAAAUCAAUCAAUUAGAAAAACAAUUUCUAUUCCAAUGGAGAAGUUCCUCCAUGUUCACCUUUUGAUUUCAAUUAUUUUCUCAAUUUUUCUUGUAACUUUAUGCAAUGAACAUUAUUUUCCAUCCCUUAACACCACUUAUAUUAUGGAAUAUGUCUAUUGAUCCAACAAAGCUUCCCGAUCCUCCGAUUCCAUACUAUACACUCACCAUUUACAAUCUCUAUUUAUUUGAAAAGUCAAAAUUCAAGGACUAUGACUCGUUACUCGGAAAUAGGUUCGCCGGUCGUCAAGCUAGAGCAAAUAAUUUGGCAUCAGUUCUUGAAAAUGGUUAUGCAAUUAGUGGGAAUGGAACUCUUGUAAGGAUACAUGACGAGCAUGAGAGUAAAGUGGCCAACGAAAAGGUUCCGGUAACAACAAGUACACAUUUCAUAUGUCAGUAUGUUGCAUCUUUUACUCUUUUUUUUGGUUUCCCAUCUGGCAUUCGGUGCCUGCAUUGGAGCCCCGACUAAUCCAGAUCACAUGUUGCAGGGCCUAUUAAGGUGGUAGCACUCCCAACAGAAUUUUCUCCAUACCUAGGGCCGAACCCUGGACCUCUGAUUAAGGGUGGAGCUGCCCCAUCCACUGCACUACAACCUAUAUUGGUGAAUUUUUUACUCACUGAACAAUUUAAAAGUUACUUGCUAAUAGACACUGGUAGUGAUUUAGUUUGGUGGCAAUGUGGACCAUGUAACACUACAACAUUUUAGGCUUUUGGACACACUAAUUCUAGACCACACUUCUAAAGUGUGACCGAUAUCAUUAAAGACCACGCUUUUAAAGCGUAUCCUUUGUUUUUAGCUUUUGACCACAUUAAUUUUGACAACACUUUAAAAGCAUGGUCCUUAAUGGUAUAGGCCAUAGUUUACAAGCGUUGACACCAUGAUUUAAUUGGCAAUACGUAUUCACAAAUAUGACUACACUUUUAAAUGUGGUAUUAUUAUAAUUUAAGAGACAAUACUUUUAAAAUAUUGCCUAAGAUUUUUAUUGAAAUAUUUCACUAUUCCACCAAAUUAUUUCACUCUUCUACCCAAAUAUUUCACUCUCCCUCCAAAUAGUUCUAGGGUUACAAGAAAAUACAGAUUAAGGGCAAAAUUAUUUUUGGCCAAAAAUAUGGGUUGCAAGAAAACACAAAUUACGGAUAAAAUUAUUGGUUCCUCAACUCAAAGUCUCAAUUGUUGCAUCUAAGAUAGAGGAAUAAGAUUAAAGACUGUCGUCGGUGAGGAAGAGACAUCCUUACUCCCGUAAGGAGAAGGGGUCGGUGCUUAUCGUCCACCAGAAGGAUAUGUUAAUUUCUUUAUUCAUUUCCCAAUUUAGCUCAUAAUCUUACUGUAUUUUGUAACCAUUUCUUUUGUGGGGUUAUUGAUUUAGUUCAUUGUCUUACUCUGUUUUUGCUUCUUGUUUGCUGUUCUUGUAGCCAUUUCUGUUAUAGGGUUCUUUAUUUAGCUCAUAUAUUACAAUAUUUUUUCUUCUUGUUUGUUGUUCUUGCAGUCAUUUCUGUUGUGGGGUUCUUGAUUUAGUUCAUAUCUUACACAAUCGAAAGAGGCUUUAUAGCUAUUGGUACUGCAGGUGAUGAUUUUUUGAUAAAUAAUAUUUUUUUAAAUUUUAUGCUAAAUUUUUUCAUCUUGAAUAUGUUUUUUUUUUGUCAAUUUCAUUCUAAGUUUAAUGAUCUAUUCUUUAUUGCAUUUGCCGAUGUUUUAGUGCUGAUUUUCCCAUUUGGGGUUGUUUUAUUUUCAGUUAAAUUUCAAUUCUUGAUAUCCUAGUUGGUAGUUUGAGCAUAUUAGAUAUGUGUUUUAUUUUCCAAAUGGUGAAAUUCUAUAUGAUGAACAAACUGAAGAGGUUAUAGGGUUGUUCUUUAUAUCGAGUUGUUCUAUGUUGCUCAGUUUUACAAUUGCUAGCCUAUCUAGUAGCCUGUUUUGUCAUAUCCCUGGGCUAGGUCGUCAUCUAAUUUGGAGCCUUCAACGAUAGCUUGUGUCAUCUACAGGUCUUCACUCUAGUUUAUAUUCUCAGGUCCCUCUCUUAUAUCUCCAUUAUCUAUUACUUGGUUCCUCAUAUUAAGAUUGUAGUUGAAAAGAACAUUUCAUAAUCAAGAGAAUAUCUCUUCAUUUUUUGGAAGAGAUGAUCUAAACACACUAAAAUUAACAAACAAUAAAACUUAGUUUCACAAUCUUGUUUCUCUCAGUAAGUAAUAUGCUCAGAACUUGCGAGGAAGAUUCAUUCUUGGGAUGAUCAAAUAGCGAAAGACAAGGCUUCCCUUGAUGUCUACUCUCUCACACUCCAUCGCAACUUGAAACAAGGAAACACGUCCAAGUUAGUGUAUCUAGUUUUCUUUUUGCUGAAGCGCCUAUUUAAUUCUUGAAAAACAACUUAUACUUCAAGCCUUUACAGUUAAAGAACCAACACUGGUUAUUUCUCCUGGAAUAAAUAUUUGAACGUCAAUGCAAGAAGACUACCUGCAUCUAGAAAUUUAGAAUAUCUUUUGAUGUACGUAUUGACUUGGAUUAUAAGUUGGCAUCAAAUCCUAUUUUUUAUGUGCAGUGUCGUAGAAGCAAAAAAUAUGAAAUCUCAUGCCUUGUCCUCUUACUCCAUCUCAGUAUCAGGAUUGAGAUUCCCUUCGUAUAUCAGCUGUGAUGAAAAAAAUAUAGGUAAAACAUAAAGGAGUUUUAAAUUUAGUAGUCGAGUCUGUUUCAAAAUAAUUGCUAAUAUAACAAUUAUUGUUGCCUUAUUGUGUUCCAAUUUCAUCCUCCGAUAUUGUUCUUGUGUUUACUUUGAUCGAAACAUGGAUUGAACUCGCACAACAAAUCUUUCGAUACACUCUUCAGCUUUUUUCCUACUGGCUUGGAAGAAAUCCUCCUCCAUAUCAUCGGGUUUGUGAUUAACUACUUGACUAGACAGGAGUUGAAGCUCAUGAAGCCUUUUUUCUUCAAACACCAAUGAAAUAUUGCCUUUUCAAGCACCCUGACCAAAUUAUCUCCAGGUAAUGCCUUCGGACAUGGAAACCACUGAACACAGCCCGCAUGACCAGAGGCAGGUUCCAUUAAUAAUGGAUCAUGUUAUUCUGUCAGUUUUAUGGAAAAGUCAAAGAGUAAUUAGGAAAACUUGCUAAGUUAUCAUUCUUGUAAGAACUUCUCAAUCAUAUUAAUUCAUGUUUGUUGUAGAUGUAUAUCAUUAAUUCUUUUAGUUCCAUGUCAAUUCAUUUACACAGCAGUUAACUCAAAUAAUUUCACCGGUGAGAUCCCACCAAUUCAUGAUAAUCUGUCAAAACUCUACUGGCUUGAUCUAGCAGAUAAUCAGUUAAUCGGAUCGAUUCCCGUUUUAACCUCCUCAAGUUCGGGAUUGUAUCUUCUGAAGAAAGAAGAACACUUGCGAGUAAACUUUAUCUAUUCGUAUUACAUGCUAUCCUUUUCAACUGAUAGGAAAUCAAAUAAAUGUUGUUUUCCAAUAAUGAUGUAGCUGCUUGAUGGAAAUUGUACAUUAGUUGGUGUUAUGCAAAUAACUUUUGUUCAUAUUACUCCAAUGUGGUUAACUGGUAUCGUCACUGUUGCAGAUAUAUUAAAAUUGUAUUUUUCAUCUGUGUUCUUGUUACUUUGAGCUUUAAAAAUAUUCUGUAGUACUUUUCUUUUGGUGCACCUGUGUAGUUUCUUUUUGUAUAGACUAUGGAGGAUAGGGUGUCCUUUUGUAUGAAGCUCAGAAACACCCUCUAUACCUCCAUGGAUUGAUGCUCUUCGGUCCCAAGUUGUAGCUGCUAACGUUAAAUUGCUUGCAUUGUAUGGUGUAAUCCCCCUACUUCUCAAUUGACAUUAACAUAUAAAAUCUCCUCAUUUUUAAGCUCGUAAAGUAACAAGAGUAAGUUAAAUAAUUCGUGCAAGAAUAUCAACACACAUUCACACUUUGUUGACAUUCUAUAUACACUUUUUUAAACAUCAAAUUAAGUUGCUUUGGUUUCUUUUUUCCUCCAAGCCUGUGCAGCAAAUAUUAUAGCUUUUCUUUAAAGAAAAUAUCAAAGAAAGGGAAGCUAGCAUUUUAUAAUUAACAUUAGUAUAUUAGCGUUUCAGAAUAGUGAAAUAACACGUAGUAAUAGACUUUGAACCAAUUUGAUAGAUGAGCACUUUGGUACGUUAUUCAAUUUCAAAAGUCAAAUAUUUGUUAAUGAACUUAAUAUUUAGCAUCUCACAAUGUGUUGUACUUUAUCAAAAAUAUUAUUACAAUUAUGAAAUAAGUUCCAAAUUGGCAGUAAAUGAAAUCCCUUCAUGAUUUUUGACAGGUUUAAAAAAUCCAAUUAGUAAUAGAAUUUCUAGAAACAUUUCGUCGGCGUAAGUUAGGUUUCUCUUCACAGCUUACUGUCUUGCAGGUUCUAGUGCAACAUGUUCGUGGACUUCCUCUUUUUUGCAAAGACAAACCCGAGCAUCUUUCAAAAAUUGUUUAAAUACUUGUAUAACUCUUGACUUCUGGUAUAGAAAUCUCUUAGUCUUUCCAUCAAGAAAUGUUGAUUAUGAGAAAGGAUAUGUGAUCUUGACUUCUUUUUCUGCUUUUACAGUGGAAAAUAUGGCACGUGAUACAGUAAACAAAGCCCUUUUGUCCUUGUUAAGGCAAGACAUAAAAGGUUUGUUGAUUCUUUCCUAAUGACAUUGAGACCAUACACAUAGGAACUAUCUAUAAAUAUAUUCAUCUUAAAUUGAGUUAAGAAAUUAAAUUACUGAACUGAUCAAACUGCUAUUUCUUUCCUCUUCUGGAAGCUAUUUAAUGUUUCCUAGUAUCACUCUCUAAGAAAAAAGGUAGAACGAUAGAUACAUUAAAACCUAGUUAAGACAAGAAGCUCAUCCCUCGUGGGUCACCUAACAUGUUUCAUUACCUACAUUGGAUAAAUCAGCAAAUUUAUUAAUGCAGUGCACAUUUUAUCUUGCAUUUGAUGCACCGUUAUGCAUUAGCAAGCAUGCUCUUUUGUUCAAUGCCUGGCAGCUGUAUACCAGGGUUUUGCAGUAAUUGAUAUGCCAUAUUAAAAUACCUCUUCUUAUUUCAAUUAUCUGAAGUAGGAAUUAUGCUAAUCAAAUCCUUUUAGGACAAUAUUCUAUUGUCCCAAUUUAUAAUCAACUUUAACAAGAGCUCAAGUGUAGCUAUGUGGAUAUAUCAACUACAGAAAAAUAUUUAUACUUUAGUAUGACACUGCUGAAGGACGUGGUGCACAUUUGUGCUUUCAAAAGAAGGAAGAGAAGAUGUCCCAUAAAAUGUAGGCAUGUAGUUAUAUGGGUACUUUCGAUAGAAAUAAAUAAGAGAAAAUUUGAAGGACUAAAGAAUGAUUUUUUAAUUUAAUAUUCUACAAAGAAAAGGGGCUACCCUGAGAAACAGAAAAUCAGUUGGAACAAAAACUAAGUAGAAAAGAAAAUUAGAGACACAAUAACUCACCAGAUUACGGAGCGAAAAGAGGAAGAACAGGUAAGAUAAAUGAAAAGUGCUUGCGAAAAACAUAAAAGUGAAGCACCUUAUAUAUGGCAUUCAGCUGUGCAUGCAUCUUUUCUUGGAUUGGAACUAGUGGUGAUAUUGAUCCAUUACCAUGAUAUGUUCAUUCUUUUUCUGUUGUUUCACUUGUGUCUCUAUGUUACCUGUAGGGUGGGAUUCAUUACUGUGAUCUUGAUCCAUUACUGUGAUAUGUUCAUUCUUUUCCUAUUGUUUCACCUAUGUCUCCAUGUUACCUUCCAUAUUCUCCUUGUCAACUACUUGAGAGAAAUAUCUUAAUUUGGUGUGCACAGAGAUAGAAGAACGUCCAGCCUCUAAAUAUAUAGUUUAAGCAAGUAGUGACCAAUAUACAGCUUAAAAUUUUGAUGUGUGUUGAAACCAUUCUUCAGAUUUGAGCAAUUGUGGAUGAUAAACUAAGAGGAUGACUUGUUUUAUUGCAUCAGUAGAUUACUACUUAGUCUAAGUGGAAAAAGCAACCUUGUUUCGUUGCAUCAAUAGAAAACUACUAAGUAAAGUUGACUAGUCCUUUCAACCGAGCUGAAUAUGCAUAUAGAUAGAAGAAAAGGUAUUGACCAUUGGCUACAACACCACUUGACUGGAGUUGUUUCACUGGAUUUGUUGAUGCAGUUGUAUUGACGCAUAGUGAAUUCCGGAAUCUAUCAUGUUAAGAGCGAUUUAUGUAUUGGCAAUGUGAUAUUUAAAGCUUUGUUCAAUGGUAUUUAUGGUCUUUUUUGGGGACGUAUGCUCCUAUUUGGUAGAAAAGGACAUUCUAGGGAUGCAAAUAUUUUUUAGGGUUGUUCCUUAUGUAUUAUUAGUAAGAGAGAACCUUAACAGAGCAAUAGGAUAACACUAUUACCCUCUCUAUUUUAGAAUGGAUUCCCGAGUCUUGAGGAACUGAAAUAAUCUGCUUUGACUUUAGGAGCCUGAUUCAUUCCUAGGAGUAUUAUUGGUAAGAAAGUUCAUUAUUUUUGCCUUGGGACUGAGGGUCUUUCUUUUGAAAUAUAUCUUAUAUAUACUGCAUUAUUUCUUCUCCAGAUAGAUAUUGUUUUAAUUUUUUUACAGUCUAAACUAGAGAAUCAUCACAAUGCUGGGAAAACACCAGAUGAUGCAUUCACGGCAGUGUUUGGAAAGGAUAAACCUGGUCGAGUUAGAGGUUAUGGAAGAUCAGUGACAACAACUUCUCUAAAAGAAGAUGAGGAAAUGAAAAAGCUUAAACAAAAGCAUGCUAAUGAAGUCACUUCUAUGAAGAAGAAAUUAUAAGUGAAAUGAGAGAAAUGCGACAAGUUUUUUAGUCAAUUGGUGCAAAACAAUCCUGGAUUGAAUUUUCAAGAUAUACUAGGGAGUGUAAAAUUUCUUCACCUGAUGCGAGUAAUGCACAAGCUAUAAGAGAAAAAAUUCUUUCAAAUUAUUUUGGCUUAGCUCAUGCUUCGGUUCAUGAAAAGGUACUUUAUCUUAGAAAUUCACAAGAAAUUUAAAUCCUAAACUUUUAACUUUAUUGAAUGAAUUAAAGAAACUUUGGAUUCACAUAUUUCCUCAUAUCAAGAUUGAAAAAAUAUUUGUAUAUUUGUGAGCAUAAUUUUACUUCGUUUGUUUCAGUUUGAACGUAGGAUCAAUGCGGGGGAUCAAAUUUGAAUGGUGGGCGCCACAACUCAACUUGAUCGAGAUUGAAGUGAAUGAUGAAGAAUUUUGAAAUAUUUUGAUAUACGUUUAUAUACAUUUGGUUUUGUGUGGAAGUUGAUACAAUUUUUAUUAUGUUGUUUUCAUUAGUAUGUAAAAGACAUGUUUUUUUAAAUCAAAUCUAUGCACUUCAAUUAUUCAUUAGGUUAUUAGUGCAUGCGUGAGAUUGUAUAUAAAUAUGUAUUUUUAUGUAAUGUGCUUAGUGAUACAUACAUUUCGAUCAAAAUAAUUGUUUUUUAAUUAGAGAUUACGUACGAACAUUUUAUAUGCCUAAUGCCAUUUUAGUAAAAUGUGGUUUGAAAUGUCAAAUUUUAGGCAAUAUUGCUACACUUCAAAAGUGUUGCUAAAACAUGCUUACACUUUAUAAGUGUUGUCAUAGAGGAUAUAUAAAAGGCUAUUUUUUUGAAGUGUGGCUAGUAAUAAAGAAAAGGCCACGUUUUUUAAGUGUUGUUAUAGAGGUGCUACAAAAGCGUACGCUUGUGAAGCGUGCCCAAUAGUAAAACAAAGACAACGUUUUGUAAGUGUUAUUAUAGAGGUGCUACAAAAGGCUACGCUUGUGAAGCAAGCCCAAUAGCAAAACAAAUGCAACACUUGUAAGUAGCUUUAUCAAAUAAAAGUGUUGCCAAUGACAAGCUACAAAUCAUGGCCUUUGUACCUUAAUGGCCACGCUUUUUAAAUGUAGCUGAUAUGGCAACACUUGAAAAACAUGGCCUUUGAUCAAAGGUUACACCUCUUUAAGCCACCCCCUAAAAAGUGUUGCCUAAAGUCUGAAAGUGUAGCCUUUGAUCAAAGGCCACACUUCCUACUAUUUUAGGCCACGUUUUACAAGUGUGGCCUUAGGCCAAAAACGUUGUAGUAUAAUGCAAAUGUAUGUUACAAACAGAUAAAUAAUCCUUUAUAUGUUUCAACUAAUUCAAAAACAUAUCGAAAGCUCGAUUGCCUUGUAGAAAGUAGAAACUGUGAAAUCACGAAUAAGGAAUAUGAUUGUAGUAGUAUGGUAAUACGUGUCUGUAUGAUUACAAAUACGUCAAUGGAUCAAGAACAAGAGGCUGGAUUGCACACGACGUGAUUACUUUUGUUUUAGCCCGAAAGCAGGUAAGCAUUGUUUUUGGAUGUGGCAAAAAUCAAACUCAUGGAAAGCCUUUUAGUGGUCAAUUUUCUGGAAUUGCGGGCCCCGGACGUAAUCGGUGGUGGCAAUUAUUUUGCAUCACAAUUUGAAGUAGACAUAAUGUCCAUGUGCCUACCGGGAGCUCUCUCAACAAAAGGAUCAACACUAUUACAAGAUUUCAGAUUCCCUUCCAUUUACUUUGUCAACCUUUAUAAAGUUUUUAUUAACGAUAGGGAAGUCCCGUUGUUCCCAUCAUUGUCUAGGAAAUUCAGAACUUAUGCCACGAGUGAUAGCUGCAUCGUGGACAAAGGAACAUUUACUACCCGUUUUCCUCAUGAAUUUUAUAUUGUAUUUUGUUACACAUUCAGAUAAAAAGUAUGUGGUAUUCCUAUGGUUAAUGUUCCACCUGGAUCAGUUUAUGGCACAUGCUAUAAAGUUCAUACGACUAGUCUGGAUCCACAUUUCCCCGUUGUGACCAACCAAAUGGCCCCUUCAACCCCAACAACCCGCACUCCCUUUUGCCUCAGCCUGCCUGGGAGCACUUGGUCAAUUUUCUGCCCAUAACAUACUUGUUCACUGGGCCCACCCCCAGAACUGUGAGCUAUAACACACUGAUUUAGCCCAAGAAUGGCCCAUUUGGGUUGUUUCACUUGUUUAACCACCCAAAUAGCCUAGCUAACCCCAAUGACCCACACUAUCCCACUUUUGAGCCUACCUUGGUGCCUCUGAUCGAUUUUAAGACCAAAACACGCUCGAGCCCCAAGCCAACCCCUAAAACCAUGAGUUAUAGCAUGUCUAUUUGGCCCCAAAAAUAGCAUGUUUUGACAUUUUGUCUGUUUGAUCACCCAAAUGGCCCCGCCGACCCAAACGACCCACUAUCCCGUUCAUCAAUCUACUUGGAAGACUUGAUCGAUUUUCAACCAAAAACACUCCCGAACCCCGGGCCCACCCAGAACUGUGAGCUAUAGCACACCGAUUAUGCCUUAAAAUGACCCAUUCGCGUUGAUAUUGCUGUUUGACCACCCAAAAAACCCUGUUGACCCGUGCGACCAAUACUUCCCCGCUCUUCACCUUACCUGAGAUCCCUCAAUUAAUUUUUUACCCAAAACAUGCCCUGGACCAGCCCAAAAUCAUGAGCUAUAGCUCACUAAUUUGGCCCAAAAAUGGCUCGGUUGCGCCGUUUUGCUCGUUUGACCAACCAAAUAGUCCCGCCGACCUCAAUGACCCAUAAUUCCCCGCUCCUCGUCCUUCUUAGGAGCCCUCAAUAGAUUUUUAAUCCAAAACAUGCUUGGGCCCUAGGAUAACCCCUAGAAUUGUGAGCUAUAACACACCGAUUUGGCCCAAAAAUAGCCCGUUCGCAUCAUUUUGCCUAUUUAAUAACCCAAAUGGCCCCGCCGACCCCAACGGCCCACACUCCCUAAUUUUCAGCCUACCUGGGAGCCGCGAUCAAUUUUCAGUCAAAAAAAUUCAUGGGCCUUGGGAACACCCUCUUAACCGUGAGGUAUAACACCCCAAUUUUGCCAAAACAUAGCCCAUUCGCACUGUUUUAUCCGUUUGAUCACACAAAUGGCCCAUCGCCACCCAAUGGUCCAUACUCUUCUGCUUAUUAGCCUGCCUAGGAUCCUCUGGUCUAUUUUCAGCCUAAAACAAGCCUACGCCCUGGGCCCACGCCCGGAAUCGUGAGGUAUAACAUACUAAUUUAGCCCAAAAAUGGCCCGUUUAUGCUGAUUCACCCUUUUGACCCCCCAAAAGGCCCCGUCGACCCCAGCCACCCACACUCUCCUGCUUUUCAGCCUGCCUGAAAGCCCCCAAUAAAUUUUUGACCCAAACCACGCCCGUUCCCUUCACUCAACUUCAAAAUCAUGGCUACACCACACCGAUUUUUCUCAGAAAUGGUCCGUUCGCGCCCUUUUGCCUAUUUGACCAACCAAAUAGCCCUACCGACCACCGCCGACCCCAACGACCCAUACACCCCUAUUCCACAGUAUGCCUGGGAUCCUUUGGUCAAUUUUCAGCCUAAAACAUGUCUGGGCGCCAGGAUCACCUCUGAAACCGUGAGCUAUAGCACACCAAUUUGGCUAAAAAAUGGUUCGUUUGUGCUGUUUCACUCGGUUUACCACUCAAAUGUCCCCGCCAACCCCAACGAGCCACACUUCCCUGCUUCUCAGCCUACCUAAGAUCCUCGAUUAAUUUUUUUCCCAAAACAUGCCCGAGCCCUAGGCCUACUCUCAAAACUAUGAGCUAUAACACAUCGAUUUGGCCUAAAAAUGCUUUAUUUGCACCAUUCAGCUCGUUUGACCACUCAUACAGCCUCAUUGAACCCAAUGACCCACAUUUUCCCACUCUUCUUCCUGUCUGGGAGCCCCUGAGCAAAUUUUGAUCUAAAAUAGGCUCGAGCCCCAAGUGCACCUUCAAAACUGUGAGCUAUAGCUUACUGAUUUAGCCAGCAAAUUACUCGUUAGUGCCGUUUCGCCUAUUUGACCACCCAAACAGCCCUGUUGACCCCAAUAGAUGAUACUCUCUCACUUCUCAUCCUGUCUGGGAGCCCUCUCUUCAUUUUUGAUCCAAAACACGUCUGGGCCUUGGGCCCACCCCAAGAAUCGUCAGCUAUGACACACUGAUUUGGCUUGAAAAUGGUCUGUUCGCAUUGUUUAGCCUGUUUGACCACCCAAACAGCCCUGCCGACUCCAACGACCCACUCUCUCCCACUUCUCAGCCUGCCUGGGAUCCCUCAAUUUAUUUUCAAUCCAAAACAUUUUUGGGUCCCAAGCCCACCCCCAAAAUCGUGAGAUAUAACACGAUGAUUUGGCCAAAAAAUGGUCUAUUUUCCGUCAUUUCAUCUCGUUUGACCACCCAAACGGUCCCUCCAACCCAUAAGGUCCAUACUCCCUCGCUCUUCAGCCUUUUUGGGAGCCUACAGUCCAUUUUCAGCCCAAAACCCGCUUAGACCCUGGGCCUAACUCCAAAACCAUGAGUUAUAGCACGCCGAUGCACAAGGAUUUCGUUAUGUGUUCAGUCCCGCUUAUAUUUCUUCGGCCUACCUCUACCCCACCUAAAACCAUCCAUAACCAGUAUUUCACACCUCUACACUGAAGAAUCAGAGCCCCUAUUCAUCACAUGGCCAAACAAAUGUAACCUCACAUCUCAUAUGUUGUCCUCCACCGAAGCAACUCUCACCUUCUCUAGAAUAAUUUCAUUCCUUACCUUAUCUUUCUUGGUAUGUCCACACAUCCAUCGCAAUAUUCUUAUCUCUCCCACCUUCAAUUUUUAGAUAUGGGAGUUCUUAACUGGCCAACACACCGCUACGUACAACAUAGCCGGCCGGACUACCACUCUGUUGAACUUACCUUUAAGUUUCGAGGGCACCUUCUAAACACAUAGAACUCCUGAAGCGAGCCUUCUUUUCAGCCACCCUGCCCCAAUAUGAUACGUUAUAUCUUCGUUAAUCUCAUCAUUGCCCUGAAUCAUAGACUCUAGAUACUUGAAACUCUCCCUCUUAUGAAUGUCUUGAGAGUCCAUCUUCACAACCACUCCAGCCUCCUUCGACACAUCAAUGAACUUAUACUCCAAGUACUCUGUCUUGGUUCUAUUUAAUCAAAAUCCUUUAGACUGAAGCGUCUGUCUCCAAAUGUCCAACUUAUCAUUAACUUCUCUCCGAGUCUCAUCAAUCGGUACCACAUCAUCUGCAAAUAACAUACACCAAGGCACCUUUUUCUUGAAUAUGUCACGUCAAAACAUCCAUCACCAAGGCAAAUAAAAAUGGGCUAAAAGUCUAUCUCUUGUGCAACACUAUCAAAACUGGGAAGUUCUCCGAAUCUCCAUCUACCAUCCUCACACGAGUCUAAUUCCUAUCAUCCAUAUCCUGAAUCAACCUAGUGUAUGCCACAGGCCUCCCCCUAGCCUCUAAGCACCUCCAUAGAAUCUACGUGGAAACUCUGUUAUAUGUCUUCUCAAGAUCAAUAAACACCAUGUGCAAGUCCUUCUUCCUCUCCCAACACUACUCCACUAAUCUCCUCACAAGGUGAAUGGUCUUAGUGGUCGAGCGCCCUGGCAUGAAACAGAUUCUCAGAGAUCGUCACGAUCCUUAUCAUCCUUAACUUUACCACCCUUUUCCAAACCUUCAUAGUAUGAGUCAAUAACUUAAUACCUCUAUAGUUGUUGCAACUCUGGAUGUCUCUUUUGUUCUUAUACACUAGAAUCGUAGUACUCUACCUCCAUGCUUCAGGCAUCUUCGUCGCCCAAAAAAUACUAUUGAAUAACCUUGUCAACCACUCUAAACCUACGCCGCUAGUGCUCUUCCAAAAAUCCACUAGAAUCUCGUUUGUCCCCAUUCCCCUACCCCGCUGCAUCCUACGAAUAGCUCCCUUGACCUUCCCAACCUUGAUAUGCCUACGAUAACCAUAAUCGCGACACUCCUAAGAUUUCUUCAAUUGCAUUUCAAACACUAAAAGUACUUACUUUAUCAAUUACAGAACUUCUAAUUUCAAAUCUUAAAUUUCAUUUAGUCUCAAUUCAAAGUUAAGUGCAUAAAAUUUAUUAGUUUAUUUUAAAUUUUCAAAUAUUAUUCUAUUGCUCAUUAUUUUUACAAUCAUCAAUUUUAUGAUUAAUAUCUUUAAUUAUUUUAUUUAUACCUCUUAUUGUAUCUGCUAAGUUAAUUUAAUUAAGAUCUCUCAAAUCACUCUCAAAAUCACCAUCCCACCAAAUACUACACCCACCUCCUAGCCUUACCCUACAGCCACCACCCCACCUCCCUAGUUUUUAUUAUAUUUUACUUUAUCAGAUUUUUUGUAAAAUAUUUUUCUCACAUCACCCACCUCUUAUCCCCAAGCCACCCUCCACCAACAAAACAAUAUUUUAUUUUUGUUUAAAAUAAAAUUUUAUAUUGCACCCACCCCUACUCCCCAAUACCUAUUUGACACCCUACCUAAUACACAUACAAAAAAAAUUAUUUUUCACUUUUUUAUAAAAAACAAUCUUUCCACCCUUCUGUCCUGACUCCCAAGAAAAAUAAUUUUUUUUGUCUUUUAAGAAUCUUUUUUUCUACUCCACAACUCUAACCCCUACCUACACCACCACCCCGCCUACCCCACCUACCUAGCUCAUCCCUACCCCUUCUCAACCACCAUAAUCUCUUGUUAUUCCCCUCAUCCAUCACUUUUCCUCAAUGCAAUUUAUAAUUUUAUGUUAAGUACACACAAAUGCUAUUAGAAAAUAUCUUCUAUUUAUUAAUAAAAUAUCAAUUAUCAAUUUAUUUUAGCAUACAUGCUAUUACUAAUAUCAAAUAAUCACAUCAAAUAAAAUUAUCUAAGAAAAGAUUAACCAAGAGCUAUAGCCGAGAAGAGAGUCUCUCAACUUUCUUUGGAUACUUCAGAAGACUUUGCUGCUAUGGAGGCAUUAGUGGUACAUUUUAUUAUUUUUUAGUUAUCAAAAAAACCCUACCUUCUAGAUCCCAUGAUAAAAGAUGAGGUAUAUGAUAUUGGACUCCCAUCUCAAUCAGUAGGAAAGGGCCCAAAAUCUCUCACCUUUUCUUUUAUGAUGAUCUAACUCUGUGUGCUGUUGCGAAUGAAAGAAACUGUGAAACUAUCCGAGCCACACUUAGGAGCUUCACCUUCCACCCUGUCCUAAAAAUUAACACUCUCAAAGCUAAAGUAAUCUUCUCUAGAAACUGUGCUCAGGUGACCAAAGAUAGUUUAUCACACAUCUUAGGCAUCAAAUCCAAAGACAAGUUUAGCAAAUAUCAUGGUUUUCCCAUCUUCCACAAAAAACCUUGCAAUAGAGAUUUCUAAUUUAUCCUAGACAAUCUCAACACUAAGUUUGCUGGAUGGAAAACCAAAUUCCUCAAUAUGGCUGGAAGAACAACCCUUACCAAGUCCUCCCUUUCUAGUAUUCCCGCUCAUGUCAUGUAAUUCAUCUUGAUCCCCUCUAAAAUCCACUAAUUGAUUGAAAGAACCAAAAAGAACUUUUUCUGGGGCACCACCCCUAAUAAUAAGAAAGUACAUCUAAUCAAUUGGGAAACCUUGACUAAUUCUAAAGCUAAUGGGGGCCUGGGCCUCCAGAAAGCUUCUAUUAGGAACAACACUAUGUUAUCCAGUCUAGCCUGGAGACUUUACAAGCAUCCCAAUAGUCUCUGGGAAAAAAUUCUUUAAAAUAAAUUAGCCCCUAUGGUAUAUCCCUUAAAGUCGACAACUUUAGAACUUGGAAAAGUGUCCUUGUGAGUUGGGAAAUUUGUAAAACUGCCUCCUCUUAGAACAUCCAUAAGGAUGACAAGAUCAAUUUCUAGAAGGACAGAUGGAUGCCUCACUGUGAACUCCUUCUGUCAAUCAUCCAAGCCCUUCUUCCUUAUGAUUCCCAAGACAUUAACUCUCUGGGGUGUAGAAGAAUUGCUCCUGUAACCUCAAGGAUCUUCCGAUUGAAAUCCCUGAGGAUCUCAUUAAAACUUUCACCAACUUUGUUUUCCCCAAUCCCAGAGCAUAUACUAAUGAGCUCAUUUGGAAUCUCAUUUGUAAUUGUUUGUUCUCCAGUAGAACUGCUUAUAAUCAUAUAGCCAAAAACUCUGAGAUCAAUUACUCCUCUAAUUUCAACUAGAUAUGGAAGGAUAAAUCCCCUAAAAAGUCAAAACCUUUCUUUGGCUAAGCCUGUAUGAUAGGUUCCCCAAUAACCUCAACCUGUCCGUGAGAGGAGUGAGACAAAAUACUAGUUGUGCUAUCUGCAAUCAAAACCAGGAAGACAAAUCCCACAUUUUCUUUAAGUGUCCCAUCCUCAAAGAUUUUGGAGUGAAAAUUAUCCACAAGAUGACCCAGUCCAAACAACCUCCUAUUACCAGUCUCCUACUCUCUUACUGGCACACUAUCUGGAGAUCUCUUCAACACUCCUAAUUCAACAAACUAAUCCACUGGCAUGACAUCAUUCUUUUCAGCCUCUAGACAAUCUGGAACACCAGGAACACUAAUACCUUCAAUAACAAAAGGGACCAUCCCAAUUUUAACCAUGCUUACUCCCAAACUGUUGAGUAUAAACAUCUUACUCAAAAGAAUACCCCAAUCAAGCAAAACCAAAUCAUCAACGUUAAGUGGAAUCCUCCCACCAGCCACACCUUCAAGCUCAAUACUGAUAAUUCUUGCCUUAGAAACCUCAGGAAAGGUGGAAUAGGAGGGGUAGUUAGAUCCAGUAAUGGAGGCUAAGUGUUAGGUUUUAACAAAAACUUUCACCGGACUACCAACAACAUGAUAGAACUUAUGGAUCUCAUUGAAGGACUAAAACUGGUAGAGCAAGCUAAUCUUCUCCCUAUUGAAAUUAACAUUGAUUCCUUGGAAGUUAUAUCAAUGUUAACUAACGGGAACCUUCACUAUGAUACUUUGAUUUUGGAAUGCAGGUUAAAAUUAAAAAGGCUAAGGAAUCUGAAAGUUAAGCACUGUUAUAGAGAACAAAAUGGAGUGGUGGAUGCUCUGGCAAAAGAUGGAGCAAGGGCAAGCGGUUUUCAGGAGACUACCCUUUUUGAAGUUCCACCGAUAUGUGCAAAAGAUGCAGUUUGAGCAGACAUCUAAAAAACUUUUUGAGAGAAUAAUUAGCUCUUGCACUGAUGAUUUUAACUAGCCAGGCCAGAACUAUUCCUUUUUAAACCUUGACUAAUCGUCAAAAUUGAAACUUAAACUGCGUUCUCUUUUAUAUUAAUGCAUGUCCUUUCUACCAAAAAAAAUAAUAUUAUUUUGCAUAUUGAAUCAUCGAAAAGAAGAGAUAUUUAUAUCAAUUUAAAUUGAUGGACCUUGAACAUUCACAAAGAAAGAUAAAUUGAAAAAGUUAUAUCAUCCCAGCAUAUCGAAAGAAUGUUAUCAAAUCAAGAAUUAUUUUUUAAAAUGAAAAAUUAAAAAAUGCAGUAAAUAAAUUCACGAAUAAAGCUAAUGAUAGAGAGGUAUAUGUAAGAAAAGCUAAGUGAUAGAAUUUCAUUUAGAUACAAAUUCAUAUAUCACAUAUGUUUAUUAAAAUAAGAUUAAUUUAUUAUUCUUCCUUAUCCUUAUCCUAACAUUUUUCAAAUACAAUAUAUAUUUAAAAUUAAUAUAGAUUUGAGUUGAGAUAACUAUUGAAAUCAAUGAGACAAUACUAAUACUAAUACUAAUACUAAUACUAAUACUAAUACUAAUACUAAUAACAAUAACAACAUUUUAACUAUUUUUACUUUACCACUAUUAGAUUGCACUACUAUUACUAUUACUAUUAUUAUUUGUUCAUUGUUAUUUGAGAUAAAUAUUAAGAUACAUCGUGUAGCUAAAAAAAAACAUUGUGUUCCAUGAUUACUAAUUAAGUACAUCUAAAUUAUAAGUUUAUCUUUGAAAGUAUGUUUUAUUUCCAAUUUAAAUUAAAAAAAAAAUUAUAGAAUAACCAAUAUCUUAGAUGAGCGGUUAAAACCGUCAAUAUAGGUUAGGAUCGUUGGGAUGGCCCGGCCCAGCCUGUAAUUUGAUAGGGCUGGGCAACAAUUUUUAUAGCCCAUUUAAGAAUAGGGCUUUUUAGCCCUUCAUGAAUAAAUCUAUUGACCAGUCGGCUUGAGCAAUAUGGGUUUGGGUGACCCGUGGGUCAAAUAAAAAUAAUUAAAAAAUAAAAUAUAGUACUAAAAUUAUAUUUAAAUAUUAAUUAUAUUUAUAAAAUAUAUAAAUAAUUAACCCAAAAAUAGCCCGUUUAUGCCGAUUCACCCUUUUGACCCCCCAAACGGCCCUGUCAAUCCCAACUACCCUCACUUCCCCGCUCCUCAGCCUUCCCGAGAGCCCCCGAUCAAUUUUCGAUACAAACCACGCCCGGUCCCUUCACUCACCUUCAAAAUUGUGGGCUAUAUCACACCGAUUUUUCUCAGAAAUAAUCCGUUUGUGCCCUUUUUACUAUUUGACCAACCAAAUAGCCCUACCGACCACCACCGACCCCAACGACCUAUACACCUCUGUUCCACAGCAUGCCUGGGAGCCUCUGGUAAAUUUUUAUCCUAAAACAUGCCUGGGCGCUGGGGUCACCUCCGAAACUGUGAGCUAUAGCACACCAAUUUGGACAGAAAAUGGUUCAUUCAUGUCGUAUCACUCGUUUUACCACUCAAAUGGCCUCAUCGACCCUAACGACCCAUACUAUCCCACUCUUCAGACUGCCUAGGACCCCCGAUUAAUGUUUUACCAAAAAUAUGCCCAAUCCCUAGGCCCACUCUCAAAACUAUGAUCUAUAACGUAUCGAUUUGGCCUAAAAAUGCAUCAUUCGCGCCAUUCAGCCCGUUUGACAACUCAAACAGCCCUGUUGAACCCAAUGACCUAUAUUCUCCCACUUCUCUUCCUGCCUGGGAGUCGCCGAUCAAUUUUUGAACUAAAACAAGCUUGAACCCCAAGCCCACCUUCAAAACCGUGAGUUAUAGCUUACCGAUUUGCCAUAAAAUUACCUAUUCAUGCUAUUUCGCCUCUUUGACCACCCAAACAGCCCUAUUGACCCCAAAAGACCACACUCUCUCUCUUAUCAGCCUGUCUGGGAACCCUCACUUGAUAUUUGAUCCAAAACACGUCUAGGCCUCAGUCCCACCCAAGAAUCAUGAGCUAUAACACAUUGAUUUGGCUUGAAAAUGGUCUGUUCGCUUCAUUUAGCCCGUUUGACUACCCAAAUGGCCCCGCCGACCCUAAUGACCCACUUUUCCUCGCUUAUCAACCUGCCUGGGAUCCCUUGAUUGAUUUUCAGUCCAAAACAUUUUCGAGUCCCGAGCCCACCCCCAAAAUCGUGAGCUAUAACACACUGAUUUGGCCCAAAAAUGGUCUAUUUGUGUUGUUUCAUCUCGUUUGACCACACAAACAGCCCAGCCGACCCAAAAGUUCCACACUCCCUCGCUCUUCAGCUUGCCUGGGAGCCCCCAGUCCAUUUUUGGCCCCAAAUAUGCUCGGACCCUGGGUCUACCUCCAAAACCGUGACUUAUAGCACAACGAUGAACUUGGAUUUCGUUAUGUGUUCGGUCCCGCUCAUAUUUCUUCGGUCUACCUUUACCCCGCCUAAAACCAUCCAUAACCAGUAUUUCACACCUCUGCACUGAAGAAUCAUAGCCCCUCUUCAUCACGUGGCCAAACCAACGUAACCUCAUAUUUCGCAUCUUGUCCUCCACCGAAGCAACUGUCACCUUCUCUCGAAUAAUUUCAUUCCUCACCUUAUCUUUCCUGGUAUGUCCACAUAUCCAUCGCAAUAUUCUUAUCUCCUCCACCUUUAAUUUUUAGAUGUGAGAGUUCUUAACUGGCCAACACAUCGCUACGUACAUCAUAGCCGGCCGGACUGCCACUUUGUAGAACUUACCUUUAAGUUUUGAGGGCACCUUCUAAUCACAUAGAACUCCCGAAGACAGCCUUCAUUUCAACCACCCUGCCCCAAUAUAAUGCGUUACAUCCUCGUUAGUCUCAUCAUUGCCCUAAAUCAUAGACUCUAGAUACUUGAAACUCUCCCUCUUAUGAAUGGCCUAAGAGUCCAUCUUCACAACCACUCCAGCCUCCUGCGACACAUCACUGAACUUAUACUUCAAGUACUCUGUCUUGGUUCUACUUCAUCGAAAUCCUUUAGCCUCAAGCGUCUGUCUACAAAUCUCCAACUUAUCAUUAACUUCACUCCGAGUCUCAUCAUCAUCUACAAAUAACAUACACCAAGGAACCUUUUUCUUGAAUAUGUCACAUCAAAACAUCCAUAACCAAGGCAAACAAAAAUGGGCUAAGAGUCUAUCCCGGGUGCAACCCUAUCAAAACAGGAAAGUUCCUUGAGUUUCCACCUACCGUCCUCACACGAGUCUAAUCCCCAUCAUCCAUAUCCUGAAUCAACCUAGUGUACGCCACGGGCCUCCCCCUAGCCUCUAAGCACCUCUACAGAAUCUUCCCGGAAACUCUGUCGUAUUCAUUCUCAUGAUCAAUAAACACCAUGUGCAAGUCUUUCUUCCUCUCCCAAAACUGCUCCACUAAUCUCCUCACAAGGUGAAUGGCUUCAGUGGUCAAGCGCCCUAGCAUGUAACCGAACUGAUUCUCAGAGAUCGUCACGAUCCUUAUCAUCCUCAACUUUACCACCCUUUCCCAAACCUUCAUAGUAUGACUCAACAACUUAAUACCUCUAUAGUUGUUGCAACUCUGGAGGUCUCUCUUUUUCUUAUACACUGAAAUCAUAGUACUCCACCUCCACGCUUCAGGCAUCUUCAUCGCCCUAAAAAUACUAUUAAAUAACCUUGUCAACCACUCCAAACCUACCCCGCUAGUGAUCUUCCAAAAAUCCACUAGAAUCACAUUUGUCCCCGUUGCCUUACCCCGCUACAUCCUGCGAAUAGCUCCCUUGACCUCCCCAACCUUGAUAUACCUACAAUAACCAUAAUUGCGACACUUCUAAGAUUUCUUCAAUUGCAUUUCAAACAGUAAAAGUACUUAAUUGUAUCAAUUAUGGAACUUCUAGUUUCAAAUCUUAAUUUUCAUUUAGUCUCAAUUCAAAAAUUAAGUGCAUAAAAUUUAUUAGUUUAUUUUAAAUUUUCAGAUAUUGUUCUAUUGCUCAUUCAUAUUACAAUGAUCAAUUUUAUGAUUAAUAUCCUUAGUUAUUUUAUUUAUACAACUUGUUGUAUCUACUAAGUUAAUUUAAUUAAGAUCUCUCAAAUCACUCUCAAAAUCACCACCCCACCAAAUACUACACCCACCUCCUAGCCUUAUCCUUCAGCCACCACCCCGCCUCCCUAGUUUUUAUUAUAUUUUAGUUUAUUAGAUUUUUUGUAAAAUAUUUUUCUCACAUCACCAAUCUCUUAUCCCAAAUCCACCCUCCACCAACAAAAAAUAUUUUAUUUUUCUUUAAGAUAAAAUUUUAUAUUGCACCCACCCCUACUCCUUCAUACCCAUUCGACACACUACUUAAUACACACACAAAAAUAAUUACUUUUGAUUUUUUUCUAAAAAAAAAAAUUCCACCCUUCUGUCCUGACUCCCAAGAAAAAUAAUUUUUUUUAUCUUUUAAGAAUCAUUUUUUCUACUCCACAACUCUAACCCCUACCUACACUGCCACCCUACCUACCCCGCCUACCUAGCUCACCCCUACCCCAUCUCAACCACCAUAAUCUCUUGUUAUUCCCCUCAUCCAUCACUUUGCCUCAAUGCAAUUUAUAAUUUUGUGUUAACUAUACACAAGUUCUAUUAGAAAAUAUCUUUUAUUUACUGAUAAAAUAUCAAUUAUCAAUUUAUGUUAGCAUACAUGCUAUUACUAAUGUCAAAUAAUCACAUCAAAUAAAAUUAUCUAUUUUUUAAGCUCAAAAUGAACUAAUAGCUACUAAUUAAUAUUUUUACUAUCCUAAAUUUUUUGUAAAAAUAUUUACCAAAUUAAGUUCAAGCAUUUUAUAUCCCUCCAACAAAUUAUGCUUUUUGUUAUCUAUUGAAAAUAAUUUGAGACGUAGUGGAUUAAUUCAUCAUCAAAAUGAAAUAAAAUAUAUAAGCAUACACCAUUAGAUAUGACGAUGAAAGAAUAUACAAAGAUUAUGAUUAAACAUUCAGCAAUAUAUUUUCAAAGAAAUCUUUCUGAGAAAAUUAACACUUGAAUUCAUAAAAAGAAAUCGUUAUAAUUAACUUUAACAAAUAGGAAAGCAAUUGAAAAAGAUGAUGACAGAGAUAUAUGAUUAUGAUGAUAAAAAAUUGUAGUAAAAAAUAUGAAAGCAAUAGAAAGAGAUGAUGGACUCUGAUACCAUGAUAAUUAAAUGAACCUUGAACCUAACUCAACGUCAAAAGCUAGCACAUGAGGUGAGGAUUGUCCAAGAUCAUAUAAGGAGACUAAGGACUCAUUAAUCCACCGAUGUGGGACUUUCCCCUCCCUCUCCUUGCACGCCAAGACUGGACAUCUGAAGCAUAGGGAAUAUAAGAUGGGGAACUCAACAUUGAAAAUAAUGAAUUGGGUAGACCUGACUCUAAUACCAUGUUGAAGUGUGUGACCAUCUCAUCUAAAAGUUUAACUAUUAGAAAGAGUACACUUUUACUAUUUAAUUAUAUAUUCUCAACAGUUACUUAAUAUGCUAUUUUGGCAUUGAACAAAUGAACUUUACAUGGCAUUACAAACUGAAGCAAGAUACAAAAUUUUUGUUUCAAAUAGUUCAAGAAAGAAUCUUUUUUCCUUUUGAAACAAAGAAAUAGAGUCACAUUUGUUGGCUUGUUUUGUCCCCACAGUUGAACUAAGAGCACUUUGAGUGGAUGCAUUUUCUAUUAUUAAGGAUGUUCAAUAUUGGAAAAGUACUACUCCUUUCAUUUAAAAACGAAUGGUAGACCAAACAACAUAAUAAUUUCAUACAUUAUAUUAACUCCUAAGUAGCUACCAAACCUGAAAUUACUUAUGUCGGAUUCCUACAUAACUCGUUGCUAAGUCAGCUACCAAAUGACCCCUUAAUACCUUCUUUCUUUGUUCAUUGAGAAGACAAAGACCAAUGCAAGCAUAAUUCAAUUUAUCUGUAUAAUAUGUUCAAAACCAAGGUGCAGAAUAAAUACUUUACAUAAAUACAAAACUUCCUAAAUGAGUUUACCCAAUUGAUAUGAACGAUUUGAUUUACUCAGCUCCUGAUUCAUCAAUUGAUGACUAUCGUAUUUUUUCAUGAGAUCUGCCAGGUAGUUUUUUUUAUAACCAGAUUUUUAUAACAAAAAAAAAUGUACCACUACUACCUCUGCAGCAAUAAAAUCUUCUGAAGCAUCCAAUGAAAGUUGAGAGACUCGCUUCUCGUCUAUAGCUUUUGGUGAAUCAAUUGCUGAAAUUGAUGAAAAUUAUUCACCAUCAUUUCAACAUAUUUUGUCAUUUUUCUCAUUUUCAGUUCUCUUUAUAAAAGUCAUUAUUGGAUCUUUUCCCCUAGUAAUUGAAGUGGUUCUAAGAAUGGAGCAAAUUUUUCAGGUGCAGCUUGCGGUGGAAGCUCACAAGUGUCGGCAUUUGCAGGCAACUUAGAAGAUCUAGUUAAGGAUGGACCAACUUCCUUCAAAAUAAACAAGCUUCAAAAUGGAUCAUUUUGACUGAACCUUUUCCCUAUCUAUGUGCAAUGAAUAUGUUGAUAAUAGUAGGUAUCAUAAUCUUGGUCCAACUGUUAGGUUAGAUAGUAACUCAAGAAUCGUUUAUCAAUUCCCCUUUCUUAAGAACCCCAAAAAAUAUAUAACACUAGAACAGAAAAAAGUAAACUUAGACACAACAAAUGUUGAUUGUAUGAGAGGUUAUACAAAGUGAAGUUUUUAUAUAUAAUCAAAUUUAGGACCAAAAUUGGGAAAAAAAUUGAUUGACAUGAAUAAAUACUUCAAAUUGUAAUCUCCACUUGGAUUCACUCACAUUUAUUGCGUUUUUCUCAAAUUUUGGGUUUAAAAUCCUUCAGUUUUUUCAACGUGUUUGUGCUUUUCUCAGGUAUUGUUACUUGAACAAUUAUGUUAUUUUGGCCUUGAACUAAUGAACUCUAUGUGGCAUGAUAAACUGAAGAAUGACACAAAACUUUUGUUUCAAAAAGUUCAAGAAAGAAUAUUUUGUAUUUUUUAAACAAAGAAAUCAAGCCACAUUUCUUGGACUGAUUUGUCCACUCAUUGUGCUCUUAGUUCAACUGUAGGGACAAAAUAGUUCAACAAAUAUAGCUCUAUUUCUUUGUUUCAAAAAGUCAAAAGAUUCUUCCUUGAACUAUUUGAAACAAAACAUUUGUGUCUUUCUUUAGUUUGUUAUGCCACGUAGAGUUCAUUAGUUCAAUGCAUAAACAGCAUAACUGUUCAAGUAAUAUUACUUGAGAAAACGGCAAACACCCUAAAAAAUAUAAAAAUUUUAAACCGAACAUUUAAGAAAAACAUAAUAAAUGUGAGUGAAUACAAGUGGAGAUUACAAUUUGGAGUGUUUAUUCAUGUCAGUCAAUUUUGGUCAUAAAUUUGAGUAUAUGUACAAACCCCACUUUGUAUAACCUCUCAUACAAUCAACAUUUAUUGUGUUUGAGUUUACCUUUUUCUACUCGAGUGUUAUUUAUUUUUGGGGGUUCUUGAGAAAGGGGAAUUGAUAAGAGAUUCUUGAGUUACUACCUAACCUAGCAGCUGGACCUAGAUUGUGAUAUCUAUUAUUAUCAAUAUGUUCCAUGCAUAUAGCUAGGGAAGAAUGAUCUUUCAAAAUGAUCCAUCUUGAAUCUUGUUUAUUUCGAAGGAAAUUGGUCCAUCCUUACCUGGAUCUUCCAACCUGCCUGCAAAUGCCGACUCUGGUGACCUUCCACUGCAUGUUGCACCUGAAAAAAUUGCUCUAUUCUUAGAUCAAAUUAUUAGGGGAGGAUCCAAUAAUGACUUCUAUAAAGAGAUGUGAAAAUGAGAAAGAUGACAAAAUAGGUCAAAAUGAUGGUGUAGAAUUUUCAUCAAUUUCAGCAAGAGAUUCACCAAGAGCUAUAGCCGAGAAGAGAGUCUCUCAACUUUCAUUGGUUGCUUCAGAAGACUUUGCUGUUAUGGAGGCAUUAGUGGAACAUCUUAUUAUUUUUUAGUUAUCAAAAAAACCCUACCUUCCAGAUCCCAUGAUAAAAGACGAGAUAUAUGAUAUUGGACUCCCAUCUCAAUCAGUAGGAAAGGGCCCAAAAUCUCUCACCUUUUCUUUGUUGAUGAUCUAACUCUUUGUGCUGUUGCUAAUGAAAGAAACUGUGAAACCAUCCGAGCCACUCUUAGCAUCUUUACCUUCCACUCUAGCCAAAAAAUUAACAUUCUUAAAUCUAAAGUAAUCUUCUCUAGAAACUGUGCUCAGGAGACCAAAGAUAGUUUGUCUCACAUCUUAGGCAUCCAAUCCAAAGAAAAGUUCAGCAAAUAUCUUGGUUUUCCCGUCUUCAACAAAAAACCUUGCAAUAGAGAUUUGUAAUUCAUCCUAGACAAUCUCAACACUAAGUUGGCUGGAUGGAAAACCAAAUUUCCCAAUAUGACUGGUAGAAUCACCCUUACCAAAACCUCUCUGGCUUGUAAUCCCGCUCAUGUGAUGUAAUUCAUCUUGAUCCCCUUUAAAAUCAACUAAUUUAUUGAUAGAACCCAACAGACCUUUCUCUGGGGCACCACCCCUGAUAAUUAGAAAAUACAUCUAAUUAAUUGGGAAACCUUGAUUAAUGCUAAAGCUAAUGGGGGCCUGGGCCUCUAGAAAGCUUCCAUUAAGAACACCACUAUGUUAUCCAGUUUAGCCUGGAGAUUUUACAAACAUCCCAAUAGUCUCUGGGAAAAAAUUCUUUAAAAUAAAUUAGUCCCCAUGCCAUUUCCCUCAAAGCCAACAACUUUAGAACUUGGAAAAGUGUCCUUAUGGGUUGGGAAAUUUGUUAAACUGCCUCCUCUUGGAAUAUUCAUAAAGAUGAUAAGAUCAACUUCUGGAAGGAUAGAUGGAUGCCUCACUGUGAACUCCUUCUUUCCAUCAUCCAAGACCUUCUUCCAUAUCAUUCCCAAGACAUUAAACUCUAUGGGGUCUAAAGGAAUGACACCUGGAACUUCAAGGAUGUUACUUUUGAAAUCCAUGAGGAUCUCAUCCAAACUUUUACCAACAUUGAUUUCCCCAAUCCCAGAGGCCAUACUAAUGAGCUCAUUUGGAAUUUCACUGGUAAUUAUCUUUUCUCCAGCAGAAUUUCUUAUAAUCAUAUAGCCAAAACCUCUGAGAUCAAUUACUCCUCUAAUUUUAACUGGAUAUGGAAGGCUAAAUCCCCUAAAAAGGAAAACCUUUCUUUUGCUAAGCCAGUAUGAUAGGUACCCCAAUAACCUUAACCACUCUAAGAGAAGAGUGAGACAAAAUAGUAGUUGUGCUAUCUGCAAUCAUCACCAGGAAGACAAAUCCCACAUUUUCUUCAAGUGUCCCAUCCUCAAAUAUUUUGGAGUGCAAACUAUCCACAAGAUGACCCAGUCCAAACAACCUCCUAUUACUAGUCUCCUACCCUCUUACUGGCACACUAUCUGGAGAUCUCUUCAACACUCCCAAUUCAAUAGACUAAUCCACUAGCACGACAUUAUUCCUUUCGGCCUCUAGACAAUCUGGAACACCAGGAACUCUAAUACCUUUAAUAACAAAAGGGACCAUCCCAAUUUUAACUAUGCUUACUCCCAAACUAUUGAGUAUAAACAUCUUACUCAAAAGAAUACCCCAAUUAAGCAAAACCAAAUCAUCAACGUUAAGUGGAAUCCUCCCACCAGCCACACCUUCAAGCUCGAUACUGAUAAUUCUAGCCUUAGAAACCUCGAGAAGGGUGGAAUAGGAGCGGCAGUCAGAUCAAGUAAUGGAGGCUAAGUGUUAGGUUUGAACAAAAUUUAGCAAAUAAUUGAUGAGCUCUAAGGGUUUCCAACAAGAUUCAAAGAUGAUUCUCAUGGUCAUCCUCACUUCGAGAAUAUACAAGAAUAUCAUCUAUGAACACAAUAACAAAUAAAUACAGAUACCGCUUGAAGACUCGGUUCAUAAGAUCCAUGAAACCCGCUGGAGCAUUGGUUAACCCAAAAGACAUGACAAGAAACUCAAUAUGACCAUAGCGGGCUCGAAAAGAUGGCUUUGGAAUAUCACACUCUCUCACUUUAAGCGAAUGAUAGCCGGAUCUAAGGUCUAUCUCUGAGAAAUAACUUGCACCCUGUAGGUCAUCAAAUAAAUCAUCGAUUCUAGGAAGAGGGUACUUAUUCUUAAUAGUCACCUAGUUGAGUUGGUGGUAGUUAAUGCACAUACACAAUGUACCUUCUUUCUUCCACACAAAUAGAACAGGUGCAACCUACGGGGAAACACUGGGUCUGAUAAAGACUUUUUCUAAGAGGUCUUUGAGUUUCUCCGACAACUCUUUAAGUUCUGUGGGAGCCAUACGGUAUGGAGGGAUGGAAAUAGGCUGAGUUCCAGGAAGAAGAUCAAUCCUGAAUUCUAUUUCUCUAUCAGGUAGGACCCCUGGAAGGUCUUUCGGGAAAACAUUGGGAAACUCUUUAGCAAUGAUAACUGAACAAAUAGUUGGAGUCGCGAACUUAAGGUCUUUAACUCGAACUAGAUGAUAUAUACAACCCUUGGAAAUCAACUUCCUAGCUUUGAGGCAGGAUAUGAAAUGGCUCUUUGGAGUUAUAGAACUCCCAAACCACUCAAACCUAGGUUUGUUUCGAAACUAAAACUUGACCACUCAGGUAUGACAAUCUAUAGACGCAUAGCAUGAGUGAAACCAAUCUAUACCUAGAAUGACAUCAAAAUCAACCAUAUCUAUCUCAAUCAGAUCAACACAUAUGACCUGAUGAAGGACAGUAAUAGGACACUUCUUAUACACUCACAUAGCAAUAACAGACUCUCCUACCGGGGUAGAAACCAGAAUAGGUUCAGGAAUCCAUUCAGGGUCCAUCUCAAAAUUUAUAGAAACUAGAGGUGUCACAUAAGAGAAACUCAAACUGGGGUCCAUCAAUACAUACACAUCAAAAUGAAAGACACGGAGCAUACCAGUGACAACAUCUAGGGAAUCCUCCUACUCCUGGAGAAGUGGUAUAGCAUAGAAUCAAGUCUAGCGUGAACCACCAACAAUACUAGAAGAGGCACACUGAGGAGGAACUGGGUGGACUAUGGCAGCAGAGGCACUGGUAGCCUGACUCUGGGGACGAGCAUCUUGACCCCCUGUCUAGCAUACAGAUAAUCUCUAAGUCAGUGGCCCAACUUGCCACAACCAAAGCAAUAUCUCUGAUCAAUAAAACACUCACCAAAAUUAUCGCUACCAUACUUGGCAUAUGAAGGAGGACGAGGUAUGUUACUUACACUUUCUUGAGACGUGGAUGGGAUAGGCCUGUUCCCCUGCUCUUGCCUGCUUCUAGGUGCAGGAGCACUAACUGAGGAAGGUGCGGGCAUAAAUGAAAGUCUCUGGAACUGAAGGCGGUCCCCUUCAUAGAAUCUGGACUAACCGAAUACCUGCUACUCUGAUCUAGCUCUUUUAUUUUCUCUUACUCUCUCCCUCUCUUCCACCUUAUCAGCUUCAAUCUAUUGGGCAUGUAUCAUCAACCGAUAAAGGUUUAUCUUUCUAUUAAGCAUAGCAGAUUUACACUAUUUCAUAACGUAACUCAACACACUGGUCAUAAACUUACUCAUGAUGGUCCUGGAGACAGCCAUCAUACUAGGUGUAUAUUUGGACAACUGAUUGAAUCUAACACAAUACUCCUUAACAGUCAUGGAGCCUUGUCUCAAAUUUAUUAAUUCCUCUAUCUUUGCUUCCCUUAUCUCAAGAGGAAAGAAUUUGUCCAAGAACGCAUCUUGGAAUAACUGCCAAGUCAUGGGGCGGCAUCCUCCCCUCCACUUUCCCUCCAUACUUACACCCAAUCAUAUGCAAUAUCUUUCAUUCGAUAGGCAGCCAAUUCAACACUCUCCUCUUCAGUUAUGUGCAUAAUCUGGGUGAUCUUUCUCACUUCAUCCAAGUACAUCUGUGGGUCUUCACCUAUCUUUGACCCAUAGAACUCAGGAGGAUUCAUCUGCAUAAAGUCACAAAUCAAGCUGCAGCAGAAAUAAUCUCUUACGGAGGUGGAAUAGUAGCCUAGUUUUUAGCUUGAGUAUUGGCAGUAACUAACGAGGCUAGCACCUGAAAAUCUGCCCAGAAUUAUACAUGUGACACAUGCUCGUUCAGGGGUUCAACGGGUUGAGGUUGCUCAUUUUUUCUAUGAGCUCGAUAAGGAGGCAUUUUCUAUCAUAAGAGAGCAUGAAUUAAUAGCAGAGAGAAAUAGUCGUAGGACCGAUAGACUUUUGAAAGAAAAAAAUGACUUUUCCUAAAACGUCCCAUAGCCUCUUGCUCAUAUAUAUGGCACGCUACACAUCGAUGAUCACGACUCUACAUAACACGGCUUACCAGACUCCCUAGGACUCCUUAAACCAUAGGCCCUGAUACCAAGCUUGUAACACCCCAAGAUCCCAUCCCGAGACAUCACACGGUGCUAAAGGCCAUACGCGGCCUCAAGCUAACCCUCUAAACCUGUCAUUACUUUGAGAACUCACUUUUAAAAUAGUCAUGCUAAUAUAAUAGAGAAUGACAUAUCAUAAACAUACUGGAAUAAGUUACGAAACUAGCAUGUACAAUCUAAAAUACUGAAAUUCUGUACAUACUAACCCUUAAGCCUGACAAAGCCUCUAGACAUCAAAAUCAAGGAGACAUUGGGACAAACCCCCAACUGACUCACACAGUACUGAAAACCAUAAAAACAAAAUGGUAUCACAAAGUUAUAAACACAUUCCUCAAACUAUGAGGACUCACCACUGAGUAGACGAAAAGUGGCUCCUGAAUAUCGUUAACGCGGCUGUGUACCUGAACCUACAUUAUGAGAAAAUUUAGACCAUAGAAAAAUAUGUGGCUCAGCACUUUGAAAUGUACUGAGUAUGUCGGGGUGCAUGCAUAAUGUAAAUAUCGUCAUCAACUUCAUGAAAAUAUGCAUAUGUACAAUGAUGGCUUACUUGGCUUGAGUUAGAUUGAAACAUAAUUUUCAUGAUCUCACCGUAAAUAAAUCAUAUGAUAAAACCCUCAUAAAUCAUCAUAAACAACUCAACUAUUCAACUCAAGACUCGGAGUGACCUAUAAUUCAAGAAACUCGACUCUUAUGGACAUGGGAGGUUCUUAUAACUGACAUAAGCCAAGUGAGCUACAUGGAGUCCAACAUUUUGCCCUCCUAAGGAGAGAACCCCACAUUGACGAGAGCGUCAUACUCUUGACAGGGAGUACAACCUAAAUUAAGUGAUCACAAUCUCAUACUCGGCCAUCGACCCUCAAUUAUCAAUAUCAAUCCUACGGUGGAACAUAGUUUUGGGGGAAAUACAAUAUUUCCUAUUCGGUGCUAAAUACUACUCCCAGACAUAAGCUCGGAACGCAUUAGGAAAUCCACAACAAACAUCACAAGGGUCUAUCAUGAAGACCAAAUCAAAUCUCUUUCUCAUUUAUCAAAUCAUAAUCAAUAUGUGGAUUCCUAACUCGACUCAAAUCAAAUCAAUCUUUCUCAAUAUCAAAAUGCAUCAAUUCAUUAAGUCAUGGGAACAUCAAUAACUUUGAGAAAAUAUCAAGACUCAUUGUAACAACUCAAUUCUUAUGAAUCAAUAUACUCAAUAAUCCAAUUUGUCAUAAGGAAGCUUAAAGCUUGACACAUAUCUUGAAAGCACUUGAAAUACCAACUCAUGGUAGAAACUUGAAAUUCACAAUAUUAAAUAUCAAGUCAUAACUUGGAAAUUAUAAAAUAAUCAUGUAUAACAAAGCUUGAAAUAUUUAUAUUCUCAUAAUCUCAUGAUGAAGUAAUUUGGGUAUAAACCCACUUGCAAAAUUAUAUAAAUCCACUAUAAAAAUCAAAGCAUUGAGCACAAGAACGAAAGAAUUGCUCUUGUUCAAAACUCCACAUACCUUAAUCUUUGAAAUUGGUUGAACUAUAGUGCUUGAGACUUUACUCACACUUGUAAUAAAAAAAUUCUUGAUUCCCACUCUAUGAGGAACUUGAUUCUUGGAGGAAUCUUGAAGAUUUAUGGAUGAUUUUGUGGAGAUUAAUUUCCUUAAAUAAAACCCUAGAUAUAUUUCAUAAAAGAAUUAGAAGAGAGAAAUGAAGAAAUAAGGUUUUGGAUGACGAUUCUCAUAUAUAUAUAGGCCUCCGAAAAUAGGAAAUGACUAAAAUACCCUUGCAAAUAUCGUUCAUCAAUUGCUGAAAAAAAUAGCUGAUGAUAUCUGUGACAAGCUGUCAGGCCCGUGAUAGGUCUCCACCAAUUGUCAUCACAAAAAGGGUGGAUUUUGUGACGGGCCGUCAGGCUUUUGACAAGUCGUCACAAAAGGUCAUCACGAAUUCUCCAGGCUGACAUGCUGGAGUAAAAUAAGCAUAACUCUUUCCUGCGAUAUUGUAUUUUGACGAAAUGGGUAUCGUUGGCAAGAUAAUUCAAUUAUCUAUCUUUUGGUAGGUCAUUACCUCAAUAAUUCAUAGUACAACGGGAGAUAUGCUCAUUUGAAGUUGACUAUGCCAAAAUCCUUCUCAAGAAUUCAAUCAGUAAAGAAUGUUUUGAUUCACCCUAGCGUUAGGACAUCUUUAAAGUCUUAAUACACAUCACCCUUGACCAGAAAACAACCAAAACACUAUAAUUUAUUUCUUAUGGGCUUGUGUCAUUUCGGCAUUAUUGGUUAGAAUCUCGGGGUAUUACAUUAUUACUUUUAAUUAUCUUUGCUAUUUACCUUUCUACAAAUAUAAUGCAAAUUUAUCUUAUAAUGUUAUAAUUGAAUUUAAAUAAAAUAUUUGAGAUCAACCACAUAUAUUUGAUAGUAAAUUAUGUUUUAUUAUUAUUAUUAUUAUUAUUAUUAUCAUUAUUUUUAUUAUUAUUAUUAUUAGUAGUAGAUAGUUCAACUAUGAUUUUUUAAUUUUAAACUAAUGAAUUAUUUUUUUAAAUUUUCAAAGCCUACUAUUUUCAAAUUCAUAUAUUUCUAUUAACAUAGUGAAUUACUUAUGUAGGACUUAAUUACCUGCAUAACUCACUGCUAAACUAACUACCAAAAAAUACGCUACUACCUGCGUAAAUAAUAUAUAGAUAAUCCCUAAAUUAAAAAAAUCUGCAUCACUCUAAUUGAGGCCCUUUCAUUAUUUACUUACAGCUUCUUAGGUUUAAGUGGGUAAACAGAUGAAAAAAGAAAAGAAAAGACUCUCACAUCUAGUUUCUCCAGAAGCACCUCUUUAGAAGAAGGGUGUUGUUGAAGCAACUCAUUUUCAGAUUCAAGCAGUCUUUUGUUUUGUUCCUCCUCAGAAACAAAAGUAUGAGCCGGGGAAACCAUUUUUAUUUCUCACAGGAAAUGAAGAACAAGAAAAACACUGCAAUUUAAAACCAGGCUUUAAAUUUCAUAAACAAACUAUGAAAUCUUAAGAGCAAAAGGGGAAAAACAAAGUGCAAAAAGACCUCACCAGUAGUAGGAUACAAAGGAUGAGAGAGAGAGAGGAAGGAGGGUUAUAUUAAAAAUAGAACGAAUACAGUGGAGGUAGAGCACAUUUAUCAAAUAUUCUUUAAAAACACACUAGCUACAUCACCGACGUUUCAAAAUCAAGCCAAAGUUUUAUCCUGUUUAGAAAAAAAUUUCAAAGUGUGUGAGUAGGACUGAGGUUGUCUUAACUGCGUAAAUUGGUUUGCCCUCUUCAAAUCCUUAUUUUUAUAUUUCUUUUAAUUGAACACAAUUUUAAGAGGGCAAACUAAUUUACGCAGUUAAGACAACCUCAAUCCUACCCUCAUAUUAUGAAUUUUUUUCUAAAUAGCACAAAAAGUUGCCUUGAUUUUGAAACAUCGGUGAUGUAGCUGGUGUGUUUUUAAAUAAAUUUGAUAGAUGUGCUCUACCUCUACUGUAUUAGUUCCAUUUUUCAUAUAACCCUCCUUCCCCUCUCUCUGGUGCUUUGUAUCCUAGUACUGGUGAGGUCUUUUUGCACUUUGUUUUUCCCUUUUUUCUCUCAUGAUUUCUUAUUUUGUUUAUGAGAUUUAAAGCCUGGUUUUAAAUGUCCAGUGUUCUUCUAGUUCUUCAUCUUCUUUAAGAAAAGAAAAUGGCUACCCCGGCUCAUGCUUUUGUUUUUGAGGAGGAACAAAAUAAAAAGAUUGUUCGAAUCUGAAAAUGAGUUGCUUCAAUAUCACCCUUCUUCUAAAAAGGUGCUUAUAGGGAUACUAGAUGUGAGAGCCUUUUCUUUUCUCUUUCCAUCUGUUUACCCACUUAAAACUAAGAAGCCAAAAGUAAAUAACAAAGGGGCCUCAAUUAGAGUUAUGCAAGUUUUUGUACUGUAGGGAUUAUCGAUGUGGAAAUCUAUAUAUUAUUUAUGCAUGUAUUAACGUAUUUCUGGGUAGUCGAUUUAGCAUUGAGUUAUGCAGGUAAUUAAGUCCUACAUUGUUAAUAUUAAAAUAUUAGUAGUUGUUUUAGCCUAUGUUUACUCCUAUUAACAUAGAAUAACCCUCGAGACCGCAAAGAAGGCCCAUAAAAACCUAUCUACCAAAUAGAUGGCUCUGUAGCCUUUCUCAACUAGUUUGAUGGCCCACUUUUAGGGCCCAAUUAUGGAUGAACAUGGUUAUGCUAUUCAAGAAAAUUAUAGUAGUACUAUUGGGACUUUGGAUUAAAAGGGACAAAUAAGUUGUCUAGUUAAGUAACAAUCCUUCAAGUUUUUAAAAUUAGGUGGGAGGGACAAAAUUAUUUUGAUUUUUUUUUUUAGGUUUUUUCAUUCCAACAACUUCUCCCAAUUGUCAAACAACUUUGAUAGUUGUUCGACAACUUCUAGCAGUUGUUCAACAACUGUGUGAAGUUGUUGAGACAACUAAUGUAGUUGUCGAACAACUAUCCAAGUUGUUCAAAUGACUUAAUUUUUUUCAAAGGGAUAAGUUGCGGGAUCCACUUGUCCCCUUUUCUUAAUUGGAAACUUGGGAGGUCUAUUGAUUCAUUUUCCUCACUUAAGUUUUUAAUUUGUAUAUAUCAUGAAGUAGUUAGCUUAUAUUUACGUUGUAAAUUGUAAUAUUAAGUGUAGAGAUAUCCUAAAUACGUUUAGUACAUCAAAGGGAGCUACUCGCAAACAUUAUGCAAUUCAAUUUGUCGCAAGAAGAACUUAAUCAUCACACAAAUACUUAUUGGUUCCGAAUAUUUACCCCUAAUCAAUGAUUUUAAUUCUAAUGAUUUAAUAAUAUAAGAUCAUUCAAUCAUGAUAAAAAAAUAAAAAUUUAUAAAAGAUAUUAUCUUGUAAUAGUGGGUAUAAGGAGAGGUGGAUGUAGGCUGAGGAGGUCUUGGUAAUGGUGAUUACAUUAGGUAUUUGUAGCUUUUCGAGAAUAUGAUCUAGUUAUAAAAAUACGGAGAUCAAGGAUGUGGUUAGUGGGUGGCUGAGCGUUGUCUAAUUUCCCUAUUAAGUAGUAUUUUUGUUAUUACUUUCAUACUAUCUUAUUCUUCUAUAUUAGAAUAAUUUGUUUAUUUUUAAGUUCAGUUAUCAUAUUAAUUGUUUGUCGUUGCUACCAUUUUCAGAUUUACAAUUUUAUUUCUUUUACAUGCCUAAUUUUUUUUUAUAUGUUUUACUUGAGUCGAGAGUUGAGAGUCAAUUGAGAACAACCUCUCUAUCUUCACAAGGCAGAAGUACAUGUCCAUGCUACCUCUCCAAACUCCACAUGUAAUAUUAUGUAUGUUAUUAUUGUAUAUAUCUUGAAUUGAUAGAUCAAAUGUAAAUACCCAAUGUUGAGGUAUACUUAUACCCAUUGGCGGAGGGAUGAUCUUAGAAAAAGGGUGAUUUGAUGCACAUCUUUUAUCAAAAGAUUAUAUAGUGUACAGAAGGUUGAUAUUAGCUAUUAUACGUCUAUAUUAAAUUUUGUACAUCCUUAACACAACUAAAAAGAAAAUAUGCACACUCCUCGUCAAAUUUCUGACAACGACACUACUACUGCCUCAACUAUGUACGUGUAAAGAUGAUGCUAUAUAGCAUUUGUCAUUUGCAUGACGCCCAAACCCUUUUAUCAGUGGACCUACCCAACCUGUCACCUCAUUUUCUGCUUUUAUAAUUGCAUACCCUUCCAAAUUUCAUACACCAUCCAUUUCAUUUUAAUUAGANNNNNNNNNNNNNNNNNNNNNNNNNNNNNNNNNNAUUAAAUUUUAAAAUAUAAUUUAUAUUAUAUUUUUUACUUUAUAAUUAAUAUAAUUUAAUGACCGAUAUAUUAAAUAUAUUUUAUUAAAAAAUUGUAUAAUUAUUAAAGUUCUUAAUCACAUGAUUAGAUAAUUUUUUUUAAAAAUUAUUUGUAUGGAAGAAAGUACUACAGGAGAAUUAGAAUAUAAUAAGAGACACAAGUAAUUUAAUAUAUACAACAACAACAAUAACAACAUACCUAGUGGAUUCCCACAUAGAGGGGUCUGGGGAAGGGUAGAGUGUACGCAGAUCAUACCACUACCAAAGAUGAAGUUGAGAGUCUGUUUCCGACAGACCCCUGGCUUAGGACCGAUAGCAGUAUAACAAACACAAAACAUAAACGCAUAAAAACUAGUACAGUCUGCAAAAUAAACUAAUGUCACUAGCCAUAAGAUAAUACUACAGUCACAAGAUAAUACUAAAACUAUCUAUCUGAAAUCAUAGACAUCACUCAACCCUUAUUGAUUACCAAGUUCAUCACCAACAACCUAUGUUUAGUCAAAAGAUUAUCUCUAGGUAUGACUUUACAAUCUUUAUAUAAUGUUCUAUCACUCUUCUUAAGGAGCUAAAAGUCUAUAUAAGUCUUGGCCAUUGAACUACAAAACAUUUCUAAAAUCUCAAAUUCGUUAUCCACAACCCAAAAGCCCUAGAAAAAUCCAAAAGAGAAGAUCUUCCUUUAUUCCUCUACCCAAAAUCGAAAUCUCCAUGCAAUCUCAUUCAAAACCUCCAAAAGCCCUUCUUCUCCUCCUCGUCCAAACCUAAUUGCAGAGCAUAAACAAUAAUAACGUUCACCGUAGUUCCUCCCAUGACCAACUUAAUAGACAUCAACCUAUCACUUACUCUUUUAACCUCUACCACCUGCUCCCUAAGUUCUUCAUCUACUAAGAUACCUACCCCAUUUCAAUGUCUCAUGCUACCCGAGUACCAUAACUUAUAUCCAUCCACAUCUCUCACCUUAGUGCCUACCAUUUAGUUUUAUGGACAUACGCUAUACUAACCCUUCAUUUUCCAAGAAUCUUCACCAAUUCUAUAGACUUACCUUAAAGCGUCUCUAUGUUCCAGGUCCCAAUUUUCAACCUAUAAGCACCUUUAUACAACUUCGCCCUACUAUCUCUCGCCCUCAACCCAAGACUAGAACCUAGACGCAACCCCAACCCCGACCUCGACCUAUGAAAUGACCCUAGUCCAUCAUCUAUCACCACUUAAAAGGAUAUGAUAGAAGAAAAUAAAGAAAAAAAGAUGAAAAACACGAUGAGCAAAAGAGUAUGACUAAAAAUAGCUAAAUCAGCAAACAAAAACCAGUAAGAAGGAUUGAUACUCCCAAGCAACAACAAGUACUAUACUACUCACAAGCAAUGAACACCUACUAAGUUAUGGAGAAACCGUAACCAGUAAUCCCACAGGAAUAAUUUAAAAAAUUACAUAAGAAAUCAGGAUAGAAAAAGAGACAAGAAACAUAUACCAAAUAAACUAGAGAAGACUGAAAUGAGUGCACCAGAUACUGGGAGAAGACAUAGUGAAAGACGUUUUCCUGAUUGUUUUAUUGAAUUUUGGCUAAUUGGUGCAGAAAUUGGUAGUCAGAAUUUGUUGCCACCACCUUUACCCUACUGCUGGUACCGAAUCCCUGUACUUGGUCGCCGGAGAAUAUGCUGGUUGCCAAAACAAUGAGCAAGACUGUAACGCCCCGAAAAAUGGGUCCUGGAGCAUCACACGGUGCUUGAGGCUACGAGUAGCCCCAAGCUAACCCUUUGAGCCAUUUCUAUUCAGUUUAUCACAAAUCAACGGGGUUUCCAUAAAUAACCCUCAAAUAUCAAUAGAGUAAUCAUCGUUCAAAAAUAAAAGAAUUUCAGAAAGAUAACAAAAUAUGACUUAUUAGUCAACUCCCUACAUCUAUACUAGUCUGACAAGCCUCUAAGAAAAUCAAUAAAACUAGUGAGCCAUUGAGACAUGCCCCAACUAACUCAUACUCAGUUAUCAAAUGUAAACAAUUCCGUGAAACCAACAUCAGACAUCACGUCCUCAGAACAUGAGAAGCGUGCCCAAAGAAUCACUGUCGAACCUGGAACUUAGCACCUGAACCUACAUUCUGAGAAAAUGCAGCCCACAUCUAAAGAUGUGGGUCAGUACCAUGGAAAGGAACCGAGUAUAUAGGGGUGUAUGCAGUUGUAUAAACAUCAUCAUCAUAAAUAUUUAUAAGAAAUAUGCAGGAUAUAUGAAAGACUCACAUAGCUCGGAGAAAAUCAUCAUAAUCAUGAGAGAAUGAAAUAAGUACAAUAACACAUGUGAUUCAUUAUAUAGUUUGUCAAUAACUUUCAGUUCAUCAAGAAUAUCAAUUCUCAUAAUGUAAAUAUCAUUUAAAUCUUUCGAAAGAAUAACUUUUACAAUUCCACUUUCAAAUCAUUUCACCAUUCACCAUAGACACAAGGACACACACACACACUGGGGAUCCUAUAACCGACAUAAACCAUGUGAGCUACAUGGAGUCCAACGUACAANNNNNNNNNNNNNNNNNNNNNNNNNNNNNNNNNNNNNNNNNNNNNNNNNNNNNNNNNNNNNNNNNNNNNNNNNNNNNNNNNNNNNNNNNNNNNNNNNNNNNNNNNNNNNNNNNNNNNNNNNNNNNNNNNNNNNNNNNNNNNNNNNNNNNNNNNNNNNNNNNNNNNNNNNNNNNNNNNNNNNNNNNNNNNNNNNNNNNNNNNNNNNNNNNNNNNNNNNNNNNNNNNNNNNNNNNNNNNNNNNNNNNNNNNNNNNNNNNNNNNNNNNNNNNNNNNNNNNNNNNNNNNNNNNNNNNNNNNNNNNNNNNNNNNNNNNNNNNNNNNNNNNNNNNNNNNNNNNNNNNNNNNNNNNNNNNNNNNNNNNNNNNNNNNNNNNNNNNNNNNNNNNNNNNNNNNNNNNNNNNNNNNNNNNNNNNNNNNNNNNNNNNNNNNNNNNNNNNNNNNNNNNNNNNNNNNNNNNNNNNNNNNNNNNNNNNNNNNNNNNNNNNNNNNNNNNNNNNNNNNNNNNNNNNNNNNNNNNNNNNNNNNNNNNNNNNNNNNNNNNNNNNNNNNNNNNNNNNNNNNNNNNNNNNNNNNNNNNNNNNNNNNNNNNNNNNNNNNNNNNNNNNNNNNNNNNNNNNNNNNNNNNNNNNNNNNNNNNNNNNNNNNNNNNNNNNNNNNNNNNNNNNNNNNNNNNNNNNNNNNNNNNNNNNNNNNNNNNNNNNNNNNNNNNNNNNNNNNNNNNNNNNNNNNNNNNNNNNNNNNNNNNNNNNNNNNNNNNNNNNNNNNNNNNNNNNNNNNNNNNNNNNNNNNNNNNNNNNNNNNNNNNNNNNNNNNNNNNNNNNNNNNNNNNNNNNNNNNNNNNNNNNNNNNNNNNNNNNNNNNNNNNNNNNNNNNNNNNNNNNNNNNNNNNNNNNNNNNNNNNNNNNNNNNNNNNNNNNNNNNNNNNNNNNNNNNNNNNNNNNNNNNNNNNNNNNNNNNNNNNNNNNNNNNNNNNNNNNNNNNNNNNNNNNNNNNNNNNNNNNNNNNNNNNNNNNNNNNNNNNNNNNNNNNNNNNNNNNNNNNNNNNNNNNNNNNNNNNNNNNNNNNNNNNNNNNNNNNNNNNNNNNNNNNNNNNNNNNNNNNNNNNNNNNNNNNNNNNNNNNNNNNNNNNNNNNNNNNNNNNNNNNNNNNNNNNNNNNNNNNNNNNNNNNNNNNNNNNNNNNNNNNNNNNNNNNNNNNNNNNNNNNNNNNNNNNNNNNNNNNNNNNNNNNNNNNNNNNNNNNNNNNNNNNNNNNNNNNNNNNNNNNNNNNNNNNNNNNNNNNNNNNNNNNNNNNNNNNNNNNNNNNNNNNNNNNNNNNNNNNNNNNNNNNNNNNNNNNNNNNNNNNNNNNNNNNNNNNNNNNNNNNNNNNNNNNNNNNNNNNNNNNNNNNNNNNNNNNNNNNNNNNNNNNNNNNNNNNNNNNNNNNNNNNNNNNNNNNNNNNNNNNNNNNNNNNNNNNNNNNNNNNNNNNNNNNNNNNNNNNNNNNNNNNNNNNNNNNNNNNNNNNNNNNNNNNNNNNNNNNNNNNNNNNNNNNNNNNNNNNNNNNNNNNNNNNNNNNNNNNNNNNNNNNNNNNNNNNNNNNNNNNNNNNNNNNNNNNNNNNNNNNNNNNNNNNNNNNNNNNNNNNNNNNNNNNNNNNNNNNNNNNNNNNNNNNNNNNNNNNNNNNNNNNNNNNNNNNNNNNNNNNNNNNNNNNNNNNNNNNNNNNNNNNNNNNNNNNNNNNNNNNNNNNNNNNNNNNNNNNNNNNNNNNNNNNNNNNNNNNNNNNNNNNNNNNNNNNNNNNNNNNNNNNNNNNNNNNNNNNNNNNNNNNNNNNNNNNNNNNNNNNNNNNNNNNNNNNNNNNNNNNNNNNNNNNNNNNNNNNNNNNNNNNNNNNNNNNNNNNNNNNNNNNNNNNNNNNNNNNNNNNNNNNNNNNNNNNNNNNNNNNNNNNNNNNNNNNNNNNNNNNNNNNNNNNNNNNNNNNNNNNNNNNNNNNNNNNNNNNNNNNNNNNNNNNNNNNNNNNNNNNNNNNNNNNNNNNNNNNNNNNNNNNNNNNNNNNNNNNNNNNNNNNNNNNNNNNNNNNNNNNNNNNNNNNNNNNNNNNNNNNNNNNNNNNNNNNNNNNNNNNNNNNNNNNNNNNNNNNNNNNNNNNNNNNNNNNNNNNNNNNNNNNNNNNNNNNNNNNNNNNNNNNNNNNNNNNNNNNNNNNNNNNNNNNNNNNNNNNNNNNNNNNNNNNNNNNNNNNNNNNNNNNNNNNNNNNNNNNNNNNNNNNNNNNNNNNNNNNNNNNNNNNNNNNNNNNNNNNNNNNNNNNNNNNNNNNNNNNNNNNNNNNNNNNNNNNNNNNNNNNNNNNNNNNNNNNNNNNNNNNNNNNNNNNNNNNNNNNNNNNNNNNNNNNNNNNNNNNNNNNNNNNNNNNNNNNNNNNNNNNNNNNNNNNNNNNNNNNNNNNNNNNNNNNNNNNNNNNNNNNNNNNNNNNNNNNNNNNNNNNNNNNNNNNNNNNNNNNNNNNNNNNNNNNNNNNNNNNNNNNNNNNNNNNNNNNNNNNNNNNNNNNNNNNNNNNNNNNNNNNNNNNNNNNNNNNNNNNNNNNNNNNNNNNNNNNNNNNNNNNNNNNNNNNNNNNNNNNNNNNNNNNNNNNNNNNNNNNNNNNNNNNNNNNNNNNNNNNNNNNNNNNNNNNNNNNNNNNNNNNNNNNNNNNNNNNNNNNNNNNNNNNNNNNNNNNNNNNNNNNNNNNNNNNNNNNNNNNNNNNNNNNNNNNNNNNNNNNNNNNNNNNNNNNNNNNNNNNNNNNNNNNNNNNNNNNNNNNNNNNNNNNNNNNNNNNNNNNNNNNNNNNNNNNNNNNNNNNNNNNNNNNNNNNNNNNNNNNNNNNNNNNNNNNNNNNNNNNGGUAAGUGAUCAUCUCAAGUUCUCUUAAAGUCAAGUGCACAAGCUCUCAACAUAUCCUCUAAGGUCUGGAUGGUCCUCUCAGCCUGACCAUCGGUCUGCGGAUAAAAAGUAGAACUCAAAAGAACUUGGGUACCAAAACCCUUGUGAAAAACUUUCCAAAAUUGCGAUGUGAACUGAGUACCCCUAUAUGAAAUGAUAGACAAGGGAACUCCAUGCAGACUGACUAGCUCUCGGAUAUACAAUCUAGCGUAAUCCUUAGCAGUAUAUGAAGUAUGACUGGCAAGAAAUGAGUAGACUUAGUCAACCUAUAAACCACAACCCAAAUGGAAUCAUGAUGGCAUCGGAAAGGAGGUAAACCAAUCACGAAGUCCAUAUUUAUCUCUUCCCACUUCCAGGUGGGAAUACAAAACUCUUGCAUCAUACCACCAGGUCUUUGGCGUUCAACCUUAACCUAUUAGUAUGUUGCACACUUAGCUACAAACGCUGUUAUAUCUUCCUUCAUGCCACUCCACCAAUAGAUUUCCCGAAAGUCUCGGUACAUCUUGGUGGCACCAGGAUAAAUAGAAUAUCGCGCCCCGUGCACUUCAGCCAUAAUCCUCUAUCUCAGAUCAUCAACAUUCAGGACACACAAUCUACCCUGCAAUCUCAACACAUCAUCUCUCCCUUGGAAGAAAGCCUCUACUUUUUGGUCCUUGAUUGACUCCUUCAGUCUGACCAAACUAGCAUCUAAGUAUUGCUUUUCCUUCACUUCCGAAACCAAGGAGGAUUCGGAACUACUAUGAACCCCUAUACUACCUUCAGUAGAGUCAAACAACCUAACCCCCAAUCUAGAAAAACGAUGUACAUCACGAGCCAACUCUUUCUUACCUUCUACCACAUGCGAAACCCAUGGACACUCUACUUAGGGCAUCCGCCACAACAUUUGCCUUGCCCGGAUGGUACAUCACACUCAUAUCAUAGUCUUUUAACAAUUCUAACCAUCGUCUCUGCCUAAGAUUUAAUUCUCUCUGGGUAAAUACAUACUGUAGACUCUUAUGAUCAGUGAAAACAUCAACAUGGAGACCAUACAAAUUGUGUCUCCCUAUUUUCAAAGCAAACACAAUAGCAGCCAAUUCAAGGUCAUGGUUGGGGUAAUUUUUCUUAUGGGGUUUCAACUGUCUAGAAGCAUAUGCUAUCACCUUACCCUUCUGUAUCAAUAUGCAACCCAAUCCAACUCUCAAAGCAUCACAGUACACCACAAAACCAUCAACACCAUCAGGCAAAGUCAAGACAGGGGCUGAAGUGAGUCGAGCCUUCAACUCCUAAAAACAAGAACUUCACUUUCUUUUGGGUCAACCGAGUCAUAGGCGACGCUAUAGAGGAGAAACCCUCAACAAAAUGGCGAUAAUAUCCAGCUAAACCCAAGAAACAUCGGAUAUCAGUCGAAGAAAUAGGUCUAGGCCAAUUUCUAACAGCUUCGGUCUUUUGGGGAUCAACCCUAAAUACUCUCAAAAGAAAUGAUAUAACCUAGAAAAGCAACUGACCUUAGCCAAAACUCACACUUACUAAACUUGGCAAACAACUUGUGAUCUCUAAGGGUUUGCAAGACAGUUCGGAGAUGAUCAGAAUCUUCAUCCUCACUACGGGAGUACACCAGUAUAUCAUCGAUGAACACUAUGACAAACAUAUCUAGAUAUGGUCUGAACACUCGAUUCAUGAGGUCCAUGAAAGCUGCUGGGGCAUUAGUUAACCUGAAAGACAUAACAAGAAACUUAAAAUGGCCAUAACGAGUUCGGAAAGGGGUUUUUGGAAUGUCACACUCCCUAACUUUGAGUUGAUAAUAGCCGGAACGAAGGUCUAUCUUUGAGAAAUAACUUGCACCUUGAAAUUGGUCAAACAAAUCAUCUAUUCUUGGAAGGGGGUACUUUUUUUUUAUGGUGACUUUAUUCAAUUGGCGGUAGUCAAUGCACAUAUGCAAAGAGCCAUCUUUCUUUCUCACAAACAACAAGGAGCAUACUUUAAGCACGAUAGACUUCUGAAAGAAAGAAUCACACUUUUUCCUAAAAUGUCUUGUAGCCUCUUGCUCAUAGAUGUGGCGCGCUACAUACCGAUGAUAAAGACUCUACUUAACGCAGUUUGUCAGACUCCCUUGGACACCUUAAAACCUUAGGCUCUGAUACCAAGUUUGUAAUGCCCUGGAAAACGGGUCCCAGAGCAUCACACAGUACUUGAGGCUAUAUUUCGAGAAAAUACAGCCCACAUCUGAAGAUCUGGAACUGAGCACUCGAACCUACAUUCAAAGGAAAUACAGCCCAUAUCUGAAGAUGUGGGUCAGUACCAUGGAAAGGAACCAAGUAUAUGGGGGUGUAUGCAGUUGUAUAAACAUCGUCAUCAUAAAUAUUUAUAAGAAAUAUGUAGGAUGUAUGAAAGACUCACAUAGCCCGAAGAAAAUCAUCAUAAUCAUGAGAGGAUGAAAUAAGUACAAUAACACAUGUGAGUCAUCAUAUAAUUUGUCAAUCACUUUCAGGUCAUCAAUUCUCAUAAUGUAAAUAUCAUUUAAAUCUUUCGAAAGAAUAACUUUCAUAAUUCCACUUUCAAAUCACUUCACCAUUCACCAUACAUAUAAGGAAACACACACAUACUGGGGGAUCCUAUAACUGACAUAAACCAUGUGAGCUACAUGAAGUCCAACGUACAACUCACGUUGGGGAGAGCCGUCCUAUCCUUGCCAUCAGAGUAGGACUAUCAAUAUCAAAUCCACACAAACUAGUGAUCACUAUAUAAAUCAACCUCAGGCUCACUACUAUGGGGGCACGUAGUUCUAGAAAAGUACGGUUGCUUUAUACCUCUCCAUCGGUGCUAAAGAUUUCUUCCAGAAUUAGGUAAGANNNNNNNNNNNNNNNNNNNNNNNNNNNNNNNNNNNNNNNNNNNNNNNNNNNNNNNNNNNNNNNNNNNNNNNNNNNNNNNNNNNNNNNNNNNNNNNNNNNNNNNNNNNNNNNNNNNNNNNNNNNNNNNNNNNNNNNNNNNNNNNNNNNNNNNNNNNNNNNNNNNNNNNNNNNNNNNNNNNNNNNNNNNNNNNNNNNNNNNNNNNNNNNNNNNNNNNNNNNNNNNNNNNNNNNNNNNAAAAAAAUACAAUUUCCAAUGGGGAUUCACGACCCAAAUAUCAAAAUCAUGAUAAAUAUCGUUCAAGAUUCAUGCUUUAUAUCUCCACACAUGUAAAUUCAUAUUUUAAAAUCAUAAACAUCAAGAUUUCAUAAUAAUCAUCAUAAGAUAUAGGUUCAUGCUUCAAAUUUGUAAAAAUCAAAUAAAAAUCAUGCCUUUGUAAAGAAAAUUACUUUUGGGCACAAGAAUGAAAGAGAGUUCUUGUUGAAAAACCCCACAUACCUUGAAUGAUGAACUUUAGAUCGAUACUCAUUUUUGAGAUGUUAAUCGUGCCUUUGAAUGAUGGUUCUUGGAGUUCUUGAACUAGGAACUUGGAAUCUUGAAUAAAUUUGCAGAAUUAAUGGUGAACUUUGGAGGUUCUUGAAGCUGGAUAUAGGAGCUUAGGGUUUUCUUUUUGAGGGAAUUUGAUAAAAUAAAACAUAUAAUGCUUCUAAUAGGAUUUAAUAUAGGGUUUGGACGGAUUUUGGGUGAAGGGGAAUCACCAAAACGCCCCUAAAAAUAAAAAAAAUUCUCGAAUCUGUCCUCUGGUGGACUGUUUUGAUAGUAUGAAGUAGAUCAACCAUAACGUUUUACUCCGCUAUCCAAAUUGGAUGAAACCAAUUUCAUUAGAAAGAGGACUCUCAUAUCUUUCCAUUUAUAUAUAUUAUCUCACCCAGAUCAUUGUGUAUGAGGAGUUAUGAUCGUUUGAAGUUGACCUAAAAAUUCGCUUUUGAUAGGCUGAAGUAGAUCGACCAUAACUUUUUGCUCCGAUAGAAAAAUUGGAUGAAACCAAUUUUAUUGGAAAGAGGACUCGUAGAGAUUUCCGUUGAUAUAGAUCAUUAUGUACAAGGAGUUAUGAUAAUUUAAAGUUGAAGGAAAAAUACGCCAGGCCUCAGUACUUUUUCCUGCAGGUUUUACUGUUCACUACUAUUCAUGGUUUGAUCGGAAUGUUCAUAACUAAUCGCUCGGGUGUCCGUUUUGGAUGAUCCACAUAUCGUUGGAAAGAAUAUUCAAUACUAUACAUAAUGAUGGGUAAUAAUCUAAGACAUUCCACACAAAAAAUUUAUAAUUCAUUCUACAAAAUAGAACCCAACACGUUUACGCACAAAAUUUCAACAAAAAUUUUCUGGGGUAUUACAAAGACACCGGAAUCUUGAUAUCGCCGCCUGAAGUGCAGAUCUGAACUUGAAGUGCCUGAAAAGGGUUAUAAAGAAAAUAAAAGAGAAGAAAAGAAAAGCAACGAUCAAAUUGCCAAAAAUUAAUGUCACUGACCAAAAACUGAUGUGGUUGUUGAGCCACAGAGAUAGGCUGUCGAAAAAGUUGCUAUCGUUUUAGUGGUCGGAGGAAGAAGCGAGAGAGCAAAACAUGACGAUUGUGCCAAAAUCUGAUGGGGUCGACGAAAAUGAUAAGGUCAUCGGGACGUGUUUAUGGUGGCCGACACAAGUAAUUUACCGGUGGUGGAUUGGUAGUUCUCUGCUAUCGCCAGAAUCUUCAAGACACAAAGAGAUAGGAUAAUUUUGUUGGCGCUGUCGAUUGAAAAAUUGCAAGAUGCUAUACCCUCAACAUAUAUGACAACUAUUAAUGUCAUCAAUUUAACUUGAGACGCCCGUUCAGUAAAAUAACAUGACAAUAUUUUAAUAAUUACAAUUCAAUGCUGAUUAAAAAUAGAAAAACAUUGAUUUCAAUGAAUUUAUGGGUACAAAAUUUCUCAGUUAUAAAUAGAAAUAAAUUUAUUUUAAUAUUUAUUAUUUUAUUUUCACCUAUAAUUUCAUGUGACAAGAGUUGUAAAAUUCGUUGUUUUCAUCUAAUACAACAAAGUACUUCAAUCAUUUCAGACAACCUUCAAAAAUAUUCUAUUCAUUCUACUCUAAUUAUUGAUUUAUGCUUUUUCAUGUUUGAUAAGAAAAAUAAUACAUGCAUUGUACUAUUUAUUAUUGAUUAAGUUAUCAAAUUUAAUACUCCCUCCGUUUCACAAUAAGUGAAUUAUUGGAUUAAUUUUAGUGUUUCAAAAUAAGUGAAUGAUUCACAAUUCAAGGUAUGUUGGAAAUUUUUCCCAAAUUUACUCUCCAUUAAAUGUGCACUGUGAGUGAUGUAUCAUGUGUCUUUGCUUUUUGAAGAGGGUAAAAAUGAAAAAACAUGAUAAAUUUAUGUCUUUGCUUUUUUUUUUCCUUAACAUGUGUGCCGAUAUGGAUUUUCUUCGUAAUUCGAAGGCCGUUAAUAACAUAUUUCUUGAACGUAGAAAUAUUUGAAUCUGAUCUCCAUAAAAGAAGGGUUUAUGGAUCUUCUUGAUAUAUUUGAUUAGCAAAAAGGGAGUGAUAUUCAAUGAGUUUAUGAAAUUAUCAGGAGAUGAUUAAUCUCUUUAUUAAGGGUUUAAAGUAGAGUAGCCACCAAGUUAGGUUUAGCGUAAAGUAACCCCUAAUAACUCUAACAAAAAUUGAAUUCUUAUUAUAGACUUCACAAAAUUCUGAUGUCUAUAAACGCUUGGAAUUGUCAGGUAUUGUCAGACAUUAUGACUACAAAAUCCUUUGCUGAAAUAUCAAAAUAUAAUUAUUUUUCUUCUUUGAGAUGAUGAAUGAAGUACGUGUUAAUUUAGUGGAGUCACUUAUCUCAAGUCUUUCGUGCGGCAUACCAUGAAAUCAUAAAACUACAUCAAGCUAGGAGAAGAGAAAAGCAAUAACAAAAAUACCAUAUUUAGCACAUUAUCAUAGCUCAAACUCGUGACCCCCUGAUCACAUGGAAGGAACUAUCCACAAUAAUUCAGACAAAUACUUCUCAUAGAAAAUGUCACGACCCGAACCAGGGCCUGGCCGUGAUGAGGAUUUCGAACCAUUGUGGCCCGAAACACCCCUAUCUAUCUGGUAAUCAUGCACCUAAUUCAUAUGAUCAAAGAAAUACGGAAAAACACAAUAAUUCAGAAACAUGGUCAUAAAUAUGAAAAGAGACAAUAACGGGGAGAUAAGGUUCCCUCAACAUCAAUUAUCCUCUAAACAAUUGUCUACAAAAAUCUCUAAUAAAUGACUGAAACAAUGUCUAUCUGAAAACUGAGACAAGGCCCACAGUAGACCCUAAAACUGAAUAUAAGAUAAAAGGACUGCAGGACAUAAGACCUUUCGAAACAUAGAAGGCUCACCACUUGUCUUUACAGCUCUGUCUGAAAGUUCUACUGAUUCUCUUAACCCCUAGACUGGGCCUCUGAACCUGAGAGGUUGGAGAGGGGAGGGGGGUCAGCACAAAAGUACUGGCACGUAGAGAUAUCAAAGCAAAACAUAAUAUUUUUACACUAUAUAGUUUAGAGACAUUAUAAAGCAAUUCCAUAUCAAAUCAUUUGAAAACACAUGGGUGUAAUGCAACAGUUUUUCUCAACAAUAAUGAAAUGCAACUGAGCUAGGUGGAAUACCCUACAUAAUUUACACCAACUGUCAAACUUCAGUUGCCGCCGAGAUUAGAGUAUAAGUGAGGGAGAGACACUCAAGACCACACAGCAUGGUGUCUCAACCCAAUGGUAGCGCCCAAGAUCACUUGGCUCGGGCUCCUACCUAUAGUACCAAUUUGGAAUUGACAUAAAGUCAAGUACACAAAAUCAGUUAGCCUGGUACCAAUAUUUCGUAUCGGCAAACACGUUUUUCCAGUGAUGACCCCUUGUGUCUCAAAGGCCUUCUUCAGGCAUCCACCUAUCUCAUGUAAAAUCAAUGCAUUCAAACUUCAUUUAAUUCAAUCAUGUAUCGUGUUCUGUAGGGUAUCAUCAUACCUGACUUGCAAGUCAUCAAUAUCACAUCUACAUAUGCAUAACCAUGUAAAAACCAAGGUGCUUCAUCAUUUAAAAGUUGUGAACAAUAUUUAUUUCAAAUUCAUGCUCUCUUUUGUUGAUCAUAAUAUAAUAUGGAGUAUCGAAACAUUAUCAUGGGAAUUUGAAAACAAUUUAUCAUUCAUAUUUAUCAAACUUCCAUGGAAAAUCUCAAAUCACACAUGCAUGGUUUCAACCAUUGAAGUAAAGAAAGAUGACUUAUAAAUCAUAUUGAAAGCAACUUAUUAGCAUUUGAUUGAAAACCCCCAUUUAAAAGCAUGCAUGUUCAUAAAAACUGCACCCAUGAGAUUUAAGGAUAACCCCACGUACCUCUAUUUCCAAGGAUAAUAGAUGUUUCUUGAAGCUGGCGGAUUGGUGAUUCCAAAUAUGUAAUUAUUUUUGAAAACCUACGGUCAAAUCUUGAACUAGUUAGGUUUUUAUUUUGAAACCCAAAGGAGAAUCUUGAGCACUUUUGAAGAAAGAAUAUGUAUUUUGGGGUCCUUGGAACUAAAUCUCGUGUUUUAGGGCUUAGUAAGGGUGGAAAAGGACCACUUUGUCCUCAACACAGAGUGUUUAAAUCACCAGAAUUCCUAACAUACGCGCCGCCCAUCCCGUUGCCUAUGUUCACAUAGGAGCCGCCUAGGAUAUCGCCUAUGUUUGCAUAGGCGUCACCUAGGCUAUCGCCUAUGUUUACAUAGGCGCCGCCUAGGCUAUUGCCUAUGCUUUUUAGUGGGCAUGGGCUAUUGGUUAGGCGACGCUUAUCACUUUGAAGGGCCAUAACUUCUUGCUCGGGUGUCGGAUUUUAGCCAAAUUAGUAUCAUUGGAAAGCUAACUCGAAUACCUAUUAUUUGACACAUAGUAGGCUUCCAAAUUCGAAAUAUACAAAGAUUUAUGGUCGAUGGAAGCUGACACACUUUACAAUGUCAACUAAAACUUAGUCGGUCGAAAUAGUUUCAACUCUUCCUUGAGUUGAAGGACCUCUAUGGUCUAAAUUCAAGCUUGAGCGGAUUCACAUGCUACACUAUAAUUAACAUGCCGUAUUGGCAUACGAUUUUAUGGCUUCGGGAUUAGCAACGCAUCGAAAUCAUGGUCUAUAUUGUAGCCCGAAUUACGGGGCGUUACAGAUAAUCACAAAUUUCUAAACAAGACUAAUCUUUUAAGAAUUUUACUACACACAAAGACAAAAACAAAGGGCAGUCAGGUGCACUAAGCUCUCGUUAUGUGUUGGGUCCCAGGAAAAAAUUGGACCACAAAGGUCUAUUAUACACAGUCUUACCACUUUGGACCCCUCUUUCCACAACUUGGACCUAUAACCUUCUGGUCACACGACAACAACUUUACCAGUUACGACAAGACUCCUUGUCUUACAUACACAAAUAACAUUUCUUAAAAUGAAAUCUUUAGCAAUUUUUUAAAAUUCUUUCUACCCAAAUUUCCAAGAUAAGCUAAAAUAUAACACUGAUAACAUAUCGUUAAAUAAACAAUAAGCAAAAAAUGUAAACUACCCAAAAAAAUUCAAGCAAAUAAAACUUGUAAUACAUCAAGAUUAAUUUUGAACAAUAGCUUUAAAAAAAUCUCACUUUCUCAUAGCUGAAUAAUGAAAUUCCAAUUUUUCCCUUAACAUUAUGUCUCCAUUGAUGAUGGAUACUAUAGCAUUAAGAGCCAAUUUCUUUCCUUUUCUGGUAGUUGGUAAGUAUUUGAACAGUAUCAUCUUCUACAAAAAUGAACAGGAUAAUGUCACUUUAGCCCCCAAAAGAUCUAGCUAUUACAUAUAGACCCCUUGACCUUAUAAUUUUAGAAUGAUAUUACUCUUCUUGAACAAUUUAAAUGGCCAAAAAGUUGCUUGAAUAAACAAAAAGAUAAUUCCUUCGUUCGGUUUUACUUGUCCCAUUUUAACUUGACAUAUUUAUUAAAAAAAUAAUUAAUAACAUAUAGUUAUUUUACCAUAAUACCCCUAUUAAAUGAUGUUUAUAUUAUAUCUUAAAAUUAAUUUGAAGAAAAGACAAUUAAUGCUAAGGGUAAAAUAGGAAAAAAGAAGUUGUCUUUUCUUGAUAUGUCAAAAAUGAUAAGUAAAAAUAGAAAUACAAUUAGGAAAUUAGUGAUAAGUAAAAGCGAACGGUAGGAGUAACACUGAAAACACAUCAAAAAGAUAUACUUCCUCGGUUGUAUUUUAUGUGGCAUAUUUUGAUCGGGCACAAAGUUUAAGAAGAAAUGAGAAUUGUCCUUUAUUAAACAAAUAUAUUACUACUAUCUUUAAUUAAAUGAGACUAAAAAGGAUAAAUGUAAAAUUGUAUCUUUAAAUAGUUACCAAAUAAGGAAAUAUGACAUUUUUUUGGGACAGACAAAAAGAAAAUGACGACACAUAAAUUGGGGCAGAGGAAGUAUGUUAAUACUAAAAGGGUAGCUUGAUGUGGCGGUGGAAGUAUGUUAAUACUAAAAGGGCAGCUCAGUGUACUAAAGGUUCUUGCUAUAAGGGUCUGCGUAGAAGGGAUGGACUGGAAAAAUUUUACUGUGCGCAGCAUUAUCUUGCAUUUCUGAUGGAGGUUGUUUCUAUGACUUGAACUCGUGACUUCCUAAUCACAUGACAAUAAUUUUAUCAGUACUCUAAAACUUCCCUUCAUAUAUUUUUUUUCGAUUUGAUAAAAAUAUUAAAGAUACGCAAAAUAUAAAAGAUACGCAUAUAAUUCUUUUUGUAAACCCACUUAUAUGGAGUAAUAAAAACAUAUAAGGUAUCAAAAAUUAUAUAUGCAUGGGAUUUCCCUUCUGGUUAAAGUUUUAACAGGUUAAUUUCAUGUAUAAUUGUAAACUUUUACUCAUUAUGACAAAAUUAUUGAACUUUACCUCUUUAAUAAUGUAGUUGAUUUAAUGGCAUUAAAAAUCAUUAAUGAGUUUUUAUUAUGUUUUUAUAUAUAUUGAGUAUAAGAAGUGAUAGACAUAUCUCAAACUAAAUCAAUCAAUUAGAAAAAACAAUUUCUAUUCCAAUGGAGAAGUUCCUCCAUCUUCACCUUUUGAUUUUAAUUAUUUUCUCAAUUUUGCUUGUAAUUUUAUGCAAUGAACAUUCUUUUUCAUCCCUUAACACCACUUAUAUUAUGGAAUAUGUCUAUUGAUCCAACGAAGUUUCCCGAUCCUCCGAUACCAUCAUAUACACUCACCAUUUACAAUCUCUCUUUAUUUGAAAAGUUAAAAUUCAAGGACUAUGACUCGUUACUCGAAAAUAGGUUCGCCGGUUGUCAAGCUAGAGCAAAUCAUUUGGCAUCGGUUCUUGAAAAUGGUGACGCGAUUAGUGCGAAUGGAACUCUGGUAAGUCCACACGACGAGCAUGAGAGUAAAGUGGACAAUUAAAAGGUUCUGGUAACAACAAGUACACAUUUCAUAUGUCAGUAUGUUGCAUCUUUUACUCUUUUUUUUGUUUCCCAUCCGGCAUCCGAUGCCCGCAUUGGAGCCCCGACUAAUCCGGAUCAAACGUUGCAGGGCUCAUUAAGGUGGCAACGCUCCCAAUAGAAUUUUCUCCAUACCCAAGGUCGAACCCUGGACCUUUGGUUAAGGGUGGAGCAUUUUCAUCCACUACACUACAACCCAUAUUGGUGCAUCUUUGACUCAUUGAACAAGUUAAAAGUUACUUGCUAAUAGACACUGGUAGUGAUUUAGCUUGGUGGCAAUGUGGACCAUGUAAUGCAAAUAGAUGUAACAAACAGAUAAAUAAUCCUUUAUAUGUUUUAACUAAUUCAAAAAUAUAUCAAAAGCUCGAUUGCCUUGUAGAAAGUAGAAACUGUGAAAUCACAAAUAAGGAAUAUGAUUAUAUUCCGUAUGGUAAUACGUGUAUGUAUGAUUACAAAUACGUCGAUGGAUUACAUACACCAAGGAACCUUUUUCUUGAAUAUGUCAUGUCAAAACAUCCAUCACCAAAGCAAAUAAAAAUGGGCUAAGAGUCUAUCCCUGGUGCAACCCUAUCAAAACUAGAAAGUGCUCUGAAUCUCCACCUACCGUCCUCACACGAGUCUAAUACCCAUCAUCCAUAUCCUGAAUCAAGCUAGUGUACGCCACGGGCCUCCCCCUAGCCUCUAAGCACCUCCAUAGAAUCUCCCUGGAAACUCUGUCAUAUGCUUUCUCAAGAACAAUAAACACCAAGUGUAAGUCCUUCCUCCGCCUAAACUGUUCCACUAAUAUCCUCAAAAGGUGAAAGGCCUCAGUAGUCGAGCGCCCUGGCAUGUAACCGAACUGAUUUUCAGAGAUAGUCACGAUCCUUAUCAUCCUCAACUUUACCACCCUUUCCCAAACCUUCAUAGUAUGACUCAACAAUUUAAUACCUCUAUAGUUGUUGCAACUCUGGAUGUCUCUCUUGUUCUUAUACACUAGAAUCAUAGUACUCCACCUCCACUCUUCAGGCAUCUUCGUCGCCCUAAAAAUACUAUUAAAUAACCUUGUCAACCACUCCAAACCUACCCCGCUAGUUCUCUUCCAAAAAUCCACUAGAAUCUCGUCUGUCCCCGUUGCCCUACCCCGCUGCAUCCUGCGAAUAGCUCCUUUGACCUCCCCAACCUUGAUAUGCCUACAAUAACCAUAAUCGCGACACUCCUAAGAUUUCUUCAACUGUAUUUCAAACACUAAAAGUACUUACUUGUAUCAAUUACGGAAUUUCUAAUUUCAAAUCUUAAAUUUCAUUUAGUCUCAAUUCAAAAAUUAAGUACAUAAAAUUUUUUAGUUUAUUUUAAAUUUUCAGAUAUUGUUCUAUUGCUCAUUAUUUUUACAAUGAUCAAUUUUAUGAUUAAUAUCUUUAAUUAUUUUAUUUAUACAUCUUAUUGUAUCUGCUAAGUUAAUUUAAUUAAGCUCUCUCAAAUCACUCUCAAAAUCACCACCCCACCAAAUAUACACCGACCUCCUAGCCUUACCCUAGAGCCACUACCCCGCCUCCCUAGUUUUUAUUAUAUUUUACUUUAUCAGAUUUUUUGUAAAAUAUUUUUCUCACAUCACCCAUCUAUUAUACCCAAUCCACCUUCCACCAACAAAAAAUAUUUUAUUUUUCUUUAAAAUAAAAUUUUAUAUUGCACCCACCCCUACUCCCCAAUACCCAUUCGACACCCUACCUAAUACACAUACAAAAAAAAAUAUUUUUGAUUUUUUUCUAAAAAAAAAUCUUUCCACCCUUUUGUCCUGAAUCCCAAGAAAAAUAAUUUUUUUUAAUCUUUUUUCUACCUAUCUCGCCCCUACCCCAUCUCAACGACCAUAAUAUCUUGUUCUUCCCCUCAUCCACCACUUUGCCUCAAUGCAAUUUAUAAUUUUGUGUUAAGUAUACACAAAUGCUAUUAGAAAAUAUCUUUUAUUUACUAAUAAAAUAUCAAUUAUCAAUUUAUUUUAGCAUCCAUGCUAUUACUAAUGUCAAAUAAUCACAUCAAAUAAAAUUAUCUAUUUUUUAAGCUCAAAAUGAACUAAUAUCUACUAAUUAGUAUUUUUAUUAUCCUAAAUUGUUUGUAAAAAUAUUUACCUGAUUAAGUUCAAGCAUUUUAUAUCCCUCCAAUAAAUUAUGCUUUUUGUUAUCUAUUGAAAAUAAUUGGAGACGUAGCAGAUUAAUUCAUCAUCGAAAUGAAAUAAAAUAUAUAAGCAUACACCAUUAAAGAUGACGAUGAAAGCAUAUACAAAGAUUAAGAUUAAACAUUCAGCAAUAUAUUUUCAAAGAAAUCUUUCUAAGAAAAUUAACACUUGAAUUCAUAAAAAGAAAUCUUUAUAAUUAACUUUAACAAACAUGAAAGCAAUAGAAAAAGAUGAUGGUAGAGAUAUUUGAUUAUGAUGAUAAAAAAGAGUAGUCAAAAACAUGAAAGUAAUAGAAAGAGAUGAUGGACUCUGAUACCAUGAUAAUGAAAUGAACCUUGGACCUAACUCAACAUCAAAAGCUAGCUAAUUAGGUGAGGAUUGCUCAAGAUCAUAUAAGAAGACUAAGGACUCUUUAAUUCAUCGAUGUGGGACUCUCCCCUCCCUCUCCUUGCAUACCAAGACUGGACAUCUGAAGCGUAUGCAAUAUAGGAAGGGGGACUCAACAUUGAAAACAAUGAAUUGGGAAGGCUUGACUAUGAUACCAUGUUGAAGGGUGUGACCAUUUCAUCUAAAAGUUUAACUAUUAGAGAGAGUACACUAUUACUAUUUAAUUAUAUUCUCAACAGUUACUUAAUAUGCUAUUUUGGCAUUGAACAAAUGAACUUUACGUGGCAUUGCAAACUGAACAAAGACACAAAAGUUUUCUUUCAAACAGUUCAAGAAAGAAUAUUUUGUCCUUUUGAAACAAAGAAAUAGAGUCACAUUUUUUGGCUUGUUUUGUCCCUACAGUUUAUUAAGAGCACUUUGAGUGGAGGUUUUUCUAUUAUUAAGGAUGUCCAAUUUUGGAAAAGUACUACUCCUUUCAUUUAAAAAGGAAUGGUAGACGAAACAACAUAUUAAUUUUAUACAUUAUAUUAACUCCUAAGUAGCAACAAACCUUGGAAUUACUUAUGUAGGAUUCCUACAUAAAUCGUUGCUAAGCCAGCUACCAAAUGACCCCUUAAUACCUUCUUUAUUUGUUCAUUGAGAAGUUAGAGACCAAUGCAAGCAUAAUUCAAUUUAUGUGUAUAAUAUGUUCAGAACCAAGGUGCAGAAUAAAUACUUCACAUAAAUACAAAACUUACUAAAUGAAUUGACCCAAUUGAUAUAAACGGCUUGAUUUACUCAACUCCUGAUUCAUCAAUUGAUGACUAUCGUAUUUUUUCAUGAGAUCUGGCAGGUAGGUUUUUUUUAUAACCAGAUUUUUUUUAUAAAAAAAAAAUGUACCACUAAUGCCUCUGCAGCAACAAAAUCUUCUGAAGCAUCCAAUGAAAGUUAAGAGACUCUCUUCUCGGCUAUAGCUUUUGGUGAAUCUCUUGCUGAAAUUGAUGAAAAUUAUUCACCAUCAUUUCGACCUAUUUUGUCAUUUUUCUCAUUUUCAGUUCACUUUAUUAAAGUCAUUAUUGGAUCUUUCCCUCAAGAUGGAUCAUUUUGACUGAACCUUUUUCCCUAUCUAUGUGCAACGAAUAUGUUGAUAAUAGUAGGUAUCAUAAUCUAGGUCGAACUGUUAGGUUAGAUAGUAACUCAAGAAUCUUUUAUCAAUUCCCCUUUCUUAAGAACCCCAAAACAAAAAUAUCACUCGAACAAAAAAAAACUAAACUCAGACACCACAAAUGCUGGUUGUAUGAGAGGUUAUACAAAGUGGGGCUUGUAUAUAUACUAAAAUUUAGGACCAAAAUUGGGAAAAAAAUUGAAUGACAUGAAUAAAUACUUCAAAUUGUAAUAUCCACUUGGAUUCAAUCACAUUUAUUGCGUUUUUCUCAAAUUUUGGGUUUAAAAUCCUUAUGCUUUUUCAAGGUGUUUGUGCUUUUCUCAAGUAUUGUUACUUGAACAAUUAUUUUAUUUUGGCGUUGAGCUAAUGAACUCUACGUGGCAUAAUAAACUGAAGAAUUGUGUCAAAAAGUUCUAGAAAGAAUGUUUUGUCUUUCUGAAACAAAGAAAUAGAGCCACAUUUCUUGGACUGAUUUGUCCACUCAUGGUGCUCUUUGUUCUACUGUAGGGACAAAACAGUUCAACAAAUGUGGCUAUAUUUCUUUGUUUCAAAAAGUCAAAAUAUUCUUUCUUGAACUAUUCGAAACACAACUUUUGUGUCUUUCUUUAGUUUGUUAUGCCACGUAGAGUUCAUUAGUUCAAUGCCAAAACAACAUAACAGUUCAAGUAACAUUACCUGAGAAAAGCACAAAUACCCUAAAAAACUUGAGGAUUUUAAACCCGACAUUUAAUAAAAAUGCAAUAAAUGUGAGUGAAUCCAAGUGGAAAUUACAAUUUGGAGUGUUUAUUCAUGUCAGUCAAUUUUUUCCCAAUUUUGGUCCUAAAUAUAAUUAUAUGUACAAACCCCACUUUGUAUAACCUCUCAUACAAUCAACAUUUACUAUGUCUGUGUUUACCUUUUUCUUCUGGAGUGUUAUUUAUUUUUGGGGGUUCUUGAGAAAGGGGAAUUGAUAAGAGAUUCUUGAGUUACUACCUAACCUAGCAGCUGGACCUAGAUUGUGAUAUCUAUUAUUAUCAACAUUUUCCUUGCAUAUAGCUAGGGAAGAAUGAUCUUUUAAAAUGAUCCAUCUUGAAUCUUGUUUAUUUUGAAGGAAGUUGGUCCAUCCUUACCUGGAUCUUCAACUUGCCUGCAAAUGCCGAUUUUAGUGAGCUUCCACUGCAUGUUGCACCUGAAAAAAUUGCUCCAUUCUUAGAUCAAUCACUUAAAUUGUUAUGGGGGGAUCCAAUAAUGACUUCUAUAAAGAGAUGUGAAAAGGAGAAAGAUGACAAAAUAGGUCAAAAUGAUGGUGUAGAAUUUUCUUCAAUUUCAGCAAGAGAUUCACCAAGAGCUAUAGCCGAGAAGAGAGUCUCUCAACUUUCAUUGGAUGCUUCAGAAGACUUUGCUGCUAUGGAGGCAUUAGUGGAUAUUUUAUUAUUUUUUAGUUAUCAAAAAAACCCUACCUUCCAUAUCCCGUGAUAAAAGACGAGAUAUAUGAUAUUGGAAUCUCAUCUCAAUCAGUAGGAAAGGACCUAAAAUCUCUCACCUUUUCAUUGCUGAUGAUCUAACACUGUGUGCUGCUGCUAAUGAAAGAGACUGUGAAACCAUCCGAGCCACUCUUAGCAGCUUCACCUUCCACUCUGGCCAAAAAAUUAAUACUCUCAAAUCUAAAGUAAUCUUCUCUAGAAACUGUGCUCAGGAGACCAAAGAUAGUUUGUCUCACAUCUUAGGCAUCCAAUCCAAAGACAAGUUUGGCAAAUAUCUUGGUUUUCCCAUCUUCCACAAAAAUCCUUGCAAUAGAGAUUUCCAAUUCAUCUUAUACAGUCUAAACACUAAAUUGGCUGGACGCAAAAUCAAAUUCAUCAAUAUGGCUGGCAGAAUUACCCUUACCAAAUCCUCCCUUGCUAGUAUUCCCGCUCAUGUCAUGUAAUUCAUCUUGUUCCCCUCUAAAAUCCACUAAUUGAUUGACAGAACCCUAAAUAACUUUCUUUGAGGCACCACCCCUGAUAAUAAGAAAAUCCAUCUAAUCAAUUGGGAAACAUUGACUAAUGCUAAUGCUAAUGGGGGCCUGGGCCUCAAAAAUCUUCCAUAAGGAACACCACUAUGCUAUCUAGUCUAGCUUGGAGACUUUGCAAGCGCCCCAACAGUCUCUGGGCAAAAAUUCUUUAAAAUAAAUUAGCCCCCAUGGCAUAUCCCUCAAAGACAACUAAUGACUCUACAGCAACAAAUCUUCUGAAGCAUCCAGUAAAAGUUGAGAAACUCUCUUGUCGGCUAAAGCUUUUGGUGAAUCUCUUGUUGAAAUUGAUGAAAAUUAUUCACCAUCAUUUCGAGCUAUUUUGUCAUUUUUCUCAUUUUCAGUUCUCUUUAUAAAAUUCAUUAUUGGAUCUUUUCCCCUAGCAAUUUAAGUGGUUGAUCUAAGAAUGGAGCAACGUUUUCAGGUGCAGCUUAUGGUGGAAGCUCACCAGUGUUGGCAUUUGUAGGCAACUUAGAAGAUCCAGCUAAGAAUGGACCAACUUCCUUCAAAAUAAACAAGAUUCAAGAUGGGUCAUUUAGACUGAUCCUUUUUCCCUAUCUAUGUGCAACGAACAUGUUGAUAAUAGUAGGUAUUAUAAUAUAGGUCCAACUUCUAGGUUAGAUAGUAACUCAAGAAUCUUUUAUCAAUUCCCCUUUCUUAAGAACCCCAAAAAAUAAAUAACACUCGAGCAGAAAAAGUAAGCUCAGACACAACAAAUCCUGAUUGUGUGAGAGUUUAUACAAUGUGGGGUUUGUAUAUAUACUCAAAUUUAGGACCAAAAUUUGGAAAAAAAAUUGAUUGACAUGAAUAAAUACUUCAAAUUGUAAUCUCCACUAGGAUUCACUCACAUUUAUUGCGUUUUUCUCAAAUUUUGGGUUUAAAAUCCAUAAGUUUUUUCAAGGUGUUUGUGCUUUUCUCAGGUAUUGUUACUUGAACAAUUAUGUUAUUUUGUCCUUGAACUAAUAAACUCUAUGUGGCAUAAUAAAUUGAAGAAUGACACAAGUUUUGUUUCAAACAGUUCAAAAAAGAAUGUUUUGUCUUUUUGAAACAAAGAAAUAGAGCCACAUUUCUUGGACUGAUUUGUCCACUCAUAGUGCUCUUGCUUUUCCCGUCUUCCACAAAAAACCUUACAAUAGAGAUUUCCAAUUCAUCCUAGACAAUUUCAACACUAAGUUGGCUGGAUGGAAAACCAAAUUCCUCAAUAUGGCUGGCAGAAUCACCCUUACCAAGUCUUCCCUUGCUAGUAUUCCCGCUCAUGUCAUGUAAUUCAUCUUGAUCUACUAAUUGAUUGAUAGAACCCAAAAGAACUUUUUCUGGGGCACCACCCUUGAUAAUAAGAAAAUUUAUCUAAUCAAUUGGGAAACAUUGACUAAUAAUAAAGCUAAUGGUGGCCUGGGCCUCCAGAAAGCUUCCAUUAGGAAUACCAUUAUGUUAUCCAGUCUAGCCUGUGACUUUACAAGCAUCCUAACAGUCUCUGGGCAAAAAUUCUUUAAAAUAAAUUAGCCCCCAUGGCAUAUCUGUCAAAGCCAACAACUUUAGAACAUGGAAAAGUGUCCUUGUGGGUUGGGAAAUUUGUAAAACUGCCUCCUCUUGGAACAUCCAUAUGGAUGACUAGAUCAACUUCUGGAAGGACAGAUGGAUGCCUCACUGUGAACUCCUUUUUUCCAUCAUCCAAGCCCUUCUUCCUUAUCAUUCCCAAGACAUUAAACUCUCUAGGGUCUAGAGGAAUGGCUCCUGGAACCUCAAGGAUCUUCCGGUUGAAAUCCCUAAGGAUCUUAUUCAAACUUUCACCAACUCUGUUUUCCCCAAUCGCGAAGCCCAUAUUGAUAAGCUCAUUUGGAAUCUCACUAGUAAUUGUCUGUUCUCCAGCAGCAGAAGUGCUUAUAAUCAUAUAGCCAAAACCUCUGAGAUCAAUUACUCCUCUAAUUUCAACUGGAUAUCGAAGGCUGAAUCCCCUAAAAAUUCAAAACCUUUCUUUGGCUAAGACAGCAUAAUAGGUUCCCCAAUAACCUUAACCUCUCCAAGAGAGGAGUGAGACAAAAUACUAGUUGUGUUAUCUGCAAUCAUCCUCAAAGAUUUUGGAGUGCAAUCUAUCCAGAAGAUAACCCAGUCCAAACUACCUCCUAUUACCAGUGUCCUACCCUCUUACUGGCAUACUAUCUGAAGAUCUCUUCAACACUCCCAAUUCAAUAGACUAAUCCACUGGCACGACAUCAUUUCUUUCAGCCUCUAGACAAUAUGGAACACCAGGAACUCUAAUACCUUCAAUAACAAAAGGGACCAUCCCAAUUUUAACCAUGCUUACCCCCAAACUAUUGAGUAUAAACAUCUUACUCAAAAUAAUACCCCAAUCAAGAAAAACCAAAUCAUCAACGUUAAGAGGAAUCCUCCCACCAACCACACCUUCAAGAUCAAUACUGAUAAUUCUUGCCUUAGAAACCUCGGGAAGGGUGGAAUAGGAAAGGUAUUCAGAUCCAGUAAUGGAGGCUGAGUGUUAGGUUUUACAAAAACUUUCACCAGACUACCAACAACAUGAUGGAACUUAUGGCUCUCAUUGAAGGAUUAAAACUGGUAGAGCAAAAUAAUCUUCUCCCCAUUGAAAUUAACAUUGAUUCCUUGGAAGUUAUAUCUAUGUUAACUAACGGAAACCUCCACUAUGAUACUUUGAUUUUGGAAAGCAGGUCAAAUUAAAAAAGGCUAAGGAAUGCGGAAGUCAAGCACUGUUAUAGAGAACAAAAAAAGUGGCGGAUGCUCUAGAAAAAGACGGAGCAAGGGCAAGCGGGUUUCAGGAGACUACUCUUUUGGAAGUUCCAUCGAUAUGUGCAAAAGAUGCAGUUUGAGCAGACAUCUCCGAAUCUUUUUUAGAGAACAAUUAGCUCUUGUACUGAUGAUUAUAACGGGCCAGUCCAGAAAUAUUCCUUUUUGAACCCUGACUAAUUGUCAAAAAUUAAAACUUAAACUGUGUUCUCUUUUAUAUUAAUGCAUGUCCUUUCUACCAAAAAAAAAAUAUUAUUUCGCUUAUUGAAUCAUCGAAAAGAAGAGAUAUUUAUAUCAAUUUAAAUUUAUGGACCUUGAACAUUCAAAAAGAAAGAUAAGUUGAAAAUGUUAUAUCAUUCCUCCAUAUCGAAAGAAUGUUAUCAAAUCAAGAAUAAUUUUUUUAAAUGAAAAAUUAAAAAAUGCUGUAAGUAAAUUCAUGAAUAAAGCAAAUGAUAGAGAAGUAUAUAUAAGAAAGGCUAAGUGAUAGAAUUUCAUUUAUAUUCAGAUUUCAUUUAAAUACAAAUUCAAAUAUCCCAUAUGUUUAUUAAAAUAAGAUUAAUUUAUUAUUCUUCCUUAUCCUUAUCCUAACAUUUUUCAAAUACAAUAUAUAUUUAAAAUUAAGAUAGAUUUGAGUUGAGAUAAAUAUUGAAAUCAAUGAGACAAUACUAAUACUAAUACUAAUACUAAUACUAAUACUAAUAUUAAUACUAAUACUAAUACAAAUACUAAUACUAAUACUAAUACUAAUACGAAUUACAAUAAUAACAUUUUAACUAUUUUUACUUUACCACUAUUAGAUUGCACUACUAUUACUAUUACUAUUAUUAUUUGUUCAUUAUUAUUUGAGAUAUAUAUUAAGAUAAAUCGUAUAGCAAAAAAAAAAAAUUGUGACCCACGAUUACUAAUUAAGUACCUCUAAAUUAUAAGUUUAUCUUUGAAAGUAUGUUUUAUCUCCAAUUUAAAUUCAAAAAAAUUUGAUAGAAUAACGAAUAUCUUAGAUGAGCAGUUAAAACCGUCAAUAUAGGUCAAGCACGUUGAGAUGGCCCAGCCCAGCCUGUAAUUAGAUAGGCUGGGCUACAAUUUUUAUAGCCUAUUUAAGAAUAGGGCUUUUUAGCCCUUCGUGAAUAAGUUUAUUGACCCGUCGGCUUAAGCAAUAUGGGUUUGGAUAACCCGUGGGUCAAAUAAAAAUAAUUAAAAAAUAAAAUAUAGUACUAAGAAAAAAAAAGGAGUCCAAACUCAAAGUCUAUAUGAACCAUCAUAUAUAUAUUUAAAUAUUAAUUAUAUUUAUAAAAUAUAUAAAUAAUUAACAUAUAAAAUAUAAUUUUUUUAAGAAAUCAAACAUGUUUGAUGAAAAUGACUUGGCAAUGUUGAAUACUCCAUAAAUGCCAUGAGAGUUUUCUUCAAAGCGUUUAUUUUACUUUUAAUGGACAAAACAUUGACAUUUCUUUUUGUUUUAUUGUGAUCAAUUAAAACAAAAUUAGGUUAAUAUUGUUAUUUAGUGAGUUGUAUUAUUACUCAUUAAUUAUUUUAGUUAUUUUUCAAUAUCUCUAUUUGAUUUUAAUUUGGUGUCAAAAGUUAUUCAAUUUCACAGAUUAGUAGGAUCUUUUUGUAAAUUUGAGACUUGAUUAAUGAGUAGUAACUUCAAGCACUAUUAAUGGCUCACUUGGCUUGAGUUAGAUUAAAACAUACUUUUCAUGAUCUAAUCGUAAAUAAAUCAUCAGAUAAAACCUCAUAAAUCAUCAUAAACAACUCAACUCUACAACUCAAGACUCGGAGUGACUCUGUAAUUCAAGAAACUCGACUCUUAUGCACAUGGGAGGUUCUUAUAACCGAUAAACUAUGUGAGCUACAUGGAGUCCAACGUUUUUCCCUCCUAAGGAGAGAACCCCACAUUGGUGGGAGCUUCGUACUCUUGCCAGGGAGUACAACCUAAACUUAGUGAUCACAAUAUCAUACUCGGCCUCCGGCCCACAAUUAUAAAUAUCAAUCCUAUGGUGGCACGUAUUUUCGGGGGAACUACCAAUAUAUAAUUUUAUAUUUUUUUAAUAUUAUUUUAAAUUUAAAGUCAACAAUUUAUUUGUACCGCCCCAAGAUCCCAUCCCGAGACGUCACACGGUGCUUAAGGCCACACGCGGCCUCAAGCUUAUCCUCUAAACCUAUCAUCACUUCGUGAAUUCAUUUUGACAAUAGUCAUGCUAAUUUAAGAGAGAAUGACAUAUCAUAAACAUACUGGAAUAAGAUACAAAACUAGCAUGUACAAUCCAAAAUACUGAAAUUCUGUACAUACUAACCUUUUAGCCUGACAAAGCCUCUAUACAUCAAAAUCAAGGAGACAUUGGAAAAAAACCCCAACUGACUCAAACAGUACUGAAAGCCAUAACAACAAAACGGUAUCACAAAAUUAUAAACACGGUCCUCGAACCAUAAGGACUCACCAGUGAGCAGACGAAAAAAGGCACCCAUAUAUCGCUAAUGUGACUGAGUACCUGAACCUACAUUAAGAGAAUAUGUAGCCCCUAGGAAAAUAUGUGGGUCAGGACUUUGGAAUGUACUGAGUAUGUGGGGGUGCAUGCAACAAUGUAAAUAUCGUCAUCAAUUUCAUAAAAAUAUGCAUAUGUACAAUGAUGGCUCACUUGGCCUGAGUUAGAUUGAAAUAUACUUUUCAUGAUCUCAUAGUAAAUAAAUCAUAUGAUAAAAAACUCAUAAAUCAUCAAAAACAACUCAACUCUCCAACUCAAGACUCGGAGUUACUCUAUAAUUCAAGAAACAUGACUCUUAUGGACAUGGGAGGUUCUUAUAACCGAUAUAAAUCAUAUGAGCUACAUGGAGUCCAACGUUUUACCCUCCUAAUGAGAGAACCCCACAUUGGCGGGAGCAUCGUACUCUUGUCAGGGAGUACAACCUAAAUUUAGUGAUCACAAUCUCAUACUCGGCCUCUGGCCCACAAUUAUCAAUAUCAAUCCUACGAUGGCACGUAGUUUCNNNNNNNNNNNNNNNNNNNNNGUGCUAAAUACUACUCCCAGACACAAGCUCAGAACGCGUUAGAAAAUCCACCACAAACAUCACAAGGGUCUAUCAUGAACACCAAAUCAAAUCUCUUUCUCAUUUAUCAAAUCAUAAUCAAUUUGUGGAUUCCUAACUCGACUCAAAUCAAAUCAAUCUUUCUCAAUAUCAAAAUGCAUCAAUUCAUUAAGUCAUGGCAACAUCAAUAACUUUGAGUAAAUAUAAAGACUCAUUGUAACAAUUCAAUUCUCAUGAAUCAAUAUACUCUAUAGUCCAAUUUGUCAUAAGGAAGCUUAAAGCUUGACACAUAUCUUAAAAGCACUUGAAAUACCACCUCAUGGUAGAAACUUGAAAUUCACAAUAUUAAAUAUCAAGUCAUACUUGGAAAUUAUAAAAUAAUCAUGUAUAACAAAGCUUGAACGAUUUAUAUUCUCAUAAUCUCAUGAUGAAGUAAUUUGGGUAUAAACCCACUUGAAAAAUCAUAUAAAUCCAUAAUAAAAAUCAAAGCUUUAAGCACAAGAAUGAAAGAAUUUCUCUUGUGUAAAACCCCACAUACCUUAAUCUUUGAAAUUGGUUGAACUCUAGUGCUGGAGACUUUACUAACACUUGUAAUAAAAAAAUUCUUGAAGCCCACUCUAUGAGAAACUUGAUUCUUAAAGGAAUCUUGAAGAUUUAUGGAUGAUUUUUGGAAGAUUAAUUUCCUUAAAUAAAAUCGUAGAUAUAUUUCUUAAGAGAAUUGAAAGAGAGAAAUGAAGAAAUUAUGUUUUGGAUGAGGAUUCUCAUAUAUAGAGAGGCCUCCAAAAAUGAGAAAUGACUAAAAUACCCUUUAAAAAAUUGCCCAUCAAUUGCUGAAAAAAUAGCUAACGACAUCCAUGACAAGUUGUCAGGCCCGUGAUAGGCCGUCACGAAUUGUCGUCACAAAAAGGGUGGAUUUUGUGACUUUCUGCCUUAAGGUGACGACAUUUUGUUGCAGGCCAUCAGGCUUGUGACAAGUCGUCACAAAAGGUCGUCACGGAUUUUCCAGGUUGAUAUGCUAGAGUAAAAUAAGCAUCUCUUUGCUCCGAAUUUGGAUUUUGACGAAAUAGGUAUCGUUGGAAAGCUAAUUCAAUUAUAUAUCUUUUGGUAGAUCAUGAGCUCAAUAAUUAGUAGUACAGUGGGAGAUAUGCUCAUUUGAAUUUGACUAUGCCAAAAUCAUUCUCAAGAAUUCAAUCGGUAAAGAAUGUUUUGAUUAGCCCAAGCGUUAGGACAUCUUUAAAGCCUUAAUACACAUCACCCUUGACCAGAAAACAACCAAAACACUAUAAUUUAUUUCUCAUGGGCUUGAGUCAUGGAGGCACUAUUGGUUAGAAUCUCGGGGUAUUACAAUACCUCCUCCUUGGAAACAUUUGUCCUCGAAUGUUGCUAGAUAGGCCAAAAACAAGAGAAAAAUGAGGACGUAUAGAUGGAACGACUCACUCAAUAGACUUUCUUAACUCUAUACCUUCGAAUACAUUAGAAAAUACACGAAUUCAUGAUGAAAGUAGACACACUGCUGAAUCUUUAAUAAAAAGGGGGCUGAAUAGAGAAAGAAUGAUACCUUCUUCUCGCUCCAAACUCAAAAAAAAGAGGUGAGUGUACUUGGCUCGCAUAUCAGCUUUGUCUUCCCGAGUAUCACUCUCAACAGAUUGAUUUCCCCAAAGCACUUUAACCAAAAAAACUUCUUUGUUCCUUAGCCUACAGAUCUGAAAAUCCAAAAUCUCAACCAGAAUCUCCUCGAAUGAAAGGCUAUCCUGAAUAUCUAAGCUUUCCGAAGAAUCAACCAUGACAGAAUCACCAAUACACUUCUUAAGCAUAGAAAUAUGAAAUACCGGAUGAAUGCUAGACAACUCCGCAGGUAAAUCCACCUCAUAAGCUACUUUCCCAACACGGCUCAAAACCCUGUGUAGACCAACAUAACGGGGACUAAGCUUUCCCUUCUUUCCAAAUCUCUUCACCCCUUUCAUGGGUGAAACCUUCAAGUACACCAAAUCACUAACAUUAAGCUCAAGAUCUUUUCUUCUCACAUCCGCAUACGACUUCUGAUAACUUUGAGCGGUUUUCAAUCUUUCUCAAAUCAACUUAUCUUUUUCCAUAGCCUCGAACACAGUAUCCGGCCCAAUUACAGCUGCUUCUCCUACUUCAAACCAAUAUAUGGGCGAUCUACAUCUUCUCCCAUACAAAGCUUUAAACGGGGCAAUCUGAAUACUAGCAUGGAAACUAUUAUUAUACACAAAUUCGAUCAAUGGCAAGUGCUCAUCCCAACUACCUUUGAAAUCAAGCGUACAUGCCCUCAACAUGUCCUUCAAAGUCUUAAUAGCCCUCUCAUCCUGACCAUCGGUCUGCGGAUGGAAAGCAGAACUUAAACGAACUAGGGUACUAAGACCCUUCUGAAAAGCCCUCCAAAACUGGGAAGUAAAUUGAGUACCCCUAUCAGAGAUGAUAGCCAAAGGAACUCCAUGCAAUCUGACUAACUCACGGAUACACAAUCUAGCAUAAUCCUCAGCUAUAUAAGAUGAAUGCACUGGCAAGAAAUAAGCUGAUUUAGUCAACCGGUCUACGACAAUCCAAAUCGAAUCAAGAUGACGACCAGAAGGGGGAAAACCAAUGACGAAAUCCAUAUUCACUUCUUCCCACUUCCAAGUAAGAAUGCUAAUAAGAAAAUAUGCACACUCCUCGUCAAAUUUCUGACAACGACACUGCUACUGCCUCAACUGUGUACGUGUAAAGAUGACGCCAUAUAGCAUUUGUCAUCUUCAUGAUGCCCAAACUCUUUUAUCAGCGGACCUACCCAACCUGUCACCUCAUUUUCUGCUUUUAUAAUGGCAUAUCCUUCAAGGUUUAAUACACCAUCCAUUUUAUUUUAAUUAGAUAAAUAAUAUCUAUUUUAAUUUAUUUGUGUAAUUUAUAAAAUUAUAAAAAAAAUUAUUACGUGAAGUAUUAAAUGAAGUGAAAGGUGUACUCUACUAAUAUGUAAAUGCUAGUUUCAUUAAUCUGUAUUCCGUAAUAAGCUCAGAUCCAAAAAACUCUACAUAUAAAUAAUAAUAAUUAAAUUUUAAAAAAUAAAUUAUAUUAUAUUUUUUACUUUAUAAUUAAUAUAAUUUAAUGAUCGAUAUAUUAAAUAUAUAUUUUAUUUAAAAUUUUUAUAAUUAUUAAAGUUCUUAAUCACAUAAUUGGAUAAUUUUUUAAAAAAAUUAUUUGUAUGGAAGAAAGUAUUACAGGAGAAUUAGAAUAUAACAAGAGACCACAAGUAAUUUAAUAUUUUAUAAAAUAACAUGAUACAACAACAACAAUAACAACAUACCCACUGGAUUUCAACAUAGAGGGGUCUGAGGAAGGGUAGAGUGUACGCAGAUCAUACCACUACGUAAGAUGAAUUAGAGAGUCUGUUUUCGACAGACCACCGGCUUAGGACCGAUAGCAGUAUAACGAACACAAAACAUCAAUGCAUAAAAACUAGUAUAGUCUGCAAAAUAAACUAACGUCACUAGCCAUAAGAUAAUACUAUAGUCACAACAUAAUACUAAAACUAUCUAUCCGAAAUCAUAGACAUCACUCAACACCAUGAACAACAAACUUCAAACACAAAUAAAGAAUGCUCCCCUAUUGUCACCGACACACUCUCAACCCCAAACCCUCUACCCUAAUCGGCAUUCUCCACACCUUCCUAAUACUAUCCCUCAAAUAUUUGUGCGGUCUACCUCUACCCCACCUAAAAUCAUCCAUAUCCAGUGUCUCACACCUCUGCACUGGAGCAUCAGAGCCCCUCUUCAUCACAUGCUCGCACCAACGUAACCAUGCUUCUCGUAUCUUGUCCUCCACCAAGGCCACUCCUACCUCUCCCGAAUAAUCUCAUUUCUUACCUUAUCUUUCCUAGUAUGGCCUCAUAUCUAUCGCAAUAUUCUCAUCUUCUCCACCUUCAACUUUUGAAAGUGGGAGUUCUUAACUGGCCAAUACUUUCCAUACAACAUAGUCGGCCGGACUGCCACUCUGUAGAACUUCCCUUUAACCUUCGGGGGCAUCUUCUUAUCACAUAAAACUCCCAAAGAGAGCCUUCAUUUAAACCACCCAGCCCUAAUAUGAUGUGUGACAUCUUCGUUAAUCUCACGAUUGCCUUAAAUCAUAGACCCCAGAUACUUGAAACUCUCCUUCUUCUGAAUGGUCUGAGAGUCUAGCUUCACAACCAUGUCAGCCUCCUACGACACAUCUCUAAACUUACACUUCAAGUACUCUCUAUUGGUCCUGCUUAACCAAAAUCCUUCAGACUCAAUGGUCUGUCUCAAAAUCUCCAACUUAUCAUUAACUCCUCCCCGAGUCUUGUUAAGCAGUACCACAUUAUCAGCAAAUAAUAUACACCAAGGCACCUCCUCUUGAAUAUGUCUUGUCAAAACAUUCAUCACCAAGGCAAAUAAAAAAGGGCUAAGUGUCAAACCCUGAUGCAACCCUACCAAAAUCAUAAAAUGCUCUGAAUCUCCACCUACCGUCCUCACCUGAGUCUUUGUGCCAUCAUACAUGUCCUAAAUCAACCUAGUGUAUGCCACAUGCACCUCUCUAGCCUCCAAACAACUCCAAAGAAUCUCUUUGGGAACUCUGUCAUAAGCCUUCUCAAGAUCAAUAAACACCAUGUGAAAGUCCUUCUUCAUCUCCCAAAACUGUUCCACUAAAUUCCUCACAAGGUGAAUGUCCUCACUUGUCGAGCGACCUAGCAUGAAAUCAAACUAAUUCUCAGCGAUAAUAACGCUCCUUCUCAGCCUCAACUCUACCACCUAUUCCCAAAUCUUUAUAGUAUGACUCAACAACUUAAUACCUCUAUAGUUAUUACAACUUUGGAUGUCUCCCUUGUUCUUACACAAUGGAAUCAUUGUACUCUACCUCCAUGCUUUAGGCAUCCUUCCCGCUCUAAAAAUGAUGCUAAGAACCUUGUCAACCACUCCUAACCUGCCCUACCAGUGCAUUGUAAAAAUCCACUAGAAUCUCGUCUGGCCCCAUCGCCCUACCUCAACGCAUCCUGCGAAUAGCCCUCUUGACCUCCUUAACCUCGAUAUAUCUACAAAAACCAUAGUCGUGACACUCCUCAAAUUUCUCCAAGUCCCCAAACACGAAACCUUUGUCCCUUUUAUCGUUCAAAAGUUUUGAAAAUAGGACUGCCACCUUUUUUUAAUGACGGCAUCAUCUACCAACAUAGUACCAUCCUCAACCUUGAUGUACUUAUCCCUGCCUUUCUCCUUUAAAGUUGCAUACAAGCUCUCAAAAGCUAUCAUUUUAGCCACUGUAACUGCUAACUUAGUCUCUCACUUAUCUAUAGCUUAUACUCUUCCUUAUUUGUCCACCUCUCUUGAUCAUUCUUGCUCUCAACCAAUUUAACAUAAGCCACCUUCUUAGACUCAACCUUCCUCAUAACCUCUUCAUUCCACCACUAGUCCCCUCGAUGUUUGCCAAAUUGACCUCUCAAGACACUAACACCUCUCUAGUGAUCUCCUUAAUCCAACUGGCAAUCAUCUCCCACAAACUAUCCACAUCCCCUCUACUCUUCCAAGACCCCUGCUUCUCAACAUCUCCCCUAUGUUCAAAGCAUUAGCGAAAGUCAAGCUACCCCACUUAAUCUUAGGCCAAACCUCUACACUCCUCUUUUUUCAUCCCUUAUUGAUUACCAAGGUCAUCACCAACAACCUAUGUUUAGUCAAAAGAUUAUCUCUAGGUAUGACUUUACAAUCUUUACACAGUGUUCUAUCACUCUUCUUAAGGAGCUAAAAGUAUAUCUGAGUCUUGGUCACUAAACUACGAAACAUUUUGAAAAUCUCAAAUUCGUUAUCCAUAACCCAAAAGCCUUAGAAAAAUCCAAAAAAGAAGCACUUUCUUUAUUCCUCUACCCAAAAUUGAAAUCUCCAUACACAUCAUCAUAACCUCUCGAUGAAGGCCCAAUAUGCCCAUUGAGGUCUCCUCUCACAAAAAGUUUCUCAGUGCUCGGGACGCCCCUCACCAUCUCAUUCAAAACCUCCAAAAACCCUUCUUCUCUUCCUCAUCCAAACCUAAUUGCGGAGCAUAAACACUAAUAACAUUCACCAUUAUUUGUCCCAUGACCAACUUAAUAGGCAUCAACCUAUCACUGACUCUUUUAACCUCUACCACCUGCUCCCUAAGUUCUUCAUCUACUAAGAUACCUAUCCCAUUUCUAUGUCUUAUGCUACCCGAGUACCAUAACUUAUAUCCAUCCACAUCUCUCACCUUAGUAACUACCAUUUAGUUUCCUGGGCACACGCUAUACUAACCCUCCGUUUUCCAAGAAUCUUCACCAGCUCUAUAGACUUACCUUGAAGCAUUUCUAUGUUCCAGGACCUAACUUUCAACCUAUAAGCACCCUUAUCCAACUUAGCCCUACUAUCCCUCGCUCUCAACCCAAGACUAGAACCUAGACUCGACCCCAACCCCAACCUCGACCUAUGUCAUGACCCUAGUUCAUCAUCUAUCAACCCAACCACCACUCAAAAGGAUAUGAUAGAAGAAAAUAAAGGAAAAAAAUCCAAAAAACAUGAUAUGAAAAAGAGUAUGACUAAAAAUAGCUAAAUCAACAAACAAAAACCAGUAAGCAGGAUUGAUACUCACAAGCAACAACAAGUACUAUACUAAUCACAAUCAAUGAACACUUAAUAAGUUACAGAGAAACCGUAACCAAUAAUAAAAAAAAUCAAACAACAAAUCAGGAUUAAAAAAAGACAAGAAGCAUAUACCAAAUAAACUAGAGAAGAAUGAAAUGAGUGCACCUGAUACUGGGAGAAGACAUAGUGAAAGACAUUUUGUCGAUUGUUUUGUCAAAUUCCGACAAAUUGGUGCAGAAAUUGGUUGUCAGAAUUUGUUACCACCACUUUUACCCUACUGCUGGUACCACAUCCCCGUACUUGGUCGCUGAAGAAUGUGUUGGUCACCAAAAAAAUGAGCUAGAAACCGAAAUCUUGAUGUCGCUGCCUGAAGUGCGUAUCUGAACUUGAAAAGGGUUAUAAAGAAAAUAAAAGAGAAGAAAAUAAAAGCGAUGAUAAAAUUGCCAAAAAUUGAUAUCACUCACCAAAAACUGAUGUGGUUGUUGGGCCACAUAGAUAGGAAUCCGAAAAAGCCUCUAUCAUUUUAGUGGUCGGCGCAAGAAGCAAUAGAGAAAAAGACGACGAUUACGCCAGAAUCUGAUAGGGUCGCCGAAACUGAUAGGUUUAUCGAGAUGUUUUUAUGGUGGCUGACGCAAGUAAUUUAUCGGCGGCAGAUUGGUGGUUCUCUACUAUCGCCAAAAUCUUCAAAACACGAAGAGAUAGGUUAAUUUCGUCGGCGCCGUUGAUUGAAAAUUUGAAAAAUGCUAAACCCUCAGCAUAUAUGACAACUAUUAAUGUCAUCAAUUUAACUUGAGACGCCCAUUCAAUAAAAUAACAUGAUAAUAUUUUAAUAAUUACAAGUCAACGCUGAUUAAAAAUAGAAAAAUAUUGAUUUUAAUGAAUUUAUGGGUACAAAAUUUCUCAGUUAUAAAUAGAAAUAAAUUUAUUUUAAUAUUUAAUAUUUUAUUUUCAAUUUCAUGUGACAAGAGUUGCAAAAUUCAUUGUUUUCUUCUAAUACAACAAAGUAUUUCAACCACUUCAAGUAUAUAUAAAAAUAGUUACAACAUUAAUUUAGAACCUUUACACAAACUAACUUAAUCGUGAUCUAUAAGGAUAUUAAAUAAUAAUUAAAUUACAUUAACCGAUUAUUCCAUUCGGUCCAUUUACUUAUCAUGUUAAUUUUUUAAACACCCUUUAAAAAUAUUCUAUUCAUUCUACUCUAAUUAUUGAUUUAUCCUUUUUCAUGUUUGCUAAGAAAAAUAAUAAAGGCAUUGUACUAUUUAUUAUUGAUUAAGUUAUCCUAUUUAAUACUCCCUCCAUUUCACAAUAAGUGAAUUAUUGGAGUAAUUUUAGUGUUACAAAAUAAGUGAAUGAUUCACAAUUUAGGGUAGAUGUUGAAAUUUUUUUCCAAAUUUAUCCUCCAUUAAAUGUGCACUGGGAGUGAUGUAUCAUGUGUCUUUGCUUUUUGAAGAGGGUAAAAAUAAAAAAGCAUGAUAAAUUUAUGUCUUUGCUUUUUUUUUUUCUUAACAUGUGUGCCGAAAUUCAACAAUAAACUUAUUGUGGAACGGAGGGAGUACUAUAUCUUUUUUAAGAAGUGACCAUCAGUGACUAUAAGGGUGUAGUUGAAAAUUAUUACUACCUUUAAUUUUAUGUGAAAAGUUAUUUCUAAAUAAGUUUUUGGAGCAAAAAUAAUUAUUAAUUUAAAAUGAAGGAAAUUUUAAUUAAAAGACACCCUAUGGCAAGAAAAAAUCAGUUGCAAAUACACAAGUGAAAAUGGUCUUAACAAAAAGAAUAAGGAGAAAAAUAAAAAUAUUUAGCAAAAGAACAUCAUCAACCCUUGUGAGGACUACCGAAAAUUGAGAUCCUGUCUUAUAUAUAAUAGUUAAUUGUAUUCUUUUUUUCAUAUUGUUAACACUAUUUACAAUAAAGAUUACAGUGACAGGAACAAAUUCCAGUCACAAUGCAAAUAAAUUGUUAAAAAAUAAGAAUUUUAUUGAUAAAUGAUAUGGAUAUAAUUCUGUUACUCCUUUGAUUCUUCUUUCUUUAUUUUUCUCCGUAAUUCGAGGACGAUUAGUAGCGUAUUUCUCGAAUGUAGAAAGAUUUAAAUUUGAUAUGAAUUUUUAGCGUAUUUCUCAAAUGUAAAAAGAUUUGAAUUAGAUAUGAUUUUUUUUGUAAUUCAAAGGUCAUUAGUAGCGUGUUUCUUGAAUGUAAGAAGAUUUAGAUUUGAUAUAGAUUUUCUUCAUAAUUCGAAGGCCGUUAAUAAUAUAUUUCUUGAAUGUAGAAAUAUUUGAAUUUGAUCUCCAUAAAAGAAGGGUUUAUGGAUCUUCUUGAUAUAUUUGAUUUUCAAAAAGGGAGUGAUAUUCAAUGAGUUUAUGAAAUUAUCGGGAGAUGAUUAAUCUCUUUAUUAAGGGUUUAGAGUAGACUAGCCACCAAGUUAGGUUUAGUGUAAAGUAACCCCUAAUAACUCUAAUAAGAAUUGACUUCUUAUUAUAGAGUUCACAAAAUUAUGAUGUCUAUAAACGUUUUGUAUUGUCAGACGUUAUGACUACAAAAUCCUUUGCUGAAAUCUCAAAAUACAAUUAUUUUACUUCUUUGAGAUGAUGAAUGAAGUACGUGUUAAUUUAGUGGAGUCACUUAGCUUAAGUCAUUCAUGCGGAGUACCAUGAAAUCAGAAAACUAAAUCAUGCUAGGAGAAGAGAAAAGCAAUAAAAAAAAUACCAUAUUUAGCACAUUUUCAUAGCUCGAACUCGUGAUCCCCUGAUCACAUGGAGGGAACUAUCCAUAAUAAUUCAUACAAAUACUUCUCAAAGAUAAUCACAAAUUUCCAAGCAAGACUAAAUCUUUUAAGAAUUUUACUACACACAAAGACAAAAACAAAGGGCAGUCUGGCGCACUAAGCUCCCAUUAUGUGCUAGGUCCCAGGAAAAAACUGGACCACAAAGGUCUAUUAUACACAGUCUUACCACUAUGGACCCCUCUUUCCACAGCUCGAACCUAUGACUUUCUGGUCAUACGAAAACAACUUUACCAGCUACGACAAGGCUCCUUGUCUUACACAAAAAAAUAACAUUUGUAAAAAUGAAAUCUUUAGCAAUUUUUUAAAAUUCUUUCUACCCAAAUUUCCAAGAUAAGCUAAAAUAUAACACUGAUAACAUAUGGUUAAAUAAACAAUAAUCAAAACAUGCAAACUACUAAAAAAAAUUCAGGCAAAUAAAACUUGUUAUACAUCAAGAUUAAUUUUGAACAAUAGCUUAAAAAAAAUAUCACUUUCUCACAGCUGAAUAAUGAAAUUCGAAUUUCGCCCUUAACAUUAUGUCUCCAUUGAUGAUGGAUACUGUAGCAUUAAGAGCCAAUUUCUUUCCUUUUCUGGUAGUUGGUCAGUACUUGAGCAGUAUCAUCUUCUAUAAAAACGAACAGGAUAAUAUCAAUUUAGCCCCCAAAAGAUCUAGCUAUUACAUAUAGACCCCUUUACCUUAUAAUUUUAGAAUGAUAUUACUCUUCUUGAACAAUUUAAAUGGUCCAAAAAUUGCUCUAAUAAACAAAAAGAUAAUUCCUUCGUUUGGCUUUACUUGUCACAUUUUAACUUGACAUAUUUACUAAAAAAAUAAUUAAUAACAUACAAUUAUUGCUGGCCUCGGACGUAAUAGGUGGUGCAAAUUCUUUAGCAUCGCAAUUUGAAGCAGUCAUAAUGUCCAUGUGCCUACCGGGAGAUCUCUCCACAAAAGGAUCAACACUUAGCUUCCACACAACACCAUUUAAGAAAGCAACAUCAACAACGCUAUUACAAGAUUUCAGAUUCCCUUCCAUUUACUUUGUCAACCUUUAUAAAGUUUUUAUUAACGUUAGGGAAGUCUCGAUGUCCCAUCAUUGUCUAGGAUUUUCAGAAAUUAUGCCACGAACGGUAGCUUCAUCGUGGACACAGGAACAUUUAUUACCCAUUUUCCUCAUGAUUUUUAUAUUGUAUUUCAUUACACAUUUAGAUAACAAGUACGUGGUAUUCCUAUGGUUAAUGUUCCACGUGAAUCAGUUAAUGACACUUGCUAUAAUGUGGAUACGACUGGUCUGGAUCCACAUUUCCCCGUUGUGACCAACCAAAUGGCCCCUCCAACCCCAACAACCCACACUCUCCUUUGCCUAAGCCUGCCUGGGAGCACUUGGUCCAUUUUCUUCCCAAAACAUACUCGGUCACUGGGCCCACCCCUAGAACCGGAUCUAUAGCACACUGAUUUAGCCUCAGAAUGGCCCAUUUGCGUCGUUUCACUUGUUUGACCACCCAAAUAGCCUAGCCGAUCCCAACGACUCAUACUAUCCGACUUUUAAGCCUGCCUUGGUGCGUCUGGUCAAUUUUCAGACCAAAACACACUCGAUCCCCAAGCCAACCCCUAAAACCAUUAGUUAUAGCACAUCUAUUUGGCCUAAAAAAUAACAUAUUUUUUAUGUUUUACCUGUUUGACCACCCAAAUGCCCUGCCAACCCAAACGACCCACUUUCUCGUUCAUCAGUCUACUUGGAAGCCUUGAUCUAUUUUCGACACAAAACACACCCGAAACCCGGGGCCACCAAGAACUGUGAGCUAUAGCACACCGAUUAUACCUGAAAAUGACCCAUUCGCGUUGAUAUUCCUGUUUAACCACCCAAACAACCCCAUUGACCCCUACGACCAAUACUUCCCCGCUCUUCAGCCUACCUGAGGUCCCCCAUUUGAUUUUUGACCCAAAACAUGCCUAGGACCACCCCAAAAUCAUGAGCUAUAACUCACCAAUUUUCCCCAAAAAUGGUCCAUUUGCACCGUUUUGCACAUUUGACCAACCAAACGGUCCCGCCGACCUCAACAACCCAUAAUUCCCCAUUUCUCAGCCUGCUUGGGAUCCCUCAAUCGAUUUUUGUCCUAAAACACAUUUGGGCUCAAGGCCAAACCCCAAAAUUGUGCGCUAUAACACACCGAUUUGGCCCGAAAAUGGCCCGUUCGCAUCAUUUUGCCUGUUUAAUAAACCAAACGGCCCCGCCGACCCCAACGGCUCACAGUCCCCGCUUUUCAGAAAACCUAGGAGCCACGAUCAAUUUUUAGUCAAAAACGCAUGUGGGCCUUGGACACACCCUCUGAACCGUGAGGUAUAGUACCCCAAUUUUUCCAAAAACUAGGCCAUUCGCACCGUUUCAUCCAUUUGAUCACACAAACGGCCCAUCGCCACCCAACGAACCAUACUCUUCUGCUUAAUAGCCUUCCUAGGAUCUGCUGGUCUAUUUUAAGCCUAAAACACAUCUACUCCCUGGGCCCACACCCGGAAUCGUGAUCUAUAACAUACUGAUUUGGCCUAAAAAUGGUUCGUUUAUGACAUUUUGCCCGUUUGACCACCCAAACGGCCUCACUGACCCCAACGACCUAUACUCCCCCUCUCCUCAACCUGUUUGGGAGCCUCCGGUCAAUUUUGAGACUAAAACACACCUGAGCCCCGGGCCCAUCCCCAUAACCAUGAGUUGUAGCACAACGAUUUGGCCUGAAAAUAGCAUGUUCACAUCGUAUCGUUCAUUUGACUACCCAAAUGGCCUCGAGAAAUUUUCGGACAAAACAUGGUUGGGACUCGGGUGUGACCCUUAAAACCGUGAGCUAUAUCACAUCGAUUUGGCCCAAAAAUGGCCCAUUCAUGUCGUUUUGCCUGUUUAACCACCUAAACAGCCCCACCGACCCUAACAGCCCAAACUCCCUUACUUGUCAGCCUGCCUGGGAGCCCCCAAUCAAUUUUUUGCCCAAACACGCCCGGUCCCCGGGAAUACCCAAGAACCAUGAGCUAUAGCAUACCGAUUAGGCCUGAAAAAUGGCCCAUUGGCGUAGUCUGCUUGUUUUAUCACCCAAACGGCCCUGUAGACCCAAACAACCCUGACUCUCUCGCUUUUCCACCCGUGUGGGUGCCCCUGAUUGAUAUUUGGCCCAAAAAUAUAACCAAACCCUGGCCCACUCUCAGAACCGUGAGGUAUAUCAUACCUAUUUAGCCUAAAAAUGGCCCGUUUAUGUCGAUUCAUCCUUUUGACCCCCCAAACGGCCCUGUCGACCCCAACCACCCAUAUUUCCCUACUUUUCAGCCUACCUAAGAGCCCCCGAUCGAUUUUUGACCCAAACCACGCCCGGUCCCUUCACUUACCUUCAUAAUCGUGGGCUUAUAUCACAUCGAUUUUGCUUAAAAAUGGUCCGUUCGUGCCCUUUACUUAUUUGACCAACCAAAUAGCCCUACCGACCACCGCCGACCCCAAUGACCCAUACUUCCCAGCUCCUCAGCCUGCCUAGGACCCCCGAUCAAUUUUUUUCCCAAAACACACUUGAGCUCUAGGCCCACUCCCAAAACUAUGAGCUAUAAUACACCAAUUUGGCCUAAAAAUGCUUCAUUCGUGCCACUCAGCCAGUUUAACUACUCAAACAGCCCCGUCGAACCCAAUGACCCACAUUCUCGCACUCCUCUUCCUGUCUGGAAGCCCCGACCAAUUUUUAACCCAAAACAGGCUCGAGCCCCAAGCCCACCCUGAAACCCGUGAGCUAUAGCUCACCAAUUUAGCCAGAAAAUUACCCGUUCAUGCCAUUUCUUUUGUUUGACCACCCAAAAAGCCCUGUCGACCCCAACAGACCUCAGCCUGUCUGGGAUACCUCGCUUGAUUUUUUAUCCAAAACACAUCUGGGCCUUGUGCCCACCCUAAGAAUCGUGAGCUAUAACACAUUGAUUUUGCUUGAAAAUGGUCUGUUCGUAUCGUUUAGCUCGUUUAACCACACAAACGGCUCCGCCGACCCCAACGACCCACUCUUCCCUACUUCUUAACCUUCCUUAGAGCCCUCAAUUGAUUUUUAGUCCAAAACAUUUUUGGGUCCCGAGCCUACCCCCAAAAUCAUGAGCUAUAACAUACCGAUUUGGCCCAAAAAAGGUCUAUUUGUAUCGUUUCAUCUCGUUUGACCACCCAAACGGUCUCCUCGACCCGAAAGGUCCAUAGUCCCUCGCUCUUCAGCCUUCCUGGGAGACCCUAGUCUAUGUUUGGCCUAAAACAUGCUCGGACCCUGGGCCUACCUACAAAACCAUGAGUUACAGCACACCGAUGCACUAGGAUUUCGUUAUGUGUUCGGUCUUGCUCAUAUUUCUUCAGUCUACCUCUACCCCACCUAAAACAUCCAUAACUAGUAUUUCACACCUCCACUGAAGAAUCAGAGCCCCUCUUCAUCACGUGGCCGAACCAACGUAACCUCAUAUUUCGCAUCUUGUCCUCCACCGAAGCAACUCUCACCUUCUCUCGAAUAAUAUCAUUCCUCACCUUAUCUUUCCUGGUAUGUCCACACUUCCAUCACAAUAUUCUUAUAUCUGCCACCUUUAAUUUUUAGAUUGGGAGUUCUUAACUGGUCAACACACCACUGUAUACAACAUAGCCAGCCGAACUACCACUCUGUAGAACUUACCUUUAAGUUUCGAGGGCAACUUCUAAUCACAUAGAACUCCUUAAGCGAGUCAUCAUUUUAACCACCCUGCCCCAAUAUUAUCGUUACAUCCUCGUUAAUCUCAUUAUUGCCCUGACUCAUGGACUCUAGAUACUUUAAACUCUCCCUCUUAUGAAUGGCCUGAGAGUCUAUCUUCACAACCACUCCAGUCUCAUGCGACACAUUACUAAACUUAUACACCAAGUACUCUAGUCUAUAAACAUUUUGUAUUGUUAGACGUUAUGACUACAAAAUCCUUUGCUGAAAUCUCAAAAUACAAUUAUUUUUCUUCUUUUAGAUGAUGAUAGAAGUACGUGUUAAUUUAGAGAAGUCACUUAGCUCAUGUCAUUCAUGCGGCGUACCAUGAAAUCAGAAAACUACAUCAAGAUAGGAGAAGAGAAAAACAAUAACAAAAUACCAUAUUUAGCACAUUUUCAUAGAUCGAACUCAUGACCCCCUGAUCACAUGGAGGGAACUAUCCACAAUAAUUCAGAAAAAUACUUCUCAUAGAUAAUCACAAAUUUCCAAGCAAGACUAAAUCUUUUAAGAAUUUUACUACAAACAAAGACAAAAACAAAGGGCAGUCCGGUGCACUAAGUUCCCCUUAUGUGCUGGGUCCCAGGUAAAACUAGACCACAAAGGUCUAUUAUAUACAGUCUUACCACUGUGGAUCCCUCUUUCCACAGCUCGGACCUAUGACCUUCUGGCCAUACGACAACAACUUUACCAGUUACGACAAGGCUCCUUGUCUUACACACACAAAUAACAUUUGUAAAAAUGAAAUCUUUAGCAAAUUUUUAAAAUUCUUUCUACCUAAAUUUCCAAGAUAAGCUAAAAUAUAACACUGAUAACAUAUCGUUAAAAAAUAAACAAUAAGCAAAAAUUGAAACUACCCAAAAAAAAUUCAGGCAAAUAAAACUUGUAAUACAUCAAGAUUAAUUUUGAACAAUAGCUUAAAAGAAAAUCUCACUUCUCACAGCUGAAUAAUGAAAGUCCAAUUUUUCCCUUAACAUUAUGUCUCCAUUGAUGAUGGAUACUGUCGCAUUAAGAGUCAAUUUCUUUCCUUUUCUGGUAGUUGGUCUGUAUUUGAGCAGUAUCAUCUUCUACAAAAAUGAACAGGAUAAUAUCACUUUAGCCCCCAAAAGGUCUAGCUGUUACAUAUAGACCGCUUUACCUUAUAAUUUUAGAAUGAUAUUACUCUUCUUGAACAAUUUAAAUGCCCCAAAAGUUGCUCUAAUAAACAAAAAGAUAAUUCCUUCGUUUGGUUUUACUUGUCACAGUUUAAGUUGACAUGUUUACUAAAAAAAUAAUUAAUAACAUACAGUUAUUUUACCACAAUACCCCUAUUAAAUGAUGUUUAUAUUGUAUCUUAAAAUUAAUUUGGAGAAAAGACAACUAAUGCUAAGGGUAAAAUAGGAAAAACGUUGUCUUUUCUUGACAUAUCAAAAAUGAUAAGUAAAAAUAGAAAUACAAUUAGGAAAUUAGUGACAAGUAAAAGCGAACGGUGGGAGUAACACUGAAAACACAUCAAAAAGAUAUAUUUCCUCGGUUGUAUUUUAUGCGGCAUAUUUUGAUCGGGCACAAAGUUUAAGAAGGAAUGAAAAUUGUCCUUUAUUAAAAAAUAUAUUACUACUAUCUUUAAUUAAAUGAGACUAAAAAGGAUAAAUGUAAAAUUGUAUCUUUAAUUAGUUACCAAAUAAGGAAAUAUGACAUUCUUUUUGGGACGGACAAAGAGAAAAUGACAACAUAUAAAAUGGGGCAGUGGAAGUAUGUUAAUACUAAAAGGGCAGCUUGUUGUGGUUGUGGAAGUAUGUUAAUACUAAUAGGGCAGCUCGGUGUACUAAAACUUUUUGCUAUAAGGGACUGCGGAGAAGGGCUGGACUACAAGAAUUUUACUGUACGCAGCAUUAUCUUGCAUUUCUGAUAGAGGCUGUUUCUAUGACUUGAACUCGUGACUUCUUAAUCACAUGAAAAUAAUUUUAUCAGUUACUCUAAAGCUCCCCUUCAUAUUUUUUUUUCGAUUUGAUAAAAAUAUUAAAGAUACGCAAAAUAUAAAAGAUACGCAUAUAAUUCUUUUUGCAAACCCACUUAUAUGGAGUAAUAAAAACGUAUAUGGUAUCAAAAAUGAUAUAUGCAAGGGAUUUCCCUUUUGGUUAAAGUUUUAACAGGUUAAUUUCAUGUAUAAUUGUAGACUUUUACUCAUUAAUGAAAAAAUUAUUGAACUUUAACUCUUUAAUAAAGUAGUAGAUUUAAUGGCAUUAAAAAUCAUUAAUGAGUUUUUAUUACUCCCUCCGUCCUAUUUUACCCGUCCUAAAUUGGCUAAGUUGAUGUUCCAUUUUACUUGUCCCAUUUUACUUAUCAAGAUAAGACAAACUUUUCUUUCCAUGUUUUACUCUUUGCGUUAAUUACCUUUUCUUUAAAUUAAAAUUUAAACAUCAUUUAAUAGGGGUACUUUGGUAAACUAGCCAUGUUAUUUAUAAUUUUUUUAAUUGUUGUGCCAUCCCAAUUUGGGACAAGUAAAAUGGGAUGGAGGGAGUGUGUGUUUAUAUAUAUUGAGUACAAGAAGUGAUAGACAUAUGUCAAACUAAAUCAAUAAAUUAGAAAAAACAAUUUCUAUUCCAAUGGAGAAGUUCCUCCAUGUUCACCUUUUAAUUUCAAUUAUUUUCUCAAUUUUGCUUGUAAUUUUAUGCAAUGGACAUUCUUUUUCAUCCCUUAACACCACUUAUAUUAUGGAAUAUGUCUAUUGAUCCAACGAAGCUUCCCGAUCCUCCGAUGCCAUUCUAUACACUCACCAUUUACAAUCUCUUUUUAUUUGAAAAGUCAAAAUUCAUGGACUAUGACUCGUUACUCGGAAAUAGGUUCGACGGUUGUCAAGCUAGAGCAAAUCAUUUCGCAUCGGUUCUUGAAAAUGGUGAUGCGAUUAGUACGAAUGGAACUCUAUUAAGGCCACACGACAAGCAUGAGAGUAAAAUGGCCAACGAAAAGGUUCUGUUAACAAGAAGUACACAUUUCAUAUGUCAGUAUGUUGCAUCUUUAACUCUUUUUUUUUGUUUCCUAUCGGGCAUCCGGUGCCCGCAUUGGAGCCCCGACUAAUCUGGAUCACACGUUGCAGGGCCCAUCAAGGUGGCAGCACUCCUAACAGAAUUUUAUCUAUACCCAGGGUCAAACCCUAGACCUUUGGUUAAGGGUGGAGCAGCCUCAUCCACUGUACCACAACCUAUAUUGGUGCAUCUUUUACUCACUAAACAAGUUAAAAGUUACUAGCUAAUAGAUACUGGUAGUGAUUUAGUUUGGUGGUAAUGUGGACCAUGUAAUGCAAAUGGAUGUUACAAAAAAGAUAAAUAAUGCUUUAUAUGUUUUAACUAAUUCAAAAACAUAUCGAAAGCUCGAUUGCCUUGUAGAAAGUAGAAACAGUGAAAUCACGAAUAAGGAAUAUGAUUGUAGUCCGAAUGGUAAUACGUGUAUGUAUGAUUACAAAUACGUAAAUGGAUCAAGAACAAGAGGCUGGAUUGAACACAUCAUGAUUACUUUUAUUUUAGACCGAAAGCAUGUAAGCAUUGUUUUUGGAUAUGGCAAAGAUCAAACUCAUGGAAAGCCUUUUAGUGGUUAGUUUUCUGGAAUUGCUGGCCCCGGACGUAAUGGGUGGUCGAAAUUCUUUAGCAUCGUAAUUUGAAGCAGACAUAAUGUCCAUGUGCCUACCGGGAGCUCUCUCCACAAAAGGAUUAACACUUUAGCUUCCACACAACGCCAUUUAAGAAAACAACAUCAGCAACGCUAUUACAAGAUUUCAGAUUCCCUUCCGUUUACUUCGUCAACCUUUAUAAAGUUUUUAUUAACGAUAGGGAAUUACCGAUGUUCCCAUCAUUGUCUAGGAAUUUUAGAAAUUAUGCCACAAGAGGUACCGGCAUCGUGGACACAGCAACAUUUAUUACCCAUUUUCCUCAUGAUUUUUAUAUUGUAUUUUGUUACAUAUUCAGAUAACAAGUACGUGGUAUUCCUAUGGUUAAUGUUCCACCUGGAUCAGUUUAUGACACGUGCUAUCAAGUGGAUAUGACUGGUCUGGAUCCACAUUUCCCCGUUGUGACCAACCAAAUGGCCCCUCCGACCCCAACAACCCAUACUCUCUUUUGCCUAAGCCUACCUGGGAGCACUUGAUCCAUUUUCUGCCCAAAACAUACGCGGUCACUGGGCCCACCCCCAGAACCACGAGCUAUAGAACACUGAUUUAUCCCAAGAAUGGACCAUUUGCGUUGUUUCACUUGUUUGACCACCCAAAUAUCCUAGACGACCAAAAACAACCCAUAAUAUCCCACUUUUAAGCCUGCCUUGGUGCCUCUAGUCGAUUUUCAAACAAAAUCACGCUCGAGCCCCGAGCCAACCCCAAAAACCGUGUGUUAUACCACGUCUAUUUGGCCCCAAAAAUAGCAUGUUUUUAACGUUUCGACUGUUUGACCACCUAAAUGACCUCGCCGACCCAAACGACCCACUUUCCCAUUCAUCAGUCUACUUGGAAGACUUGAUCGAUUUUUGAUAUAAAACACGCCCGAACCCGGGCCCAAACAGAACUACAAGCUAUAGUACGCCGAUUAUGCCUGUAAAUUACCCAUUCGCAUUGAUAUUCCUGUUUGACCACCCAAAUAACCCCGUUGACCCAUACGACCCAUGCUUCCCCGCUUUUUAGCCUACCUGAGAGCCCCCAGUUGAUUUUUGACCCAAAACAUGCCCAGGACCACCCCAAAAUUGUACCAAUUUGGCCUAAAAAUGGCCCGUUUGCACCAUUUUGCUCGUUCGACCAACGAAACGGUCCCACCAUCCUCAACGACCCAUAAUUCCCCACUCCUCAGCCUGCUUGGGAGAUCACAAUCAAUUUUUGACCCAAAACAUGUUUGGGCUCUGGGACAACCCCCAGAAUUGUGAGUUAUAACACACCGAUUUGUCCCAAAAAUGACCCAUUCGCAUCAUAUUGCCUGUUUAAUAACACAAAUGGCCCCGCCAACCCCAACGACCCACACUCCCCGCUUUUCAGCCAACCUGGGAGCCGCGAUCGAUUUUCAGUCAAAAACAUGUGUGGGCCUUGGGCACACCCUCUGAACCAUGAGGUAUAGCACCCUAAUUUUACCAAAAAAUAGCCCAUUUACACUGCUUCAUCCGUUUGAUCACACAAAUGGCCCAUCACCACCCAACAGCCUACACUCUUCCACUUAUCGCCUAGGAUCUUCUGGUCUAAUUUCAUCCUAAAACACACCUACACCCUGGGCCCAUGCUCGAAAUCGUGAGCUAUAACAUACCGAUUUGGCCUAAAAAUGGUCAAACGACCUAUACUUCCUUGCUUCUCAGCCUGCUUGGGAGCCUCCGGUCAAUUUUUAGACUAAAACACACCAGAGCCUCAGGCCCACCCCUAGAACCAUGAGUUAUAGCACAAGGAUUGGGCCUGAAAAUAGCACGUUCAUGCCGUAUAGCCCGUUUGACCACCCAAAUGGCCUCGGAGAAUUUUUGGACAAAACAUGGUUGGGACUCGGGUAGGACCCUCGGAAUCGUAAGCUAUAUCACAUCGAUUUGGCCAAAAAAUGGUCCGUUCACGUCAUUCUGCCUGUUGAACCACCUAAAUAGCCCCACAGACCCUAACAGCCCACACACCCUCACUUGUCAGCCUACGUGGGAGCCCCCGAUCUAUUUUUGGCCCAAACACGCUAGGUCCCCGAGCACACCCCAGAACCGUGAGCUAUAGCACAUCAAUUAGGCUCAAAAAAGGCCCGUUGGCAUAGUUUUGCUUCUUUGAUUACCCAAACGGCCCUGUCGACCCAAACAACCCGGACUCCCUCACUCCUCAACCCACUUGGGUGCCCCUGAUUGAUAUUUGGCACAAAAAUAUGACCAAACCUCAGCCUACUCUCAGAACCGUGAGGUAUAGCAUACCAAUUUAGCCCAAAAAUGGCCUGUUUAUGCCGAUUCACCCUUGUGACACCCUAAAUGGCCCUGUUGACCCCAACCACACAUACUCCCGUGCUCCUCAGCCUGCCUGAGAGCCCCCGAUCGAUUUUUGACCCAAACCAUGCCCGGUUCCUUCACUCACCUUCCAAAUUGUGGGCUAUAUCACACCGAUUUUUCUUAGAAAUAGUCCGUUCAUGCCCUUUUGCCUGUUUGACCAACCAAAUAGCCCAACCGGCCACCACUGACCCCCAACGACCCAUACACCUCUAUUCCACAGUCUGCCUGGGAGCCUCCGAUUAAUUUUUAGCCUAAAACAUGCCUGGGCGUUGGGCUCACCUCCAAAAUCAUGAGCUAUAGCACACUAAUUUGACCAGAAAAUGGUUCGUUCAUGUCGUUCCACUCAUUUUACCACUCAAAUAGCCUCGCCGACCACAACGACCCACACUUCCUUGCUCCUUAGCCUUCCUAGGACCCCCGAUUAAUUUUUUACACAAAACACGCUCGAUCCCUAGGCCCACUCCCAAAACUAUUAUCUAUAACACACCAAUUUGGCCUAAAAUGCUUCAUUUACGCUAUUCAACCCAUUUGACCACUCAAAUAGCCCCAUCGAACACAAUGACCCAUAUCCUCUCACUUCUCUUCCUGUCUAGGAGGCCCCGACCAAUUUUUAACUCAAAACAGGCUCGAGCCCCAAGCCCACCCUUAAAACCGUGAGCUAUAGCUCACUGAUUUACCAAAAAAUUACCCGUUUGUGCCAUUUUUCCUGUUUGACCACCGAAACAGCCUUGUCGACCCCAACAGACCACACUCUCUCGCUCCUCAACCUGUCUGGGAGCCCUCCUUGAUUUUUGAUCCAAAACACGUCUGGGCCUUGGUCCCACCCCAAGAAUCGUGAGCUAUAACACACUAAUUUAGCUUGAAAAUGGUCUGUUCGAAUUGUUUAAGCUGUUUGACAACUAAAAUAGCCCCACCGACCCCAACGACCCACUCUCCCCCACUUCUCAGCCUGCCUGGGAGCCCUCAAUUAAUUUUUAGUCCAAAACAUUUUUUGGCCCUGAGCCCACCCCUAAAAUCAUGAGCUAUAACACAUCGAUUUGGCCCAAAAAUAGUCUAUUUGCAUCUUUUCAUCUUGUUUGACCACCCAAACGGUCCCUCUGACCGGAAAGGUCCAAACUCCCUCGCUCUUCAGCCUUCCUGGCCCCCAGUCAAUUUUCGGCCCAAAAUAUGCUCGAACCCUGGGCCUACCUCCAAAACAAUGAGUUAUAGCACACCGAUGCACUAGGAUUUUGUUAUGUGUUCUGUCCUACUCAUAUUUUUUUAGUCUACCUCUACCUUGCCUAAAACUAUCCAUAACCUGUAUUUCACACCUCUGCACUAAAGAAUCAAAGCCCCUCUUCAUCAUGUGGAUGAACCAACAUAACCUAACAUUUCACAUCUUAUCCUCUACCGAAGCAGCUCUCAACUUUUCUCGAAUAAUUUCAUUCCUCACCUUAUCUUUCCUGGUAUGUCCACACAUCCAUCGUAAUAUUCUUAUCUCCGCCACCUUCAAUUUUUAGAUGUGGGAGUUCUUAACUGGCCAACACACCACUACAUACAACAUAGCUGGCUGGACUACCAUUCUGUAGAACUUAGCUUUACGUUUUGAGAGCACCUUCUAUUCACAUAGAACUCCCAAAGCAAGACUUCAUUUCAACGACCCUUCCCUAAUAUGAUUUGUUACAACCUCAUUAAUCUCAUCAUUUCCCUGAAUCAAAGACUCUAGAUUCUUGAAACUCUCUCUCUUAUGAAUGGUCUGAGAUUCUAUCUUCACAACCACUCCACCUUUCUGCGACACAUCACUGAACUUAUACUCCAGGUACUCUAUCUUGGUUCUGCUCAAUCGAAAUCCUUUAGACUCAAGCGUCUGUCUCCAAAUCUCCAACUUAUCAUUAACUUCUCUCCAAGUCUAGUCAAUCAGUACCAUAUCAUCUGCAAAUAACAUACACCAAGGCACCUUUUUCUUGAAUAUGUCACAUCAAAACAUUCAUCUCCAGGGCAAAUAAAAAUGGGCUAAGAGUCUAUCCUUAGUUCAACCCUAUCAAAACUAGGAAGUGCUCCGAAUCUGCAUCUAUCGUCAUCACACGAGUCUAAUCCCCAUCAUCCAUAUCCUGAAUCGACCUAGUGUAUGCCAUAGGCCUCCUUCUAGCCUCUAAGCACCUCCACAGAAUCUCCCUGGAAACUCUAUCAUAUGCCUUCUUAAGAUCAAUAAACACCAUGUGCAAGUCCUUCUUCCUCUCCCAAAACUGCUCCACUAAUCUUCUCACAAGGUGAAUGGCCUCAGUGGUCGAGCGCCCUGUCAUGAAACCGAACUGAUUCUCAGAGAUCAUUACGAUCCUUAUCAUCCUCAACUUUACCACCUUUUCUGAAACCUUCAUAGUAUGACUCAACAACUUAAUACCUCAAUAGUUGUUGCAACUCUGGCUGUCUCUCUUGUUCUUAUACACUGAAAUCAUAGUACUCCACCUCCACGCUUCAAGCUUCUUUGUCGCCCUAAAAAUACUAUUAAAUAACCAUGUCAACCACUCCAAACCUACUCCAUUAGUGCUCUUCCAAAAAUCCACUAGAAUCUCGUCUGUCUCCGUUGUCUAACCCCGCUACAUCCUGCGAAUAGCUCCCUUGACCUCCCAAACCUUGAUAUGCCUACAAUAACCAUAAUCGCGACACUCCUAAGAUUUCAUCAAUUGCAUUUCAAACACUAAAAGUACUUACUUGUAUCAAUUACGGAACUUCUAAUUUCAAAUCUUAAAUUUCAUUUAGUCUCAAUUCAAAAAUUAAGUGCAUAAAAUUUAUUAGUUUAUUUUAAAUUUUCAGAUAUUGUUCUAUUGCUUAUUAUUUUUACAAUGACCAAUUUUAUGAUUAAUAUCUUUAAUUAUUUUAUUUAUACAUCUUAUUGUAUCUACUAAGUUAAUUUAAUUAAGAUCUCUCAAAUCACUGUCAAAAUCACCACCCCACAAAAUACUACACCCACUUCCUAGUCUUCCCCUACAGCCACCACCCCGCCUCCCUAGUUUUUAUUAUAUUUUACUUUAUCAGAUUUUUUGUAAAAUAUUUUUCUCACAUCACCCAUCUCUUAUCCCCAAGCCACCCUCCACCAACAAAAAAAUAUUUUAUUUUUGUUUAAAAUAAAAUUUUAUAUUGCACCCACCCCUACUCCCCAAUACCUAUUCGACACCCUACCUAAUACACAUACAAAAAAAUUAUUUUUGAUUUUUUUACCUACACCACCACCCUGCCUACCCGACCUACCUAGAUCACCCCUACCUCAUAUCAACCACCAUAAUCUCUUGUUCUUCCCCUCAUCUAUCACUUUGCCUCAAUGGAAUUUAUAAUUUUGUGUUAAGUAUACACAAAUGCUAUUAGAAUAUAUCUUUUAUUUACUGAUAAAAUAUCAAUUAUCAAUUUAUUUUAGCAUCCAUGCUAUUACUAAUGUCAAAUAAUCACAUCAAAUAAAAUUAUCUAUUUUUUAAGCUCAAAAUGAACUAAUAGCUACUACUUAGUAUUUUUAUUAUCCUAAAUUUUUUGUAAAAAUAUUUACCUGAUUAAGUUCAAGCAUUUUAUAUCCCUCCAAUAAAUUAUUCUUUUUGUUAUCUAUUGAAAAUAAUUUGAGACGCAGGGGAUUAAUUCAUUAUUGAAAUGAAAUAAAAUAUAUAAGCAUACACUAUUAAAGAUCACAAUGAAAUCAUAUACAAAGAUUAAGAUUAAACAUUCAGCAAUAUGAUUUCAAAGAAAUCUUUGUGAGAAAAUUAACUCUUGAAUUCAUAAAAAGAAAUCGUUAUAAUUAACUUUAACAAACAUCAAAGCAAUAGAAAAAGAUGAUGGCAGAGAUAUAUGAUUAUGAUGAUAAAAAAGAGUAGUCAAAAAUAUGAAAGUAAUGGAAAGAGAUGAUGGACUAUGAUACCAUGAUAAUGAAAUGAAUUUGGACCUAACUCAACGUCAAAAGCUAUCUCUUGAGGUGAGAAUUGCCCAAGAUCAUAUAAGGAGACUAAGGACUCUUUAAUCCACUGAUGUGGGAUUCUCCCCUCCUUCUCCUUGCAUGCCAAGACUGGACAUCUGAAGCGUAGGCAAUAUAAUAUGGGGGACUCAACAUUGAAAACAAUGAAUUGGGUAGGCCUGACUCUGAUACCAUGUUGAAGUAUGUGACCAUCUCAUCUAAAAGUUUAACUAUUAGAGAGAGUACAAUUUUACUAUUUAAUUAUAUUCUCAGCAGUUACUUAAUAUGCUAUUUUGGAAUUGAACAAAUGAACUUUACGUGGCAUUGCAAACUGAAGAAAGACACAAAAUUUUUGUUUCAAACAGUUCAAGAAAGAAUCUUUUGUCCUUUUGAAACAAAGAAAUAGAGUCACAUUUGAUGGCUUGUUUUGUCCCUACAGUUGAACUAAGAGCACUUUGAGUGGAGGUUUUUUCUAUUAUUAAGGAUGUUCAAUUUUGGAAAAGUACUACUCCUUUAGUUUAAAAAAGGAUGGUAGACCAAACAACAUAUUAAUUUUAUACAUUAUAUUAACUCCUAAGUAGCUACCAAACCUGGAAUUACUUAUGUAGGGUUCCUACAUAAUUCGUUGCUAAGCCAGCUACCAAAUGACCCCUUAAUACCUUCUUUCUUAGUUCAUUGAGAAGACAGACCAAUGCAAGCAUAAUUCUUUUUAUGUGUAUAAUAUGUUCAAAAUCAAGGUGCAGAAUAAAUACUUUACAUAAAUACAGAACUUCCUAAAUGAGUUGACCCAAUUGAUAUAAACGGUUUGAUUUACUCAACUUCUUAUUCAUCAAUUGAUGACUACCGUAUUUUUUCUUGAGAUAUGGCAGUUAGUUUUUUUUUAUAACAAGAUUUUUUUAUAACAAAAAACAAUGUACCACUAAUGCCUCUGCAGCAACAAAAUCUUCUGAAGCAUCCAAUGAAAGUUGAGAGACUCUCUUCUUGGCUAUAGCUUUUGGUGAAUCUCUUGCUGAAAUUGAUGAAAAUUAUUCACCAUUAUUUCGACCUAUUUUAUCAUUUUUCUCAAUUUUAGUUCUCUAUAUAAAAGUCAUUAUUGGUUCUUUCCCUAGUAAUUUAAGUAGUUGAUCUAAGAAUGGAGCAACUUUUUCAGGUGCAGCUUGCGGUGGAAGCUCACAAGUGUCGGUAUUUGCAGGCAACUUGGAAGUUCCAGUUAAGGAUGGACCAACUUCCUUCAAAAUAAACAAGUUUCAAGAUGGAUCAUUUUGACUGAUCCUUUUUCCCUAUCUAUGUGCAACGAAUAUGUUGAAAAUAGUAGGUAUCAUAAUCUAGGUCCAACUGCUAGGUUCGAUAGUAACUCAAGAAUCUUUUAUCAAUUCCCCUUUCUUAGGAACCCCAGAAAAUAAAUAACACUCGAAUAGAAAAAAGUAAACUCAGACACAACAAAUGCUGAUUGUAUGAGAGGUUAUACAAAGUGGGGUUUGGAUAUAUACUCAAAUUUAGAUCCAAAAUAGGGAAAAAAAUUGAUUGACAUGAAUAAAUACUUCAACUUGUAAUCUCCACUUGGAUUCACUCACAUUUAUUGCGUUUUUCCCAAAUUUUGGGUUUAAAAUCCUUAAGUUUUUUCAAGGUGUUUGUGCUUUUCUCAGGUAUUGUUACUUGAAAAAUUAUGUUAUUUUGGCCUUGAACUAAUGAACUCUAUGUGGCAUAAUAAACUGAGGAAUGACACAAAACUUUUGUUUCAAACAGUUCAAGAAAGAAUCUUUUGUCUUUUUUGAAACAAAGAAAUAGAGCCACAUUUCUUGGAAUGAUUUGUCCACUCAUGGUGCUCUUAGUUCAACUGUAGGGACAAAAUAUUUCAACAAAUGUGGCUCUAUUUCUUUGUUUCAAAAAGUCAAAAGAUUCUUUAUUGAACUGUUUGAAACAAAACUUGUGUCUUUCUUUAGUUUGUUACGCCACGUAGAGUUCAUUAGUUCAAUGCCAAAACAACAUAACUGUUCAAGUAACAUUACCUGAGAAAAGCACAAACACACUAAAAAACUUAGGGAUUUUAAACCCAAAAUUUAAGAAAAAAUGCAAUAAAUGUGAGUGAAUCCAAGUGGAGAUUACAAUUUGGAUUGUUUAUUCAUGUCAGUCAAUUUUUUCCCAAUUUUGGUCCUAAAUUUAAGUAUAUGUACAAGCCCCACUUUGUGUAACCUCUCAUACAAUCAACAUUUAUUGUGUCUGAGUUUACCUUUUUCUGGUCGAGUGUUAUUUAUUUUUGGGGGUUCUUGAGAAAGGGAAAUUGAUAAGAGAUUCUUGAGUUACUAUCUAACCUAGCAGCUGGACCUAGAUUGUGAUAUCUAUUAUUAUCAACAUGUUCCUUGCAUAUAGCUAGGGAAGAAUUAUCUUUCAAAAUGAUCCAUCUUGAAUCUUGUUUAUUUUGAAGAAGUUGGUCCAUCUUUACCUGGAUCUUCCAACUUGCCUGCAAAUGCCGACUCUGGUGAGCUUCCACUGCAUGUUGCACCUGAAAAAUUGCUCUAUUCUUAGAUCAAUCACUUAAAUUGUUAGGGAAGGAUCCAAUAAUUACUUCUAUAAAGAGAUAUGAAAAUGCGAAAGAUGACAAAAUAGAUCAAAAUGAUGGUGUAGAAUUUUUAUCAUUUCAGCAAGAGAUUUACCAAGAGCUAUAGCCGAGAAGAGAGUCUCUCAACUUUCAUUGGAUGCUUCAGAAGACUUUGCUUCUAUGGAGGCAUUAGUGGUAUAUUUUAUUAUUUUUUAGUUAUCAAAAAAACCCUACCUUCAGAUCCCGUGAUAAAAGAAGAAAGAUAGGAUAUUGGACUCCCAUCUCAUUUAGUAGGAAAGGGCCCAAAAUCUCUCACCUUUUCUUUACUGAUGAUCUAACUCUGUGUGCUAUUACUAAUGAAAGAAACUGUGAAACCGUCCGAGGCACUCUUAGCAGCUUCACCUUCCACUCUAUCCAAAAAAUUAACACUCUCAAAUCUAAAGUAAUCUUCUCUAGAAACUGUGGUCAGGAGACCAAAGAUAGUUUGUCUCACAUCUUAGGCAUCCAAUCCAAAGACGAGUUUGGCAAAUACCUUGGUUUUCCCGUGUUCCACAAAAAACCUUGCAAUAGAGAUUUCCAAUUCAUCCUAGACAAUCUCAACACUAAGUUGGCUGGAUGGAAAACCAAAUUCCUCAAUAUGGCUAGCAGAAUCACCCUUACCAAAUCCUCCCUUGCUAGUAUUCCCACUCAUGUCACGUAAUUCAUUUUGAUCCCCUCUAAAAUCCACUAAUUGAUUGACAGAAUCCAAAAGAACUUUCUCUCGGGCACCACCCCUGAUAAUAAGAAAAUGCAUCUAAUCAAUUGGGAAACCUUGACUAAUGCUAAAGCUAAUGGGGGACUGGGCCUCCAGAGAGCUUCUAUUAUGAACACCACUAUGCUAUCCAGUCUAGCCUGGAGAAUUUACAAGCGUCCCAACAGUAUCUGGGCAAAAAUUCUUUAAAAUAAAUUAGCCCCCAUGGCAUAUCCCUCAAAGCUAAAAACUUUAGAACUUUGAAAAGUGUCUUUGUGGGUUGGGAAAUUUGUAGAAAAUUUGUAGAACUGCCUCCUCUUGGAAUAUCCAUAAGGAUGACAAGAUCAACUUCUGGAAGGACAGAUGGAUGCCUCACUGUGAACUCCUUCUUUCCAUCAUCCAAUCCCUUCUUCCUUAUCAUUCCCAAGAUAUUAAAAUCUCUGGGGUCUAGAGAAAUGGCUCCUGGAACCUCAAGGAUCUUCCAGUUGAAAUCCCUGAGGAUCUCAUCCAAACUUUCACCAACUUCGUUUUCCCCAAUCCUAGAGCCAAUACUGAUGAGCUCAUUUGGCAUGUCACCGAUAAUUGUCUGUUCUCCAGCAGAAAUACUUAUAAUCAUAUAGCCAAAACCUUUGAGAUCAAUUACUCCUCUAAUUUCAACUGGAUAUGGAAGGCUAAAUCCCCUAAAAAGUCAAAACCUUUCUUUGGCUAGGCCAGCAUGAUAGGUUCCCCAAUAACCUCAACCUCUCCAAGUGAGGAGUGAGACAAAAUAUUAGUUGUGCUAUCUGCAAUCAUCACCAGGAAGACAAAUCCCACAUUUUCUUUAAGUGUCCCAUCCUCAAAGAUUUUGGAGUGCAAACUAUCCACAAGAUGACCCAGUCCAAAUAACUUCCUAUUACCAGUUUCCUACCCUCUUACUGGCACACUAUCUGGAGAUAUCUUCAACACUCCCAAUUUAAUAAACUAAUCCACUGGCACGAUAUCAUUCUUUUCAGCCUCUAGACAAUCUAGAACACCAGGAACUCUAAUACCUUCAAUAAUAAAAGGGAUCAUCCCAAUUUAAACUAUGCUUACUCCCAAGUUUUUGAGUAUAAAUAUCUUACUCAAAAGAAUACCCCAAUCAAGCAAAACCAAAUCAUCAACAUUAAGUGGAAUCCUCCCACCAGCCACACCUUUAAGCUCAAUACUGAUAAUUCUUGCCUUAGAAACCUCGGGAAGGGUGGAAUAGGAGAGAUAGUCAGAUCUAGUAAUGGAUGCUGUGUUAGGUUUUAACAAAAACUUUCACCGAACUCCCAACAACAUGAUAGAACUUAUGGCUCUCAUUGAAGGAUUAAACUGGUAGAGAAAAAUAAUCUUCUCCCCAUUGAAAUUAACAUUAAUUCCUUGGAAGUUAUAUCUAUGUUAACUAACGGGAACCUCUACUAUGAUACUUUGAUUUCGGAAUGCAGGUCAAAAUUAAGAAGGUUACGAAAUCCGGAAGCCAAGCACUGUUAUAGAGCACAAAAUGAAGUGGCGAAUGCUCUAGCAAAAGACGAAGCAUGGGCAAGCGGGUUUCAUGAGACUACCCUUUUGGAAGUUCCACCGAUAUGUGUAAAAGAUACAGUUUGAGCAGACAUCUCGAAAUUUUUUUGAGAGAACAAUUAGCUCUUAUAAUGAUGAUUUUAACUGGCCAGGCCAGAACUAUUCCUUUUUGAACCCUGACUAAUCGUCAAAAAUUGAAACUUAAACUGCGUUCUCUUUUAUAUUAAUGCAUGUCCUUUCUACCAAAAAAAUAAUAUUAUUUCGCAUAUUGAAUCAUUGAAAAAAAUGAUAUUUAUAUCAUUUAAAUUGAUGGACCUUGAACAUUCAUAAAGAAAGAUAAGUUGAAAAUGUUAUAUCAUUCCUGCAAAUCGAAAGAAUGUUAUCAAAUCAAGAAUAAUUUUUUAAAAUCAAAAAAUUAAAAAAUACAGUAAAUAAAAUCACCAAUAAAGCUAAUGAUAGAGAAGUAUAUGUAAGAAAGGCUAAGUGAAAGAAUUUUAUUUAUAUUCAGAUAUCAUUUAAAUACAAAUUCAAAUAUCACAUAUGUUUAUUAAAAUAAGAUUAAUUUAUUAUUCUUCCUUUUCCUUAUCCUUACAUUUUUCAAAUGCAAUAUAUAUUUAAAAUUAAUAUAGAUUUGAGUUGAGAUAAAUAUUGAAAUCAAUGAGACAAUACUAAUACUAAUUCUAAUACUAACACUAACACUAAUACUAAUACUAAUACUAAUACUAAUACUAAUACUAAUACUAAUACUAAUACUAAUACUAAUACUAAUACUAAUACUAAUACUAAUACUAAUACUAAUACUAAUACUAAUACUAAUACUAAUACUAAUACUAAUACUAAUACUAAUACUAAUACUAAUACUAAUACUAAUACUAAUACUAAUACUAAUACUAAUACUAAUACUAAUAACAAUAAUAACAUUUUAACUAUUUUUACUUUACCGCUAUUAGAUUGCACUACUAUUAUUAUUUGUUCAUUGUUAUUUGAGAUAAAUAUUAAGAUAAAUCGUGUAGCAAAAGAAAAAAAAUUGUGUGCCAUGAUUACUAAUUAAGUACAUCUAAAUUAUAAGUUUAUCUUUGAAAGUAUGUUUUAUCUCCAAUUUAAAUUCAAAAAAAAUUGAUAGAAUAACCAAUAUCUUAGAUGAGAGGUUAAAACCGUCAAUAAAGGUCAGGCUCAUUGGGAUGACCCGGCCCAGCUUGUAAUUUGAUAGGGCUAGGCUAUAAUUUUUAUAGCCCAUUUAAGAAUAGGGCCUUUUAGCCCUUCAUGAAUAAGUCUAUUGACCCGUCGGCUUGAGCAAUAUGGGUUUGGGUGACCCGUGGGUCAAAUAAAAAUAAUUAAAAAAUUAAAUAUAGUACAAAGAAUAAAAAAAGGAGUCUACAAUUUUUACAGUCCGUUUAAGAAUAGGCUUUUUAGCCCGACCCAUAUAAAUCAGUUGGUCCGUGAGACUUGAGCAAUAUGGGCCGGACUGGCCCGUGGGCCAAAUAAAAAAUAAUUAAAAAAUAAAAUAAAGUACUAAAAAUAAGAAAAAGAGUCCAAACUCAAAGUCUAUUUACACUGUCAUAUAUAUAUAUAUAUAUUUAAAUAUUAAUUAUAUUUAUAAAAUAUAUAAAUAAUUAACAUAUAAAAUAUAAUUUUUGUAAGAAAUCAAAUAUGUUUAAUGAAGAUGACGUGGCGAUGUUGAAUACACCAUAAAUGCCAUGAGAGUUUUCUUUAAAGCAUUUAUUUUACUUUUAAUGGACUAAAUAUUGACAUUUCAUUGUGUUUUAUUGUGAUCAAUUAAAACAAAAUUAGGUUAAUAUUGUUAUUUACCGAGUUAUAUUAUAAAUCAUUAAUUAUUUUAUUUAUUUUUCAACAUCUCUAUUUGAUUUUAAUUUGGUGUCAAAAGUUAUUCAAUUUCCCAGAUUAUUAGGAUCUUUUUGUAAAUUUGAGACUUAAUUAAUGAGUAGUAACUUCAAGCAAUAUUAUAUUGUAAAUAUAUAUGCAAUUAAUAUUUUAAAAUUUAAAUUAAGAUUAUAAAAAUAAUAUAUUUUAAAAAAUGGGCUGGCCCGUGGAGGCCCACAACCAUAGUGUGACGGGUUGGGCAUGCUAAUUUCUAGUCUGUCAUGUUGAUGGGUUAACCUAGCCGGGCCCGUCAAACUCUAAAGCCCGUGUGAGCUAGCCCGGAUAAGCUGGUUCGAUCCAUAUUAACAACUCUAGGAGCAGUUAUAUAACAAUAAGAAUCCAAUUAGAACUGUUUAGUGUUAUAACUAUGUACUUCUAGUAUGUAAUUUUAUAUUUUUUUAAUAUUAUAUUAAAUUUAAAGUCAACAAUUUAUUUGUAAUGCCCCAAGAUCCCAUCCUGAGACGCCACACGAUGCUUAAGGCCACACGUGGCCUCAAGCUAACCCUCUAAACCUGUCAUCACUUCUAGAAAUCACUUUGACAAUACUCAUGCUAAUAUAAGAGAGAAUGACAUAUGAUAUACAUACUGGAAUAAGAUACGAAACAGUAUAACAUCAAAAUCAAGGAGGCAUUGGGACAAACCCCCAACAGACUCAAACAGUACUGAAAGCCAUAACAAUAAUAUGAUAUCACAAAAUUAUAAACACGUUCCUCGAACCAUGAGGACUCACCACUGAGUAGCCAAAAAGAGGCACCCGAAUAUCACUAAUGCGGCUGACUACCUGAACCUACAUCACGAGAAAACAUAGCCCUUAGGAAAAUAUGUGGGUCAGCACUUUGGAAUGUACUGAGUAUGUGGGGGUGCAUGCAACAAUGUAAAUAUCUUCAUCAAUUUCAUGAAAAUAUGCAUAUGUACAAUGGCUCACUUGGCUUGAGUUAGAUUGAAACAUACUUUUCAUGAUCUCAUCGUAAAUCAUAUGAUAAAAACCUCAUAAUCAUCAUAAACAACUCAACUCUUCAACUCAAGAUUCGGAGUGACUCAAUAAUUCAAGAAACUCGACUCUUAUGGACAUGGGAGGUUCUUAUAACCGACAUAAACCAUGUGAGCUACAUAGAGUCCAAUGUUUUGCCCUCUUAAGGAUAGAAUCGCACAUUGGCGGGAGCGUCGUACUCUUGCCAGGGAGUACAACAUAAAUUUUGUGAUCACAAUCUCAUACUCGGCCUCCGGCCCACAAUUAUAAAUAUCAAUCCUAUGGUGGAACGUAGUUUCUGGGAAAAUACCACAUUUUCUGCUCGGUGCUAAAUACUACUCCCAUAAACAAGCUCAAAACGCGUUAGUAAAUCCACCACAAACAUCACAAGGGUCUAUCAUGAAGACGAAAUCAAAUCUCUUUCUAAUUUAUCAAAUCAUAAUCAAUUUGUGGAUUCCUAACUCAACUCAACUCAAAUCAAUCUUUCUCAAUAUCAAAAUGCAUCAAUUCAUUAAGUCAUGGCAACAUCAAUAACUUUGAGUAAAUAUAAAGUCUCAUUGUAACAAUUCAAUUCUCAUGAAUCAAUAUACUCUAUAGUUCAAUAUGUCAUAAGGAAGCUUAAAUAUUGANNNNNNNNNNNNNNNNNNNNNNNNNNNNNNNNNNNNNNNNNNNNNNNNNNNNNNNNNNNNNNNNNNNNNNNNNNNNNNNNNNNNAUGAAGUAAUUUGGGUAUAAACCCACUUGCAAAAUCAUAUAAAUCCAUUAUAAAAAUCAAAGCUAUGAGCACAAGAACGAAAGAAUUACUCUUGUUCAAAACCCCACAUACUUUAAUCUUUGAAAUUGGUUGAACUCUAGUGCUUGAGACUUUACUCACACUUGUAAUAAAAAAAUUCCUUGAAGCCCACUCUAUGAGGAACUUAUUCUUGAAGGAAUCUUGAAGAUUUAUGGAUGAUUUUUGGAAGAUUAAUUUCCUUAAAUAAAACCCUAGAUAUAUUUCUUAAGAGAAUUGGAAGAGAGAUAUGAAGAAAUUAGGUUUUGGAUGAGGAUUCUCAUAUAUAUAGAGGCCUCCAAAAAUGGGGAAUGACUAAAAUACGCUUGCAAAAAUCAUCCAUCAAUUGCUGAAGAAAAUAGUUGACGACAUCCGUAACAAGCUAUCCGGCCCAUGAUAGGCCGUCAUGAAUUUUCAUCAUAAAAAGGGUGGAUUUGGUGACUUUCUGCCUUAAGGUGAUGACAUUUUGUGACGGGCCGUCAGGCUUGUGACAAGUCAUCACAAAAGUUCAUCACGGAUUUUCCAGGCUGACAUGCGGGGGUAAAAUAAGCAUAACUCUUUGCUCCGAUAUCGGUUUUGACGAAAUGGGUAUCAUUGGGAAGCUAAUUCAACUAUCUAUAUUUUGGUAGGUCAGAAAAUCAGUAAUUCGUAGUAGAACGGAAGAUAUUCUCAUUUGAAGUUGACUAUGCCAAAAUCCUUCUCAAGAAUUCAAUCGGUAAAGAAUGUUUUGAUUCGCCCAAGCAUUAAGACAUAUUUAAAUCCUUAAUACACAUCACCCUUGACCAGAAAACAACCAAAACACUAUAAUUUAUUUCUCAUGGGAUUGAGUCAUGGAGGCACUAUUGAUUAGAAUCUCAGGGUAUUAACAACCCUCCCCUUGGAAACAUUCGUCCUUGAAUAUUGCCAGAUAGGCCAAGAAUAAGAGAAAAAUAAGGACGUAUAGCUGGAAAGACUCACUCAAAAGACUUACUUCACUCUAUACCUUCGAAUACUAUAGAAAAUGCACUAAUUCGUGAUGAAAGUAGACACACUGCUAGAUCUUUAAUAACCAGGGGGCGGAAUUAGGGAAGAAUGAUACUUGUUGCACGCUCCAAACUCACAGAAAAGAGGUGAGGAUACAUGGCUCGUAUAUCAGCUUCGUCUUCCCAAGUAUCACUCUCAACAUAUUGAUUUCUCCAAAGCACUUAAACCAAAGGAACUUCUUUGUUCCUUAGCUUACGGAUCCGAAAAUCCAAAAUCUCGACCAGAAUCUUCUCGAAUGAAAGGCUAUCCUGAAUAUCUAAUCUUUCGGAAGAAUCAACCACGACAGAAUCACCAAUACACUUCUUAAGCAUAGAAAUAUGAAAUACCGGAUGAACGCUAGACAACUCCGUGGGUAGAUCUACCUCAUAAGCUACUUUCCUAACACGGAUCACAACCCUAUAUGUACCAACAUAACGGGGACUAAGCUUUCCCUUCUUCCUAAAUCUCUUCACCUCUUUCAUGGGUAAAAUCUUCAAGUACACCAAAUCACUAACAUUAAGCUCAAGAUCUUUUCAUCUCACAUCAGCAUACGACUUCUGAUGACUUUGAGCAGUUUUCAAUCUUUCUUGAAUCAACUUAAAUUUUUCCAUAGCCUUGAACACAGCAUCCGGCCCAAUCACUACUGCUUCUCCUACUUCAAACCAACCUAUGGGCUAUCUACAUCUUCUCUCAUACAAAGCUUCGAACGGGGCCAUCUGAAUACUAGCAUGGAAACUAUUAAUAUAUGCAAAAUCGAUCAAUGGCAAGUGUUUAUCCCAACUACCUUUGAAAUCAAGAGCACAUGACCUCAACAUGUCCUCCAAAGUCUGAAUAGUCCUUUCAGCCUGACCAUCAGUCUACAGAUGAAAAGCAGAACUUAGAUGAACUAGGGUACCGAUACCAUUCUGAAAAGCCCUCCAAAACUGGGAAGUAAACUGAGUACCCCUAUCAGACAUGAUAGCCAAAGGAACUCCAUGCAAUUAGACUAACUCACGGAUAUACAAUCUAGCAUAAUCCUCAGUAGUAUAAGAUGAAUGCACUGGCAAGAAAUGAGCUGAUUUAGUCACUUGUUCUACGACAAUCCAAAUCAAAUCAUAAUGACGAUAAGAAGGAGGUAAACCAAUUACGAAAUCCAUAUUUACUUCUUCCCACUUCCAAGUAGGAAUGCUAAACUCUUGCAUUACAGCACCGAGCCUCUGGUGCUCUACCUUAACUUGUUGACAAGUAGAACACUUUGCCACAAAUCCUGCUAUGUCUUUCUUCAUACCAUUCCACCAAUAGAGUUCCCACAAAUUGCGGUACAUCUUGGUAGCACCAGGAUGAAUAAAAUAUCGCGCACCAUGUGCUUCAGCCAUAAUUCUCUUCCUCAAAUCAUCAACAUUUGGAACACACAGUCUACCUUGCAAUCUCAACAUACCAUCUCCCCCUUGGGAGAAAACCUCCACCUUCUGGUCCUUAACUGACUUCUUCAGUCUGACCAAACUAGGAUACCUGUCUUGCUUCUCCUUUACCUCGGAUACCAAAGAGGACUCGGAAAAACUCUGAGCUAACAUACUCCCUUCAGCGGAAUCAAGAAAUCUAACACCCAACCGUGCCAAACGAUGCUCAUCACAAGCUAAUUCUUUCUUAUCAUUCUGUACAUGUCCUAUACUACCCUUAGACAACCUAAUAAGAGCAUCUACUACAAUAUUGGCCAUGCCUGGGUGAUACAUUAUACUCAUGUCGUAGUCUUUUAGAAACUCUCAUCAUCUUCUUGUCUAAGGUUCAACUUCCUCUGAGUAAACACAUAUUCCAAGCUUUUGUGAUCAGUAAACACAUCAACAUGAACACCAUACAAAUAUUGUCUCCAGAUUUUCAAAGAAAAAUCUACAACUGAUAAUUUAAGAUCAUGGGUUGGGUAACUGUUCUCAUGAGGCUUCAACUGUCUAGAGGCAUAAGCUAUAACUUUACCCCUCUGUAUCAACACAAAACCUAGACCAACUUUAGAAGCAUCGCAGUACACCACAAGACCAUCAGAACCAUUGGGUAAAGUUAACACUAGGGCUAACGUGAGUCGAGUCUUCAACUCUAGAAAACUCUUCUCACAGGAAUCUAUCAACUAGAACUUAACUUUAUUUUGGGCCAACUGGGUCAUGGGAGACGUGAUAGAAGAGAAGCCCUCAACAAAAUGAUGGUAGUAACCAGGUAGACCCAAGAAACUCCAAAUAUUAUACGGGGAGGUAAGUCUAGGCCAAUUCUUCACAGCUUCUAUCUUUUGAGUAUCAAUUCUAAUACCUUUAGAAGAAACAAUAUGACUCAGAAAAGCAACUGACCUUAACCAAAAUUCACAGUUGCAAAAUUUGGCAAAUAAUUGAUGAGCUCUAAGGGUUUCCAACACAAUUCGAAGAUGAUUCGCAUGGUCAUCCUUACUUCAAGAAUAUACAAUAAUAUCAUCUAUGAAUACAAAAACAAACAAAUCCAAAUACCGCUUGAAUGCUCAGUUCAUAAGAUACAUGAAAGCCGCUGGAGCAUUGGUUAACCCAAAGGACAUGACAAGAAACUCAAAAUUGCCAUAGUGGGUUUGGAAAGCUGUCUUUGGAAUAUCAUACUCUCUCACUCUAAGCUGAUGAUAGCCGAAUCUAAGUUCUAUCUUUGAGAAAUAACUUACACCCUGUAGCUGAUCAAAUAAAUCAUCAAUUCUAGGAAGAGGGUACUUGUUAUUAAUAGUUACCUUGUUGAGUUGACGGUAGUCAAUGCACAUACGCAAUGUACCAUCUUUCUUCCACACAAAUAGAACAAGUGCACCCCAUGGGGAAACACUGGGUUUAAUAAAGGCUUUUCUAAGAGGUCUUUGAGUUGCUUCUUCAAAUCUUUAAGUUCUGUGGGAGCCAUAUGGUAUGGAGGGAUAGAAAUAGGCUGAGUGCUAGGAAGGAGAUCAAUCCCAAAUUGUAUUUCUCUAUCAGGUAGGACCCCUGGAAGGUCUUCCAGGAAAACAUCAGGAAACUCUUUAACAAUGCUAACUGACUGAAUAGUCGGAGUCUCGGACUUGAGGUCUUUAACUCAAACUAAAUGAUAAAUGCAACCCUUGGAAAUCAACUUCCUAGAUUUGAGGUAGGAUAUGAAAUGGCUCUUUGGAGUUAUAGAACUCCCGAACCACUCAAACAUGGCUUUAUUAGGAAACUAAAACUUGACCACUCGGGUAUGACAAUAUAUAGAUGCAUAGCACGAAUGAAGCCAAUAUAUACCCAGAAUGACGUCAAAAUUAACUAUAUCUAGCUCAAUUAAAUCAGCACAUAUGACCCAAUGAAGGACAGUAGCAAGAGACUUCUUAUACACUCGCUUAGCAAUAAUAGACUCUCCUACAGGGGUAGAAACUAAAAUAGGCUCAAGAAUCCGUUUAGGGUCCAUAACAAAAUUUAGAGCAAUCAAAGGUGUCACAUAAAAGAAACUUGAACCGAGGUCCAUCAAUACAUACACAUCAAAAUAAAAGAUGUGGAGCAUUCUAGUGACGACAUCUUGAGAAUCCUCCUGCUCCUUGCGAGGUGGUAUAGCAUAGAUGCAAUUCUAGCGUGAACUGCCAACAGUACUAUAAGAGGUGCCCUGAGGAGGAACUGGGCUGACUACGGGAGUGGGGUAACUAGUAGCCUAGCUCUGGGGAUGAGCAUCUCGACUCCCCUAUCUAGCAUACGGAUAAUCUCUAAGUCGGUGGGCAAACUUCCCACAACCAAAGCAACCUCUCUGAUCAACAAAACACUCACCAGAAAAAUCUAUGCCAUAUUUGGCAUAUGAAGAAGGAUGAGGUCUGUUAUUUAUACUUUCCUAAGACCUGGAUGGGAUAGUCCUGUUCCCCUACUCCUGCCUACUUCUAAGUGUGGAAGCACUAAAUGAGAAAGGCACGAGCAUAAACGCACAUCUCUAGAAUUGAGUGUGGUCCCCUUCAUAGAAUCUAGACUGACCGAAUCCUUGUUGCUCUGAUCUAGCUCUUCUAUUCCCUCUUACUCUCUCCCUCUCUUUCACCUUAACAACUUCAAUCUAUUAGACAUGUAUCAUCAACUGAGAAAGGUCCAUCUCUAUAUUAAGCAUAACGGAUCUACACUCUUUACAGACCGGUCACGAACUUACUCAUGAUGGUCCAGGAGUCAGCCAUCUUACUAGGUGCAUAUUUAGGCAACUGAUUGAAUCUAAGGAAAUACUCUUUAACAGUCAUGGAGCCUUGUCUCAAAUUCAUGAAUUUCUCUAUCUUCACUUCCCUCAUAUCAAGAGGAAAGAAUCUGUCCAAGAACGCAUCCAGAAAUAACAACCAAGUCAUGGCAACGUCUUAUAUUCGAUAGGCAGCCAAUUUAACACUCUCCUCCUCAAUCACAUGCAUAAUCUAGGUGAUUUUUCUCACUUCAUACAAGUACAUCUGUGGGCCAGCACCUACCUUCGACCCAUAGAACUCAGGCGGAUUCAUCCGCAUAAAGACACAAUCCUGAGCUACAGCAGCAUUAUUCUCUUGUGAAGGAAGAAUAGUAGCCUGGUUGUUAGCUUGAGUAUUGGCAAUAACUGCCUGGGCUAGCGCCUGAAAAACUGCUCGGAAUUCUACAUGUAACAUAUGCUCGUUCUGGGGAUCAACGGGUUGAGGUUGCUCGUUGUUUCUACGAGCUCGAUGAGGAAGUAUUUUCUGUCAUAAUAGAGCACGAAUUAGUAGAAGAAGGAAACAGUCGUAGGCACAAGAGACUUUUGAAAGAAAAAAAUGACUUUUCCUAAAACAUCCCGUAGCUUCUUGCUCAUAGAUGUGGCGCGCUACAUACCGAUGAUCAAGACUCAAUGUAAUACGGCUUGCCAGACUCCCUAGGACUCUUUAAACUGUAGGCUCUGAUACCAAGCUUGUAACACCCCAAAAUCUCAUCCCGAUACGUCAAACGGUGCUUAAGGCCACAUGCGGCCUCAAUCUAACCCUCUAAACCCGUCAUCACUUCUAUAACUCACUUUGACUAUAGUCAUGCUAUUAUAAGAGAGAAUGACAUAUCAUAAACAUACUGGAAUAAGAUACUAAACUAUCCUGUAUAAUCCAAAAUACUGAAAUUCUGUACAUACCAACACUUUAGUCUGACAAAGCCUCUAUACAUCAAAAUCAAGGAGACAUUGGGACAAACCCCCAACAAACUCAAACAGUACUGAAAACCAUUACAACAAAACGGUAGCACAAAAUUAUAAACAUGGUCCUUGAACCAUGAAGACUCACCACUGAGCAGACGAAAAGAGGCACCCGAAUAUCGCUAAUGCGGCUGAGUACCUGAACCUACAUUACGAGAAAAUGUAACCCAUAGAAAAAUAUGUAGGUCAUCUCCUUGGAAUGUACUGAGUAUGUGGGGGUGCAUGCAACAAUGUAAAUAUCAUCGCAUAUGUACAAUGAUGGCUCACUUGCCUUGAAUUGAUUGAAACAUAAUUUUUAUGAUCUCAUCGUGAAUAAAUCAUAUGAUAAAAACCUCAUAUAUCAUCAUAAACAACUCAACUCAAGAUUCAAGACUUGGAGUGACCUGUAAUUUAUGAAACUCGACUCUUAUGGACAUAGGAGGUUCUUAUAACCGACAUAAACCAUGUGAGCUACAUGGAGUCCAAUAUUUUGCCAUCCUAAGGAGAAAACUCGACAUUGUCGGGAGCGUCAUACUCUUGCUAGGGAGUACUACCUAAAUUUAGUGAUCACAAUCUCAUACUCGGCCUCUGGCCCACAAUUAUCAAUAUCAAUCCUACGGUGGCACGUAGUUUUGGGGGAAAUACCAUAUUUCCUGCUCGGUGCCCAAUACUACUCUCAGACAUGACUUCAGAACGCGUUAGGAAAUCCACCACAAACUUCACAAGGGUUUAUCAUGAAGAACAUAUCAAAUCUCUUUCUAAUUUAUCAAAUCCUAACCAAUUUGUGGAUUCCUAACUCGACUCAAAUCAAAUCAAUCUUUCUCAAUAUCAAAAUGCAUCAAUUCAUUUAGUCAUGGCAACAUCAAUAACUUUGAGGAAAUAUUAAGACUCAUUAUAACAACUCAAUUCUCAUGAAUCAAUAUACUCAAUAAUCCAAUUUUUCAUAAGGAAGCUUAAAGCUUGACACAUAUCUUGAAAGCACUUGAAAUAAAAACACAUGGUAGAAACUUGAAAUUCACUAUAUUAAAUAUCAAGUCAUAACUUGGAAAUUGUAAAAUAAUCAUGUAUAACAAAGCUUGAACGAUUUAUAUUCUCAUAAUCUCAUGAUGAAGUAAUUUGGGUAUAAACCAACUUGUAAAAUCAAAUAAAUCCAUAAUAAAAAUCAAAGCUUUGAGCACAAGAACGAAAGAAUUGCUCUUGUUUAAAACCCCACAUACCUUAAUCUUUGAAAUUGGUUGAACUCUAGUGCUUGAGACUUCACUCACACUUGUAAUAAAAAAAUUCUUGAAGCCCACUCUAUGAGGAACUUGAUUCUUGAAGGAAUCUUGAAGAUUUAUGGAUGAUUUUUGGAAUAAUAAUUUCCUUAAAUAAAACCCUAGAUAUAUUUCUUAAGAGAAUUGGAAGAGAAAAAUGAAGAAAUUAGGUUUUGGAUGAGGAUUCUCAUAUAUAUAGAGGCCUCCAAAAAUGAGAAAUGACUAAAAUACCCUUGCAAACAUCGUCCAUCAAUUGCUAAAAAAAAAUAGAUGACGACUUCCGUCAUAAGCUGUCAGGCGCGUGAUAGGCCGUCACGAAUUGUCGUCCUAAAAAUGGUGGAUUUUAUGACUUUCUGCCUUAAGGUGACGACAUUUUGUGAUAGGCCGUCAGGUUUGUAAUAAGUCAUCACAAAAGGUCGUCACGGAUUUUCAAACUCUGGAGUAAAAUAAAUAUAACUCUUUGCUCCGAUAUUGGAUUUUGAUGAUCUUUUGGUAGGUUAUGAGCUAAAUAUUCAUAGUACAACGGGACAUAUGCUCAUUUAAAGUUGACAAUGUCAAAAUCCUUCACAAGAAUUCAAUCGGUACAGAAUGUUUUGAUUCGCCCAAGUGUUAGGACAUAUUUAAAGCCUUAAUACACAUCACCCUUGACCAGAAAACAACCAAACCACUAUAAUUUAUUUCUCAUGGUCUUGAUUAGUUGCGGCACUAUUGGUUAGAAUCUCAGGGUAUUCUAUUUCUCUAUCUGGUGAGACCCCUGGAAGGUCUUUCGGGAAAACAUCGGUAAACUCUUUAACAAUGCUAACUGACUAAACAGUCGGAGUCUCGAACUUGAGGUCUUUAACUCAAACUAGAUGAUAGAUGCAACCCUUAGAAAUCAACUUCCUAGAUUUGAGGUAGGAUAUGAAACGACUCUUCGGAGUUACAGAACUCCCAAACCACUCAAAUACGGGUUCGUUAGGAAACUGAAACUUGACCACUUGGGUAUGACAAUGUAUAUAUGCAUAGCAUGAGUGAAGCCUAUCUAUACCCAGAAUGACAUCAAAAUUAACCAUAUCUGCUCAAUCAAAUCAACACAUAUGACCUGAUGAAGGAUAGUAAAAGGACGCUUCUUAUACACUCACUUAGCAAUAAUAGACUCUCCUGGUGGGGUAGAAACCAGAAUAGGCUCAGGAAUAUGUUCAGGGCCCAUCUCAAAAUUUAUAGCAACCAGAGAUGUCAUAUAAGAAAAAAUUGAAUAGGGGUCCAUCAAUACAUAUACAUCAAAAUAAAAGACACGGAGCAUACCAGUGACAACAUCUAGAGAAUCCUCCAGCUCCUGGCGAGGUGGUAUAUCAUAGAAGCAAUGAUGGCGUGAACCGCCAAUAGAAUAUGGGAGCGGGGGCACUGGUAGCCUGACUCUAGGGAUGAGCUUCUCGAAUCCCCUAUCUAGAAUACGAAUAAUCUCUAAGUCGGUGGCCCAACUUGCCAUAACUAAAGCAACAUCUCUGAUCAAUAAAACACUCGCCAAAAUGAUCUCUACCACACUUGGCAUAUGAAAGGGGAUGAGGUCUGUUACUCACACUCUCCUAAGUCCUGGAUAGGAUAGUCCUUUUCCCCUGCUCUUUCCUGCUUCUAGGUGCGGGAAAACUAACUGAGGAAGGCACGGUUAUAAAUGGACAUCUCUGGAAUUAAGGGCGGUCCCCUCUAUCAAAUUUGGACUGACCGAAUCCCUGCUUCCCUGAUCUACCUCUUUUAUUCCCUCUUACUAUCUCCCUCUCUUUUACCUUAUCAGCUUUAAUCUAUUGGGCAUGUAUCAUCAAUCGAGAAAGGUCCAUCUCUCUAUUAAGCAUAGAAGAUCUACACUCUUUAAUAAUGUAACUCGACACCUACGUCACGCCCUGGAGUCAGCCAUCAUACUAGGGGCAUAUUUGGACAACUGAUUGAAUCUAAGGCAAUACUCCUUAACAGUCAUGGAUCCUUGUCUCAAAUUCAUGAAUUCCUUUAUCCUUGCUUCUCUCAUCUCAAGAGGAAAGAAUCUAUCCAAGAAUGUAUCCUGGAAUAGCUUCCAAGUCAUGGGAGCGCCAUCCUUCGCUCUACUUUUCCUCCACACUUCCUCCCAAUCAUAUGCAAUAUCUUUCAUUCGAUAGGCAGCCAAUUCAACACUCUCCUCCUUAGUCAUGUGCAUAAUCUGGGUGAUCUUUCUCACUUCAUCCAAGUACAUCUGUGGGUCUUCACCUACCUUCGACCCAUAGAACUCAAGCGAAUUAAUAAGCAUAAAGUCACGAACCUGAGCUGCAGUAGAAUUAUUCUCUUGCGGAGGCGGAACAGUAGUAUGGUUGUUAUAAUGAGUAUUGGUGGUAACUUCCUAGGCUAGCACCUGAAAAGCUGCCCAAAAUUCUGCAUGUGAAACAUGCUCGUUUAGGGGAUCAACGGGUUAAGGUUGCUCAUUUUUUCUACGAGCUCGAUGAGGAGGUAUUUUCUGUCAUAAAAGAGCAUGAAUUAAUAGUAGAGAGAAAUAGUCAUAGGCACAAUAGAAUUUUAAAAGAAAACAAUGACUUUUCCUAAAACAUCCCAUAGCCUCUUGCUCAUAGAUAUGGCGUGCUACACACAAAUGAUCAAGACUCUACGUAACGCGGCAUGCUAGACACCCUAGGACUCUUUAAACCUUAGGAUAUGAAACCAAGCUUGUAACGCCCUAAGAUCCCAUCCCGAAACAUCACAUGGUGCUUAAGGCCAUACGCGGCCUCAAGCUAACCCUCUAAAACAAUCAUCACUUCUAGAACUCACUUUGACAAUAGUCAUGCUAAUAUAAGAGAGAAUGACAUAUCAUAAACAUACUGGAAUAAGAUAUGAAACUAGCCUGUACAAUCCAAAAUACUGAAAUUCUGUACUUACCAACCCUUUAGCCUGACAAAGCCUCUAUACAUUAAAAUCUAAAGGACAUUGGGACAAACCCCCAACUGACUAAAACAGUACUGAAAGCCAUAACAACAAAAAGGUAUCACAAAAUUAUAAACAUGGUCCUCGAACCAUGAGGACUCACCACUGAGCAGAAGAAAAGAGGCACCCGAUAUCGCUAACGCGUCUGAGUACCUGAAUAUACAUUACAAGAAAAUGUAGCUCAUAGAAAAAUAAAUGGGUCAGCACUUUGGAAUGUACUGAGUAUGUGGGGGUGCAUGCAACAAUGUAAAUAUCUUCAUCAAUUUCAUGAAAAUAUGUAUAUGUACAAUGAUGGCUCACUUGGCUUGAGUUAGAUUGAAACAUACUUUUCAUGAUCUCAUCGUAAAUAAAUCAUAUGAAAAAAACCUCAUAAAUCAUCAUAAACAACUCAAAUCAAGAUUCAAGACUCGGAGUGACCUGUAAUUUAUGAAACUCGACAUUUAUGGACAUGGGAGGUUCUUAUAACCGACAUAAACCAUGUAAGCUACAUGGAGUCAAAAUUUUUUCCCUCCUAAGGAAAGAACCCCACAUUAGCGGGAGCGUCGUACUCUUGCCAGGAAGUACAACCUAAAUUUAGUGAUCACAAUCUCAUACUUGGCCUCCGGCCCAUAAUUAUCAAUAUCAAUCCUAUAGUGGCACGUAGUUUCAGGGGAAAUACUACAUUUCCCACUCGGUGAUAAAUACUACUCCCAGACACAAGCUCAAAACGCGUUAGAAAAUCCCCCACAAAUAUCACAAGGGUCUAUCAUGAAGACCAAAUCAAAUCUCUUUCUCAUUUAUCAAAUCGUAAUCAAUUUGUGGAUUCCUAACUCGACUCAAAUCAAAUCGAUCUUUCUCAAUAUCAAAAUGCAUCAAUUCAUCAAGUCAUGGCAACAUCAAUAACUUUGAGGAAAUAUCAAGACUCAUUGUAACAACUCAAUUCUCAUUAAUCAGUAUACUCAAUAAUCCAAUUUUUUCAUAAGGAAGCUUACAACUUGACACAUAUCUUUAAAGUACUUGAAAUACCAAAUCAUGGUAGAAACUUGAAAUUCAGAAUAUUAAAUAUCAAGUCAUAACCUGGAAAUUGUAAACUAAUCAUGUAUAACAAUGCUUGAAUGAUUUAUAUUCUCAUAAUCUCAUGUUGAAGUAAUUUGGGUAUAAACCCACUAGCAAAAUCAUAUAAAUCCAUAAUAAAAAUCAAAGCAUUGAGCACAAGAACGAAAGAAUUGCUCUUGUUCAAAACCCCACAUACUUUAAUCUUUGAAAUUGGUUGAACUCUUGUUCUUUAGACUCUACUCACACUUGUAAUAAAAAAAUACUUGAAGCCCACUCUACGAGGAACUUGAUUCUUGAAGGAAUCUUGAAGAUUUAAGGAUGAUUUUUGGAAGAUUAAUUUCCUUAAAUAAAACCCUAGAUAUAUUUCUUAAGAGAAUUGGAAGAGAGAAAUGAAGAAAUUAGGUUUUGGAUGAGGAUUCUCAUAUAUAUAGAGGCCUCCAAAAAUGGGAAAUGACUAAAAUACCCUUGCAAAAAUCAUCCAUCAAUUGCUGAAAAAAAUAGUUGACGAUAUCCGUGACAAGCUGUCAGGCCCGUGAUAGGCAGUCACGAAUUGUCGUCACAAAAAGGGUGGAUUUUUUGACUUUCUACCUUAAGGUGACAACAGUUUGUGACGGGCCAUCAGGCUUGUGACAUGUCGUCACAAAAGGUCAUCACGGAUUUUCCAGGCUGACACGCUGGAGUAAAAUAAGCAUAACUCUUUGCUCCGAUAUCGAAUUUCGACAAAAUGGGUAUCCUUGGAAAGAUAAUUCAAUUAUGUAUAUUUUGGUAUGUCAUGACUCAAUAAUUCAUAAUAAAACGGGAGAUAUGCUCAUUUGAAGUUGACUAUGACAAAAUCCUUCUCAAGAAUUCAAUCGGUAAAGAAUAUUUUGAUUCGCCCAAGCGUUAGGACAUCUUUAAAGCCUUAAUACACAUCACCCUUGAACAGAAAACAACCAAAACAGUAUAAUUUAUUUCUCAUGGGCUUGAGUCAGGGCGGUACUAUUGAUUAGAAUCUCGGGGUAUUACAUUAUUACUUUUAAUUAUCUUUGCUAUUAACCUUUCUGCAAAUAUGAUGCAAAUUUAUCUUAUAAUGUUAUAAUUGAAUUAAAAAAAAUAUUUGAGAUCAACCACAUAUUUUUGAUAGUAAAUGAUGUAUUAUUAUUAUUAUUAUUAUUAUUAUUAUUAUUAUUAUUAUUAUUAUUAUUAUUAUUAUUAUUAUUAUUAUUAUUAUUAUCAUUAUUUAUUUUAUUAUUAUUAUUAGUAGAUAUGUAUGUUCUACUACUUAAUAUUAAAAUAUAUUUGAAAUAUAUAAAUUUAUGAUAUAGUUAGAGAUGUUUUAGGUCUUUUCAACUAUGAUAUUUUAAUUUUUAAACUAAUGAAUUAUUUUUUAAAAUUUUCAAAGCCUACUAUUUUCAAAUUCAUAUAUUUCUAUUAACAUAGUAAAUUACUUAUGUAGGACUUAAUUACCUGCAUAACUCACUGCUAAACUAACUACGAAAAAAAACGCUACUACCUGCAUAAAUAAUACAUAGAUAAUCCCUAAAUUAAAAAAAUUUGCAUAACUCUAAUUGAGGCCCUUUCAUUAUUUACUUUUGUCUUUUUAGGUUUGAGUGGGUAAAUAGAUGAAAAGAGAAAAUAAAAGACUCUCACAUCUAGUUUCCCUAGAAGCACCUCUUUAGAAGAAAGGUGCUGUUGAAGCAACUCAUUUUCAGAUUCAAACAGUCUUUUGUUUUGUUCCUCCUCAGAAACAAAAGCAUGAGCCGGGGAAACCAUUUUCUUUUCUCAAAGGAAAUGAAGAACACUACAAUUUAAUACCAGGCUUUAAAAUUCAAAAACAAAAUAAGAAAUUAUGAGAGAAAAAGGGGAAAAACAAAGUGCAAAAAGACCUCACCAGUAGUAGGAUACAAAAGAUGAGAGAGAGAGAAGAAGGAGGGUUAUAUAAAAAUGGAAUGAAUACAGUGGAGGUAGAGCAUAUCUAUCAAAUAUUUUUUAAAAACACACUAGCUACAUCACCGACGUUUCAAAAUCAAGGCAACUUUUUAUCCUGUUUAGAAAAAAAUUUCAAAUUGGUUUUCCCUCUUAAAAUUUUCAUUUUUAUAUUAAUUUUAAUUGAACACAAUUUUAAGAGGGCAAACUAAUUUACGCAGUUAAGACAACCUCAAUCCUACUCUCACAUUUUGAAUUUUUUUUCUGAAUAGGACAAAAAGUUGCCUUGAUUUUGAAACAUCGGUGAUGUAGCUGGUGUGUUUUUAAAGAAAUUUGAUAGAUGUGCUCUGCCUCUGCUGUAUUCGUUCCAUUUUUCAUAUAACCCUCCUUCCCCUCUCUCUCGUCCUUUGUAUCCUAGUACUGGUGAGGUCUUUUUGUACUUUGUUUUUCCCUUUUUUCUCUCCUGAUUUCUUAUUUUGUUUAUAAGAUUUAAAGCCUAGUUUUAAAAUUUCGGUGUUCUUUUUGUUCUUCAUUUGCUGUAAGAAAAGGAAAUCGCUGCCCCGGCUCAUGACUUUGUUUCUGAGGAGGAACAUAAUAAAAGAUUGUUCGAAUCUGUAAAUGAGUUGCUUCAUUAGCACCCUUUUUCUAAAAAGGUGCUUCUAGGGAAACUAGAUGUGAGAGCCUUUUCUUUUCUCUUUCCAUCUGUUUACCCACUUAAACCUAAGAAUCCAACAGUAAAUAACAAAGGGGCCUCAAUUAGAGUUAUGCAAGUUUUUGUACUGUAGGUAUUAUAGAUAUGGAAAUCUAUAUAUUAUUUAUGCAUGUAUUAACGUAUUGCUUGGUAGUUGAUUUACCAGUGAGUUAUGCAGGUAAUUAAGUCCUACAUAUUUAAUAUUCAAAUAUUAGUAGUUGGCUUAGCCUACGUUUACUCUUAUUAACAUAGAAUAAACGUCGAGACCCCAAAGAAGGCCCAUAAAAACCCAUCUACCAAAUAUAUGGCUUUGUAGCCUUUCUCAACUAGUUUGAUAGCCCGCUUUUAGGUCCAAAAUAUGGAUGAACAUAGUUAUGCUAUUCAAGAAAAUUAUAGUAGUACUACUGGGACUUUGGAUUAAAAGGGGAAAAUAAGUUGUCUAAUUAAGUGAGAAUCCUUCAAGUUUUUAAAAUUAGGUGGGAGGGACAAAAAUUUUUUGAUUUUUUUUUAAGUUUUUUCGUUCUAAUAACUUUUCCCAGUUGUCGACAACUUCUAGCAGUUGAACAACUAUCAAAGUUGUUCGACAACUGCGCUAAGUUGUUUGACAACUAGGCGAAGUUGUUCAGCAGUUGUUCAACAACUGUGUGAAGUUGUUGAGACAACUAAUGUAGUUGUCAAACAACUGUCCCAGUUGUUCAAAUGACUUAAUUUUUUUAAAAGGGACAAGUUGCGGAACCCUCUUGUCCCCUUUUCUUAAUUGGAAACUUGGGAGGUCUAUUGAUUCAUUUUUCUCACUUAAGUAUUUAAGCUGUAUAUAUCAUGAAGUAGUUAGCUUAUAUUUGCAUUGUAAAUUGUAAUAUUAAGUGUAGAGAUAGUCCUAUAUACGUUUAGUACGUCGAAGAGAGCUACUUGCAAACAUUGUGCAAUUCAAUUUGUCGCAAGAAGUACUUAAUCAUCACACAAAUACUUAUCGGUUCUGAAUAUUUACCCCUAAUCAAUGAUUUUAAUUCUAAUGAAUUAAGAAUAUAACAUCAUUCAAUCAUGAUAACAAAAAUAAUUUAUAAAAGAUAUUAUCUUGUAAUAGUGGGUAUAAGGAGAGGUAGAUGUAGGCUGAGGAGGUCUUGGUAAAGGUGAUUAGAUUAGGUAUCUAUAGCUUUUCGAGGAUAUGAUCUAGAUAUAAAAAUAUGGAGAUCAAGGAUUUGGUUAGGGAGUGGCUGAGCGUUGUCUAAUUUCCCUAUUAAGUAGUAUUUUUGUUAUUACUUUCUUACUAUCUUAUUCUUCUAUAUUAGAAUAAUUUGUUUGUUUUAAGUUCAGUUAUCAUAUUAAUUGUUUGUCGUUGCUACCAUUUUCAGAUUACUAUUUUAUUUGUUUUACAUGCCUAAUUUUUUUUUAUAUGUUUUACUUGAGUCGAGAGUCGAGAGUCAAUCGAGAACAACCUCUCUAUCUUCACAAGGGAGAAGUACAUGUCCAUACUACCUCUCGAAACUCCACGUGUAAUAUUAUGUAUGUUAUUAUUGUAUAUAUCUUGAAUUGAUUGAUCAAAUGUAAAUGCCCGAUGUUGAGGUAUACUUAUACCCAUUGGCGGAGGGAUAAUCUUAGAAAAAGGGUGAUUUGAUGCACAUCUUUUAUCAAAAGAUUAUAUAGUGUAUAGAAGCUUAAUAUUAGCUAUUAUACGUCUAUAUAUAAUUUUGUACAUCCUUAACACAACUAAAAAGAAAAUAGGCACACUCCUCGUCAAAUUUUUGACAACGACACUACUACUGCCUCAACUGUGUACAUUUAAAGAUGACGCCAUAUAGCAUUUGUCAUCUGCAUGACGCCCAAACUCUUUUAUCAGCGGACCUACCCAACCUGUCACCUCAGUUUCUUCUUUUAUAAUUGCAUGUCCUUCCAAAUUUCAUACACCAUCCAUUUCAUUUUAAUUAGAUUAAAAAUAACUAUUUUAAUUUAUUUGUGUAGUUUAUAAAAUUAUAAUAAAGAUUAUUACGUGAAGUAUUAAAUGAAGUGAAAGGUGUAUUCUACGAAUAUAUAAAUGCUAGUUUCAUUAAAUCCGUAUUCCGUACUAAGCUCAGAUCCAAACAACUCUACAUAUAAAUAAUAAUAAUUAAAUUUUAAAAUAUAAUUUAUAUUAUAUUAUUUACUUUAUAAUUAAUAUAAUUUAAUGACCGAUAUAUUAAAUAUAUUUUAUUAAAAUUUUUUAUAAUUAUUAAAGUUCUUAAUCACAUAAUUGGAUAAUUUUUUUAAAAAAUUAUUUGUAUGGAAGAAAGUAUUACAGGAUAAUUAGAAUAUAACAAGAGACCACAAGUAAUUUAAUAUUUUAUAAAAUAACAUGAUACAACAACAACAAUAACAACAUACCCAGUGGAUUCCCACAUAGAGGGGUCUGGGCAGGUAGUGUGUACGCAGAUCAUACCACUACCUAAGAUGAAGUAGAGAGUCUGUUUCUGACAGACCCCCGGCUUAGGACCGAUAGCAAUAUAACAAACACAAAAUAUAAAUACACAAAAACUAGUACAAUCUGCAAAAUAAACUAAAGUCACUAGCCAUAAGAUAAUACUACAGUCACAACAUAAUACUAAAAUUAUCUAUCCAAAAUCAUAGACAACACUCAACACCACGAACAAGAAACUUCAAACACAAAUAAAGAAUGCUCCCCUAUUGUUACCGACACACUCUCAACCCCUACCCCUCUACCCCAAUCGGCAUUCUCCACACCUUCCUAAUCAUAUCCCUCCAAUAUUUGUUUGGUCUACCUCUACCCCACCUAAAAUCAUCCAUAACUAGUGUCUCACACCUCCGCACUGGAGCAUCAGAGCCCCUUUUCAUCACAUGCUCGCUCCAACGUAACCUUACUUCUUGUAUCUUGUCCUCCAACGAGGCCACUCCCACCUCUCCCAAAUAAUCUCAUUUAUUACCUUAUCUUUCUUAGUAUGGCCACACAUCCAUCACAAUAUUCUCAUCUCUGCCACCUUCAACUUUUGGAUGUGGGAGUUCUCAACUGGAUAAUACUCUCCAUACAACUUAGUCGGUCGGACUGCCACUCUGUAGAACUUCACUUUAAGCUUCGGAGGCAUCUUCUUAUCACAUAAAACUCCCAAAGUGAGCCUUCAUUUAAACCACCCAGCCCCAAUAUGAUGUGUGACAUCCUUGUCAAUCUCACCAUUGCCUUAAAUCAUCGACCCCAUAUACUUAAAACUCUCCUUCUUCUGAAUGUCCUGAGAGUCUAGCUUCACAACCAUGUCAGCCUCCUAUGACACAUCACUAAAAUUAUACUUCAAGUACUCCGUCUUGGUCCUGCUUAACCGAAAUCCUUUAGACUCAAAGGUCUGUCUCAAAAUCUCUAACUUAUCAUUAACUCCUCCCCGAGUCUUGUUAAGCAGUACCAUAUUAUCAGCAAAUAACAUACACCAAGGCACCUCCUCUUGAAUAUGUCUUGUCAAAACAUUUAUCACCAAGGCAAAUAAAAAAGGGCUAAGAGUCAAACCCUGAUGCAACACUACCAAAAUUGAAAAAUGCUCUGAAUCUCCAGCUACAGUCCUCACCCUAGUCUUUGCGCCAUCAUACAUGUCCUAAAUCAACCUAGUGUAUACCACAGGCACCUCUCUAGCCUUCAAACACCUCUAGAGAAUCUCCUUGGGAACUCUGUCAUAAGCCUUCUCCAGAUCAAUAAAUACCAUGUGAAAGUCCUUCUUCAUCUCCCAAAACUGUUCCACUAAUCUCCUCACAAGGUAAUUGGCCUCAGUAGUUGAGAGACCUAGCAUGAAAUCAAAUUGAUUCUCAGUGAUAAUCACACUCCUUCUCAGCCUCAACUCUACCACCCUUUCCUAAAUCUUCAUAGUAUGACUCAACUGCUUAAUACCCCUAUAGUUGUUGCAACUUUGGAUGUCUCCCGUAUUCUUAUACAAUGGAAUUAUUGUACUCUACCUCCAUGCUUCAGGCAUCCUUCCUGCCCUAAAAAUAAUGUUAAGAACUUUGUCAACCACUCCAAACCUGCCUCGCCAGUGCAUUCCAAAAAUCCACUGGAAUCUCGUCUGGCCCCAUUGCCCUACCUCGACGCAUCCUGCGAAUAGCCCUCUUGACCUUCUUAACCUCGAUAUGCCUACAAUAACCAUAGUUGUGACACUCCUAAACUUUCUCCAAGUCCCCAAACACAAAACCUUUGUCCCCCUUAUUGUUCAAAAGUUUAUGAAAAUAGGACUUCCACCUUUUUUUAUUGAGGGCAUCCUCAACCCACAUAGUACCAUCCUUAACCUUGAUGCACUAAUCCUUGUCUUUCUCCUUUAAAGUCAUAUAUAAGCUCUCAAAACCUGUCAUUUUAGCCACUAUAACCGCUAACUUAGCCUCUCACCUAGCUAUAGCUUAUACUCUUCCUUAUUCGUCCGUUUCUCUUGAUCAUUCUUGCUCUCUACAAAUUUAGCAUAAGCCACCUUCUUAGAAUCCACCUUCCUCUUAACCUCUUAAUUCCACCACUAGUCCCCUCGAUAUUUUCCAAAUCGACCUCUCAAGACACUAAUACUUAUCUAAUGAUCUCCCUAAUGCAACUAGCAAUCUUCUUCCACAUACUAUCCACAUCCCCUCUACUCUUCCAAGCCCCCUGCUUCUCAACAUCUCCCCUAUGUUCAAAGCAUUAGCUAAAGUCAAGCUACCCCACUUAAUCUUAGGCCAAACCUCUACACUCCUCUUUUUUCAUCCCUUAUUGAUUACCAAGGUCAUCACCAACAACCUAUGUUUAGUCAAAAGAUUAUCUCUAGGUAUGACUUUACAAUCUUUACACAGUGUUCUAUCACUCUUCUUAAGGAGCUAAAAGUAUAUCUAAGUAUUGUCCACUGAACUAUGAAACAUUUCAAAAAUCUCGAAUUUGUUAUCCAUAACCCAAAAGCCCUAGAAAUAUCCAAAAGAGAAGCAUUUUCUUUAUUCUUCUACCCAAAAUUGAAAUCUCUAUGCAAAUCAUCAUAACCUCUCAACGAAGACCCAAUAUGCCCAUUGAAGUCUCCUCUCAAGAAAAGUUUCUCAGUUAUCGGGAGGCCCCUCACCAUCUUAUUCAAAACCUCCAAAAUCCCUUUUUCUCUCCUCGUCCAAACCUAAUUGCAGAUCACAAACACUAAUAACAUUCACCGUAGUUCCUCCCAUGACCAACUUAAUAGAUAUCAACCUAUCACUGACUCUUUUAACCUGUACCACCUUCUCCCUAUGUUUUUCAUCUACUAAGAUACCUACCCCAUUUUUAUGUCUCAUGCUACCCGAGUACCAUAACUUAUAUCCAGCUACAUCUCUUACCUUAUUGCCUACCAUUUAAUUUCCUGGACAUAUGUAUUACUAACCCUUCAUUUCCAAGAAUCUUCACCAGCUUUAUAGACUUACCAUGAAGCGUCUCUAUGUUCCAGGACCCAACUUUCAACCUAUAAGCACCCUUAUCUAACUUAGCCUUACUAUCCCCCGCCCUCAACCAAAGACUAGAACCUAGACUCGACCCCAAUCCCAUCCUCGAACUAUGACAUGACCCUAGUCCAUCAUCUAUCACCCCAACGACCACUCAAAAGGAUACGAUAUAAGAAAAUAAAGAAUAAAAAUCCAAAAAAAACGAUGAACAAAAGAGUAUGACUAAAAAUAGCUAAAUCAGCAAACAAAAACCAGUAAGUAGGAUUGAUACUCACAACCAACAACAAGUACUAUACUACUCACAAGUAACGAAUACCUACUAAGUUAUAGAGAAACCGUAACCAAUAAUCCCACAGGAUUAAUUAAAAAUAUCAGACAAGAAAUUAGGAUAGGAAAAGAGACAAGAAGCAUAUACCAAAUAAACUAGAGAAGACCGAAAUGAGUGCACCUGAUACUGAGAGAAGACAAGUGAAAGACGUUUUCCUAAUCGUUUUGUUGAAUUCCGACAAAUUGGUUCAGAAAUUAGUCGUCAGAAUUUGUUGCCACCACCUUUACCUUACGGCUGGUAUCGCAUCCCUGUACUUGGUCAUUGGAGAAUGUGCUAGUCACCGAAAAAUGAGCUAGACACCGGAAUCUUGAUGUUGCCGCCUGAAGUGCGGAUCUAAACUUGAAGUAACUGAAAAGGGUUAUAAAGAAAAUAAAAGAGAAGAAAAGAAAAGCGACGAUCAAAUUGCCAAAAGUUUACGUCACUCACCAAAAACUGAUGUGGUUGUUGGGCCACAGAGAUAGGCCGCCGAAAAAGUCGCUAUUGUUUUAGUGGUCGGCGCAAGAAGUGAGAGAGAAAAACAUGACAAUUGUGCCAGAAUCUGAUGGCGUCGCCAAAACUGAUAGGGUCAUCGGGACGUGUUUAUGGUGGCCGACACAAGUAAUUUAUCGGCGGCGGAUUGGUAGUUCUCUGCUAUCGCUAGAAUCUUCAAGACACGAAGAGAUAGGUUAAUUUUGUCGGCGCCAUCAAUUAAAAAAUUGCAAGAUACUAAACCCUCAGCAUAUAUGACAACUAUUAAUGUCAUCAAUUUAACUUGAGACACCCAUUUAAUAAAAUAACAUGACAAUAUUUUAAUAAUUAUAAUUCAAUGCUGAUUAAAAAUAGUAAAAUAUUCAUUUUAAUGAAUUUAUGGGUACAAAAUUUCUAAGUUAUAAAUAGAAAUAAAUUUGUUUUAAUAUUUAUUAUUUUAUUUCACCUAUAAUUUUAUGUGACAAGUUGCAAAAUUCAUUGCUUUCAUCUAAUACAACAAAGUAUUUCAAUCACUUCAAGUAUAUAUAAAAAUAGUUACAACAUUAAUUUAGAACCUUUACAAAAACGAACUUAAUCGUGAUCUAUAUGGAUAUUAAAUAAUAAUUAAAUUACAUUAACCGAUUAUUCCAUUCGAUCCAUUUACUUAUCGUGUUAAUUUUUUAAACACCCUAUAAAAAUAUUCUAUUCAUUCUACUCUAAUUAUUGAUUUAUCCUUUUUCAUGUUUGAUAAGAAAAAUAAUAAUGACAUUGUACUAUUUAUUAUUGAUUAAGUUAUCCUAUUGAAUACUCCCUCCAUUUCACAAUAAGUGAAUUAUUGGAGUAAUUUUAGUGUUUCAAAAUAUGUGAAUGAUUCAUAAUUCAAGGUAGAUGUUAGAAAUUUUUUCCAAAUUUACCCUCCAUUAAAUGUGUGAUGUAUCAUGUGUCUUUGCUUUUUGACGAGGGUAAAAAUGAAAAAACAUGAUAAAUUUAUGUCUUUGCUUUUUUUUUCUUAACAUGUGUGCCGAAAUUCAACAAUUAACUUAUUGUGGAAUGGAGGGAGUACUAUAUAUUUUUUAAGAAGUGAACAUCAGUGACUAUAAGGGUGUAGUUGAAAAUUAUUACUAACUUUAAUUUUAUGUGAAAAGUUAUUUCCAAAUAAGUUUUUUGAGCAAAAAUAAUUAUUAAUUUAUUAUGAAGGAAAUUUUAAUUAAAAGACAACCUAUGGCAAGAAAAAAUCAGUUACAAAUACACAAGUGGAAAUGGUCUUAACAAAAAGAAUAAGGACAAAAAUAAAAAUAUUUAGCAAAAGAACAUCAUCAAUCCUUGUGAGGACUACCGAAAAUUGAGAUCCUCCCUUAUAUAUAAUAGUAAAUUGUAUUCUUUUUUCAUAUUGUUAACAUUGUUUGCAAUAAAGAUUACAGUGACAGAAACAAAUUCAGUCACAAUGCAAAUAAAAUAUGAAAAAAUUUUAUUGAAAAAUGAUAUGGAUAAAAUUCUGUUACUCCCUUGAUUCUUAUUUUGUUUAUUUUACUCCGUAACUUGAGGACCAUUAGUAGCGUAUUUCUCGAAUGUAAAAAGAUUUAAAUUUGAUAUGAAUUUUUAACAUAUUUCUCGAAUGUAAAAAGAUUUGAAUUUGAUAUGAUUUUUUUUUUUUGUAUUUCAAGGGUCGUUAGUAGCGUAUUUCUUGAAUGUAAGAAGAUUUAGAUUUGAUAUAAAUUUUCUUUGUAAUUCGAAGGCCGUUAAUAACAUAUUUCUUGAACGUAGAAAUAUUUGAAUUUGAUCUCCUUAAAAGAAGGGUUUAUGGAUCUUCUUGAUAUAUUUAAUUAUCAAAAAGAGAGUGAUACUCAAUGAGUUUAUGAAAUUAUCGGGAGAUGAUUAAUCUCUUUAUUAAGGGUUUAGAGUAGAGUGGCCACCAAGUUAGGUUUAGCGUAAAGUAACCCCUAAUUACUCUAACAAAAAUUGAAUUCUUAUUAUAGAGUUCACAAAAUUAUGAUGUCUAUAAACGCUCUGUAUUGUCAGACGUUAUGACUACAAAAUCCUUUGCUGAAAUGUCAAAAUACAAUUGUUUUUCUUCUUUGAGAUGAUGAAUGAAGUACGUGUUAAUUUACUGGAGUCGCUUAGCUCAAGAAAUUCGUGCGGUGUACCAUGAAAUCAGAAAACUACAUCAAGCUAGGAGAAGAGAAAAGCAACAACAAAAAUACCAUAUUUAGCACAUUUACAUAGCUCAAAUUCGUGACCCCCUGAUCACAAGGAGGGAACUAUCCACAAUAAUUCAGACAAAUACUUCUCAUAGAUAAUCACAAAUUUCCAAGCAAGACUAAAUAUUUUAAGAACUUUACUACACAGAAAGACAAAAAAAAAGGGCAGUUCGGUGCACUAAGCUACCGUUAUGUGCUGGGUCCCAGUAAAAAAUUGGACCACAAAGGUAUAUUAUACAUAGUCUUACCACUGUGGACCCCUCUUUUCACAGCUCGGACCUAUGACCUUAUGGUCACACGAUAACAACUUUAUCAGUUACGAUAAUGCUCUUUGUCUUACACACACAAAUAACAUUUGUAAAAAUGAAAUCUUUAGCAAUUUUUUAAAAUUCUUUCUACCCAAAUUUCUAAGAUAAGCUAAAAUAUAACACUGAUAACAUAUGGUUAAAUAAACAAUAAGAAAAAAUGCAAACUACCCAAAAAAAUUCAGGCAAAUAAAACUUGUAAUACAUCAAGAUUAAUUUUGAACAAUAGCUUAAAAGAGAAAUCUUACUUUCUCAAAGCUGAAUAAUGAAAUUCCAAUUUUUCCCUUAACAUUAUGUCUCCAUUGAUGAUGGAUACUGUAGCAUUAAGAGCCAAUUUCUUUCCUUUUCUGGUAGUUGGUCAGUAUUUGAGCCGUAUCAUCUUCUACAAAAAUGAACAGGAUAAUAUCACUUUAGCCCCCAAAAGAUCUAGCUAUUACAUAUACACCCCUUUACCUUAUAAUUUUAUAAUGAUAUUACUCUUCUUGAACAAUUUAAAUGCCCCAAAAGUUGCUCUAAUAAAAAAAAAAGAUAAUUCCUUCGUUCGGUUUUACUUGUCACAUUUUAACUUGACAUAUUUACUAAAAAAAUAAUUAAUAACAUACAGUUAUUUUACCAUAAUUCCACUAUUAAAUAAUGUUUAUAUUGUAUCUUAAAAUUAAUUUAGAGAAAAGACAAUUAAUGCUAAGGGUAAAAUAGGAAAAAAGAAGUUGUCUUUUCUUGAUAUGUCAAAAAUGAUAAGUAAAAAUAAAAAUACAAUUAGGAAAUUAGUGACAAGUAAAAGCGAACGGCGGGAGUAACCCUGAAAACACAUCAAAAAUAUAUACUUCCUCGGUUGUAUAUUAUGCGGCAUAUUUUGAUCGGGCACAAAGUUUAAGAAGGAAUGACAAUUGUCAUUUAUUGAAAAAUAUAUUACUACUAUUUUUAAUUAAAUGAGACUAAUAAGGAUAAAAGUAAAAUUGUAUCUUUAAAUAGUUACCAAAUAAGGAAAUAUGAAAUUCUUUUUAGGACGGACAAAAAGAAAAUCACGACAUAUAAAAUGGGGUAGAAGAAGUAUGUUUAUACUAAAAGGGCAGCUUGAUGUGGCGGUGGAAGUAUGUUAAUACUAAAAGGGCAGCUCGGUGUACUAAAGAUUCUUUCAAUAAGGGACUGCGGAGGAGGGCUGGACUGCAAGAAUUUUAUUGUGCACAACAUUAUCCUACAUUUCUUACAGAGGCUGUUUCUAUGACUUGAACUCGUGACUUCCUAAUCACAUGACAAUAAUUUUAUCAGUUACUCUAAAACUCCCCUUCAUAUUUUAUUUUUCCGAUUUGAUAAAAAUAUUAAAGAUACGCAAAAUAUAAAAGAUACGCAUAUAAUUCUUUAUGCAAACCCACUUAUAUGGAGUAAUAAAAACUUAUAAGGUAUCAAAAAUGAUAUAUGCAUGGGAUUUCCCUUUUGGAUAAAGUUUUAACAGGUUAAUUUCAUGUAUAAUUGUAGACUUUUACUCAUUAAUGACAAAAUUAAUGAACUUUACCUCUUUAAUAAAGUAGUAUAUUUAAUGGCAUUAAAAAUCAUUAAUGAGUUUUUAUUAUGUGUUUAUAUUUAUUUAGUACAAGAAGUGAUAGACAUAUCUCAAACUAAAUCAAUCAAUUAGAAAAACAAUUUCUAUUCCAAUGGAGAAGUUCCUCCAUGUUCACCUUUUGAUUUCAAUUAUUUUCUCAAUUUUUCUUUUAAUUUUAUGCAAUGAACAUUCUUUUUCAUCCCUUAACACUAGUUACAUCAUGGAAUUUGUCUAUUGACUCAACAUAGCUUCCCGAUCCUCCGAUGCCAUCCUAUACACUCACCAUUUACAAUCUCUAUUUAUUUGAAAAGUCAAAAUUCAAAGACUAUGACUCAUUACUCGGAAAUAGGUUCGCCGGUUGUCAAGCUAGAGCAAAUCAUUUGGCAUCGGUUCUUGAAAAUGGUGACACGAUUAGUGAGAAUGGAACUCUAGUAAGGCCACACGAUGAGCAUGAGAGUAAAGUGGCCAACAAAAAUGUUCCGAUAACAACAAGUACACAUUUCAUAUGUCAGUAUGUUGCAUUUUUUACUCUUUUUUUGGGUUUCCCAUCCGGCAUCCGGUGCUCGCAUUGGAGCCCCGACUAAUCCGGAGCACACAUUGCAGGGCCCAUUAAGAUGGCAGCGCUCCCAACAGAAUUUUCUCCAUGCCCAGGUUCGAACCCUGGACCUCUGGUUAAGGGUGGAGCAGCCUCAUCCACAGCACCACAACCCAUAUUAGUGCAUUUUUUACUCACUGAACAAGUUAAAAGUCACUUGCUAAUAGACACUGGUAGUGAUUUAGUUUGGUGGAAAUAUGGACCAUGUAAUGCAAAUGGAUGUUACAAACAGAUAAAUAAUCCUUUAUAUGUUUCAACUAAUUCAAAAACAUAUCGUAAGCUCGAUUGCCUUGUAGAAAGUAGAAACUAUGAAAUCACAAAUAAGGAAUAUGAUUGUAGUCCGUAAGGUAAUACGUGUAUGUAUGAUUACAGAUACAUCGAUGGAUCAAGAACAAGAGGCUAGAUUGCACAUGACGUGAUUACUUUUGUUUUAGACCGAAAGCAGGUAAGCAUUGUUUCUGGAUGUGGCAAAGAUCAAACUCAUGGAAAGCCUUUUAGUGGUCAAUUUUCAGGAAUUGCUGACCCCGAACAUAAUGGGUGGUGAAAAUUCUUUAGCAUCGCAAUUUGAAGAAGACAUAAUGUCCAUGUGCCUACUAGGAGCUCUCUCCACAAAAGGAUCAACACUUAGCUUCCACACAACGCCAUUUAAGAAAAUAACAUUAGCAACACUAUUAUAAGAUUUCAGAUUCCUUUCUGUUUACUUCAUCAACCUUUAUAAAGUUUUUAUUAAUGAUAGGGAAGUCCCGAUGUUCCUAUCAUUGUCUAGGAAUUUCAGAAAUUAUGCCACGAGCGGUAGCUGCAUCGUGGACACAGGAACAUUUAUUACCCAUUUUCCUCAUGAGUUUUAUAUUGUAUUUUGUUACACAUUCAGAUAACAAGUACGUGGUAUUCCUAUGGUUAAUGUUCCACCUGGAUCAGUUUAUAACACUUGCUAUAAGGUGGAUACGACUGGUCUGGAUCCACAUUUCCCCGUUGUAACCAACCAAAUGGCCCCUCCGACCAAACAACCUACACUCCCCUUUGCAUCAGCCUACCUGGGAGCACUUGGUCCAUUUUCUGCCUAAAACAUACUCAGUCACUGGGCCCACCCCCAGAACCGUGAGCUAUAGCACACUAAUUUAGCCCAAGAAUGGCCCAUUUGCGUCGUUUUACUUAUUUGACCACCCAAAUAGCCCAGCCGACCUCAAUGACCCAUAUUAUCCCACUUUUAAGCCUACCUUGGUGCCUUUGGUCAAUUUUCAAACAAAAACAUGCUCGAACCCCGAGCCAGCCCCUAAAACCGUGAGUUAUAGCAUGUCUAUUUGGCCCCAAAAAUAGCAUGAUCUUGACGUUUUACCUGUUUGACCACCCAAAUGGCCCCGCCGACCCAAAUGACCCACUUUCCCAUUCAUCAGUCUACUUGGAAGCCUUGAUCAAUUUUUAACCCAAAAACACCCGAAACCCAGGCCCACCCAGAACUGUGAGCUAUAACACACUGAUUAUGACUGCAAAUGACCCAUUCACGUUGAUAUUCCUUUUUGACCACCUUAAUAGCCCCGUUGACCCCUACGAACCAUACUUCCCUGCUCUUCAGCCUACCUAAGAGCCCUAGUUGAUUUUUCACCCAAAACAUGCCCAUUACCACCCCAAAAUCAUGAGUUAUAGCUCACCAAUUUGGCCAAAAAAUGGCCCGUUUGCGCCUUUUUGCUCGUUUUACCAAUCAAACGGUACCACCGACCUCAACGACCCACAAUUCCCUACUCCUCGGCCUACUUGGGAGCCCUCAAUCAAUUUUUGACCCAAAACACGUUUGGGCUCUAGGCUAACCCCCAGAAUUUGAUACAAGAAUAAUCUCGGACAUGGAUUUAUGAGAGUGCGGUUGGAUCCGAGACUUAGUGUGUUCAAUUGAAGAUCCAAAGAGGACCUAAUUAUGCACCCAAAAUAUUCCAAACACUACACUUGGGCUACACUUGAUGGGAGCCCAUCACUUAAGGGCUUUUUGGUCAUUUCUAGCUUUUAUUUUGUAAUAACUAUAUAAGUAACAUGCUAGGGCUUCCAUUAGGAUUUUUUGGGAUAUUAUUAUAAUUCUUUUAAGACUUGGAACACCAUAGUUAGGGCUUGUAAAAUCCACUAACCAAAACUAGGGCAAGAUCUAGUGUAGAAUCACUAGUGAUUGUGUUUGCUUGGAAACAUUGAUGCUUGGGAGGUGGAAUCCAAACUUGUAUCUUUAUAAGAGAUAUGUUUAUUGUUGUGUGUAGUGUUAAGGUUCCAAGCUUGUCCAUUCUUUGGUUCUUAAGAUUAUACCUUCAUGUGGUCUAUCUAUCUAUCCUUUUACCUUCAUGUAAUCUUGUAUAUUGUUGUGUUGUAAUCUUGUGUUCUUGUUGUUAUUGUUAAAUUCGAAUCUUGUGUCUUAUUAUUCAUCAUAUAUUGUGGUUAAUCUUAGUUGUACUGCUGAUUUGGUUUCAAAUACACCACUAUAUCUUGUAAUCUUAUUGUUGGUAGUGAAUCCGAGAGUGGUCUCCAUCUUGGUCCUUGAAUCCUUAAGAUUUGUGGACUGAUUUGGAGUGUUUUCUGUUCCUUCCUUGUUAUUCUAGUAUCAUUUUGUAUCAAAGACAUCUUUGGUUUUAUUCUUACGAUACCAAUCUUGGGCUUUCUUUCUAAGAAAAUAAAAAAAAAAGGAAAAGAAAGACGUGUUCUUGAGCUUGAGAUCUUGGCCGAAUUUUGUGUGUCUAGGUCUAGGAUUUAUUUUUCUUGUGUUUUUGUUUCAAUUGUUAGUAUUAUUUUCCAUUAACACUUUGAGUCGAUCUAGAUGUGAGCUUUAAAAUAAUUGAUGUUGUUGUUGUGAACAAGACCAUGGCCGUGUGUUGAAGUUGUUGUUCUUGGCCGUGUGAACUUGUUGUUAUAGUAUUGGAUGGAAAUUGUUGGUGUUAUUUUUGCUCUUGAUAAAGUUUUUGUAUAGUUCUUGACAUUCAUCACAACCUUUACUCUUGCUAAAAUCGAAAUACAACACCAUAAGAAACCUUGGCCGUGUGCUGACACUAAAAUUGGCCGUGAUGUGUGUUGAUGUUUGCCAUGGGGUGGACAUUGUUGUUCUGUUGUUGUUGAUGUGUUAUUGAAGGUUGUUGUGGUGUUCAUAUUUUUCUUCAUCUGAUCUUACAACUUAAGACAACCAAAAGUGUAACAUAGAUUCAAAAAGGUGAACCUACUAGUUGUAAAGUUUUUUGUGAGAAGACUUGAGUCAUCACUUUCUUGACAUCUACUUUUCAACCACUUUCCUUGUUUAGGAACCUUGUUUUGUAGGAAUUGUACAAAGUCAAGUCUUGCCUAUUGAAGAUUAAACUUAAAGGAUAUUAAAGACAUAUACUUUCCAUCCAAAACCAAUUGUUUCCGUUAGAUAGUAACUAAAGUUUGUAAACUUCAACUAGUGACUAAUUGUGGGGCCGUGACCAAUGGUAUGCUGCCAUGUCACCCAAGUUACUGUUCACACAAAAAUUUUAAGCUCAAAAUUUGAUCUUCUAGUUUCAUUGUGUUGUUUCUUUUUUUUCCUUUGUUGAUUCCAUUACUAACUUACAAGCUAGUUUUAGAUUGUAAGUUAGUUUUGAAACCGUCCUUCGUGUAACUAAAGUUUGUAAACUUCAACUAGUGACUAAUUGUGGGGCCGUGACCAAUGGUAUGCUGCUAUGUCACCCAAGUUACUGUUCACACGAAAAUUUUAAGCUCAAAAUUUGAUCUUCUAGUUUCAUUGUGUUGUUUCUUUAGUUUCCUUUGUUGAUUCCAUUACUAACUUACAAACUAGUUUUAAUUGUAAGUUAGUUUUGAAAUCGUCCUUCGUGUACACAUUCCUGAGACCUUGCUAGGGCAAAUGUGGGUCUUGAAAAAAUUAACUCAAAUGUGGUAACUAUGAGUGAGAGGUUGGAUCUAAUGGAGAGUCGAAGGAACUCUCGUGUUUUUACUCCCAAAACUUUACUUCCAAUGACCAAUACUCCAAGACCACCACAUAAUGCCACAAGCCAAGCUCCAAAUACCCCUCAAAAUUGAGAACAAGAUAGACCACUUCCCCCGUAAGUUGAUCAAGUACAAUAAGGUGGACUUAGAAGCCAAUUUCCUCCCAUCCAAGAUCCACAACCAAAGCUCCACGUUACCAAAUCGAGCCUCUCAACCGAAAUUUCCCUUUCCGAAAAUCGACACAUCCAAGAAGAGGAACAUAGUAGAAAGGAACGUGAGGUACAUGGAGUCUACAAUGAUGCCUCUAUGAUGGAAGCAAAAUUGAGUCGGGUGAGAUUUAAGGCAAGUCCUAAGAUGCAGAGAAAGCCCAGGUGCAAAAUAAAGUUGUUGACCGAGACUUGUUGUAUUGAGCUCUCGGGUUCCUCCUAUUUUGUGGACAGUUUUUUGCCAUUUCAUAUUUUUGCAGGCUAUUUUGUGCCGUGAAUUUGUAGGCAAAUUCCUCUCAAGAUGGAGAGGAUGAUACAAGAUUAAUCCCAGACAUGGAUUUAUGAGAGUGCGUGUUGUAUCCGAGACUUGGUGUGUUCAAUUGAAGAGCCAAAGAGGACCUAAUUAUGCACCCAAAAUAGUCUAAACACUACACUUUGGCUAUACUUGAUGGGAGCCCAUCACUUAAGGGCCUUUCGGCCAUUUUCAGCUUUCAUUUUUUAAUAAAUAUAUAAGUAACAUGCUAGGGCUUCCACUAGGAGUUUUUGGGAUAUUAUUGUAAGUGUUGUAAGACUUGGAACACCAUAGUUAGGGCUUGGAAAAUCCACCAACCAAAACUAAGGCAAGAUCUAGUGUGGAAUCACUAGUGAUUGUGUUUGCUUGGAAACAUUGAUGCUUGGGAGGCAGAAUCCGAACUUAUAUCUUUGUAAGAGAUAGGUUUAUUGUUGUGUGUAGUGUUAAGGGUCAAAGAUUGUCCAUUCUUAGGUUCUUAAGAUUAUACCUUCAUGUGGUCUAUCUAUCUAUCCUUUUACCUUCAUGUAAUCUUGUAUAUUGUUGGGUUGUAAUCUUGUGUUCUUGUUGUUAUUGUUAAAUUCAAAUCUUUUGUCCUCUUGUUCAUCAUAUAUUAUGGUUAAUCUUAGUUUGGACUGCUGAUUUGGUGUCAAAUACACCACUAUAUCAUGUAAUCUUAUUGUUGGUAAUGAAGCCGAGAGUGGUCUCCAUCUUGGUCCUCGAAUCCUUAAGCUUUGUGGACUGAUUUGGAGUGUUUUUCGUGCCUUCCUUGUUAGUGUUGUAUCAGAACUGUGAGCUAUAACACACCGAAUUGGCCUAAAAUGGUCCGUUCAUGCCAUUUUGCCCGUUUGACCACCCAAACGGCCCUACUUACCCCAACAACCUAUACUCCCUCACUCCUCGGCCUGCUUGGGAGCCUGCAGUCAAUUUUUAGACUAAAACACACCUAUCCCCAAGCCCACCCCCGGAAUCAUGAGUUGUAGCACAACGAUUUAGCCUGAAAAUAGAACGUUCACGCCGUAUCGCCUGUUUGACCACCCAAAUGGCCUCGAGGAAUUUUUGGACAAAACAUACUUGGGACUCAGGUGGGACCCUCGAAACCGUGAGCUAUAUCACAUCGAUUUGGCCCAAAAAUGGUCCGUUCAUGUCGUUUCGCCUGUUUGACCACCUAAAUAACCCCACCAGCCCUAACAACACAUACUCCCUCUUUUGUCAGCUUGCAUGGGAGCCCCCAAUCAAUUUUUAUCCCAAACAGGCUCGGUACCCGAGCACACCCCAGAACCGUGAGCUAUAGCACACCGAUUAGGCCCGAAAAAUGGGCCGUUGGCGCUGUUUUGCUUGUUUGAUCACCCAAAUGGCCCCGUCAACCCAAAAAACCCUGACUCCCUCGCUCCUCAACCCUCUUGGGUUCCCCUGAUUGAUAUUUGGCCCAAAAAAUAUGACCAAACCCCAUCCCACUCUCAGAACCGUGAGGUAUAGCAUACCAAUUUAGCCUAAAAAUGGCCUGUUUAUGCCGAUUCACCCUUUUGACCCCCCAAAUGGCCUUGUCAACCCCAACCACCCAUACUCCCCUGCUCUUCAGCCUGCCCGAGAGUCCCCGAUCGAUUUUUGACCCAAACCACACCCGAUCCCUUCACUCACCUUUGAAAUUGUAGGCUAUAUCACACCUAUUUUUCUCAGAAAUCAUCCGUUCGCGCCCUUUUGCCUGUUUGACCAACCAAAUAGCCCUACCGACCACCACCGACCCCAAUGACCCAUACACCCCUAUUCCAUAGCAUGCCUGGGAGCCUCCGAUCAAUUUUCUGCCUAAAACAUGCUUCGGCGUCGGACUCACCUCCAAAACCAUGAGAUAUAGUACACCAAUUUGAUCAGAAAAUGGUCCGUUUGUGCCGUUUCACUCAUUUUACCACUCAAAUAGCCUAGUCGACCACAACGACCCACACUUCCCUGCUCCUCAGCCUUCCUAGGACCCCUAGUCAAUUUUUUCCCUAUAAAAUGCCUGAUCCCUAGGCCCACUCCCAAAACUAUGAUCUAUAACACACCAAUUUGGCCUAAAAAUGCUUCAUUUUCACCAUUCAGCCCAUUUGACCACUCAAACAGCCCCGUCGAACCCAAUAACCCAUAUUCUCCUGCUGCUCUUCCUGUUUUGGAGCCCCCGACCAAUUUUUGACUCAAAACAGGCUGCAGCCCCAAGCCCACCCUCAAAACUGUGAGCUAUAGCUCACUGAUUUAGCCAGAAAAUUACCCGUUUGUGCUGUUUUGCCUGUUGGACAACCCAAAUAGCCCUGUCGACCCCAACAAACCACACUCUCUCACUCCUCAGCCUGUCUGGGAGACCUGCUUGAUUUUCAAUCCAAAACAUAUCUGGCCCUUGGGCCCACCCAAAGAAUCGUGAGCUAUAACACACUGAUUUCGCUUGAAAAUGGGUUGUUCACAUUAUUUAGGCCGUUUGACCAGCCAAACGGCCCCUUUUUGGGCUAGAUUUAUUCUUAGUCCAAAACAUUUUUGGGCCCCAAGCCCAUCCCUAAAAUCGUGAGCUAUAACAUAUCGAUUUGGCCCAAAAAUGGUCUAUUUGCGUCGUUUCAUCUCGUUUGACCACCCAAACAGUCCCUCCGAUCGGAAAUGUCGACACUCCCUCGCUCUUCAGCCUGCCUGGGAUCCCCCAGUCUAUUUUUGUCCCAAAACAUGCUCAGACCCUGGGCCUACCUCCAAAACAAUGAGUUAUAGUACACCGAUGCACUAGGAUUUCGUUAUGUGUUCUGUCCCACUCAUAUUUCUUCAUUCUACCUCUACCUUGCCUAAAACCAUCCAUAACCUGUAUUUCACACUUCCACAAUGAAGAAUCAAAGCCCCUCUUCAUCACGUGGAUGAACCAACGUAACCUAACAUUUCGCAUCUUGUCCUCCACCGAAGCAGCUCUCACCUUCUCUCGAAUAAUUUCAUUCCUCACCUUAUCUUUCCUGGUAUGUCCACACAUCCAUCGCAAUAUUCUUAUCUUUGCCACUAAUUUUUAGAUGUGGGAGUUUUUAACUAGCCAACACACCGCUACAUACAACAUAGCCGGCCGGACUACCACUCUGUAGAACUUACCUUUAAGUUUUGAGGGCACUUUCUAAUCACAUAGAACUCCCGAAGCGAGACUUUAUUUCAACCACCUUUCCCCAAUAUGAUUUGUUACAUCCUCGUUAAUCUCAUCAUUGCCCUGAAUCAUAGACUCUAGAUUCUUGAAACUCUCCCUCUUAUUAAUGGCUUGAGAGUCCAUCUUCACAACCACUCCAGCCUCCUGCAACACAUCAUUGAACUUAUACUCCAAGUACUUUGUCUUGGUUUUACUCAAUCGAAAUCCUUUAGACUAAAGCGUCUAUCUCCAAAUCUCCAACUUAUCAUUAACUUCUAUCUGAGUCUCGUCAAUCAGUACCACAUCAUCUGCCAAUAACAUACACCAAGGCACCUUUUUCUUGAUAUGUCACGUCAAAACAUCCAUCACCAAGGCAAAUAAAAAUGGGCUAAGAGUCUAUCCUUAGUGCAACCCUAUGAAAACUGGGAAGUUCUCCGAAUCUCCACCUACCGUCAUCACACGAGUCUAAUCCCCAUCACCCAUAUCCUGAAUCAACCUAGUGUACGGCACGGGCCUCCCUCCAGCCUCUAAGUACCUCCAGAGAAUCUCCUUGGAAACUCUGUCAUAUGCCUUCUCAAGAUCAAUAAAUACCAUGUGCAAGUCCUUCUUCCUCUCCCAAAACUGCUCCACUAAUCUCCUCACAAGGUGAAUGGCCUUAGCGGUCGAGCGCCCUGGCAUGAAACCGAACUGAUUCUCAGAGAUUGUUACGAUCCUUAUCAUCUUUAACUUUACCACACUUUCCCAAACCUUCAUAGUAUGACUCAACAACUUAAUACCUCUAUUGUUGUUGCAACUCUGGAUGUCUCUCUUGUUCUUAUACACUGGAAUCAUAGUACUCCACCUCCACGCUUCAGGCUUCUUCGUCGCCCUAAAAAUACUAUUAAGUAACUUUGUCAACCACUCCAAACCAACCCCGCUAGUGCUCUUCUAAAAAUCCACUAGAAUCUCGCCUGUCCCCGUUGUCUUACCCUGCUGCAUCCUGCGAAUAGCUCGCUUGACCUCCCCAACCUUUAUAUGCCUACAAUAACCAUAAUCGUGACACUCCUAAGAUUUCUUCAAUUGCAUUUCAAACACUAAAAGUACUUAAUUGUAUCAAUUACGGAACUUCUAAUUUCAAAUCUUAAAUUUCAUUUAGUCACAAUUCAAAAAUUAAGUGCAUAAAAUUUAUUAGUUUAUUUUAAAUUUUCAGAUACUGUUCUAUUGCUCAUUAUUUUUACAAUGAUCAGUUUUAUGAUUAAUAUCUUUAAUUAUUUUAUUUAUACAUCUUAUUGUAUCUGCUAAGUUAAUUUAAUUAAUAUCUCUCAAAUCACUCUCAAAAUCACCACCCCACCAAAUACGACACCCACCUCCUAGCCUUCCUCUACAGCCACCACCCCGCCUCCCUAGUUUUUAUUAUAUUUUACUUUAUCAGAUUUUUUGUAAAAUAUUUUUCUCACAUCACCCAUUUCUUAUCCCCAAGCCACCCUCCAACAACAAAACAAUAUUAUAUUUUUAUUUAAAAUAAAAUUUUAUAUUGCACCCACCCCUACUCCCCAAUACCCAUUCGACACCCCUAAUACACAUUCCAAAAAAAAUAUUUUUGAUUUUUUCCUAAAAAAAAUCUUUCCACCCUUCUCUCCUGACUCCCAAGAAAAAUAAUUUUUUUUUAUCUUUUAAGAAUCUUUUUUCUACUCCACAACACUAACCCCUAGCAACACCACCACCCCGCCUACCCCACCUACCUAGCUCACCCCUACCCCAUCUCAACCACCAUAAUCUCUUGUUCUUCCCCUCAUCCAUCACUUUGCCGCAAUGCAAUUUAUAAUUUUGUGUUAAAUAUACACAAAUGCUAUUAGAAAAUAUUUUUUAUUUAUUGAUAAAAUAUCAAUUAUCAAUUUAUUUUAGCAUACAUGCUAUUACUAAUGUCAAAUAAUUACAUCAAAUAAAAUUAUCUAUUUUUUAAGCUCAAAAUGAACUAAUAGCUACUAAUUGGUAUUUUUAUAAUCCUAAAUUUUUUGUAAAAAUAUUUACCUGAUUAAGUUCAAGCAUUUUAUAUCCCUCCAAUAAAUUAUGCUUUUUGUUAUCUAUUGAAAAUAAUUUGAGACGUAGGGGAUUAAUUCAUCAUCGAAAUGAAACAAAAUAUAUAAGCAUACACCAUUAAAGAUGACGAUGAAAGCAUAUACAAAGAUUAAGAUUAACAAUUCAGCAAUAUAUUUUCAAAGAAAUCUUUCUGAGAAAAUUAACACUUGAAUUCAUAAAAAGAAAUCAUUAUAAUGAACUUUAACUAACAUGAAAGCAAUAGAAAAAGAUGAUUGCAGAGAUAUAUGAUUAUGAUGAUAAAAAAGAGUAGUUGAAAACAUGAAAGCAAUAGAAAGAGAUGAUGAACUCUGAGGUGAGGAUUGCCCAAGAUCAUAUAAGGAGACUAAGGACUUUUUAUCCACCGAUGUGGGACUCUCCCCUCUCUCUCUUUGCACGCCAAGACUGGACAUCUGAAGCAUAGGCAAUAUAAGUUGGGGGACUCAACAUUGAAAAUAAUGAACUGGGUAGGCCUGACUCUAAUACCAUGUUGAAGUGUGUGACCAUCUCAUCUAAAAGUUUAACUAUUAAAGAGAGUACACUUUUACUAUUUAAUUAUAUUCUCAACAGUUACUUAAUAUGCUAUUUUGGAAUUGAACAAAUGAACUUUACGUGGCAUUGCAAACUGAAGAAAGACACAAAAUUUUUCUUUCAAACAGUUCAAGAAAGAAUCUUUUGUCCUUUUGAAACAAAGAAAUAGAGUCACAUUUGUUUGAUUGUUUUGUCCCUACAGUUGAACUAAGAGCACUUUGAGUGAAGGUUUUUUCUAUUAUUAAGGAUAUCCAAUUUUGGAAAAGUACUACUCCUUUCGUUUAAAAAAAAUGAUAGACCAAACAACAUAUUAAUUUUAUACAUUAUAUUAACUCCUAAGUAGCCACCAAACCUGGAAUUAAUUAGGUAGGAUUCCUGCAUAAAUUGAUGCUUAGCCAGCUACCAAAUGACCCCUUAAUACCUUCUUUCUUUGUUCAUUGAGAAGACAGAGACCAAUGCAAGCAUAAUUCAAUUUAUGUGUAUAAUAUUUUCAGAACCAAGUUGCAGAAUAAAUACUUUACAUAAAUACAAAACUUCCUAAAUGAGUUGACCCAAUUGAUAUAAACGGUUUGAUUCACUCAGCUCCUGAUUCAUCAAUUGAUGACUACGGUAUUUUUCCAUUAGAUCUGGCAGGAAGCUUUUUUUAUAACCAGAUUUUUUUUAUAACAAAAAAAAAAAGUGCCACUAAUGCCUCUGCAGCAACAAAAUCUUCUGAAGCAUCCAAUGAAAGUUGAGAGAAUCUCUUCUCGGCUAUUGGUUUUGGUGAAUCUCUUGCUGAAAGUGAUGAAAAUUAUUCCCUGUCAUUUCGACCUAUUUUGUCAUUUUAAUCAUUUUCAGUUCUCUUUAUAAAAGUCAUUAUUGGAUACUUUCCCUAGAAAUUUAAGUGGUUGAUCUAAGAAUGAAGCAAAUUUUUUAAGUGCAGCUUGUGGUGGAAGCUCACCAGUGUCGGCAUUUGCAGGCAACUAGGAAGAUCCAGUUAAGGAUGGACCAACUUCCUUCAAAAUAAUCAAGAUUCAAGAUGGAUCAUUUUUACUGAUCCUUUUUCCCUAUAUAUGUGCAAUGAACAUGUUGAUAAUUGUAGGUAUCAUAAUCUAGGUCCAACUGCUAGGUUAGAUAGUAACUCAAGAAUCUUUUAUCAAUUCUCCUUUCUUAAGAACCCCAAAAAAUAAAUAACACUCAAGCAAAAAAAAGUAAAAUCAGACACAACACAUACUGAUUGUAUGAGAGGUUAUACAAACUGGGGUUUGUAUAUAUACUCAAAUAUAGGACCAAUAUUGGGAAAAAAUUGAUUGACAUGAAUAAAUACUUCAAAUUGUAAUCUCCAUUUGGAUUGACUCACAUUUAUUGCGUUUUUCUCAAAUUUUGGGUUUAAAAUCCUUAAGUUUUUUCAAGGUGUUUAUGCUUUUCUCAGGUACUGUUACAUGAACAAUUAUGUUAUUUUGUCCUUGACCUAAUGAACUCUACGUGGCAUAAUAAACUGAAGAAUGACACAAAAUUUUUGUUUCAAACAGUCCAAGAAAGAAUCUUUUGUCUUUUUCAAACAAAGAAAUAGAGCCACAUUUCUUAGACUGAUUUGUCCACUCCUGGUGCUCUUAGUUCAACUAUAGGGACAAAAUAGUUCAACAAAUGUGGCUCUAUUUCUUUGUUUCAAAAAGUCAAAAGAUUCUUUCUUGAACUGUUUGAAACAAAACUUUUGUGUCUUUCUUUAGUUUGUUAUGCCACGUAGAUUUCAUUAGUUAAAUGCCAAAACGACGUAACUGUUCAAGUAACAUUACCUGAGAAAAGAACAAACACCCUAAAAAACGUUGGGAUUUUAAACCCAACAUUUAAGAAAAAUGCAAUAAAUGUGAGUGAAUCCAAGUGGAGAUUUCAAUUUGGAGUGUUUAUUCUUGUCAGUCAAUCAACAUUUAGUGUGUCUAAGUUUACCUUUUUCAGCUCGAGUGUUAUUUAUUUUUACGGGUUCUUGAGAAAGGGAAAUUGAUAAGAGAUUCUUGAGUUACUAUCUAACCUAGCAGCUGGACCUAGAUUGUGAUAACUAUUAUUAUCAAUAUGUUCUUUGCAUAUAGCUAGGGAAGAAUGAUCUUUCAAAAUGAUCCAUCUUGAAUCUUGUUUAUUUUGAAGGAAGUUGGUCCAUCCUUACCUAGAUCUUCCAAUUUGCAUACGAAUGCCGACUCUGAUGAGCUUCCACUGUAUGUUGCACCUGAAAAAAUUUCUCUAUUCUUAGAUCAAUCACUUAAAUUGCUAGGAAAAGAUCCAAUAAUGACUUUUAUAAGGAGAUGUGAAAAGGAGAAAGAUGACAAAAUAGGUCAAAAUAAUGGUGUAGAAUUUUCAUCAAUUUCAGCAAGAGAUUUACCAAGACCUAUAGCCAAGAAGAGAGUCUCUCAACUUCUAUUGGAUGCUUCAGAAGACUUUGCUGCUAUGGAGGCAUUUAUUUUUUAGUUAUCGAAAAAAGCCUUCUUUCCAGAUCCUGUGAUAAAAGACGAGAUAUAUGAUAUUGGACUCCUAUCUCAAUCAGUAAGAAAUGGCCUAAAAUCUCUCACCUUUUCUAUGCUGAUGAUCUAACUCUGUGUGCUAUUGCUAAUGAAAGAAACUGUGUGCAAUUGCUAAUGAAAGAAACCAUCCCACCAACUCUUAGCAGCUUCACCUUUCACUCUGGCCAAAAAAUUAACACUCAAAUCUAAAGUAAUCUUCUCUAGAAACUGUGCUCAGGAGACCAAAGAUAAAUUGUCUCACAUCUUAGGCAUACAAUCCAAAGACAAGUUUGGAAAAUAUAUUGGUUUUCCUGUCUUCCACAAAAAAACUUACAAUAGAGAUUUCCAAUUCAUCCUAGACAAUCUCAACAGUAAGUUGGCUGGAUGGGAAACCAAAUUCCUCAAUAUGGAUGGCAGAAUCACCCUUACCAAGUCCUCCCUUUAUAGUAUUCCCACUCAUGUCAUGUAAUUCAUCUUGAUCCUCUCUAAAAUCAACUAAUUGAUUGACAGAACCCAAAAGAACUUUCUCUGGGACACCAACCCUAAUAAUAAGAAAAUGCAUCUAAUUAAUUAGGAAACCUUGACUAAUGCUAAAGCUAAUGGGGGCCUAGGCCUCCAAAAAGCUUCCAUUAGGAAUACCAUUAUGUUAUCCAGUCUAUCCUAGAGACUUUACAAGCAUCCCAACAGUCUCUGGGAAAAAAUUCUUUAAAGUAAAUUAGCCCCCAUGGCAUAUCCCUCAAAGCCAACAACUUUAGAACUUGGAAAAUUGUCCUUGUGGGUUGGGAAAUUUGUAAAACUGCCUCCUCUUGGAAAAUCAAUAAGGAUGACAAGAUCAACUUCUGGAAGGCUAAAUGGAUGCCUCAUUGUGAACUCCUUCUUUCCAUCAUCCAAGCCCUUCUUCCUUAUCAUUCCCAAGACAUUUAACUCUCUGGGGUCUAGAAAAAUAGCUCCUAGAACCUCAAGGAUCUUCCGGUUAAAAUCCCUGAGGAUCUCAUCCAAACUUUCACCAACUCUGUUUUCCCUAAUCCUAGAGCCCAUACUUAUGAGCUCAUUUGGAAUCUCAUAGGUAAUUGUCUGUUCUCCAGCAGAAGUGCUUAUAAUCGUAUAGCCAAAACCUCUAAGAUCAAUUACUCCUCUAAUUUCAACUGGAUAUAGAAGGAUAAAUCCCCUAAAAAGUUAAAACCUUUCUUUGGCUAAGCCAGCAUGAUAGGUUCCCUAAUAACCUCAGCCUCUCUAAGAGAGGAAUGGGACAAAAUACUAGUUGUGCUAUCUGCAAUCAUCACCAGGAAGAAAAAUCCUACAUUUUCUUUAAGUGUCCCAUCCUCAAAUAUUUUGGACUACAAACUAUCCACAAGAUGACCCAAUCCAAACAACCUCUUAUUACCAGUCUCCUACCCUCUUACUGGCACACUAUCUGGAGAUCUCUUCAACACUCCCAAUUCAACAGACUAAUCCACUGGCACGACAUUAUUCUUUUCAGCCUCUAGACAAUCUGGAACACCAAGAACUCUAAUACCUUCAAUAACAAAAGGGAUCAUCCCAAUUUUAACCUUGCUUACUCCCAAACUGUUGAGUAUAAACAUCUUACUCAAAAUAAUACCCCAAUCAAGCAAAACCAAAUCAUUGACGUUAAGUGAAAUCCUCCCACAAGCCAUACCAUCAAGCUCAAUACUGAUAAUUCUUACCUUAGAAGCCUCGGGAAGGGUGGAAUGGGAGGGGUAGUCAGAUCUAGUAAUGGAGGUUGAGUGUUAGGUUUUAACAAAAACUUUCACCGGACUACCAACAACAUAAUGGAACUUAUGGCUCUCAUUGAAGGAUUAAAACUGGUAGAGCAAACUAAUCUUCUCCACAUUGAAAUUAACAUUGAUUCCUUGGAAGUUAUAUCAAUGUUAACUAACAGGAACCUCCACUAUGAUACUUUGAUUUUGGAAUGCAGGUCAAAAUGGAGUGGCGGAUGCUCUAGCAAAACACGGAGCAAAGGCAAGCGGGUUUCAGGAGACUACCCUUUUUGAAGUUCCACCGAUAUAUGCAAAAGAUGCAGUUUGAGCAGACAUCUCGGAAAAUUUUUGAGAGAAUAAUUAGCUCUUGUACUGAUGAUUUUAACUGGCCAGGCCAGAACUAUUCCUUUUUGAACCCUGACUAAUCGUCAAAAAUUAAAACUUAAACUGCGUUCUCUUUUAUAUUAAUGCAUGUACUUUCUACCAAAAAAAUAAUAUUAUUUUGCAUAUUGAAUCAUCGAAAAGAAGAGAUAUUUAUAUCAAUUUAAAUUGAUAGACCUUGAACAUUCACAAAGAAAGAUAAGUUGAAAAUGCUAUAUCAUUCCUGCAUAUUUAAAGAAUGUUAUCAAAUCAAGAAUAAUUUUUUUAAAACAAAAAUUAAAAAAUGCAGUAAAUAAAUUCACGAAUAAAGCUAAUGAUAGAGAAGUAUAUGUAAAAAAGUCUAAGUGAUAGAAUUUCAUUUAUAUUCGGAUUUCAUUUAAAUACAAAUUCAAAUAUCAAUGAGACAAUAUAUAUAUUUAAAAUUAAUAUAGAUUUGAGUUGAGAUAAAUAUUGAAAUCAAUGAGACAAUACUAAUUCUAAUACUAAUACUAAUACUAAUACUAAUACUAAUAACAAUAACAACAUUUUAACUAUUUUUACUUUACCACUAUUAGAUUGCACUACUAUUACUAUUACUAUUAUUAUUUGUUCAUUGUUAUUUGAGAUAAAUAUUAAGAUAAAUCGUGUAGCAAAAAAAAAUUGUGUUCCAUGAUUACUAAUUAAGUACAUCUAAAUUAUAAGUUUAUCUUUGAAAGUAUGUUUUAUCUCCAAUUUAAAUUCAAAAAACUUUGAUAGAAUAACCAAUAUCUUAGAUGAGCGGUUAAAACCAUCAAUAUAGGUCAGGAUCGUUGGGAUGGCCCGGCCCAGCCUGUAAUUUGAUAGGCCUGGGCUACAAUUUUUAUAUCCCAUUUAAGAAUAGGGCUUUUUAACCCUUCAUGAAUAAGUCUAUUGACCCGUUGGCUUGAGCAAUAUGGGUUUGGGUGACCCGUGGGUCAAAUAAAAAUAAUUAAAAAAUAAAAUAUAGUACUAAGAACUAAAAAAGGAGUCCAAACAGAAAGUCUAUAUGAACCAUCAUAUAUAUAUAUAUUUAAAUAUUAAUUAUAUUUAUAAAAUAUAUAAAUAAUUAAAAAUAAAAUAUAAUUUUUUAAAGAAAUCAAAUAUGUUAGAUGAAGAUGACGUGGCGAUGUUGAGUACACCAUAAAUGCCAUGAGAGUUUUCUUUAAAAUAUUUAUUUUACUUUUAAUGGACUAAACAUUGACAUUUAUUUGUGUUUUAUUCUGAUCAAUUAAAACAAAAUAAGGUUAAUAUUAUUAUUUAGCGAGUUAUAUUAUUAUUCAUUAAUUAUUUUAUUUAUUUUUUAAUAUCUCUAUUUGAUUUUAAUUUUGUGUCAAAAGUUAUUCAAUUUCAUAGAUUAUUAGGAUCUUUUUGUAAAUUUGAGACUUGUUUAAUGAGUAGUAACUUCAAGCAAUAUUAUAUUGUAAAUAUUUAUGCAUUUAAUAUUUUAAAAUUUAAAUUAAGAUUAUAAAAAUAAUAUAUUUUAAAAAAAUGGGCUGGCCCGUGGAGGGCCACAACCCAUAGUGUGACAGGUUGGGCAUGGUAUUUUCUAGUCAGUCAUGUUGAUGGGUCAGCCUGGCCGGGCCCGUCAAACUCUAAAGCCCAUGUGAGCUAGCCCGGACGAGCUAGUCCAAUCAAUAUUAAGAACUCUAGAAGCAGUUAUAUAAUGAUAAGAAUCCAAUUAGAACUGUUUAGUAUUAUAACUAUCUACUUCUAAUAUGUUAUUUUAUAUUUUUUUAAUAUUAUUUUAAAGUUAAAGUCAACAAUUUAUUUGUAACGCCCCAAGAUCCCAUCCUGAGACGUCACACGGUGCUUAAGGCCACAUGUGGCCUCAAGUUAACCCUCUAAACCUGUCAUCACUUCUAGAACUCACUUUGACAAUAGUCAUGCUAAUAUAAGAGAGAAUGACAUAUCAUAAACAUACUGGAAUAAGAUACAAAACUAGCCUGUACAAUUCAAAAUACUGAAAUUCUGUACAUACCAACCCUUUAAUCUGACAAAGCCUCUAUACAUCACGAGGCAUUGGGACAAACCCCCAAUUGAAUCAAACAGUACUGAAAGCCAAAACAACAAAACAUUAUCACAAAAUUAUAUACACGGUCCUCGAACCAUGAGAACUCACCAUUGAGCAGACGAAAAGAAGCACCCGAAUAUUGCUAAUGCGGCUGAGUACCUGAACUUAUAUUACGAGAAAAUGUAGCCCUUAGGAAAAUAUAUGGGCCAUCACUUUGGAAUGUACUGAGUAUGUGGGGGUGCAUGCAACAAUGUAAAUAUCGUCAUCAAUUUCAUGAAAAUAUGCAUAUGUACAAUGAUGGCUCACUUGGCUUGAGUUAGUUGAAACAUACUUUUCAUGAUCUCAUCGUAAAUAAAUCAUAUGAUAAAAACCUUAUAAAUCAUCAUAAACAACUCAACUCUUCAACUCAAGACUCUGAAUGACUCUGUAAUUCAAGAAACUCGACUCUUAUGGACAUGAGAGGUUCUUAUAAUCGACAUAAACCAAGCGAGCUACAUGGAGUCUAAUAUUUUUCCCUCCUAAGGAGAGAACCCCACAUUGGUGGGAGAGUCGUACUUUUGCCAGGGAUUACAACCUAAAUUUAGUGAUCACAAUCUCAUACUAGGCCUUCGGCGACCAAUUAUCAAUAUCAAUCCUAUGGUGGCAUGUAGUUUCAGGGGAAAUACCAUAUUUCCCGCUCGGUGCUAAAUACUACUCAUAGACACAAGCUCAGAACGCGUUAGGAAAUCCACCACAAACAUCACAAGGGUCUAUCAUGAAGACUAAAUCAAAUCUUAUUCACAUUUAUCAAAUCAUAAUCAAUUUGUGGAUUCCUAACUUGACUCAAAUCAAAACAAUCUUUCUCAAUAUCAAAAUGCAUCAAUUAAUUAAGUCAUGGCGAAUAUCAAUAACUUUGAAGAAAUAUCAAGACUCAUUGUAGCAAAUCAAUUCUCAUGAAUCAAUACACUCAAUAAUCCAAUUUGUUAUAAGGAAGCUUAAAGCUUGACAAAUAUCUUGAAAGCACUUGAAAUACCAAAUCAUGGUAGAAACUUGAAAUUCACAAUAUUAAAUAUCAAGUCAUAACUUGGAAAUAGUAAAAUAAUCAUGUAUAACAAGCUUGAACGAUUUAUAUUCUCAUAAUCUCAUAAUGAAGUAAUUUGGGUAUAAACUCACUUGCAAAAUCAUAUAAAUACAUUGUAAAAAUCAAAGUUUUGAGCACAAGAACAAAAGAAUUGCUCUUGUUCAAAAACCCACAUACCUUAAUCUUUGAAAUCGGUUGAACUCUAGUGCUUGAGACUUUACUCACACUUGUAAUAAAAAAGUUCUUGAAGCCCACUCUAUGAGGAACUUGAUUUUUGAAGGAAUCUUGAAGAUUUACGGAUGAUUUUUGGAAGAUUAAUUUCCUUAAAUAAAACCCUAGAUAUAUUUCUUAAGAGAAUUGGAAGAGAGAAAUGAAGAAAUUAGGUUUUGGAUGAGGAUUCUCACAUAUAUAGAGGCCUCCUAAAAUGGAAAAUGACUAAAAUACCAUUAUAAAAAUCGUCCAUCAAUUGCUGAAAAAAAUAGUUGACGACAUCCAUGACAUGCUGUCUAGCCCGUGAUAGGCCAUCACAUUGUCGUCACAAAAAGGGUGGAUAUUGUGACUUUCUGCCUUAAGGUGAUGAAAUUUUGUGACGGGCCGUCAGGCUUGUGACAAGUAGUCACAAAAGGUCGUCACAGAUUUUUCAGGCUGACACGCUAGAGUAAAAUAAGCAUAACUCUUUGCUCCCAUAUCGGAUUUUGACGAAAUGGGUAUCAUUGGAAAGCUAAUUAAAUUAUAUAUAUUUUGGUAGGUGAUGAGCUUAAUAAUUCGUAUUACAACGGAAGAUAUUCUCAUUUAAAGUUGACUAUGCCAAAAUCCUUCUCAAGAAUUCAAUCGGUAAAGAAUGUUUUGAUUUGCCCGAGCGUUAGGACAUCUUUAAAGCCUUAAUACACAUCACCCUUGAAAAGAAAACAACCAAAAUACUAUAAUUUAUUUCUCAUGGGCUUGCGUCAUGGAGGCACUAUUGGUUAGAAUCUCGGAGUAUUACAAUACCUCCCCAUUGGAAACAUUCGUCCUCGAAUGUUGCCAGAUAGGCCAAGAACAAGAGAAAAAUGAGGACGUAUAUCUGGAAAGACUCACUCAAAAGACUUACUUCACUCUAUAUCUUCGAAUACUAUAGAAAAUGCAUGAAUUCGUGAUGAAAGUAGACAUACUGCUGAAUCUUUAAUAAGAAGGGGGCGGAAUUAAGAAAGAAUGAUACCUUCUACUCGCUCUAAACUCACAGAAAAAAGGUGAGGGUACUUGGCUCGCAUAUUAACUUCGUUUUCCCAAGUAGCACUCUCAACAGAUUGAUUUCGCCAAAGAACUUUAACCAAAGGAACUUUUUUGUUCCUUAGCCUACGGAUCUGAAAAUCCAAAAUCUAGACCGAAAUCUCCUCGAAUAAAAGGCUAUCCUGAAUAUCUAAGCUUUCGAAAGAAUCAACAACAAUAGAAUCACCGAUACACUUCUUAAGCAUAGAAACUUGAAACGCCAAAUGAAUGCUAUACAACUCCGCGGGUAAAUCCACCUCAUAAGCUACUUUCCCAAUACGGCUCAGAACCCUGUAUGAACCAACAUAAUAGGGACUAAGCUUUCCCUUCUUCCCAAAUCUCUUCACCCCUUUCAUGGGUGAAACCUUCAAGUACACCAAAUCAUUAACAUUAAACUCAAUAUCUUUUCUUCUCACAUCCGCAUAUGACUUCUGACAACUUUGUACGGUUUUCAAUCUUUCUCGAAUCAACUUAACUUUUUCCAUAGCCUCGACCACAGCAUCCGGCCCAAUCACAACUGCUUCUCCUACUUCAAACCAACCUAUAGGCGAUCUACAUCUUCUCCCAUACAAAGCUUCGAAUGGGUCCAUCUGAAUACUGGCAUGGAAACUAUUAUUAGAUGCAAAUUCGAUCAAUGGAAAGUUCUCAUCCCAACUACCUUUGAAAUCAAGCGCACAUGCCCUCAACAUGUCCUUCAAAGUCUGAAUACUCCUUUAAGCCUGACCAUCGGUCUGCGGAUGGAAAGUAGAACUUAGACGAACUAGGGUACCAAGACCCAGCUGAAAAGCCCUCUAAGACUGGGAAGUAAACUGAGUACCCCUAUCAGAGAUGAUAUCCAAAGGAACUCCAUGCAAUCUGACUAACUCACGGAUGUACAAUCUAGCAUAAUCCUCAGCUAUAUAAGACGAAUGCACUAGAAAGAAAUGAGGUGAUUUGGUCAACUGGUCUAUGAUAAUCCAAAUCGAAUCAUGAUGAUGACAAGAAGGAGGUAAACCAAUUAUGAAAUCCAUAUUCACUUCUUCCCACUUCCAAGUAAGAAUGCCAAACCCUUGUAUUACACCACUGGGCCUCUGGUGCUCUACCUUAACUUAUUGACAAGUGAAAUACUUUGCCAUAAAUCCUGCUAUGUCUUUCUUUAUACUGUUCCACAAAUAGAUUUCCCAAAAAUCAUGGUACAUCUUGGUAGCACCGAGAUGAAUAGAAUAUCGCGCACCAUGCGCUUCAGCCAUAAUUCUCUGCCUUAAAUAAUCAACAUUUGGAACACACAGUCUACCUUGCAAUCUCAACAUACCAUCUCCCCCUUAGGAGAAAACCUCUACCUUUUGGUCCUUAACUGACUCCUUCAGUCUGAUAAACUAGGAUCCCUGUCCUGCUUCUCCUUUACCUCCGAGACCAAAGAGGACUCGGAACUACUCUAAACUAACAUACUCCCUUCAACGGAAUCAAGCAAUCUAACACCCAACCUAGCCAAACGAUGCACAUCACGAGCUAAUUCUUUCUUAUCAUUCUCCACAUGAGCUAUACUACCCAUAGAAAACCUGCUAAGAGCAUCUGCCAUAACAUUGGCCUUGCCCGGGUGAUACAACACACUUAUAUCAUAGUCUUUUAGAAACUCUAGCCAUCUUCUUUGUUUAAGGUUGAACUCCCUCUGAGUAAACACAUUCUGCAGGCUUUUGUGAUUAGUAAACACAUCAACAUGAACACCAUACAAAUAAUGUCUCCAGAUUUUCAAAGCAAAAACUACAGCUGUUAAUUCAAGAUCUUGAGUUGGGUAAUUCUUCUCAUGAGGCUUCAACUAUCUAGAGGCAUAAGCUAUAACUUUACCCCUCUGCAUCAACACACAAACCAGACAAACUCUAGAAGCAUCGUAGUACACCACAAGACCAUCAGUACCAUCGGGUAAAGCUAACACUGCGGCUGAAGUGAGUUGAGUCUUUAACUCUUGAAAACUCUUCUCACAGGCAUCUUUCCACUAGAACUUAACUUUCUUUUGGGUCAAUCGGGUCAUAGGGGACACAAUAGAAGAGAAUCCCUUAACAAAACGACGGUAGUAAUCAGCUAGACCCAAGAAACUCCUAAUAUCAGACGGGGAGGUAAGUCUAGGCCAAUUCUUCACAGCUUCUGUCUUUUGAGGAUCAACUCUAAUACCUUCGGAAGAGACAAUAUGACUCAAAAAAGAAAUUGACCUUAACCGAAAUUCAUACUUUCUAAAUUUAGUGAAUGAUUGAUGAACUCUAAGGGUUUCCAACAUGAUUCGAAGAUGAUCUGCAUGGUCAUCCUCACUUCGAGAAUAUACAAAAAUAUCAUCUAUGAACAUAAUAACAAACAAAUCAAGAUACCGCUUAAAUACUCGGUUCAUAAGAUCCAUAAAAGCCGUUGUAGCAUUGGUUAACCUAAAGGACAUGACAAGAACUCAAAAUGACCAUACCGGGUUCGGAAAGCUGUCUUUGGAAUAUCACACUCUCUCACUUUAAGCUGAUGAUUUCUGGAUCUAAGGUCUAUCUUUGAGAAAUAACUUGCACCCUAUUGCUGAUCAAAUAAAUCAUCGAUUUUAAGAAGAGGGUACUUGUUCUUCAUAGUCACCAUGUUGAGUCGACGGUAGUCAAUGCAUAUAUGCAAUGUACUAUCUUUCUUCCGCACAAAUAGAAUAGGUGUACCCCAUGGGGAAACACUGGGUAUAAUAAAGCCUUUUUCUAAGAGGUCUUUGAGUUUGUCCUUCACACUUUAAGUUCUGCGGGAGCCAUACGGUGUAGAGGGGUGGAAAUUGGUUAAGUUCCAGGAAGGAGAUCAAUCCCGAAUUCUAUAUCUCUAUCAGGUGGGACACCUGGAAGGUCUUCCGGGAAAACAUCGGGAAACUCUUUAACAAUGCAACCUGACUGAAUAGUCAGAGUCUUGGACUUGAGGUCUUUAACUCAAAAUAGAUGAUAGAUGCAACCCUUGGAAAUCAACUUCCUAGCUUUGAGGUAAGAUAUGAAAUGGCUCUUUGGAGAUACAGAACUCCCGAACCUCUCAAACACGGGUUCGUUAGGAAACUAAAACUUGACCACUCAAGUACGACAAUCUAUAGAUGUAUAGCACGACUCAAGCCAAUCUAUACCCAGAAUGACGUCAAAAUUAACCAUAUAUAGCUCAAUCAAAUCAGCACAUAUGACCCAAUGAAGGAUAGUAGCAGGACACUUCUUAUACACUAGCUUAGCAAUAACAGACUCUCCUACUAGGGUAGAAACUAGAAUAGGCUCAGGAAUUCAUUCAGGGUCCAUCCCAAAAUUUAUAGCAACCAGAGAUGUCACAUAAGAGAAACUGUGAGGUGGUAUAGCAUAGAAGCAAUUGGAGAAUAGGGUGCUCGUAUGCUAGACAUGGGAGUCAAGAUGCUGGAGACACGGAGUAUACCAGUGAUAACAACUGGAGAAUCCUCCUACUCCUGGCGAGGUGGUAUAGCAUAGAAGCCAUUCUGGCAUAAACCGCCAACAGUACUUGAAGAGGCACCCUGAAGAGGAACUGGGUGGAAUAGGGGAGCGGGGGCACUAGUAGCCUGACUUUGGGGACGAGCAUCUUGACUCCCAUGUCUAGCAUACGGAUAAUCUCUAAGUCGGUGGCCCAACUUGCCACAACCAAAGCAACCUCUCUGAUCAACAAAACACUCACCAAAAUAAUCUCUACCACAUUUGGCAUAUGAAGGAGGAUGAGGUAUUUUACUUACACUUUCUUGAGACCUGGAUGGGAUAGGCCUGUUCCCCUGCUCCUGCCUCUGCUAGGUAUGGGAGCACUAACUGAGAAAGGCACGGGCAUAAAUGGACGUCUCCAGAAUUGAGGGCGGUCCACUCCAUAGAAUCUGGACUGGCCAAAUCCCUACUUCUCUGAUCUAGCUCUUUUGUUCCCUUUUACUCUCUUUCUCUCUUUCACCUUUUCAGCUUCAAUCUAUUGGAUAUGUAUUAUGAACCGAGAAAGGUCCAUCUCCCUAUUAAGCAUAGCAGAUUUACACUCUUUCACAACGUAACUCGACAAACCGGUCACAAACUUACUCAUGAUGGUCCUAGAAUUAGCCAUCAUACUAGAUGCAUAUUUAGACAACUAAUUGAAUAUAAGGCAAUACUCAUUAACAUUCAUGGAGCCUUGUCUCAAAUUCAUGAAGUUCUCUAUCUUUGCUUCCCUCAUCUCUAGAGGAAAGAAUCUAUCCAAGAAUACAUCCUAGAAUAACUGCUAAGUCAUGGGAGCGAUAUCCUCUCCUCUACUUUCCCUUCACACUUCUACCCAAUCAUAUGCAACAUCUUUCAUUCAAUAGGCAGCCAAUUCAACUCUCUCCUCCUCAGUCACUUGCAUAAUCUGGGUGAUCUUUCUUACUUCAUCCAAGUACAUCUGUGGGUCUUCACCUACCUUCGACCUAUAGAACUUAGGCGGAUUCAUCCGCAUAAUGUCACGAACCUGAGCUGUAGUAGAAUUAUUCUCUUGCAUAGGCAGAACAAAAGCCUGGUUGUUAGCUUGAGUAUUGGUGGUAACUACCUGGGCUAGCACCUGAACAACUGCCCGAAAUUCUGCAUGUGACACAUGCUCGUUCAGCAGAUCAAUAGGUUAAGGUUGCUCGUUGUUUUUUCGAGCUCGAUGAGGUGGUAUUUUCUAUCAUAAGAGAGCAUGAAUUAAUAGCAGAGAUAACAGUCGUAGGCACGAUAGACUUUUGAAAGAAAAAAAUGACUUUUCCUAAAAUGUCUCGUAGCCUGUUGCACAUAGAUUUGGCGCGCUAUACACCGAUGAUCAAGACUCUGUGUAAUACGGCUUGCCAGAAACCCUAGGAGUCUUUAAACCUUAGGCUCUGAUACAAAGCUUGUAACACACCAAGAUCCCAUCCCAAGAUGUCACACAGUACUUAAGGCCACAUGCGGCCUCAAGCUAACCCUCUAAACCUAUCAUCACUUCUAGAACUCACUUUGACAAUAGUCAUGCUAAUAUAAGAGAGAAUGACAUAUCAUAAACAUACUGGAAUAAGAUACGAACCUAGCCUGUACAAUCCAAAAUACUAAAAUUUUGUACAUACCAACCAUUUAGCCUGAUAAAGCCUCUAUACAUCAAAAUCAAAGAGGCAUUGGGACAAACCCCCAAUUGAAUCAAACAGUACUGAAAGCCAAAACAACAAAACAUUAUCACAAAAUUAUAUACACGGUCCUCGAAUCAUGAGGACUCACCGCUGAGCAGAUAAAAAAAGGCACCUGAAUAUCGCUAAUGCGGAUGAGUACCUGAACCUAUAUUAUGAGAAAAUAUAGCCUAUAGAAAAAUAUGUGGGUCAGCACUUUGGAAUGUACUGAGUAUGUGGGGGUGCAUGCAACAAUGUAAAUAUCGUCAUCAUUUUCAUGAAAAUAUGCAUAUGUACAAUGAUGGCUCACUUGGCUUGAGUUAGAUUGAAACAUACUUUUCAUGAUCUCUUCAUAAAUAAAUCAUAUGGUAAAAACCUCAUAAAUCAUCAUAAACAACUCAACUCUUCAACUCAAGACUUGGAGUGACUCUGUAAUUCAAGAAACUCGACUCUUAUGGAUAUGGAAGGUUUUUAUAAUCGACAUAAACCAUAUGAGUUACAUGGUGUCCAACGUUUUGCCCUCCUAAGGAGAGAACCCCAUAUUGGCAGGAGCGUCGUACUCUUGCCAGGGAGUAUAACCUAAAUUUAGUGAUCAGAAUCUCAUACUCAGCCUUCAGCUCACAAUUAUCAAUAUCAAUUCUAUGAUGGAACAUAGUUUUGGGGGAAAUACCACAUUUACUGCUCGGUUCUAAAUACUACUCCCAGACACAAGCUUAGAAUGCGUUAGGAAAUCCAUCACAAACAUCACAAGGGUCCAUCAUGAAGAACAAAUCAAAUCUCUUUCACAUUUAUCAAAUCAUAAUCAAUUUGUGGAUUCCUAACUCGACUCAAAUCAAAUCAAUCUUUCUCAAUAUCAAAAUACAUCAAUUCAUUAAGUCAUGGUAACAUCAAUAACUUUGAGGAAAUAGCAAGACUCACUGUAACAACUCAAUUCUCAUGAAUCAAUAUACUCAAUAAUUCAAUUUAUCAUAAGGAAGCUUAAAGCUUGACACAUAUCUUGAAAGCACCUGAAAUACCAACUCAUGGUAGAAACUUGAAAUUCACAAUAUUAAAUAUCAAGUCAUAACUUGGAAAUUGUAAAUAAUCAUGUAUAACAAAUCUUGAAUGAUUUAUAUUCUCAUAAUCUCAUGAUGAAGUAAUUUAGGUAUAAACACACUUGCAAAAUCAUAUAAAUCCAUUGUAAAAAUCAAAGCUUUGAGCACAAGAACGAAAGAAUUGCUCUUGUUCAAAACCCCACAUACCUUAAUCUUUGACAUUGGCUAAACUCUAGUUCUUGAGAAUUUACUCACACUUGUAAUAAAAAAAUCUUGAAGCCCACUCCAUGAGGAACUUGAUUCUUGAAGGAAUCUUGAUGAUUUAUGGAUGAUUUUUGGAAGAUUAAUUUCCUUAAAUAAAACCCUAGAUAUAUUUCUUAAGAUAAUUGGAAAAGAGAAAUCAAGAAAUCAGGUUUUGGUUGAGGAUUCUCAUAUAUAUAGAGAGGCCUCCAAAAAUGGGAAAUAACUAAAAUACCCUUGCAAAAAUCAUCCAUCAAUUGCUGAAAAAAAUAGCUGACGACUUCCGUGACAAGCUAUCAGGCCCGUGACAGGCCGUAACAAAUUUUCGGUACAAAAAGGGUGAAUUUUGUGACUUUCUGCCAUAAGUGACGGGCCAUUAGGCUUGUGACAAUUCGUCACAAAAUACCGAUUUUUAAGGCUGACACGCUGGAGUAAAAUAAGCAUAACUCUUUGCUCCGAUAUUGGAUUUUAAAGAAAUGGGUAUUGUUGGAAUAGUAAUUCAAUUAUAUAUCUUUUGGUAGGUCAUGAGCUCAAUAAUUCAUAUUACAACGGGAGAUAUUCUCAUUUGAAGUUGACAAUGCUAAAAUCCUUCUCAAGAACUCAAUCGGUAAAGAAUGUUUUGAUUAGCCCAAGCAUUAGGACAUCUUUAAAGCCUUAAUACACAUCACCCUUGACUAGAAAACAACCAAAACACUAUAAUUUAUUUCUCAUGGGCUUGAGUCAUGGAGGCACUAUUGGUUAGAAUCUCGGGGUAUUACAUUAUUACUUCUAAUUAUCUUAGCUAUUUACCUUUUUGCAAAUAUAAUGCAAAUUUAUCUUGUAAUGUUAUAAUUGAAUUAAGAAAAAAAUAUUUGAGAUAAACCACAUAUUUUUGAAAGUAAAUGAUGUAUUAUUAUUAUUAUUAUUAUGACUAUUAUUAUUAGUGCUACAACUAUUAUUAUUAUUAUUAUUAUCAUUAUUUUUAUUAUUAGUAGUAGUAGUAGUAGAUAUGUAUGUUCUACUACUACUACUAAUAUUAUAAGUUAUCUUUUAAUUAUUAUUAUAUUUUAUUUAAUAUUUAAAUAUAUUUGAAAUAUAUAAAUUUAUGAUAUAAUUAGAGAUGUUUUAGGUCUUUUCAAAUAUGCUUUUUUAAUUUUAAGCUGAUGAAUUUCAAAGCCUACUAUUUUCAAAUUCAUAUAUUUCUAUUAACAUAGUGAAUUACUUAUGUAGGACUAAAUUACCUGCAUAACUCACUGCUAAACUAACUACCAAAAAAUAAGCUACUACCUGCAUAAAUAAUAUAUAGAUAAUCCCUAAACUAAAAAAAAAUUGCAUAACUCUAAUUGAGGCCCUUUCAUUAUUUAAUUUUGGCUUCUUAGGUUUAAGCGGGUAAACAGAUGAAAAGAGAAAAGAAAAGACUCUCAAAUCUAGUUUCCCCAGAAGCACCUCUUUAGAAGAAAGGUGCUGUUGAAGCAACUCAUUUUCAGAUUCAAGCAGUCUUUUGUUUUGUUCCUCCUCAGAAACAAAAGCAUGAGCCGGGGCAACCAUUUUCUUUUCUCACAGGAAAUGAAGAAUAAGAAAAACACUACAAUUUAAAACCAGGCUUUAAAUUUCAAAAACAAAAUAAGAAGUCAUAAGAGAGCAAAAAGGGGAAAACAAUGUGCAAAAAGACCUCACCAGUAGUAUGAUACAAAGGAUGACAGAGAGAGAGAAAGGAGGGUUAUAUUAAAAAUGGAAUGAAUACAGUGGAGGCAGAGCACAUCUAUCGAAUAUUCUUUGAAAAACCACUAGCUACAUCACCGACGUUUCAAAAUUAAGGAAACUUUUUAUCCUGUUCAGAAAAAAAUUUCAAAGUGUGUGAGUAGGACUGAGGUUGUUGUAACUGCGUAAAUUGGUUUGCCCUCUUAAAAUCUUCAUUUUUAUAUUUCUUUUAAUUGAAUACAAUUUUAAGAGGGCAAACUAAUUUAAGCAGUUAAGACAACCUCAAUCCUACUCUCACACAUUGAAUUUUUUUUUCUGAAUAGGACAAUAAUUUGCCUUGAUUUUGAAACAUCGGUGAUGUAGCUGGUGUGUUUUUAAAGAUAUUUGAUAGAUUUUCUCUGCCUCUGCUGUAUUCAUUCCAUUUUUCAUAUAACCUUCCUUCUCCUCUCUCUUGUCCUUUUUAUGCUAGUACUGGUGAGGUUUUUUUACACUUUGUUUUUCCCUUUUUGCUCUCAUGAUUUCUUAUUUUGUUUAUGAGAUUUAAAGCCUAGUUUUAAAAUUGCAGUGUUCUUCUUGCUCUUCAUCUGCUGUAAGAAAAGGAAAUGGCUGCCCCGGCUCAUGCUUUUGUUUCUGAGGAGGAACAAAAUAAAAGAUUGUUCGAAUCUGAAAAUGAGUUGCUUCAAUAGCACCCUUCUUCUAAAAAGGUGCUUCUAGGGAAACUAGAUGUGAGAGCCUUUUAUUUUCUCUUUCCAUAUGUUUACCCACUUAAACCUAAGAAGCCAAAAGUAAAUAACAAAGUGGCGUCAAUUAGAGUUAUCCUAGUUUUUGUACUGUAGGGAUUAUCGAUGUGGAAAUCUAUAUAUUAUUUAUGCAUGUAUUAACGUAUUGCUUGGUAGUUGAUUUAGCAGUGAGUUAUGCAGGUAUUUAAGUCCUACAUAUUUAAUAUUCAAAAAUUAGUAGUUAGUUUAGCCUACGUUUACUCCUAUUAAGAUAGAAUAACCCUUGAGACCCCAAAGAAGGCCCAUAAAAACCCAUCUACCAAAUAGACGGCUCUGUCUAUUAAGAUAGAGUAACCCUCGAGACCCCAAAGAAGGCCCAUAAAAACCCAUCUACCAAAUAGACGGCUCUGUUGCCUUUCCCAGCUGGUUUGGUGGCCCGUUUUUAGGGACCAAAUAUGGAUAAACAUAGUUAUGCGAUUCAAGAAAAUUAUAGUAUUACUACUGGGACUUUGGAUUAAAAGGGACAAAUAAGUUGUCUGAUUAAGUGAGAAUCCUUCAAGUUUUUAAAAUUAGGUGGGAGGGACAAUUUUUUUGAUUUUUUUUUUAAAGUUUUUUUGUUCCAACACCUUUGAUAGAUGUUCGACAACUUCUAUCAGUUGUUCAACAACUAUCAAAGUUGUUCGACAACUGCGCUAUGUUGUUCAACAACUAGGCGAAGUUGUUCGGCAACUGGAAGAAGUUGUUCAACAACUGUGUGAAGUUGUUGAGGCAACUAAUUUAGUUGUCAAACAACUGUCCCAGUUGUUCAAAUGACUUAAUUUUUUUAAAAGGGACAAGUUGCGGGACCCACUUGUCCCCUUUUCUUAAUUGGAAACUUGGGAGGUCUAUUGAUUCAUUUUUCUCACUUAAGUAUUAACUUGUAUAUAUCAUGAAGUAGUUAGCUUAUAUUUGCGUUGUAAAUUGUAAUAUUAAGUGUAGAGAUAGUCCUAUAUACGUUUAGUACGUCAAAGAGAGCUACUCGCAAACAUUGUGCAAUUCAAUUUGUCGCAAGAAGAACUUAAUCAUAACGCAAAUACUUAUUGGUUCCAAAAUUUACCCCUAAUCAAUGAUUUUAAUUCUAAUGAAUUAAGAAUAUAAGAACAUUCAAUCAUGAUAACAAAAAUAAUUUAUAAAAGAUAUUAUCUUGUAAUAGUGGGUAUAAGGAGAGGUAGAUGUAGGCUGAGAAGGUCUUGGUAUAGGUGAUUAAAUUAGGUGUCUGUAGCUUUUCGAGGAUAUGAUCUAGAUAUAAAAAUACGGAGAUCAAGGAUGUUGUUAGUGGGUGGCUGAGCGUUGUCUAAUUUCCCUAUUAAGUAGUAUUUUUGUUAUUACUUUCAUACUAUCUUAUUCUUCUAUAUUAGAAUAAUUUGUUUGUUUUUAGUUCAGUUAUCAUAUUAACUGUUUGUCAUUGCUACCAUUUUCAGAUUUACUAUUUUAUAUGUUUUACAUACCUAAUUUUUUUUUAUAUGUUUUACUUGAGUCGAGAGUCGAGAGUCAAUCGAGAACAACCUCUCUAUCUUCACAAGGCAGAAGUACAUGUCCAUACUACCUCUCCAAACUCCAUGUGUAAUAUUAUUUAUGUGAUUAUUGUAUAGAUCUUGAAUUGAUUGAUCAAAUGUAAAUACCCAAUGUUGAGGUAUACUUAUACCCAUUGUUGGAGGGAUGAUCUUAGAAAAAGGGUGAUUUGAUGCACAUCUUUUAUCAAAAGAUUAUAUACUGUACAGAAGCUUAAUAUUAGCUAUUAUACGUCUAUAUUAAAUUUUGUAUAUCCGUAACACAACUAAAAAGAAAAUAUGCACACUCCUCGUCAAAUUUCUGACAACGANNNNNNNNNNNNNNNNNNNNNNNNNNNNNNNNNNNNNNNNNNNNNNNNNNNNNNNNNNNNNNNNNNNNNNNNNNNNNNNNNNNNNNNNNNNNNNNNNNNNNNNNNNNNNNNNNNNNNNNNNNNNNNNNNNNNNNNNNNNNNNNNNNNNNNNNNNNNNNNNNNNNNNNNNNNNNNNNNNNNNNNNNNNNNNNNNNNNNNNNNNNNNNNNNNNNNNNNNNNNNNNNNNNNNNNNNNNNNNNNNNNNNNNNNNNNNNNNNNNNNNNNNNNNNNNNNNNNNNNNNNNNNNNNNNNUUUAUAAUUAUUAAAGUUCUUAAUCACAUAAUUGGAUAAUUUUUUUAAAAAAUUAUUUGUAUGGAAGAAAGUAUUACAGGAGAAUUAGAAUAUAACAAGAGACCACAAGUAAUUUAAUAUUUUAUAAAAUAACAUGAUACAACAACAACAAUAAAAACAUACCCAGUGGAUUUCAACAUAGAGGGGUCUGGGCAGGGUAGAGUGUACGCAGAUCAUACCACUACCUAAGAUGAAGUAGAGAGUCUGUUUCCGACAUACCCCCAACUUAGGACCGAUAGCAGUACAACAAAUGCAAAAUAUAAAUGCAUAAAAACUAGUACAAUCUGCAAAAUAAACUAAAGUCACUAGCCAUAAGAUAAUACUACACUCACAAGAUAAUACUAAAAUUAUCUAUCUGAAAUCAUAGACAUCACUCAACACCACGAACAAGAAACUUCAAACACAAAUAAAGAAUGCUCCCUUAUUGUUACCGAUACACUCUCAACCCCUUACCCUCUACCCUAAUCGGCAUUCUCCACACCUUCCUAAUCACUUCCCUCCAAUAUUUGUUCAGUCUACCUCUACCCCGCCUAAAAUCAUCCAUAGCCAGUGUCUCACACCUCCAUCAGAGCCCCUCUUCAUCAUAUGCUUGCACCAACGUAACCUUACUUCUCGUAUCUUAUCCUCCACCGAGUCCACUCCCACCUCUCCCGAAUAAUAUCAUUUCUUACCUUAUCUUUCCUAGUAUGGCCACAUAUCCAUCGCAAUAUUCUCAUCUCCACCACCUUUAACUUUCAAAUAUGGGAUUUCUUAACUGGCCAAUACUCUCUAUACAACAUAGUCGGCCGGACUGGCACUCUGUAGAACUUCCCUUUAAGAUUUGGGGACAUCUUCUUAUCACAUAAAAAUCCCAAAGCGAUCCUUCAUUUAAACCACCCAGCCCCAAUAUGAUGUGUGACAUCCUUGUUAAUCUCACCAUUGCCUUAAAUCAUAGACCCCAGAUACUUGAAACUCUCCUUCUUCUGAAUGGCCUGAGAGUCUAUGUAACACCCCGUAUUCAAGUACAUGUAUUGGCAUAUUCAAGUACGUGUAUUGGUCUUAUUUAUAUGAAAUUAAUUUUUUUAUUUUAUUUAUACCGAAAUUUGCCCGUCGAUAGUUCCAUGCGAAGGUUAUUGAAUAAGCUUUCCAACGAUAUAAAGAUUUCCAAAAACGGAUAGGUUUCGGAUAUAAUCGAGCACGUUCGAAACUAUAAAAUGGUGGCCACGAUAUUUGGGAAUAGUAAAUGUGCAGGAAAAUUUCCUGCACACAAACUACUAAGGCCAGCUGAAUUUUUUGAUCAACUUCAAACGAUCAUAACUCCCUUAAUAUAAUGAACUAGGAGAGCUUCGACCUAUGAAAAGAAAGAUAUUUGAGUAUUCUUUCCAAUACAAUUGGUUUCAUCCAAAUCCAACGUUUGAGUAAGGAGUUAUACUCUUUUUACUUCAUCCUAUCAAAAUAGAUUUUUAGGGUCAACUUCAAACGACCAUAACUCCUUGUACAGGACGAACUGGGUGGCCUACUUUAUAUAAAAUGAAAGACCUUUGAAUUAUCCGUCCAAAAGUACCAAUUUCACCCAAAUCCGAUAUCGGAGCAAAGAGUUAGGGUCGAUCUACUUUAACUUAUCAAAAUAGUCCACCAAAGGACAGAUUUGACAUUAUUUAAAUUUUAAAGGCAUUUUGGUCAUUUCCUAUUAUAUUAUGGACGGGAAUAUGUGUAUAUACAUGUAUAUGAGUUCAAAAACUCAUUUUCAUCAUCAAUCAUUGAGNNNNNNNNNNNNNNNNNNNNNNNNNNNNNNNNNNNNNNNNNNNNNNNNNNNNNNNNNNNNNNNNNNNNNNNNNNNNNNNNNNNNNNNNNNNNNNNNNNNNNNNNNNNNNNNNNNNNNNNNNNNNNNNNNNNNNNNNNNNNNNNNNNNNNNNNNNNNNNNNNNNNNNNNNNNNNNNNNNNNNNNNNNNNNNNNNNNNNNNNNNNNNNNNNNNNNNNNNNNNNNNNNNNNNNNNNNNNNNNNNNNNNNNNNNNNNNNNNNNNNNNNNNNNNNNNNNNNNNNNNNNNNNNNNNNNNNNNNNNNNNNNNNNNNNNNNNNNNNNNNNNNNNNNNNNNNNNNNNNNNNNNNNNNNNNNNNNNNNNNNNNNNNNNNNNNNNNNNNNNNNNNNNNNNNNNNNNNNNNNNNNNNNNNNNNNNNNNNNNNNNNNNNNNNNNNNNNNNNNNNNNNNNNNNNNNNNNNNNNNNNNNNNNNNNNNNNNNNNNNNNNNNNNNNNNNNNNNNNNNNNNNNNNNNNNNNNNNNNNNNNNNNNNNNNNNNNNNNNNNNNNNNNNNNNNNNNNNNNNNNNNNNNNNNNNNNNNNNNNNNNNNNNNNNNNNNNNNNNNNNNNNNNNNNNNNNNNNNNNNNNNNNNNNNNNNNNNNNNNNNNNNNNNNNNNNNNNNNNNNNNNNNNNNNNNNNNNNNNNNNNNNNNNNNNNNNNNNNNNNNNNNNNNNNNNNNNNNNNNNNNNNNNNNNNNNNNNNNNNNNNNNNNNNNNNNNNNNNNNNNNNNNNNNNNNNNNNNNNNNNNNNNNNNNNNNNNNNNNNNNNNNNNNNNNNNNNNNNNNNNNNNNNNNNNNNNNNNNNNNNNNNNNNNNNNNNNNNNNNNNNNNNNNNNNNNNNNNNNNNNNNNNNNNNNNNNNNNNNNNNNNNNNNNNNNNNNNNNNNNNNNNNNNNNNNNNNNNNNNNNNNNNCAAUGAGUUCUUACUUCAUUGUUAUUGCAUUGAUGGUCUAUUUAUAUGUCUCUUAUUGAUGUAUCAUUGUUUCAAAGUAUCAAAAAUGCGGUGGCGACCGAAAUAACAAUCUCAAAGAUUAAUUGAACUAAGUGAUGGAAGUUCUCUCUUAUUGGGUGGUAUCUAGGGGCAUAAGCCUAUCAUGGGUCGAUCCCAGUUGAUAUGUACUGGAAGCAGCCUAGUGGUCAUAGUACAGUAUAGUAAUGAUUAGAAAGAUGAUAAGAACGAUGGUAAAGUGAUUGAAUAAAUUCAAUGUACAGGUUGUCACAAGUUCUAGUAAGUGUGGUCCUCUCUUAUUAUGAUUUAUUCACUUGUUUCUGAUUUCUAUUGAGCUCCUAUAUCAUAUGUAAUUAUCUACAGCUUUACAUACUCAGUACAUAUUUCGUAUUGACGUCCCCCACGGGGGGCCUGCAUUUCAUGCUGCAGGCACAGGUACCUCAGCUCAGACACCGCACAAGUAAGAGCCAGGAUAUCCAGUUGCUUUUGGUGAGCUCCAGUUUGCUUCGGCGCUUUCCAUGUCAUAUCCAGUCACUUUUUGUAUUGUAUAAAAGUUAGUUAUAUGGAGGGCUGUGUCCCGACCUUAGUUAAACUUUGUGUAUUGUCUAGAGGCUUUGUAUACCUAAUGUACAGUCAAGGUGGUGUUUUGUUAAUAGACGUGAUGGCUCCAACGGACAAGUAUUGUAUAUACAUAUAUANNNNNNNNNNNNNNNNNNNNNNNNNNNNNNNNNNNNNNNNNNNNNNNNNNNNNNNNNNNNNNNNNNNNNNNNNNNNNNNNNNNNNNNNNNNNNNNNNNNNNNNNNNNNNNNNNNNNNNNNNNNNNNNNNNNNNNNNNNNNNNNNNNNNNNNNNNNNNNNNNNNNNNNNNNNNNNNNNNNNNNNNNNNNNNNNNNNNNNNNNNNNNNNNNNNNNNNNNNNNNNNNNNNNNNNNNNNNNNNNNNNNNNNNNNNNNNNNNNNNNNNNNNNNNNNNNNNNNNNNNNNNNNNNNNNNNNNNNNNNNNNNNNNNNNNNNNNNNNNNNNNNNNNNNNNNNNNNNNNNNNNNNNNNNNNNNNNNNNNNNNNNNNNNNNNNNNNNNNNNNNNNNNNNNNNNNNNNNNNNNNNNNNNNNNNNNNNNNNNNNNNNNNNNNNNNNNNNNNNNNNNNNNNNNNNNNNNNNNNNNNNNNNNNNNNNNNNNNNNNNNNNNNNNNNNNNNNNNNNNNNNNNNNNNNNNNNNNNNNNNNNNNNNNNNNNNNNNNNNNNNNNNNNNNNNNNNNNNNNNNNNNNNNNNNNNNNNNNNNNNNNNNNNNNNNNNNNNNNNNNNNNNNGUAGUGCAACUUUUGACUCGUAUAGUUGCUGGGCAAGCUCAAGGGAAAGCCAUUCCUACCACGGGUCCUAGUGGUACAGAUAGGGCGGCUAGCCUUCGAACACAGGAUUUUCUUAAGAUAGAUCCUCCCACUUUUACUGGAUCAGAUCUUAAAGAGGACCCACAAGACUUUAUUGAUAAAAUUCAAAGGGCCUUAGAUGUUAUGCAUGUAACGGGUAGAGAGACAGUAGAGUUAGCAACGUAUAGAUUCAAAGGGGAGGAUUUAUAUUGGUAUGAGGACUGGAAACGAUCUAGGGGUAUUGAUGCACCCCCAGCUACUUGGAAAGAGUUCAAAGAGGCAUUUCUUGAUCAUUAUCUUCCAUUUGAGAUUUGUCAGGCCCGUGCAGAUCAGUUUUUAAAUCUUUGUCAGGGGAAUAUCAGCGUGAGAGAGUACAGUCUCCGAUUUAAUUCAUUGUCGAGAUAUGCUCCUAAUGUUAUAGCUACUAUGGAUGAUAGAGUUCACCAAUAUGUAAAUAGGAUGGAUUCAUAUCUGGUUAGAGAUUGUACUAUUGCCUCUUUGAACAAAGAUAUGGAUAUAGCGAGGAUCAAAGCUUUUGCACAGAAGAUAGAAGAUUAGAGGUAGAGGAGAAGAACACAGGAAUUAGAAAGAGGAUAUUCCAAGAGGGCUAGAUCAACUGGGCAGUUCAUGGUAUCCCAAGGAGGGUUCAGACCACAGUUUUCUGCUAAACCACCUAAGCCAUUAUCUUCUUAUUCUAUAGCUAGUGCCCCACCACAGUUCCAACGGUCCAGAGGAAAUCAAUUUGGGCAUAGAAGUGAGAGUCAGAAUUUGCAGACUGUGGGGUACCAAGGGCAAGGGAAUAUGAGCCAAUCGAGACCUCCUUGAGAGCCAUGCAAUAAAUGUGAAAGGUAUUAUUUGGGCGCAUGUCAGCUGGGGACCAAUGUUUGUUUUUGGUGUGGUAUGUCGGGGCAUAUGAUGAGAGAAUGCCCACGAAGGGGCAUAGGGGGUAUGGAACAACCUACGAGGUCAUUUGUUGCAUCAUCAUCAUCGAUGCCUUAUUUAGGAAGGGGUGCACAACCAAUGGGUCGUGUUAGAGGUGAUAGAUGAGCCACGAGUUCUAGCGAGGCUCAAAAUUGUACGUAUACUCUAUCGGAUCGAUAGAAUUUAGAGGCUUCCCCAGAUGUGGUUAUGGGUACAUUGUCUAUCUUUUUAUUCGAUGUAUAUGCCUUAAUUGAUCCCAGCUCUACAUUAUCUUAUGUUACUCCAUUGGUUGCUAGAAAGUUUGAAAGAAUACCCGAACUGUUAGUUAAGCCAUUUGAAGUGUCCACACCAGUUAGGGAAUCUAUUAUAGCUAGAAGGGUUUACCAAAACUGCAUAGUCACUAUUUGUGGUUGUGAUACGAUGGUUGAUCUCGUGGAUUUAGAAAUGGUAGAUUUUGAUGUUAUAAUUGGUAUGGACUGGUUAGCAUUUUGUUAUGCCAUAAUUGAUUGCUGUACGAAAAAGGUAUAUUUCUAUUUUCCAAAUGAAUCAGUCCUUGAAUGGAAAGGUGAAAUUGGCGCGCCAAGAGGUAUAUUUAUUUCUUAUUUUAAGGCAAGAAGAAUGAUUUCCAAGGGAUACAUACAUCAUUUAGUUAGAGUAAGGGAUACAGAAGCGGAGACACCAACUCUUCACGCUGUUCCAGUGGUAAAUGAAUUUUCUGAUGUAUUUCCUGAAGAUCUUCCAGGUUUGCCUCCUGAACAAGAAGUAGAGUUUAGUAUUGAUGUAAUACCAGGCACCCAACCAAUCUACAUUCCUCUAUAUAGAAUGGCCCCAGCAGAAUUACAACAAUUGAAAGAGCAAUUGAAAGAUUUGCUAGAGAAGGGAUUCAUAAGGCCUAGUAUGUCCCUUUAGGGAGCACCAGUGUUAUUUGUGCACAAAAAGGAUGGUUCGCUAAGGAUGUGUAUUGAUUAUCGGCAAUUGAAUAAGGUGACUAUUAAGAAUAAAUAUCCUCUCCCAAGAAUUGAUGAUUUAUUUGAUCAGUUACAGGGCUCCAAGUGCUUUUCUAAGAUUGAUUUGAGGUCAGGUUACCACCAAGUGAAGGUCAAAGAGAAGGAUAUACCCAAGACAGCUUUCCGAACACGGUAUGGUCAUUAUGAGUUUCUAGUUAUGUCAUUUGGGCUAACAAAUGCACCCGCAGCUUUUAUGGAUUUGAUGAAUAGGGUGUUUAAGCCAUUCCUGGAUGUAUUUGUGAUAGUUUUUAUAGUGAUGAAUAGGGGGUUUAAGCCAUUCCUGGAUGUAUUUGUGAUAGUUUUUAUAGAUGAUAUUCUAGUUUAUUCUAGAUCAGAAGAGGACUAUGCCAAUCACUUACAACAGGCAUUGUAGACUCUUGUGAUUGUAAGCUUUAUGCAAAGUUCUCUAAAUGUGAGUUUUGGUUAAAGUCGGUGGAAUUUUUGAGUCAUAUUGUAUCUAGUGAAGGGAUAAAGGUUUAUACUUAAAAGAUAGAAGUUGUGAAGAACUGGCCAAGGCCCACCACGCCUACGGAGAUUCAUAGUUUUCUCAGGUUGGCCAGUUAUUAUAGAAGGUUUGUUAAAGACUUUUCUUCCAUUUCAGCACCCUUAACCAAGCUAACCCAUAAAGCAUCCAAAUUCCAAUGGAAUGAUGCUUGUGAGAAGAGUUUUCAAGAUUUGAAGAACAAGUUGAUUUCUACACCCGUGUUGGUACUACCAGAAGGCACCGAAGGGUAUACAGUGUAUUGUGAUGCUUCCAGAAUUGGUUUAGGAUGUGUAUUGAUGUAGCAUGGUAAGGUAAUAGCAUAUGCAUCUAGACAAUUGCGGCCACAUGAGAAAAAUUAUCCUAAACACGAUCUUGAGCUGGCAGCAGUUAUUUUUGCUUUAAAGAUAUGGCGCCACUACUUAUUGGGGUUCAUAUUGAUAUAUAUACUAACCAUAAGAUCUUACAAUAUAUUUUUAAUCAGAAGGAUCUAAAUUUAAGGCAGCGGAGAUGGCUUGAACUAUUAAAGGACUACGAUGUUGAUAUCUUGUACCAUCCAGGGAAAGCAAAUGUGGUAGCUGAUGCGUUAAGUCGUAAGGCUAUGAUGGCGCCUAUAGAAAGGCAAGGGAUGGUUAAAGAUCUUCACCAGUUAGCUAGUUUGGGAGUUCGCCUUCUUGAAACUCCGAAUAAAGAGCUUAUCGUACAUAAUGCUGCGGAAUCUUCAUUAGUAGCUGAAGUGAAAGAGAAGCAAUAUGCAGACCCUAUUUUAUUACAGCUUAAGGAGAACGUUCAGAGUGGUGCGACCAAGGUAUUUGACCCUACGCGAGAAAGAGUACUUCAGUGCCAAAACCGAUUGUGUAUGCCAGAUGUAGACGGGCGAAGAAAGAAGAUUAUAACAGAGGCACAUUGUUCAAGGUAUUCCAUUUAUCUAGGAUCAACCAAAAUGUAUAAAGAUUUGAAAGAUAUGUAUUGGUGGAAUGACAUGAAGAAGAGCAUUACAGAAUUUGUAGCUGAAUGUCCAAAUUGUCAAAGAGUUAAAGUUGAGCACCAAAAACCCGGAGGUUAUAUGCAAUGCAUUGAUCUUCCAAUUUGGAAGUGCGACAUACAUGGAUUUCAUUAUUGGUUUGCCUCGUACAUCCUGGAAGUUUGAUUCUAUAUGGGUGAUUGUUGAUAGGCUUACCAAAUCCACAUAUUUUCUACCAGUUAGGACCACUUACACAGUUGAAGAGUAUGCUAAGUUGUACAUUAAAGAGAUAGUCCGAUUACAUGGAGUGCCAGUCUCCAUUAUAUCAGAUCGAAGAACCCAAUUUACCGCAAACUUUUGGAAGUCUUUUCAGAGGUGUUUGGGAACACAAGUGAAGUUGAGUAAAGCUUUUCACCCUCAAACAGAUGGACAAGAAGAACGUACCAUCCAAACACUUGAAGAUAUGCUACGAGCUUAUGUAAUAGAUUUUAAGGGAAACUAGUAUGAUCAUUUACCUCUUAUUAAGUUUGCCUACAAUAAUAGCUAUCAUUCAAGUAUCAAAAUGGCAAUGAAGCUUUAUAUGGAAGGAAGUGUAGAUCACCAAUAGGAUGGUUUGAAGUGGGUGAAACUCUUUUGUUCAGACCGGAUCUUGUUUAUCAAGCCCAAAGUCGACACAAGUCAUAUGCGGAUAGUAGAAGGAGAGGGCUAGAUUUUUCUAUAGGUGAUUAGGUAAUUUUGAAGGUAUCACCAAUGAAAGGGGUAAUGAGAUUUGGCAAGAAAGGGACGUUGAGUCCACGUUAUAUAGGCCCAUAUAAGAUCACUCAAAGGUUUGGACAAGUUGUAUAUGAAUUAGAGCUACCCCAAGAGUUCUCAUUAGUACAUCCAAUAUUUCAUGUGUCAAUGCUUCGAAAGUGCAUCAAAGAUCCAUCACAUAUCACUUCUACUGAGGAUGUGCAAGUUGAGGAAGAUGUUACCUAUGAGGAAGUGCCUAUUGCUAUUCUAGAUCGCCAAGUUAAGAAGAUGAUAAAUAAAGAGAUAGCAUCUGUGAAAGUACGUUGGAGAAAUCAUUAAAGGGAAGAUAUUACAUGGGAAGCUGAGGAAGCAAUGAAAUCUAAGUACCCUCAUUUNNNNNNNNNNNNNNNNNNNNNNNNNNNNNNNNNNNNNNNNNNNNNNNNNNNNNNNNNNNNNNNNNNNNNNNNNNNNNNNNNNNNNNNNNNNNNNNNNNNNNNNNNNNNNNNNNNNNNNNNNNNNNNNNNNNNNNNNNNNNNNNNNNNNNNNNNNNNNNNNNNNNNNNNNNNNNNNNNNNNNNNNNNNNNNNNNNNNNNNNNNNNNNNNNNNNNNNNNNNNNNNNNNNNNNNNNNNNNNNNNNNNNNNNNNNNNNNNNNNNNNNNNNNNNNNNNNNNNNNNNNNNNNNNNNNNNNNNNNNNNNNNNNNNNNNNNNNNNNNNNNNNNNNNNNNNNNNNNNNNNNNNNNNNNNNNNNNNNNNNNNNNNNNNNNNNNNNNNNNNNNNNNNNNNNNNNNNNNNNNNNNNNNNNNNNNNNNNNNNNNNNNNNNNNNNNNNNNNNNNNNNNNNNNNNNNNNNNNNNNNNNNNNNNNNNNNNNNNNNNNNNNNNNNNNNNNNNNNNNNGAUAUAAAGAUUUCCAAAAACGGAUAGGUUUCGGAUAUAAUCGAGCACGUUCGAAACUAUAAAACGGUGGCCGGGAUAUUUGGGAAUAGUAAAUGUGCAGGAAAAUUUCCUGCACACAAACUACUAAGGCCAGCCAAAUUUUUGGGACAACUUUGAAUGAUCAUAACUCCCUUAAUAUAAUGAUAUUGGAGAGAUACUACCUAUGAAAAUAUAUAUAUUUGAGUCUUAUUUCCAAUGCAAGUGGUUUCAUCCAAAUCCAACAUCUGAGUAAGGAGUUAUACUCGUUUUACUUCAGCCUAUCAAAACAGAUUUUUAGGGUCAAAUUCAAACGAUCAUAACUCCUUGUAUAGGACGAACUGGGUGUCCUAAUUUAUAUAAAAUGAAAUAACUUUGAAUUAUCCUUCCAACGAUACCAAUUUCACCCAAAUCCGAUAUUGGAGCAAAGAUUUAUGGUCGAUCUACUUUAGCUUAUCAAAACAGUCCACCAAAGGACAGAUUUGACAUUAUUUAAAGUUUAAAGGCAUUUUGGUCAUUUCCUAUUAUAUUAUGGAUGGUAAUAUGAGUAUAUAUACAUGUAUAUGAGUUUAAAAACUCAUUUUCACCAUCAAUCAUUGAGGAAUAACAAACCUAGCCAAAUUUGACCUUUAAAUUACUUUUGAUUCAACCGUAGAAAUUUCAAAGUAAUCCGAUAACUGCGUUUGUCAUCUUGAGAGCUUCGAACGGCAACUAUUAUUUGAGAAAACAGGAUUACAUAAUCAAUAGGUGAAUUCUAAGGUAUGAAUAUUGUUUGCCUUUGUUAUUUUCCAUAUGUAUAUGUGUGAUAGAGGAUUAUAUGUAUUGGUUGUUAUUGAAAGGUGAUGGAAAUAAGGUUAUGGACUUUUUUGCAUGGUUUGAUUGUAUUGAAUUGUGGAAGGGGGAUAUGGUAAUUACGUUAUGGAAGGGGGAAAUGGGGAUAUGGUGAUAUACUAUUGAAUUGAUGAUUAUUUAUGUCUAUGGCUCAAUUUGGUUUAAUGGAUUGGUUGGAAGGAUAAAUGAAUCCAAACUUGAUAUUGGAGGAUGUUGUAUGAAUAUGCAUGGCAUGUGAAUGUAAUUGGAGUAUAAGAGGGUUAAAGUGACACCCUUUAUGGUGUAAUUAAGGCUUACUACUUAACCACUAGUUUGGUGAAUUCAAAUAAUUGAAUUGUGACGUUUGGUUGCUAAUACUAGAUUGCUAUAUAUGUUCGUUGUAGAUAAGUAAUAUGAAAAGACGGGAAGUCCAUUUGGGACUAGUAUUGAAGGUUGACAGUGAGGUAUGUAAAGCAUACUCUAUACUAUAUCUUUGGCAUGAAAGUGAACAAUUGUUCUAUUAAGAAAGUUUCCAAAGUUAUUCAGUAACAUGUUAUCCAUAAUGGUUUUGUAUGAUGUCCUACGUUACCAAUGAACUUGUUUCCACCCUACAAGAUGUCAAGACACUCCAAUACUUACUUGUUUUCCAAAUCUUACAUGUUUAUUGCACUAAUGAAUGUUAGAAAGUAUCCAGUUACUCAAAAAAGAUCCAUGUGCUAUUAGUGACUACCAAACAUUUCAUUGAUAUACCAGUAAGUUCCGACUUCAUUUUUAUGGCCUUGAUGACUCCAAAACACUUCAUUGAUGUGCCAAUUAGUUCUUAUUUUAUUGUUAUUGCAUUGAUGGUCUAUUUAUAUGCCUCUUAUUGAUGUAUCAUUGUUUAAAAGUAUCAAAAAUGUGGUGGCGACCGAAAUAACAAUCUUAAAGAUUAAUUGAACUAAGUGAUGGAAGUUCUCUCUUAUUGGGUGGUAUCGCAGGGGCAUAAGCCUAUCAUGGGUCGAUCCCUAUUUAUGUGUUUAUGGGUGGUAUCCCAAGGGCAUAAGCCUAUCAUGGGUCCUUAUUUAUAUUGAGCUCCUAUAUCAUAUGUGAUUAUCUACAGCUUUACAUACUCAGUACAUAUUUCGUACUGACGUCCCCCAUGGGGGACCUGCAUUUCAUGCUGCAGGCACAGGUACCUCAGCUCAUAUACCGCACAAGUAAAAGCCAGGAUAUCCAGCUGCUUUUAGUGAGCUCCAGCUUGUUUCAGGGAUUUCCGUGUCAUAUCCAGUUACUUUAGGUAUUGUAUAGAAGUUAGUUAUAUGGCGGGGUGUGUCCCGACCUUAGUUAAAUUUUGUGUAUUGUCUAGAGGGUUUGUAGACCUAAUGUAUAGUCAAGGUGGUGUCUUGUUAAUAGGCGUGAUGGAUCCAACGACCAAGUAUUGUAUAUACAUAUAUAUAUGUGUGCUCGAGCUUAUAUAGGUGAUUAUUUCUUUUUAUAUGCGACAUGAUGCUUUCCGAAUUUUGGGUUGUCAUAGAGGUAUGCAUGGGAAGUAUAAGGUUAUGAGUUGGUUCUCCCGGGCCUCCUCAGUUACGGGUGCCAGUCCGCCCCAAUAGGAUUUGAAGCAUGACAGUCUAGAUUCACAACCAUGUCAGCCUCCUACGACACAUCACUAAACCUAUAAUUCAAGUACUCCAUCUUGGUCCUGCUUAACCAAAAUCCUUUAGACUCAAGUGUCUGUCUCAAAAUCUCCAACUUAUCAUUAACUCCUCCCCGAGUCUUGUUAAAAAGUACCACAUUAUCAGCAAAUAACAUACACCAAGGCACCUCCUCUUGAAUAUAUCUUGUAAAAACAUUCAUCACCAAGGCAAAUAAAAAAGGGCUAAGAGUCAAACCCUGAUGCAACCCUACCUAAAUUGAAAAAUGCUCUGAAUCUCCACCUACAUUCCUUACCCGAGUCUUUGUGUCAUCAUACAUGUGCUAAAUCAAUCUAGUGUAUGCCACAGGCACCCUUCUAGCCUCCAAACAACUCCAAAGAAUCUCCUUGGGAACUCUGUCAUAAGCCUUCUCAAGAUCAAUAAACACCAUGUGAAAGUCCUUCUUCAUCUCCCAAAAGUGUUUCACUAAUCUCCUCACAAGGCGAAUGACCUUAGUAGUCGAGCUACCUAGCAUGAAAUCGAACUGAUUCUCAACGAUAAUCACGCUCCUUCUCAGCCUUAACUCUACCACCCUUUCCCAAAUCUUCAUAAUAUGACUCAAAAAAUUAAUACCUCUAUAGUUGUUGCAACAUUGGAUGUCUCUCUUGUUCUAAUAUGAUGGAAUCAUUGUACUUUACCUCCAUGCUUCAGGCAUCCUUCCCGCCCUAAAAAUGAUGUUAAGACACUUGUCAACCACUCCAAAUCUGCUUCGCCAGUGUGUUCUAAAAAUCCACUGGAAUCUCGUCUGGCCCCAUUGCCCGACCUCGAUGCAUCCUGUGAAUAGCCCUCUUGACCUUAUUAACCUCGAUAUGCCUAGAAUAACCAUAGUUGUGACACUCCUCAAAUUUCUCCAAGUCCCCAAAUACGAAACCUUUGUCCCACUUAUCGUUCAAAAGUUUAGGAAAAUAGGUCUGCCACCUUUUUUUAAUGAGGGCAUCCUAAGCCAACAUAGACCAUCCUCAAUAUUGAUGCACUUAUCCCUGCCUUUCUCCUUUAAAGUCGCAUACAAGCUCUCAAAAGCUGUCAUUUUAGCCACUGUAACUGCUAACUUAGCCUCUCACCUAGAUAUAGCUUAUACUCUUCCUUAUUAAUCCGCCUCUCUUGAUCAUUCUUGCUCUCAACCAAUUUAACAUAAGCCACCUUCUUAGACUCCACCUUCCUUUUAACCUCUUCAUUCCACCACUAGUCCCCUUGAUGUUUUCCAAAUCGACCUCUCAAGACACUAACACCUCUCUAGCGAUCUCCUUAAUGCAACUGGCAAUCGUAUCCCACAUACUAUCCAUAUCCCCUCUACUCUUCAAAGUCCCCUGCUUCUUCACUUCUCUCCCAUCUUCAAAGAAUUAGCUAAAGUCAAUCUACCCCACUUAAUCUUGGGAUGAACCUCCACAUUCCUCUUCUUUCAGCCCUUAUUAAUUACCAAGUUCAUCACCGACAACCUAUGUUUAGUCAAAAGAUUAUCUCUAGGUAUGACUUUAUAAUCUUUACAUAGUGUUUUAUCACUCUUCUUAAGGAGAUAAAAGACUAUCUGAGUCUUGGCCACUGAACUAUGAAACAUUUCAAAAAUCAAAAUCUCUAUGCACAUCAUCAUAACCUAUCUACGAAGACACAAUAUGCCCAUUGAAGUCUCCUCUCACAAAAAGUUUCUCAGUGCUCGAGACGCCCCUCAUCGUCUCAUUCAAAACCUCCAAAAGCCCUUCUUCUCUUCCUCGUCCAAACCUAAUUGCGGAGCAUAAACACUAAAAAUGUUCACCGUAGCUCAUACCAAGACCAACUUAACAAACAUCAACCUAUCACUGACUCUUUUAACCUCUACCACCUGCAACCUAAGUUCUUCAUCUACUAAGAUACCUACCCCAUUUCUACGUUUCAUCCUACCCGAGUACCAUAACUUAUAUCCAUCCACAUCUCUCACUUUAGUCCCUACCAUUUAGUUUCCUAGACAGAUGCUAUACUAACCCUCCAUUUUCCAAGAAUCUUCACCAGCUCUAUAGACUUACCUUGAAGCAUCUCUAUGUUCCAGGACCCAACUUUCAACCUGUAAGUAUCCUUAUCCAACUUACCCCUACUAUCCCUCGCCCUCAACCCAAGACUAGAACCUAGACUCGACCCCAACCCCAACCUUGACCUAUGAUAUGACCCUAAUCCAUCAUCUAUCUCCCCAACCACCACUCAAAAGGAUAUGAUAUAAGAAACUGAAGAAAAAAAGCCAAAAAACAUUAUGAGCAAAAGAGUAUGACUAAAAAUAGCUAAAUCAGCAAAUAAAAACCAGUAAGCAGGAUUGAUACUCACAAGUAACAACAAGUACUGUACUAAUCACAAGCAACAAACACCUACUAAGUUACGGAGAAACCGUAACCAAUAAUCCCAUAGGAAUAAUUAAAAAAUCAAAGAAGAAAUCAGGAUAGAAAAAGAGACAAGAAGCAUAUACCAACAUAUAUGACAGCUAUUAAUGUCAUCAAUUUAACUUGAGACGCCCGUUCAAUAAAAUAACAUGACAAUAUUUUAAUAAUUAUAAUUCAAUGCUGAUUAAAAAUAGAAUAAUACUGAUUUUAAUGAAUUUAUGGGUGCAAAAUUUCUCAGUUAUAAAUAGAAAUAAAUUUAUUUUGAUAUUUAUUAUUUUAUUUACACCUAUAAUUUCAUGUGAAAAGAGUUGCAAAAUUCAUUGUUUUCAUAUAAUACAACAAAGUAUUUCAAUCAUUUCAAGUAUAUAUAAAAAUAGUUACAACAUUCAUUUAGAACCUUUACACAAACUAACUUAAUCGUGAUCUAUAAGGAUAUUAAAUAAUAAUUAAAUUACAUUAACCGAUUAUUCCAUUUGGUCCAUUUACUUAUCAUGUUAAUUUUUUAAACACCCUUUAAAAAUAUUCUAUUCAUUCUGCUCUAAUUAUUGAUUUAUCCUUUUUCAUGUUUUCUAAGAAAAAUAAUAAAGGCAUUGUACUAGUUAUUAUUGAUUAGGUUAUCCUAUUUAAUACUCCCUCCGUUUCACAAUAACUGAAUUAUUGGAGUAAUUUUAGUGUUUCAAAAUAAGUGAAUGAUUUACAAUUCAAGGUAGAUGUUGGAAAUUUUUUCCAAAUUUACCCUCCAUUAAAUGUGACUGGGAGUGAUGUAUCAUGUGUCUUUACUUUUUGAAGAGUGUAAAAAUGAAAAAACAUGAUAAAUUUAUGUCUUUGCUUUUUUUUUUCUUAACAUGUGUGCCGAAAUUCAACAAUUAACUUAUUGUGGAACGGAGGGAGUACUAUAUCUUUUUUAAGAAGUGAACAUCAGUGACUAUAAGGGUGUAGUUGAAUAUUAUUACUAACUUUAAUUUUAUGUGAAAAGUUAUUUCUAAAUAAGUUUUUUGAGCAAAAAUAAUUAUUAAUUUAAAAUGAAGGAAAUUUUAAUUAAAAGACAACCUGUGGCAAGAAAAAACCAGUUACAAAUACACAAGUGGAAAUGGUCUUAUCAAAAAGAAUAAGGACAAAAAUAAAAAUAUUUAUCAAAAGAACAUCAUCAAUCCUUGUGAGGACUACCGUAAAUUGAGAUCCUCCCUUAUAUAUAAUAGUAAAUUGUAUUCUUUUUUCAUAUUCUUAACACUGUUUGCAAUAAAGAUUAAAGUGACAGAAACAAAUUGCAGUCACAAUGCAAAUAAAAUAUGAAAAAAUAAGAAUUUUAUUGAUAAAUGAUAUGGAUAUAAUUCUGUUAUCCCCCUGAUUCUUCUUUCUUUAUUUUUCUCCGUAAUUCGAGCACCAUUAGUAGCAUAUUUCUCAAAUGUAGAAAGAUUUAAAUUUGAUAAGAACUUUUACUACAUUUCUCGAAUGUAAAAAGAUUUGAAUUUGAUAUGAUUUCUUUUUGUAAUUCAAGGGUCGUUAGUAGCAUAUUUCUUGAAUGUAUGAAGAUUUAGAUUUGAUAUGGAUUUUUUUUCGUAAUUCGAAGCCCGUUAAUAACAUAUUUCUGGAAUGUAGAAAUAUUUGAAUUUGAUCUCCAUAAAAGAAGGGUUUAUGGAUCUUCUUGAUAUAUUUGAUUACAAAAAAGAGAGAGAUAUUCAAUGAGUUUAUGAAAUUAUUGGGAGAUGAUUAAUCUCUUUAUUAAGGGUUUAGAGUAGAGUAUCUACCAAGUUAGGUUUAGCGUAAAGUAACCCCUAAUAAAUCUUACAAAAAUUGAACUCUUACUAUAGAGUUCACAAAAUUAUGAUGUCUAUAAAUGCUGUGUAUUGUCAGACGUUAUGACUACAAAAUCCUUUCCUAAAAUGUCAAAAUACAAUUAUUUUUCUUCUUUGAGAUGAUGAAUGAAGUACGUGUUAAUUUAGUGGAGUCACUUAGCUCAAGUCAUUCGUGCGGCUUACCAUGAAAUCAAAAAACUACAUCAAGAUAGGAGAAGAGAAAAACAAUAACAAAAAUACCAUAUUUAGCACAUUUUCAUAGCUCGAACUCGUAACCCCCUGAUCACAUGGAGGGAACUAUCCACAAUAAUUCAGACAAAUACUUCUCAUAGAUAAUCACAAAUUUUCAAGCAAGACUAAAUCUUUUAAGAAUUUUACUACACACAAAGACAAAAACAUAGGGCAGUCCGAAGCACUAAGCUCCCGUUAUGUGCUGGGUCUCAGGAAAAAACUAGACCACAAAGGUCUAUUAUACACAGUCUUACCACUGUGGACCCCUCUUUCCACAACUCGGACCUAUGACCUUCUGGUCAUACGACAAUAACUUUACCAGUUACGACAAAGCUCCUUGUCUUACACACCCAAAUGAUAUUUGUAAUAAUAAAAUCUUUAGCAAUUUUUAAAAAUUCUUUCUACCCAAAUUUCCAAGAUAAGCUAAAAUAUAACACUGAUAACAUAUGGUUAAAUAAACAAUAAGCAAAAAAUGCAAACUACCCAAAAAAUUGAGGAAAAUAAAACUUGUAAUAUAUUAAGAUUAAUUUUGAACAAUAGCUUAAAAAAAAUCUCAAUUUCUCAAUAUCAAGAUUAUAUGUCAAAAAUGAUAAGUAAAAAUAGAAUUACAAUUAGGAAAUUAGUGAUAAGUAAAAGCGAAUAGUAGGAGUAACACUGAAAACACAUCAAAAAGAUAUACUUUCUCGAUUGUAUUUUAUGAGGCAUAUUUUGAUCGGGCACAAAGUUUAAGAAGGAAUGACAAUUGUCCUUUAUUAAAAAAUAUACUACUACUAUCUUUAAUUAAAUGAGACUAAUAAGGAUAAAAGUAAAAUUGUAUCUUUAAAUAGUUACCAAAUAAGGAAAUAUGACAUUCUUUUUAGAGUGGACAAAAAAAAAAUGACGACAUAUAAAAUGGGGCAGAGGAAGUAUGUUAAUACUAAAAGGGCAGCUUGAUGUGGCAGUGGAAGUAUGUUAAUACUAAAAGGGCAGCUCGGUGUACUAAAGCUUCUUUCUAUAAGGGACUGUGGAGAAGGGCUGGACUGCAAGAAUUUUAGUGUGCGCAGCAUUAUCUUGCAUUUCUGACAGAGGUUGUUUCUAUGACUCGAACUCGUAACUUCCUAAUCACAUGACAAUAAUUUUAUCAGUUACUCUAAAACUCCCCUUCAUUUUUUUUCGAUUUGAUAAAAAUAUUAAGAUAAGCAAAAUAUAAAAGAUACACAUAUAAUUCUUUUUGCAAACCCACUUAUAUGGAGUAAUAAAAACUUAUAAGCUAUCAAAAAUGAUAUAUGCAUGGGAUUUCCUGUUUGGUUAAAGUUUUAAUAGGUUAAUUUCAUGUAUAAUUGUAGACUUUUACUCAUUAAUGACAAAAUUAUUGAACUUUACCUCUUUAAUAAAGUAGUAGAUUUAAUGGCAUUAAAAAUCAUUAAUGAGUUUUUAUUAUGUAUUUAUAUAUAUUGAGUACAAGAAGUGAUAGACAUAUCUCAAACUAAAUCAAUCAAUUAGAAAAACAAUUUCUAUUCCAAUGGAGAAGUUCCUCCAUGUUCACCUUUUGAUUUCAAUUAUUUUCUCAAUUUUUGCUUGUAAUUUUAUGCAAUGAACAUUACUUUUCAUCCCUUAACACCACUUAUAUUAUGGAAUAUGUCAAUUGAUCCAACGAAGCUUCCCGAUCCUCCGAUGCCAUCCUAUACACUCAACAUUUACAAUCUCUAUUUAUUUGAAAAGUCAAAAUUCAAGGACUAUGACUUGUUACUCGGAAAUAGGUUUGCCAGUUGUCAAGCUAGAGGAAAUCAUUUGGCAUCGGUUCUUGAAAAUGGUGAUGCGAUUAGUUCGAAUGGAACUCUGGUAAGGCCACACGACGAGCAUGAGCGCAAAGUCUCCAAUGAAAAGGUUCCGGUAACAACAAGUACACAUUUCAUAUGUCAAUAUGUUGCAUCUUUUACUCUCUUUUUUUUGUUUCCCAUCCGGCAUCCGGUGCCCGUAUUGGAGCCCUAACUAAUCCGGAUCACACGUAGCAGGGCCCAUUAAAGUAGCAACACUCCCAAUAGAAUUUUCUCCAUACCCAGGGUCGAACCCUGGACCUUUGGUUAAGGGUGGAGCAGCCUCAUCCAUUGCACCACAACCCAUAUUGGUGCAUCUUUUACUCACUGAACAAGUUAAAAGUUACUUGCUAAUAGACACUAGUAGUGAUUUAGUUUGGUGGCAAUGUGGAGCAUGUAAUGCAAAUGGAUGUUACAAACAGAUAAAUAAUCCUUUAUAUGUUUCAACUAAUUCAAAAACAUAUCGAAAACUCGAUUGCCUUGUAGAAAGUAGAAACUGUGAAAUCACGAAUAAGGAAUAUGAUUGUAGUCCGUAUGGUUCCAAUAUGAAAAAACAUAGCUUCCACACAACGCCAUUUAAGAAAACAACAUCAGCAACGCUAUUACAAGAUUUCAGAUUCCCUUCCGCUUACUUCGUCAACCUUUAUCAAGUUUUUAUUAACGAUAUGGAAGUCCCAAUAUUCCCAUCAUUGUCUAGGAAUUUCAAAAAUUAGGCCAUGAGCAGUAGCUAUAUCGCGGACACAGAAACAUUUAUUACUCAUUUUCCUCAUGAUUUUUAUAUUGUAUUUCGUUACACAUUAAGAUAACAAGUACGUGGUAUUCCUAUGGUUAAUGUUCCACCUGGAUCAGUUUAUGACACUUGCUAUAAAGUGGAUACGACUGGUCUGGAUCCACAUUUCCCCAUUAUGACCAACCAAAUGGCCCCUCCGACCCCAACAAACCACGCUUCCCUUUGCCUCAGCCUACCUGAGAGCACUUGGUCCAUUUUCUACCCAAAACAUACUCGGUCACUGGGCCCACCUCCAGAACCAUGAGCUAUAGCACGCUGAUUUAGCCCAAGAAUGGCCCAUUAGCAUCAUUUCACUUGUUUGACCACCCAAAUAGCCCACCCAACCCCAUCGACCCAUACUAUCCCACUUUUAAGCCUGCCUUGGUGCCUCUGGUCGAUUUGCAGACCAAAACAUGAUCGAGCCCCAAUCCAACCCCUAAAAUCAUGACUUAUAGCAUAUCUAUUUGGCCCCAAAAAUAGCAUGUUAUUGACGUUUUGCUUGUUUGACCACCCAAAUGGCCCCGUCGACCCAAACGACUCACUUUCCAGUUCAUCAGUCUAUUUGGAAGCCUUGAUCAAUUUUCGACCCAAAACAUGCUCGAACCCCAGGCCCACCCAGAACUGUGAGCUAUAGGACACCAAUUAUUCCUAUAAAUCACCCAUUUGCAUUGAUAUUCCUGUUUGACCACCCAAACAGCCCCGUCGACCCCUGCAACCCAUACAUCUCUGCUUUUCAGCCUACCUGAGAGCCCCCAGUUGAUUUUUGACCCAAAACAUGCCCAGGACCACCCCAAAAUCGUGAGCUAUAGCUCACCAAUUUGGCCCAAAAAUGGCCCGUUUGCACCGUUUUGCUGGUUUCACCAAACAAAUGGUCCCUGCGACCACAACAACCCAUAAUUCCCCGCUCCUCAUCCUACUUGGCAGCCCUCAAUCGAUUUUUAACCCAAAACACAUUUGGGCUCUGGGCCAACCCCUGGAAUUGUGAGGUAUAAUACACUGAUUUGGCCCAAAAAUAGCCCGCUCGCAUCAUUUUGCCUGUUUAAUAACCCAAAUAGCCGCGCCGACCCCAACGGCCCACACUCCCCGCUUUUCAGCCAACCUGGGAGCCACAAUCAAUUUUUAGUCAAAAACACACAUGGUCCUUAGGCACACCCUCUGAACCGUGAGCUAUAGCACCCCAAUUUUGCCAAAAAAUAGCUCAUUCACACCGUUUCAUCCAUUUGAUCACACAAACGGCCUAUCGCCACCCAAAGGCCCACACUCUUCCUCUUAUUAUCCUGCCUAGGAUCCUCUGGUCUAUCCUUUGGUCUAUUUUCAACCUAAAACAUGGCUAUGCCCUAGGCCCACACCCGAAAUCGUAAACUAUAACACAUCAAUUUGACCAAAAAAUGGUCCGUUCAUGCCAUUUCAUCUGUUUGACCACCCAAAUGGCCCCACUGGCCCUAACGACCAAUACUUCCCCACUCCUCAGCCUGCUUGGGAGCCUCCGAGCAAUUUUUAGACUAAAAUAUACCUGAGCCCAUGGCCCACCCCCGGAACCAUGAGUAAUAGCGUAACGAUUUGGCCUAAAAAUAGCACGUUUACGUCGUAUCGCCCGUUUGACCACCGAAAUGGCCUCAGGGAAUUUUGGACAAAACAUGGUUGGGACUUGUGUGGGACCAUCAGAACCGUGAGCUAUAUCACAUCGAUUUGGCCCAAAAAUUGCCCGUUCAUAUAGUUUUGCCUAUUUGACCACCUAAACAGCCCCACUGAUCCCAACAGCCUACACUCCAUCACUUGUUAGCCUGCUUGGGAGCCCCCGAUCGAUUUUUGGGCCAAACACACCCGGUCCCCAAUCAUAUCCCAGAACCGUGAGCUAUAGCACACCGAUUAGGCCUAAAAAAUGGCCCGUUGGUGCAGUUUCACUUGUUUGAUCACCCAAACGGCCCUAUCGACCCAAACAACCACGACUCCCUCGCUUCUCAACCCGCUUAGGUGCCCCUGAUUGAUAUUUAGCCAAAAAUAUAUGACCACACCCCGGCCCACUCUCAAAACCAUGAGGUAUAGCAUACCAAUUUAGCCCAAAAAUGGCCUAUUUAUGUCGAUUCACCCUUUUGACCCCCCAAACGGCCCCAUCGACCCUAACCACCCACACUUCUCUGCUCCUCAGCCUGCCCGAGAGCCCCCGAUCGAUUUUUGACCCAAACUACACCCGGUACCUUGACUCAACUUCAAAAUCGUGGGCUAUAUCACACCAAUUUUGCUCAGAAAUGGUUCAUUCGUGCCCUUUUGCCUGUUUGACCAUCCAAAUAGCCCUACCGACCACCGCCGACCCCAACGACCCAUACACUCCUAUUCCACAGCAUGCCUAGGAGCCUCCAGUAAAUUUUUAGCCUAAAACAUGCUUGGGCACCGAGCUCACCUCCAAAAUCGUGAGCUAUAGAAAACCAAUUUGGCCAGAAAAUGGUUCAUUCAUGCUGUUUCACUCAUUUUACCACUCUAAUGGCCCCGUCGACCCCAACGACCCAUAGUUCCCCGCUCCUCAGCCUGCUUAGGACCCCCGAUCAAUUUUUUUCCCAAAACACGCCCGAGCCCUAGGUUCACUCCCAAAACUAUGAGCUAUAACACACCAAUUUGGCCUAAAAAUGCUUUAUUUGCGCCAUUCAGCCCAUUUGACCACUCAAACAGCCCUGUCAAACCCAAUGACCCAUAUUAUCCCGCUCUUCUUCCUGUCUGGGAACACCCAACCAAUUUUUGACCCAAAACAGGCUCGAUCCCCAAGCCCAUCCUCAAAACCGUGAGCUAUAGCUCACCGAUUUAGCCAAAAAAUUACCCAUUGGUGCCAUUUUGCCUGUUUGACCACCCAAAAAGCCCCAUCGACCCCAACAGACCACACUUUCUCGCUCCUCAGCCUGUCUAGGAGCCCUCUCCUUAAUUUCAAUCUAAAACACGUAUGGGCCUUGGGCCCACCCUAAGAAUUAUGAGCUAUAACACACUGAUUUAGCUUGAAAAUAGUCUGUUCGAAUCAUUUAGCCUGUUUGACCACCCAAAUGGCCCCAUCAACCCCAACGACCCACUCUCUCCCACUUCUCAGCCUGCCUAGGAGCCGUCAAUUGAUUUUCAGUCCAAAACAUUUUUGGGUCCCAAGCCUACCCCCAAAAUCGUAAGAUAUAACACACUAAUUUGGCCUAAAAUGGUUUAUUUGCAUCGUUUCAUCUCAUCUGACAACCCAAAUGGUCCCGUCGACCCAAAAGGUCCACACUUCCUCGCUCUUAAGCCUUCCUAGGAGCCCCCAGACCAUUUUUUGCCCAAAACACGCUCGAACCCUAGGCCUACCUCCAAAACCAUGAGUUAUAGCACGCCGAUGCACUAGGAUUUCGUUAUGUGUUUUGUCCUGCUCAUAUUUCUUAGAUCCACCUCUACCCCACCUAAAACCAUCCAUAACCAGUAUUUUAAACCUCCGCACUGAAGAAUUAGAUCCCUUCUUCAUCACGUGGCCGAACCAACGUAACCACAUAUUUCGCAUCUUAUUCUCCAUCGAAGCAACUCUCACCUUCUCUCGAAUAAUUUUAUUCCUCACCUUAUCUUUCCUAGUAUGUCCACACAUCCAUCACAAUAUUCUUAUCUCGGCCAUCUUCAAUUUUUAGAUGAGGGAGUUCUUAACUGGCCAACACACCACUACAUACAAAUAGCCGGUCGGACUACCACUCUGUAGAACUUACCUUUAAGGUUCGAGAGCACCUUCUAAUCAUAUAGAACUCCCGAAGCGAGCCUUCAUUUCAACCACCCUGCCCCAAUAUGAUGCAUUACAUCCUCGUUAAUCUCACCAUUCCCCUGAAUGAACCUGACUCUGAUACCAUGUUGAAGUGUGUGACCAUCUCAUCUAAAAGUUUAACUAUUAGUGAGAGUACACUUUUACUAUUUAAUUAUAUUUUCAAUAGUUACUUAAUAUGUUAUUUUGUCAUUGAACAAAUGAACUUUACGUGGCAUUGCAAACUGAAGAAAGACACAAUUUUUCUUUCAAACAGUUCAAGAAAGAAUCUUUUUUCCUUUUGAAACAAAGAAAUAGAGCCACAUUUAUUGGCUUGUUUUGUCCCUACAGUUGAACUAAGAGCACUUUGAGUGGAGGUUUUUUCUAUUAUUAAGGAUGUCCAAUUUUGGAAAAGUACUACUUUAGUUUAUAAAAGAAUGGUAGACGAAACAAUAUAUUAAUUUUAUAGAUUAUAUUAACUCCUAAGUAGCUACCAAACCUGGAAUUACUUAUGUAGGAUCCCUACAUUACUCGUUGCUAAGCCAGCUACCAAAUGACCCCUUAAUACCUUAUUUCUUUGUUCAUUGAGAAGACAAAAACCAAUGCAAGCAUAAUUCAAUUUAUGUGUAUAAUAUGUUCAAAACCACGGUGCAGAAUAAAUACUUUACAUAAAUACAAAACUUCCUAAAUGAGUUGACCCAAUUGAUAUAAACGGUUUGAUUCACUCAGCUCCUGAUUCAUCAAUUGAUGACUACCGUAUUUUUUCAUGAGAUCUGGCAGGUAGUUUUUUUUUAUAACCAAAUUUUUUUUAUAGCAAAAAAAAAAUGUACCACUAAUGCCUCUGCAUCAACAAAUCUUCUAAAGCAACUAGUAAAAGGUGAGAGACUCUCUUCUCAGCUAUAGAUUUUGGUGAAUCUCUUCUUGAAAUUGAUGAAAAUUAUUCACCAUCAUUUCGACCUAUUUUGUUACUUUUCUCAUUUUCAGUUCUCUUUAUAAAAGUCAUUAUUGGAUCUUUUCCCCUAGCAAUUUAAGUGGUUGAAAUGGAGCAACGUUUUCAGGUGCAUCUUGUGGUGGAAGCUCACCAGUGUCGGCAUUUGCAGGCAACUUGGAAGAUCCAGUUUAAGAUGGACCAACUUCCUUCAAAAUAAACAAGAUUCAAGAUGGGUCAUUUUGACUGACCCUUUUUCCCUAUCUAUGUGCAAUGAACAUGUUGAUAAUAGUAGGUAUCAUAAUCUAGGUCCAACUGCUAGGUUAGAUAGUAACUCAAGAAUCUUUUAUCAACUCCCCUUUCUUAAGAACCCCAAAAAAUAAAUAACACUUGAGCAAAAAAAGUAAACUCAGACACAACAAAUCUUGAUUGUAUGAGAGGUUAUACAAAGUGGGGUUUGUAUAUAUACUCAAAUUUAGGACCAAAAUUUGGAAAAAAAAUUGAUUGACAUGAAUAAAUACUUCAAAUUGUAAUCUCCACUUGAAUUCACUCACAUUUAUUGCAUUUUUCUCAAAUUUUGGGUUUAAAAUCCUUACAUUUUUUCAAGGUGUUUGUGCUUUUCUCAGUUAUUGUUACUUGAAUAAUUAUGUUAUUUUGGCCUUGAACUAAUAAACUCUAUGUGGCAUAAUAAACUGAAGAAUUACACAAAAGUUUUGUUUCAAAUAGUUCAAGAAAGAAUGUUUUGUCUUUUUGAAACAAAGAAAUAGAGCCACAUUUCUUGGACUGAUUUGUCCACUCAUAGUGCUCUUGGUUUUCAUAUAGAUUUCCAAUUCAUCCUAGACAAUUUCAACACUAAGUUGGCUGGAUGGAAAAUUAAAUUCCUCAAUAUGGCUGGCAGAAUCACCCUUACCAAGUCCUCCCUUACUAGUAUUCCUGCUCAUGUCAUUUAAUUUAUCUUGAUCCCCUCUAAAAUCCACUAAUUUAUUGACAGAACCCAAAAGAAAUUUUUCUGGGGCACCACCCCUGAUAAUAACAAAAUGUAUCUAAUCAAUUGGGAAACCUUGACUAAUGCUAAAGCUAAUGGGGGCCUGGGCCUCAAUAAAGCUUCCAUUAGGAACACCACUACGUUAUCCACUCUAGACUGGAGACUUUAUAAGCAUUCCAACAGUCUCUGGGCAAAAAUUCUUUAAAAUAAAUUAGCCCCCAUGGCAUAUCCAUAAAAGCCAACAACUUUAGAACUUGGAAAGGUGUCCUUGUGGGUUGGGAAAUUUGUAAAACUGCCUCCUCUUGGAACAUCCAUAAGGAUGACUAGAUCAACUUCUGGAUGGACAGAUACUCACUUUGAACUCCUUUUUUCCAUCAUCCAAGCCCUUUUUUCUUAUCAUUCCCAAGACAUUAAACUCUCUAGGUCUAGAGGAAUGGCUCCUAAACCUCAAGGAUCUUUCAGUUGAAAUCCCUAAGGAUCUCAUCCAAACUUUCACCAAAUCUAUUUUCCCCAAUCCCAGAGCCCAUACUGAUGAGCUCAUUUGGAAUCUCUUUGGUAAUUGUCUGUUCUCCAGCAGAAGUGCUUAUAAUCAUAUAGCCAAAACCUCUAAGAUCAAUUACUCCUCUAAUUAUAACUUAAAUUGAAGGCUAAAUCCCCUAAAAAGUCAAAACCUUUCUUUGGCUAAGCCAGCAUGAUAGGUUCCCCAAUAACCUCAAGCUCUCCAAGAGAGAAGUGAGACAAAAUACUAGUUGUGCUAUCUGCAAUCAUCACCAGAAAGACAAAUCCCACAUUUUAUUUAAGUGUCCCAUCCUCAAAGAUUUUGGAGUGCAAACUAUCCACAAGAUGACCCAGUCCAAACAACCUCCUAUUACCAGUCUCUACCCUCUUAUUGGCAUACUAUCUGGAGAUCUCUUGAACAUUCCCAAUUCAAUAGACUAAUCCAUUGGCAUGACUUCAUUCCUUUCAGCCUCUAGACAUUAUGGAACACCAGGAACUUAAUACCUUCAAUAAAAAAAAAGGAUCAUCCCAAUUUUAACCAUGCUUACUCCCAAACUGUUGAGUAUAAACAUCUUUCUCCAAAGAAUACCCCAAUCAAGCAAAACCAAAUCAUCAAUGUUAAGUGGAAUCCUCCCACCUGCCACACCUUCAAGCUCAACACUGAUAAUUCUUGCCUUUGAAACCUCGGGAAGGGUGGAAUAGGAGGGGUAGUCAGAUCCAAUAAUGGAGGCUGAGUGUUAGAUUUUAACAAAAACUUUCACCGGACUAACAACAACAUGAUGGAACUUAUGGCUCUCAUUGAAGGAUUAAUACUAGUAGAGCAAAAUAAUCUUCUCCCCAUUGAAAUUAACAUUGAUUCCAUAGAAGUUAUAUCUAUGUUAACUAACGGGAACCUCCACUAUGAUACUUUGAUUUUGGAACGCAGGUCAAAAUUAAAAAGGCUAAGGAAUCCGGAAGUCAAGCACUGCUAUAGAGAAAAAAAUGGAGUGGCGGAUGCUUUAGAAAAAGAUGGAGCAAGGGCAAGCGGGUUUCAGGAGACUACCCUUUUUGAAGUUCCACCGAUAUGUGCAAAAGAUGCAAUUUGAGCAGACAUCUCAGAAACUUUCUGAGAGAACUAAUGAUUUUAACUGGCCAUGCCAGAACUAUUCCUUUUUGAACCCUGACUAAUCGUCAAAAAUUGAAACUUAAACUGCGUUCUCUUUUAUAUUAAUGCAUGUCCUUUCUACCAAAAAAUAAUAAUAAUAUUUCGCUUAUUGAAUCAUCGAAAAGAAGAGAUGUUUAUAUUAAUUUAAAUUGAUGGACCUUGAACAUUCACAAAGAAAGAUAAGUUGAAAAUGUUAUAUCAUUCCUGCAUAUCAAAAGAAUGUUAUCAAAUCAAGAAUAAUUUUUUUAAAUGAAAAAUUAAAAAAUGCAGUAAAUAAAUUCACAAAUAAAGCAAAUGAUAGAGAAGUAUAUGUAAGAAAGGCUAAGUGAUAGAAUUUCAUUUAUAUUCAAAUUUCAUUUAAAUACAAAUUCAAAUAUCACAUAUGUUUAUUUAAAUAAGAUUAAUUUAUUAUUCUUCCUUAUCCUUAUUCUUACAUUUUUCAAAUACAAUAUAUAUUUAAAAUUAAUAUAGAUUUGAGUUGAGAUAAAUAUUGAAAUCAAUGAGACAAUACUAAUACUAAUACUAAUAUUAAUACUAAUAACAUUUUAACUAUUUUUACUUUACCACUAUUAGAUUGCACUACUAUUACUAUUACUAUUACUAUUAUUAUUUGUUCAUUGUUUUUUCAGAUAAAUAUUAAGAUAAAUCGUGUAGCAAAAAAAAAAUUGGGUGCCAUGAUUACUAAUUAAGUACAUCUCAAUUAUAAGUUUAUCUUUGAAUGUAUGUUUUAUCUCCAAUUUAAAUUCAAAAAACAAUUGAUAGAAUAACCACUAUCUUAGAUGAGUGGUUAAAACCGUCAAUAUAGGUCAGGCUCGUUGGGAUGGCCCGACCCAACCUGUUAUUUGAUAAGGCUGGGCUAUAAUUUUUAUAUCCCAUUUAAGAAUAGGGCUUUUUAGCCCUUCAUGAAUAAGUCUAUUGACCCGUCGGCUUGAGCAAUAUGGGUUUGGGUGACCUAUGGGUCAAAUAAAAAAAAUUAAAAAAUAAAAUAUAAUACUAAAAAUAAAAAAAGGAGUCCAAACUCAAAGUUUAUAUGAACCAUCAUAUAUAUAUUUAAAUAUUAAUUAUAUUUAUAAAUCAUAUAAAUAACUAAUAUAUAAAAUAUACUUUUUUUAAGAAAUCAAAUAUGUUUGAUGAAGAUGACGUGGCGAUGUUUAAUACACCAUAAAUGCCAUAAGAGUUUUCUUUAAAACAUUUAUUUUAUUUUUAAUGGACUAAACAUUGACAUUUCUUUGUGUUUUAUUGUGAUCAAUUAAAACAAAAUUAGGUUAAUAUUGUUAUUUAGCGAGUUAUAUUAUUACUCAUUAAUUAUUUUAUUUAUUUUUCAAUAUCUCUAUUUGAUUUUAAUUUGGUGUCAAAAGUUAUUCAAUUUCACAGAUUAUUAGGAUCUUUUUGUAAAUUUGAGACUUAUUUAAUGAGUAGUAACUUCAAGCAAUAUUAUAUUGUAAAUAUUUAUGCAAUUAGUUUUUUAUAAUUUAAAUUAAGAUUAUAAAAAUAAUAUAUUUUAAAAAUGGGCUGUCCCGUGGAGGCCCGCAACCCAUUGUGUGACUGGUUGGGCUUGUUAUUUUCUAGUCUAUCAUGUUGAUGGUUCAGCCUGGCCGCGCCCGUCAAACUCUAAAGCCCGUGUGAGCUAGCCCGAAUGAGUUGGUCCAAUCCAUAUUAACAACUCUAGGAGCAGUUAUAUAAUGAUAAGAAUCCAAUUAGAACUGUUUAGUAUUAUAACUAUCUACUUAUAAUAUAUAAUUUUAUAUUUUUUUAAUAUUAUUUUAAAUUUAAAAUCAACAAUUUAUUUGUAACGCCCCAAGAUCCCAUCCCGAGACAUCACACAGUGCUUAAGGACAAACGCGGCCUCAAGCUAACCCUCUAAACUUGUCAUCACUUCUAGAACUCACUUUGACAAUAGUCAUGCUAAUAUAAGAGAGAAUGAAAUAUCAUAAACAUACUAGAAUAAGAUACGAAACUAGCAUGUACAAUCCAAAAUACUGAAAUUCUAUACAUACCAACCCUUUAGCCUGACAAAGCCUCUAUACAUCAAAAUCAAGGAGACAUUUGGACACACCUCCAACUGACUCAAACAGUACUGAAAGCCAUAACAACAAAACAGGAUCACAAAAUUAUAAACACGGUCCUCAAACCAUGAGGACUCACCGCUGAGCAGACGAAAAGAGGCACCCUAAAAUCGCUAACGCAGCUGAGUACCUGAACCUACAUUAUGAGAAAAUGUAGCCCUUAGAAAAAUAAGUGGGUCAGCACUUUGAAAUGUAGGGUGCAUGCAACAAUGUCAAUAUCGUCAUCAAUUUCAUGAAAAUAUGCAUAUGUACAAUGAUCGCUCACUUGGUUUGAGUUAGAUUGAAACAUACUUUUCAUGUUCUCAUCAUAAAUAAAUCAUAUGAUAAAAACCUCAUAAAUCAUCAUAAAAAAUUCAACUCUUCAACUAAAGACUCGGAGUGACUCUGUAAUUCAAGAAACUCGACUCUUAUGGACUUGGCUCGCAUAUCAGCUUUGUCUUCCCAAGUAGCACUCUCAAUACUUUGAUUUUUCCAAAUCACUUUAACUAAAGGAACUUUUUUUAUCCUUAGCCGAUGGAUCUAAAAAUCCAAAAUCUUAACCGGAAUCUCCUUGAAUGAAAAGUUAUCCUGAAUAUCUAAGCUUUCGGAAGAAUCAACCACAACAGAAUCACCAAUACACUUUUUAAGCAUAGAAACAUGAAAUACCGGAUGAACGCUAGACAACUCUGCGGGUAAAUCCACCUCAUAAGCUACUUUCCCAACAUGGCUCAGAACCCUGUAUGGACCAACAUAACGGGGACUAAGAUUUCCCUUCUUCCCAAAUCUCUUUACCUUUUUCAUGGGUGAAACCUUUAAGUACACCAAAUCAUUAACAUUACACUCAAGAUCUUUUCUUCUCACAUCCGCAUACGACUUCUGACAACUUUGAGCGGUUUUCGCGGUUUUCAAUCUUUCUCAAAUCAUCUUAACCUUUUCCAUAGCCUCGACCACAGCAUCCGGCUGAAUCACAGCUGCUUCUCCUACUUCAAACCAACCUAUGGGCGAUCUACAUCUUCUCCCGAACAAAGCUUCGAAUGGAGCCAUCUGAAUACUAAUAUGGAAACUAUUAUUAUAAGAAAAUUCAAUCAAUGGCAAGUGCUCAUCCCAACUACCUUUGAAAUCAAGCGCACAUGCCUUCAACAUGUCCUCCAAGGUCUGAAUAGUCCUCUCAGCCUGACCAUCAGUCUGCGGAUGGAAAGCAGCACUUAGACAAAUUUGGGUACUGAGACCCUUCUAAAAAGCCCUCCAAAACUGGGAAGUAAACUGAGUACCCCUAUCAGAGAUGAUAGCCAAAGAACUCCAUGCAAUCUGAAUAACUCACGGAUAUACAAUCUAGCAUAAUCCUCAGCUGUAUAAGACGAAUACACUGGCAAGAAAUGAGCUGAUUUAGUCAACCGGUCUACGAAAAUCCAAAUCGAAUCAUGAUGAUGACAAAAAGGAGGCAAACUAAUUACAAAAUCCAUAUUCACUUCUUCCCAUUUCCAAGUAGGAAUGCCAAACUCUUUCAUUACACCACCGGGCCUCUGGUACUCUACCUUAACUUGUUGACAAGUAGAAAACUUUGCCACAAAUCCUUCUAUGUCUUUCUUCAUACCGUUCCACCAAUAUAUUUCCCGCAAAUUGCGGUACAUCUUGGUAGCACCGGGAUGAAUAGAAUAGCGUGCACCAUGUGCUUUAUUGACACCUAAUUUUUGUCCUCCACAACUAAAUUUAAUCCUGAGUUUCUUCGAUUCUUAAUAAAAUAAGAAUAUUUAUUUCAUUCAAAUAAAAAAAAUUUAAAAAUAUAUUGUACUUAAUUUUGUCAUCUUAAGUAGCAAUUAUAUAUUAUCGUGUUCAAAUAUAUGAUAUUAUAUGAUUUGAUUACUUAGAUAUUUACUCUAUGAAAUAUCAGAUUUCAAUUAAGGAUCAUUUCUAAAAAUAAUAAUUAAAAUCUUGAUCUAAAUAUAAUUUAUUCUCGAAAAUAAUUUAUUUGGAUAAAUAUGCAUUUGAUUUUAUUAAUUCAAGAAGCUUAGGAUUAAACAAGGUGUUAAUUCGUAUUGAAUUUCUAUUUAAUUUAGUCAAUUUAUUAAAUUAAAUCUUAAUUGAAAUUAAUUUAACCAUAAUUGCAAUGUAAUUGAUCAAUUUAAUUAGAAUUAGGCUAAAAUUUAAAAAUGAUUGUCUAAAUUUUCAUCCAUUGGCUAUUUGAUAAAUAGCCUAAAUCGUUACAUUAUUAAAUCCUAAUUCUACCCAACAAUAUUCAGAUCCCUCCAGCCUAGUUCCUUUUCAUAUUAACAGGCCCAAAAUCCCUGACCUGGCGCACCAUCAACAAAUCCCCCUUUCUCCCUUAAUCAGCAAGAACUAGUCCCCAACGUAAAAAAACAAUAAAAAAUAGAGUACAACUCCAGGAACUCGAACAACAACGACAAGCCUGAUUCAGUGAAUCCACCAUUGAACCAACCCAAAAUCAAUCCAAAACCGUUCCUUUUCCCUCUUUCACGCGUCUCACGCAGCAGUAGGAUAAGGAAAACACUCGAACCUUUUAGAAAACGGGCUAGGUGUCAUCUCCAACGAUUUAAUCCCACAAAUUUUGGGAUAACUCGUAUGAUCUCAUAUAAUAUUUGGCUGAUUUCCAUAGGUUUUGGGGAAGAAUUUGUUUUCCCUAAAUCUCAUUGGUCCACCAAUUUCAAUAUUGGUACAAUCAAUAGAUGAAACCCUAAGUGGUGAGAGGAUUUUCGAAUUUCAAAAUUUAAAAACAUCCUUCUUUUAAAUCCCCAAAAGACCCCUAAUUCGAGGGAUAUAAAAAGACCUUUGGGUCACUAUUCCGGGGAAUUUUUGGUUUCUUCUCUCCACUUUUUUCCCUUAGGAGUUGGAAAUUUUAGAAUCCUUAGUUUUUUCUUGUUUAGAGAAAUUUUGGGUUCAAAAAAAGGGGGAAAUACUUAGGUUGGAAAUUUUUAGGUUACGGUUGAGGUUAACUUUCCCUUCUGAUGUGGAAAAAUUAAGGGAGAAAGCUAGGUUGGAACAUUUUUCUGAGAAAAAUUUAUGAUUCGGAAAAACUGAGAUUGAGGGAAGAAAGAAAAAGAAAAGAUUUCCGAAGAAAGAUUAAAUCUUUGAAGUUUUCCGGUGGUCGUGAUCCCCAUAUCAGUUCGUCGUCUUGUUUUGCUGUAGAGGUCUUCAAGACCACAGGUUUCCAUUUUAGUGAAAGGCAACGUUUCUUUGUAGUGCUACGUUGCGAUGAAUUCCUAUUGUGAUUGUAUGACAUGUGGUUUUCAUCAUCUUUAGAUCUCAAUUUCGUGAUUGGUCAUCUACUCUCAGCAUUACUGAUUAAUUUAUGUCCUAAUGUAUCAUGUUGUGGACUGUCUGUGAUUUCAAGUAGUUGAAGAUCAUAUUUUGAUUCUCACUUAACAAUUUUCAUCCUCGUGUUGCCUUGAUUCGUAGUUGUAGUUUUAUAUCUUAAGUGCUGAGUGUAGCACGUUGGGAGGCUAUGAAAGCCCAAAGUUUCAUAUGAUAAACUGUGAGCUUUCAAACUUUGUUGUUGUUUCUGCAUUUAGGACACAUUGAUUUUUAGAGUUUCUAAUUUCGUUAUAAUUCAUCUGGGAGCAUUUGCUUUUGUUCAUACAAUGUUUUUGAUGAAAGUUUUCUUGAAUUCGACUUUCGUGAAUGUCGUAUUGUUUAAAUGAUGAGCUUCUAGCCUAAGGAUUGUUGCUAAUAUCCUGUUCUAAAAAAAAAGAAGGGUUACUGAGUCACUUUAUUCCUGUAAACGAUUGAGUAAAACUGUUGUGUUUCUUUUCUGUUAGAAAGGAUGAUAGGGUCAAAGGGUUUUGCAUUCUCUUUGGGAGUUGCUAUUAGGAGCCUCCUUUGUGACCUUUAUUUAUAAAGGUUAAAUAAAAAGAAGUCUAUUCUAUUUAUAGUAUAUUCUGUAAUUUCACCUGCUUUGAUCUGAGUUUAACACAUACACUUGUAGUUAUUAGUUGAAAAUUGUUUCAAAAAAAAAUAUCUUUUCUUGCGUCGUUACUAACUCGUAUGAGCUUGUAUAUCUCCUUUAUGAAACUUUUAGGAUCUCGUUCGUUUGUCUAUUAAAUACAUCUCUUCCCGCAUCAUCUUAUUAAUGUUGGGUAAAAAAAAUGGUUUUAGUCGCAUUGCUUCUCCCGUCUUUCCUCUUUACUUCAGUACCUAAGGUUAAGAGUUUUUGAUCCGUUUGAAUAUCGAAUAGUUUCCACGUUUUAUUUAAAUCCAUCCUUUCUUUUUCGUAUUAUCAUUUGCUAAAAAAUUUUUGAUAGGAUAAAAGUUGUUUUCAUGUUGUAUGUGUGGUGACAUGCCUAAUAAUGUGCUUACUCUAUCGGAACAUGUUGUUAUUUCUUCUCCCAAAGGUAGGUCUAGUAAAUUUGGGAGAAAUUCUAUUUUAGUUGCUUCCUAAUUCUUCCCAACUCUUUGUUGUUAUCUUGAGUUUUAGUAAUAGCCAUCUAUACCUAAAAGGGCUAGAGAACAUUAAUCACCAAAAGAAAAAUAUAUAUAUAAUAAUAAUAAUGAUUAACACCUGCGCACAUCAAAUUCCGAAUGGAUUCUUGCCCAUUGCAUCUCUUAAUGGGCCAUUGAGGCCCUCCAUGCCUAUCAGGUCAAGCCCCGAAAGAAAACCUAAAAUGAAUUACAUGGCGUACGGAUACGAGAAGUCAAAAGAAGAGAGAAAAUGGGUUAAAGCCCCAUCUUUAAAGUGGCGAAGAGACUCAAAAGUCUCAUUUAUUAGUUUAUUUAUUUACUUAUAGAUUUUAUUCAUUUUAUUUAUUUAUUUAUUUAUUUGGGCCACGAAGCCAAAGUUGUACUUAAUACAAGUGGAGUGAUACUCGAGCCAACGACUCAAAAAGUAGAUUAGGAUAGGUGAAAUGGGUCGAAAACCCAAUUAGACUAGGACAUGUCUUAUUGAUUUGGGCCCAGUGGCCUAAAUCCUUGACUUUCUCCCCUUCCCCUUAUUUUUAUGUUUCUUUACCUUAUGUGUUUUGGUAACCUAGUUAAAUCCUUAGUCAAGUCGCUAAAAAGCUGGUUCUGCAUAAACACCAAAAUCUUUUUCUAAAAUUUCCUUCUUUUCAAAACUAAACCUUUUUCUAGAGUUAGUCAAAGACGAUUUCCAAACAGUCCGGAUAGCCGCAUGUUAGUGGACCUUUUAGGUACCUAACACCUUCCUAAAAUGUUAAUAAGAACCGCUUACUCAGAAUCUCAUAACUUAAACAAUUUUCCUGUUUUAGAUCGUUUGAAGUAACUCUAUAAAGGUUUCUUAAUUCCUUUUCAAAAUUUAGUGGCGACUCUCUUUCAAAAGUCAAAAUUUUCGCAAAACAGAAAUGGCGACUCUGCUGGGGACUUUUCGAACUAGGUUCUAACCAAAUGUUUGAUUUCAUAUUUUGAUUAACUAUUUAUGUGUUUAUAUGUUUCGAUUUUGUAAGUAUUAACUAUCGCAUCUCUUGGCAUAUCCCUGCAUUAUUUAAACUGUUUUGGGGUUUCGUGGAUGUCUAACUUUUUAUGAGGUCCUGUCUAACUUUUUAUGAGGGACUCUAUCAAGAAUAUAACAUGCAGAUAAGACAACUUCGCCCUCAUAUAGUCAGGUAGACCCGAGCUUAAAAGCAUAAAAUUCAUCAUUUUCUUAAGUGUUCUAUUCUUUCGUUUGGCUAACACCAUUUUGUUAGGGUGUAUAGGGAGCACAAAACUCAUGCAUAAUACCUUUUUUCUCACAAAAAUAUUCUAGAGUUUUAGUACCAUAGAGGUAGACCGAAGAAAUAUUGGAGGGAGGUGAUUAGGCUUGAUAUGGAGCUAUUACAGCUUACAGAGGACAUGACCCUUGAUAGAAAGGUGUGGAGAACACGGAUUAGGGUAGAGGGUUAUGGGUUGGGAGCGCGGAGGUAGUAAUAGGGGAGUUUCUGGUUCGUAGUGUUGUGGUUGUAGUUUUUAGGGCUAGUGGUGUUGGAUUUUUUGCAUCCCGUACUAGUUUAUUAUGCACUUAUUUUUUGUGUUUAUUAUACUGUUAGUUUAUUUUGUGUACCAUACUAGUUUGUACAACCUCUCUACUUUUCUUAAGGUACUGGUAUGGUCUGCGUACACUCUACUCUCCCCAGACCCCACUAGGUAGGAAUACACUAGGUAUCUUGUUUUUGUUGUUGGGUUUUCAUGGAUGUCCCAGCCCCUGUUGUUCAAUUCCAAAGUGUGUUGGAAAUACAAAUGUCUUAUUAGCACGUGAGUCGUCUGACGUUGUUCAUAUUUUCAAACUCAAGUUAUCCGCUUGAGAACCAGUGUUCAAGCCCACUUUAGACACCGAUGAUAGAACGAAACCAAAACCCUAGUUUAGGCAUGAGACUAGGACGACCCAUUAACCGAGAGGGGUAUUGGGUCCAUUAGAAAACUUUCCCUGCGUCUAUUGACCUCGAGUCAAUUACAGACGAAUCAUAUUUAUGUGUUGAAAAAAAUACAUAUUUGUCUAAUUCAAUCCAAUAUCCUUUGGGUCGGGGGAAGGCUUAUCUUUAUCUGCUUUCAUGUAGGAUAUGGCUCAACGACAUUCCUAUAAAAAGUUCAAGAUGGUUACUAAACCUAACGAUUUCUUGAAACUAUGGUGGUACCACAUGAGCGCAUAAGAGAAAAAGAUUGUUACAACACACAUUGGGCAUCUUCCUUCUUUGAUCGAGAUGGACGCUUGGCCCGAAAUGAUCCAUAUACUAACAACUUUUUGGGAUGAAUAGAAUAUGGUAUUUCGCUUUGGGGAUGUUGAAUUGACUCCUACCAUUGAAGAGGUAUUGAUUUGUUACGAGAGUACAAAAAUAUGUUUUGAGAGAAGGGAGACACAGUGAUAAGAACAUUUUAGUCCUGGUUGUGUGGGAUAGUCAAUAGAUCAAGGAGGUAUUUUUAAUUGACAAAGACACCUAGCUAGGAGAACGUGAUGGAGAAAAUAUCACUUUUCGUGAGUUGUACCAUCGGUUCGGGAGAUUCAAUGCUUUUCACAAAUUUGGGCUUAAAUAUGAGUCAGAAGCAAAUUAGAAGGAGACGAGAGACUUUGCAUUUGUGGUAGGCCUACUUGGAACCAUGUUGUUACCACAAGGGGAAAAUGGCACAAUUCAUCUGAGGGUUGUUUAAGUGACCCAUGCACUCUUCUUUGGAAUGGAGUACAAUUCUAAAAAGGUAUUUCACAACUUAGCUCCCAUGAUUGUUGCCGGCAUAUAUCGAGCUUUGGGAAGGUGUCAAGUCGAGAAUCGUUUCUUUCAAGGCUGCAACCUUAUAUUAUAAUGGUGGAUGAUGAUGCAUUUGGUAAAAAAUCCUAGAACGGCACAACCCGACCACAAAACAAGGUGGAAUCUACUAGAAUAGCACAACAUGUGGUUGUUUUUACACAAAUUCAAAAGGGAAGCAUCUCAUGAAUUUUGGUUUAAGACUCGGUAUUUCACAACUUAGCUCCCAUGAUUGUUGCCGGCAUAUAUCGAGCUUUGGGAAGGUGUCAAGUCGAGAAUCGUUUCUUUCAAGGCUGCAACCUUAUAUUAUAAUGGUGGAUGAUGAUGCAUUUGGUAAAAAAUCCUAGAACGGCACAACCCGACCACAAAACAAGGUGGAAUCUACUAGAAUAGCACAACAUGUGGUUGUUUUUACACAAAUUCAAAAGGGAAGCAUCUCAUGAAUUUUGGUUUAAGACUCUUGGAGAAUUAAGAGAUGACGAUGUCCUAUGGUCCAUUAACUAUCUUCUUUCAGGGAAAUACAUUAUUCGAGGAGGCGAGUGGCCUUUUCUAGUGCUUUCGGGUCUCAGGGGAACCUGUCCCUACAAUCCUGGCAGAGUUCUUACGCAAUUUGAUAUCAAGCAGGAGAUGCCUCAAAUCGAUUCUAUGCUCAGAUUCUUUAUCGAAUAUGAUGAAACCGAGCCCCCGCUUAAAGACUACAUGAUAAAUGGAUGGAAAAGGAGAAGGUGGACAGAAGUCUUUUUUGUAUAGGGUAUGAACCUGAAGUCAGCGAAACGUACAAGGAGUGGUUAAAAAAGAGCCUGGCCGGAGCAUUGAUUCCGGGACCGAAUGUGUCCACUCGGGUUAUGGAUGUAGAAUCCGAGCAUCAGAUCCAACUCCACAGGCUUCAGGAUAAAUAUUAGAAAAGUGAAAUCAUGCACUGACAGAUGCACGUAGAAGAUGCUUUAAAAAUACGUAUGUUGAGAGAGGAGUUGGAAAGAGCUAGGCAAGAGGUUGAUGAUGCUAGGCAGUGUCUAAUCGAUUUGGAUGAUAGCAUGGCCUCUCAACUCUACAGUAUAAGAAAAAUGACUUACAGUAGCAAGGCACAGUUAUGCGGGAGUCAUCUAAUCAUUAAUAGGUAUCAAAUAGCACAGGAGGUGAACAAGGCAAAGAAGGCAAAGACAGACGAAGGAGCCUCCGGUAGCUAGUUUUUCUAUUUCCCUUGCGUGGGAACUUAUUUUCUUUCAUAUUAUUUCCGUUUUUUCUUAAAGAUUGUAUCCCUCUUUUGUUAUUUUUUGUAGGAAUUUAUGCCCUUUUUUGUGUCUAUAUAAGUUAGGGGAUAAUGGAUUGACUUUAAGGAAGCAUAUAUUUUCUUCAAAAUCGUUAGGCCUGAACCCUUGGCUCAAAAAAGGUCACCCCAGUUAGGAUACGCAUUAUUAUAAUGUUUUGUAUGAUAUAAUUGUCUUAUGUGCUUAUGUGUGUUUAUUUGGAUCAAAGGCAAGUUUAUCCGCUAUACUCCUAUGGAUGAAUUUGGCUAUGACUCAAACAACUCUAUGUUGUUAUUUCUUGUCAAAUAUUUUGCAUUACUUAUCACAUAUGAAAACUAACACAUCUACCUUUGAGUUGUUUUACUUAAAAGAUAGUAGAAACUACUCCGUAUUGAUAUAGGCUGGCAGAACAUCCCUACUUCACCCGAUCAAAAGCAAACAAAAUCCCAUCCUCUGACCAUCAUUCAAUAAUGACUGGAAAUGAUGAAGAAAAUGCAUUGACCAUCAGGGACAAUCAAAUAGAGGAAUAGAGUGAGAUGAUUGUGGAAUUUGCAAGAAAGCUUGAAAUGCUUUAGUAGGAAAUAAAUCGUGCUCGAGAUUUGGCUCUCCUGGCCAUUACUGUUAAUGCUCCCGCUCCAGGAGGAAACGAGACUCCACUCCAAAUCCCUUCCCUCAGUACGCCUAUUCUCGGGGAUUAGCCAAAUAACAUAUCGUCCAUCUCUGCUCCUCCACUCGACCAAAAUACCAAUCAUGAAAAUAACCCAGAUGCCUACCAUCCACAAAAUCCAUGUCUAACACCACAAAACCCAUCUCUGAAUCCAUUUCCAAAUCCCCAAAACCCAUUUGAAAAUCAACAAAAUUUGUGUACAAAUCGACAAGAUUAACUCUCAAAUCCAAAAAAUCUAUCCCUGAAUCUUCCAUUGAAUAUAUCCCCGAAUCUACCAAAUUCAUUUCCAAAUUUGCAAAAUCCUUCUCAGAUGCCACCAAGCUACUCGAAAAUUCCAAAAAACCUUUCUAAAUUUCAAAACGUCCUCCCCACCUACCAACCAACUUACUUUCAUCUUCAAAAUCAAGCCUUCCUUCUAAAUCCCCCACAUGCCAUCAUAUCCCCCGACAUCUAUAAUCCUCUUCCUAAUCCCGAGAUCGACCAUUUUGAAGAGAAGGAGAAAGAGUGAAGACCAAGCAUGAAAUGAAGUUGCUAGCUAUGAAUGAAGAAAUCAUGAGGAUCAAAGAAUCUCAUGGAGCGAGGGACCACGAUGGUUUAGGGUACAAUGACUUAUGUGUUAACCCUGGAGUAGAUCUACUAGAAGGGUACAAGGUCCCCAAGUUUGAAGUGUUUGAUGAUGCCAGAAGUCCAAUGGCCCUUCUAAGGAGGUACUACGAGCAACUGGUGGGGAUCAGGAAAAAUGAGGCGUUACUGAUGCGCCUAUUCAGCCAAAGUUUAAGCGGUGAAGCCUUAGAGUGGUUUAUGUCUCAGCAGCCGAACAGAUGGACUGGUUGGAAAGCAUUGGCCAAGGGUUUCCUUGACAGGUUCUCAUUCAAUAUUGAAAUAGUCCAAACCGAUAUUCACUAGAUCGAAUCAAACAGAAGAGUGAUAAGAUUUUCCAAGACUAUGCUUUUCGUUGGGGGAAGGAAGCUGCCAAAGUACAACCCCCCAUAUCCGAGGAAGACAUGGUAUCUGCAUUCUCUCGCACUCAAGAAGGAGAAUAAUAUACCAGAAUGGUGUCCGCUGUCAAGGUGACUUUUGUGGAUUUGGUAAAAAUAGGAGAAUCAUUGGAAGAAAGUAUUCGGACAGGAAAAAUUGCCGAAACCCUGACAUUAUCCGGGACUGCCAUGUUGUUGAAGAAGAAAAAUAAAGAUGUAGGCACAAUUUCUGGUGGUUCUGUUGCAAAAACAAUAAAGAGGUUCAACUCUAGGAAUGCUUUCUCUUCUCUAUCGCCACCAAACCUUCAGCAUGUGUUCUACGCCCACCCCCAAUACCAAGCUUCACUUUCAAAUGUCCAAAAUCAGUAUCAAACUCUACUCCCAAACAUUGAAUCUCAGUAACAAACUCCACUCCCAAAUAUUCAAUCCCAAUACCAAGAUCCACAACCAAAUAUCUUUCCCCAAUACCAAGUUCCACCUCCAAAUUAUCAGUCGCAUGUCCAACCCACUCUUUCAAAGAACCGAAAAAAUAUCCAAGAACCUCCAAAUUAUCAUCAAGAACCUUAUCCUACAAACCAAAGCCACUAUAACACCCCACGUCCAAACUACGAAAAAAAACCUCCCCGAAACUUCACACCACUAGCUAAAAGUCGCACUCAAUUGUUCGAAAGACUGAAGAACGCCGGUCAUUUGCAACUGAUGCAGUCAAAGCCUGUCAAUCCCAACUCUCGAUUUAAUUAUCCUGAUCAAAAUUAUGCUUAUCAUUCAGGAGCAGCAGGGCACAGUACCGAGGACUAUUUUAUCUUGAAACACAAGAUCCAAGAUCUGAUUCAUCAAAAGGUCAUUACGCUUUAGUCACCGAUGCCAAAUGCCAAUAGUAACCCAUUGCCUAAUCAUGGGGGACCUAUAGUUAACAUGAUUGAAAUGGAAGAAGAAUGGGUGUCUAGCAAGACUAUUACUAAAGUGAAUUCAGAAGAGUACAAAAGGGCGGAAGAGGUAGAAAAGAUAUAGAGAGUUAUGGCUACCUUAAGUGUCAAUGAGAAAGCCUCAUGUAUAGUAAUGACGGCCUCGAUCCAAGUGUACACUCCCCCUCCAACAAAAAAGAUUCACAGAAAAGGCCAAUCACUGAAGGGGAGGCUAAGGAAUUUUGGAGGCAUAUGCAACCCAAAUAUUAGUCAAUUGUCAAACAUUUAGAGAAGAAGCCAGCCCAAAUCUCCAUUUUGGCACUAUUAAUGAGUUUGCAGUACCACCGAUAAGAUUUAUCGAAGGUCUUGGAUGAAGCAUAUGUUCCCAUAGGAAUGAGUGUUGAGAACCUAGCUGUGAUGAUAGGAAACACUGUGGGGGAAUCAUCGCAUAUCAUUCAGUGAUGAUGAGUUGCCGUUUGAAGGAGCGAUGCACAACAAAGCCUUGCAUGUCACUGCUAUUUGCUAAGAUUAUGCGAUUAAUCAGGCAUUAAUAGAUGACAGAUCUGGUGUGAAUAUUUGUCCCCUCUCCAUGUUUGUUCAAAUGGGCUAUGAUUUGGGAAAAAUUCAUCAAAGCUAUGCAAAUGUGAGAGCAUUCGAUGGAGCACAGAGAGAUACAAUAGGAAAAAUUUAUUUGUACAUCCAAAUGGGACCUGCUGAGUUCAAAAAUAAGUUUCAUGUUAUGGAUAUUCAUCCUAGCUACAACCUGCUCUUGGGAAGACCAUGGAUACAUGGUGCAAAGGCCGUUUCAUCACCCCUUCAUUAACUAUUGAAGUUCAUUUGGAAGGAUCAUGAAGUAGUCAUCCAAGGGGAAGGAAGCCGAGCGAAUCAUCCCAAUGGUUAUGUACCAGUGAUUGAAGAUGUUCCAAAGGGUAAUAUUUUCUAUACGGUUGAAAUUAUAAAUGCUGUGGAGAAGGAUCUGACGCUCCAAGCGCCAAUGCCUUCUAUCUAUAAAAUUAUUGAGAUGGUGAUAUUAACAAAUGAAUUCAAGCCUGGUUGGGGUUUGGGGAAGAAUCUACAAGGAAUUAUUGAGAUUGUUAUGAUCCCAGAGAAAGGCUCUAAGUAUGGGUUAGGAUAUCAGCCUACCGAGAAGGAUAUGGUUGAGGAUAAGUCAGAGCAGAGUUUGUGUAGGCCCUUUCCACUCCUGUACCAGUCAUUUGCUGCACAGGAGGUGUCGAAUAAUGAUGGUCUUAAGGAUGGGAUAGGAUAUUUGUUAGAGAGAUGCAAUAUUAUACCAGAAGAUUUCCCAAAGUCCGGCGGGGUGAAAAAGAUUGCGCUAGUAGAGGUCUUGAAAAAUUGGACCUCCACUCCACUCAUAACCCAUCGCUCAUCGUGGUAGAUGAAAGGGCAAUUACUAAUAGUUUUAAAAUCAGUGAUGAUUCGGAAGAGGCCCCGCGAUCCACCUUUUAUAUCUCAAAACUUUCUUUUUGUAUUUUACUGCUUUCAAAAAGGCAUGGAUUUGUAUUUGUGCGAGUCAUGAGCCAUGGUUUUGUAAUUAUCUCGCAAAUUUCAUUGAAAAGGCAUUCAUUCAUUUAAAAAAAAUUAUUAUUCCUAAAACAUUCCUAUUUGUAUAUUUUAUUAUUAUCUCAUUAUCAUCUAACUUGGUUUGUUUGUCCAUUACAGUAACAGUAACUUAAAAUCUGCCAAUGUCAUGUCAUGUCAAAGCUUAGAUGAACAAAAUAAAGGGAAUGAUGAUGAUUGGAAGGACGGUGAUGAGGAACAAUUAUUUGAAGAUAUAGAGGAGUUUGAGAACCGAGAAAAGCCUAACCUAGAGGAAACUAAAAUAGUCAACCUCAGAGAUCACAUGAAAUCAAAGAAACAAGUGUCAGUGUCCACCUGGCAGAAGCACAAAAGAGAGAGCUCAUUCACCUGUUGUGGGAAUAUAUUGACGUGUUUGCUUGGUCCUAUGAUGAUAUGCCGGGAUUGAGCACUAGUAUUGUGUCGCAUAAGUUGCCAAUAAAUCCAGAGUUUGAUCCAUUCAAGCAAAAAACGUUGAAAUUCAAGCCAGAUUUAAGUCUAAAGAUCAAGGAAGAAGUGACAAAACAAAUCUAGUCUAAGGUUGUGGAGGUCAUAAAAUAUCCGACGUGGUUGGCCAAUAUCGUCCCUAAGCCGAAGAAGGAUGGCAAGAUUCGAAUUUGUGUUGACUAUAGAGACUUGAAUAGAGCUAGUCCUAAAGAUAAUUUUCUGUUGCCCAACAUCCACAUCCUCAUCGAUAACUGUGCAAAGCAUGAAAUAAAGUUAUUCAUUAAUUAUUUCACCGGGUAUCACCAAAUAUUGAUGGAUGAGGAAGAUGCAGAAAAGAUGACUUUUAUUAUGCACUGGGGUGUUUAUGAUUACAGGGUAAUGCCGUUUGUUCUCAAGAACAUGGGUGUAACAUAUAUGAGGGCUAUGAUGACUAUUUUCCAUGAUAUGAUCCAUAAAGAGAUUGAGGUGUACGUGGAUGAUGUAAUUAUCAAAUCCUAUGAGAGUUCGAAUCAUCUGACUCAUCUGGAGAAAUUCUUCAACAGAUUAAGAAAGUACAGUUUAAAGUUAAAUCCUGGUAAGUUUGCUUUUGGUGUGCCAUUAGGGAAGUUGUUGGGGUUCAUAGUCAGCAGAAGAGGCAUCGAGUUAGACCCAUCCAAAAUCAAGACAAUCCAGGACUUGCCACCGCUGAGGACCACGAAAGAAGUUAUAAGUUUCAUGGGUCAUUUGAAUUACAUUAGCAGGUUCAUCGCUUAAUCGAUAGUCAUAUAUGAGCUAAUUCUCAAGAUGUUGAAGAAAAAUUCAUUGAAUGAGUAGACAGAAGAAUGUCAAAGAGCUUUUGACCGCAUAAAGGAAUAUCUAUCUGCACCGCCAGUUUUGGUUCCACCAAGAGAAGGAAUUCCAUUAUUGCUCUACCUGUCAGUCUCAGAAAAUGCUUUUGGAUGUGUCCUCGGGCAACAUGAUGAGACUGAUAGGAAAGAGAAAGUCAUUUACUACUUGAGUAAAAAGUUUACGCCAUAUGAAGACCAUUAUACUCUUAUAGAAAGGACAUGUUACACUUUGACUUGGGCCGAACAAAAGUUGAGGCAUUAUCUGUCUUCAUACACGACAUACCUCAUCUCAAGAAUGGAUUCAUUGAAGUAUAUAUUCCAGAAGGCCAUGCCUACAGGAAAGCUAGCCAAGUGGCAAAUGUUGCUGAGCUAGUUUGACAUCGUGUAUGUAACUCAAAAGGCAAUCAAGGGGAUUACUUUGGCAGAUCAUUUGGUAGAGAAUCCAGUUGAUGAUGAGUAUGAACCACUUCAAACUUACUUCCCAGAUGAGGAAAUUCUAUUCUUGGGAGAAGAUAUUACAUAAAUUUACCCUGGAUGGAGGCUAUUCUUUGAUGGAGCGGUCAACUUCAAAGGUUUAGGAAUCGGAGCAGUGUUGGACUCAGAAAUGGGUCAACAUUAUCCAGUAACUGCUAAGUUGCAUUUCCCAUACACCAACAACAUGGCCAAAUAUGAAGCUUGCAUCUUAGGUCUCAAAUCGGCACUUGAUAUGGGUGUUUGUGAAUUGCUAGUCAUCAAGGAUUCAGAUUUGCUGAUUCGCCAGGUACGGGGAGAAUGGGCGGUAAGAAAUUCAAGAAUUCUGCCUUAUGUUGAUCUGGUACAGGAAUUAUGUGGAAAAUUCAAAGAAGUUGAUUUCAGACAUAUCCCAAGGAUACAAAAUGAGCUUGCUGACACUUUGGCCACUAUAUCCUCCAUGAUUUGGUACCCAGAUUAGAGUUACAUUGAUCCUUUGGAAAUAAGAUUGAAGGAGCAACCUACGCAUUGUGCACGUGUUGAAGAGGAGCCCGAUGGAAAACCAUGGUACUAUGACAUUAAAAGGUAUUUAUAAUAUGGAAUAUAUCUUGAAGAGGCCAGCAACAACCAAAAGAAAAUAAUCUAGCGUUUGGCAAAAAACUACUUUCCAAGUGGGGAAUUUCUUUUUAGGAGGACACCUGAUUUAGGAUUUUUAAGAUACUUCGAUGCUGCGGAAGCCAAUAAAUUGAUAAAAGAAGUACACACAAAAGUUUGCAGACCCCACAUGAAUGGGUUUGUCCUUGCCAGAAAGAUCCUGAGAACCGGCUACUUCUGGAUGACUAUGGAGAAUGAUUAUAGUAAGUAUAUGCAGAGAUAUCCGAAAUGUCAGACACACAGAGAUUUGAUUCGAAUGCCUCCACACAAGCUUCAUGCAAUGAAUUCACCUUUACCUUUCGUAGCUUGGGGCAUGAAUAUUAUCAGACCGAUAGAGCCAUCAGCAUCGAAUGGGUAUAGAUUAAUUUUGGUUGACAUUGACUACUUCACUAAGUGGGUCGAAGCUGUGUCAUACAGAGCCGUCACUAAGAAAGUUGUUGCAAAUUUCAUUAGGGAUAACUUGGUUUGCCGAUUCGGAGUGCCGAAAUAAAUCAUUAAUAAUAAUGGGGCAAACUUGAACAGUCACUUGAUGAAAGAAAUUUGUGAUCAAUUCAAAAUCGUGCAUCGCAGCUCGACCGUAUAUCAUCCACAGAUGAAUGGAGCCAUAGAAGCUACCAAUAACAACAUCAAGAAGAUCUUGAGAAAGAUGGUCAAAAAUGAUAGAUCAUGGCAUGAGAUAUUACCUUAUGCUUUGCUAGGAUAUCGCACAACAGUUCAAACCUCCAUCGGGGUAACUCCCUAUUUGUUGAUUUACGGGAAUGAAGCAGUGAUACCUUUUAAGGUUCAAAUACCUUCCCUGAGGAUUAUUUAAGAAGCUAAACUAAUUAACGAAGAGUGGGUUCGUGCUCGUUGUGAACAACUCAUGUUGAUUGAUGAAAAGAGAAUGGUUGCCAUGUGUCAUGGUCAGUUCUAUCUGUACAGGAUGAUUCGUGGUUUCAACAAGAAAGUGAGAGAUCGAACAUUUAAAGUUGGGCAAUUAGUUCUCAAAUGCAUACUCCCUGACCAAGAAGAGUACAAGGGCAAGUUCGCUCCAAAUUGGCAAGGUCCAUACAUAGUUCGCAAGGUACUAUCUGGAGGGGCUCUGAUUUUGUCUGAGAUGGAUGGCCAUGAGUUGACCAAACUAAUCAAUUCUGAUGCGGUGAAAAGAUGCUAUGUUUGAAGGGAGUUAUAGUUUUGUGGUUCUUAGUUUAUCUGUAAUCGCCGUUUAAUAAUGUGUUUUAUGACGUGUAAUUACCUAGAACAGCUUUCACUUUAUCUAAAAACUACGUUUGACCUGAAUUCCCAAGAAAGGGACACGUAGGCGGCCUAUGUCAGCUUUGGGCAACCCCUUAGGAAAUUUAUCCUUUCCCUUUAUGUAUGAACUACGUGAUGACCUAAACUCCUAAUAAAGGGAUACGUAGGCGGCCUAUAUCGGCUUUGGUCAACCCAUUAAUUUCUUUUGUAUAUCCCUAGCGUAGUCCUAAACUACGUUUGACUUGAUUCCUGCUUCAACGGGAUACGUAUGCGCCCCAAUGGCUCGGUCAUAUAACCCCAGGAAAUGAAAACUGGGGCAGAAUUUUUUAGAAGGAAUCUCAAAAAUUCACAAGAGAAUAUCAACAUCCAACAAAGAGAAUGAAGAUCAGCAAAGACUUUAGAUCCACUCAAGAUGAUAUCAUCUCAGACUACUUUAAACUGGGGCAGAAAUUUUGAGGGAGGCCUCAAAAUUUCAAUCAAAUACUGGAAUAUAUUUCAGAUUCCCCAACACUAGAGGUCGAAGUUGAGAUUUGAGAAUAACCACCUGUGAUAAAGUCUAGGAAGACUGAAUCUCCAUCUUUGAUAGAUCCUCGACAAUGCUGAAUCCCUAGCUAUCCUCCGUCAAACGUCAGACAUUGUCAGAAUCAAGAGAAAAAAGGUCGUUGAGCUAAUACAUGACAUGACUGGCAGAGAUUUUUCAAACUUUUGCAGGAGUUCUCGAAACUAUUUUCUAAAAAUUGAGAGUACUUUCAAAAAAUCUACCUAAAUCUUUUACUUAAUGAUUUCCUAGACAUCAAUUAGGACGAACAGUCAUGGGUGGAAGUCCCAACAUCAUGAAAUACCUGAAAGAUGGCGAAGGGCAAAUCAAGGAUCGAAGGAGGUCAACACGGAGUAGUUUCACUCAAACUAAUCAUUUUCUUUGGGCACAGGGACCAAUACACAAAAAUGAGAGUCUCUUUCAAAAAUCCCCAAGCAAAUUGGAAGCCACACCAGAGAAUUAAUGGUUUAGUACCCAUAUAUUGAAGACCUUUUGAAGUGUCCAUCUUAUUUCUUGAGAUCAUGGAGGACAAACAAAAGUGUCUUGUCUUCUUUACAAAUAUUGUAUUUAGAAUUUUUCUAAAAAACAGUCGCUAGCAAAAACAACUUUGUGUCUACUAGUCAUCUACCUUGAGUACAGGUACAUACAAAAAGCAAGACCCUGACAAAUGAUUUCAGGUGAAACUAUUUUUAAUAUAACGAAAGAACCAUUGCAUAUUAUUGCCAAAAAGGGUCAUUGCAUAUUAUCGCCAAGAGGUCCAUCUUAUACUAUUGCCCAAGAAGGAUAUUCAAUAUCUGUUGACUCACUAGACACAACGCUGGCAUCGAGGAUAUCAUCAGUAUUUAAUAUGUCUAUUGACACGCAAGACACAAUGCUAGGGUCAAGGAUAUCAUCAUCAUUUUAUAUCUGUUGACACGUAAGACACAACACUGGCAUGGAGGAUAUCAUCAUCAUUUUAUAUUUGUUGACAUGCAAGACACAAUGUUGGCAUCGACGAUAUCAUCAUCAUUCAAUAUCUGUUGAUGCGCUAGACACAACACUAGCAUCGAGGAUAUCAUCAUCAUUCAAUAUCUGUUGACGUGCUAGACAGAAAUGCUAGCGUCAAGGAUAUCAUCAUCAUUCAAUAUCUGUUGACGCGCAAGAUAGAAACACUGGCGUUGAGGAUAUCAUCAUCAUUCAAUAUCUACUGACACGCAAGACAGAAACACUGGUGUGGAGGAUAUCUCAUCAUUUUAUGAAUCAACAUUUGAAUACAUCGAGAGCACAUGAUUUGAAGGGACACCUUUAAGUCUCUAUCUAAGGAUGAAUGAUAUAUAAGAUUUCCUAGAAAUUGACAAUUUGAGGGUCAUCUAUAAGUCAUAUUAUUUGAAAUAGUAUAGUGUGUAAGAUCACCUAUGAUUUGAUAGCCUAUAGGUCAUCCAUAAGCCACAACAACAUCCUAACCGAAUAGUGUGCAAGAUCGCCCAAAAAUCGAUAGUUCAAAGGUUAUCCAUAAGUACCAACUAAAUCCUUACCGGAGAAUAUGUUAGAUUAUCAAAUUACUAUGUCCAAGGGUUCUCUAUAAGCCGCGUCAUAUCCAGGACCGAUUAUGUGUAGGAUUACCCAAAGACUAAUAAUUUGAGAGAUUAUCUAUAAGUCAUAUUGUAUCCAAGGUCGGAUGAUGUGCAGGAACCCCUGAAAGCUAGCGAUUGGAAGGAUAUCUGUAAGCCAUCUCUUAUCCAAAGUUGGAUAAUGUGCAGUAUUACCUAAAAGCUAGAAAUUCAAAGGAUAUCUAUAAGUCGCCUUAUAUCCAACAUCAAAUAAUGCGCAAGAUUAUCCAAAGAUUGACAAUUUAAGGAAAUUUUAUAAAUCAAUCAUCGGCUAUAACCGGAAAGUUUAUCAUUCCACAUACAACAAGUUAUAUAGGUAACCAAAAGGGUUUCCAAACUAGCAUAAGAUUACACGAUUGUAGGGACCGUUCUACAUAAAGUAUCGCCGGUGUCCAAAAAGGCCACCCCACUUUGAAGACAUAUACAAUCAACAAAUGUCAUAAUUAUACAACAACCAAGAGGUUUGUUCCAUUUGUUGUUGCCAGAUAUUUCAUUCCAAAUAGGUACAUGAAGAGAUGAUUCCACUUUUCAUGCCACAACUCACGUGGAGAUAUGGUAAAAGAUUGCAUUCCUCUUUCGUGAAUUAUGUUUAGCACUAACACUUUUGCUUGAAACAUUGUCGAGAGAAUCCAAGAGGAUGAAAAUCUCAAAUAAAAAACAUAGGUGCGGAUUACUUCAGAUAGGACGCAGCACAACGUGAAACUUUUUCUUAGCAGCAAAAUGGGACAUAGUCUAGAGAGGGACGUCAAACUCUCUGGAUGGGAGCUAAAGGAUUAUCACCACCACCAUCUAACCACACCUCUAUUAGAAGGCAUGUGGGUAUUUCUGGGAUAUUCUGGUUUCCGCUUCAUCUUUGAGAUAUUUCUAAACUCAUAUCGAGGGUAACCUCCUCUUUCUUUCAAAGUCGGGUGACAACACCCUCAGAGUUUAGAAAUUAUGUUCGGGUAAGUUCUUUUCUAUGGUUGUGAAGGAUCCCACAUUCAUGGUUAAGAGGUUACAAGCCUCUUUUCCAAAACUCGAUCAACUUGUCACUCAUCCUGAGCUAAAGAUCAUCUGAAAUAAAAGACUAUCUUUUCUACCAAUCGAGUCGAACUACAAGCAGUCUGAUUUCCUAAAAUCUUGCGGAUAUGUAGGCUAGGAUCUAUGUAGAAAACUUGACUUCAUUCCAACGUCCCCCCUAAUCCCUUUAUUCCCCAGUUUCUUGGUUUUAUCAAAAACUUUAAAACCGAGAUAGUUGAUGGAUUUUCUUGAAAAUCGUGCUUAAGAUCAAGCCUUAUGAACUACAAGUGGCCUGAAUUCUCAUGAAACCUGAGAUAUGUAGGAAACCUGAUACCGAGGUUCAUCCAUAACUCCAUGAAACUCGUGCGGAAAACCAACCUCUCUUAGAUACGAAUUUGUGGUCGGACAAAAAUUGUGAACGUCAACCUCCCUUUGCCCAGGAUUACUUACAUCUAUCCUACCCAAAGGGCGGGGUAGUUGUUGGCACCUAAUUUUUUCCCUCCACAACUAAAUUUAAUCCUGAGUUUCUUCGAUUCUUAAUAAAAUCAGAAUACUUAUUUAAUUCGAAUAAAAAAAUUUCAAAAAUAUAUUUGUACAUAAUUUUGUGAUCUUAAGUAGCAAUUAUAUAUUAUCGUGUUCAAAUAUACGAUAUUAUAUGAUUUGAUUACUUAGAUAUUUACUCUAUGAAAUAUCAUAUUUCAAUUAAGGAUCAUUUCGAAAAAUAAUAAUUAAAAUCUUGAUCUAAAUAUAAUUUAUUCUCGAAAAUAAUUUAUUUGGAUAAAUAUACAUUUGAUUUUAUUAAAUCAAGAAGCUCGGGAUUAAACAAGGUGUUAAUUCGUAUCGAAUUUUGAUUUAAUUUGGUCAAUUUAUUAAAUUAGUCCUUAAUUGAAAUUAAUAUGGCCAUAAUUACAAUGUAAUUGGUCAAUUUAAUUCGAAUUAGGCUAAAAUUUAAAAAUGAUUGCCUAAAUUUUCGUCAUUGGCUAUUUGAUAAAUAGCCUAAUCUCUGCAAUACUAAAAUCCUAAUUCUACCCAAAAAUAUUCAGAUACCUCCAGCCCUGUUCAUUGUCAUAUUAACAGGCCCAAAAUCCCUGACCCAGCCCACCAUCAACAAAUCCCCCUUUCUUCCUUAAUCAGCAAGAACUAGUCCCCAAUGCAAAAAACAAUCAAAAAUGGCAUACAACUCCAGGAACUUGAACAACAACGACAAGCUCGAUUCAGUGAAUCCACCAUCAAACCAACCCAAAAUAGAUCCUAAACCGUUCCUUUUCCCUCUUUCUCACAUCUCACACGGCAGUAGGAUAAGGAAAACCCUAGAACCUUCUAGAAAACAGACUAGGUGUCAUAUCCAACAGUUCAAUCCUAUAAAUUUCGGAAUUCCCAUAGGUUUUGGGGAAGAAUUUGUUUUCCCUAAAUCUCAUUGGUCCACCAAUUUCAAUAUUGGUACAAUCGAUUGAUGAAACCCUAAGCGAUGAGAGGAUUUUCCAAUUUCAAAAUUCAAAAACAUCCUUCUUUUAAAUCCCCAAAAGACCCCUAAUUCGGGGGAUAUAAGAAGACCCCUGGGGUCACUAUUCUGGGGGAAUUUUUUCUCUUCUUUGAGGGAUUUUUGGUUUUUGUAUCCUCUUCUUUCCCUUAGGAGUUGGAAAUUUUAGAAGCCUCUGUUUUUUUUGUUUAGAGAAAUUUUGGGUUCGAAAAAAGGGAGAAAUUCUUUGGUUGGCAAAUUUUAGGUCACGGUUGAGGGUUACUUUCCCUUCUGAGGUGGAAAAAUUAAGGGAGAAAGCUAGGUUGGAACAUUUUUCUGAGAAAAAUUUCUGAUUCGGAAAAACUGAGAUAGAGGGAAAAAAGAAAAAGAAAAGAUUUCCGAAGAAAGAUUAAAUCUUUUAAGUUUUCCGGUGGUUGUGAUCCCCGUAUCAGUUUGUCAUCUUGUUUUACUGCUCCCGAAAAGGUAACGUCCUUUUUUCAUUUAAUUUCAAUUAUAUUUCUGCUCCCUCUCAUCAUUCUAUAGUCAUGACUGUCAUUCCGAAGAUUUUGUAAGGUGGGUUGUCUGCUGUAGAGGUCUUCAAGACCACAGGUUUCCAUUUUAGUGAAAGGCAAUGUUUCUUUGUAGUGCGACGUUGGGAUGAAUUCCUAUUGUGAUUGUAUGACAUGUGGUUUUCAUCGUCCUCAGAUCUCGAUUUUGUGAUUGGUCAUCUACUCUCAGCAUUAUUGAUUAAUUUCUAUCCAAAUGUAUCAUCGUGUGGACUGUCUGUGAUUUGAAGAAGUUAAAGAUCAUAUUUUGAUUCUCGCUUAACAAUUUUCAUGCUCUUGCUGCCUUGAUUCGUAGUUGUAGUUUUAUAAUCUUAAGUGCUGAGUGUAGCUUGUUGGGAGGAUAUGAAAGCCCCAAGUUUCAUAUGAUAAACUGUGAGCUUUCAAACUUUGUUGUUGUUUCUGCAUUUAGGACACAUUUAUUUUUAGAGUUUCUGAUUUCGUUAUAAUUCAUCUGGGAGCAUUUGCUUUUGUUCAUACAAUGUUUUUGAUGAAAAUUUUCUUCGAUUUCGACUUUCGUGAAUGCCGUAUUGUUUAAAUGAUGAGCUUCUAGCCUAUGGAUUAUUGCUAAUAUCCUGUUCUAAAAAAAAAAAAAAAAGGGUUACUGAGUCACUUUAUUCCUGUAAACGAUUGAGUUAAAGUGCAGUGUUUCUUUUCUGUUAAAAAGGAUGAUAGGGUCAAAGGUUUUGCAUUCUCUUUGGGAGUUGCUAUUAGGAGCCUCCUUUGUGAAGUUUAUUUAUAAAG
rnacentral:lncRNA from 1 species